rnacentral:lncRNA from 1 species
GCAUCCGCUAUUUAUCUUGUUCUUGCUUGUUCUUCGAUUGCUUGUAGGAACAAAGACCUUCGUGGUCAGGUUGAUCGUGCCCCCGCGUGAUCAAUAACCCUUUGGAGUUGGUGUAUCGAUUGCUAAGGCGCUGCCUCGUAGGCCGUAGUCGGAUCGUCAACGUCACCUCCUACCCAAAUCGAGAGUUACCAAUCUCAUCGAAAGAUCGGCCCACCUCGACCCACAUCACAGUGUCUCAAGGUCGAGAUGAAAAGUUUGCUCAGAUUGUGAAACAGCAAGGCAUUACAUAUGGCAAGGGUCUGAUUCUUGAUGUUUCAACUAGGUGGAACACUUCCUACCUCAUGCUCAAUACAGCCAAGCAUUACAAGAGCGUGUUCGACUCUCUUGCUGUCCAAGAUGUGCAUUACACAUAUGCACCCACUUUUGAUGAAUGGGAAAGAGUGGAAGUAAUUUGUGGACUGUUGGAUGUAUUCUAUGAUGCAACAAAGGUCAUUUCUGGAUCGAAAUACCACACAUCAAAUCUGCAUUUCCAUGAAUUUUGGAAGGUCAGGAUCAGAUUACAGAUUGAAGAAUCUGAAGUGGAUCCAUACAUAUAUGACACUGUGAAGUACAUGAGAAAGAAAUUUGAGAAGUAUUGGAACCUAUCAUGGAUGGCAUUGUCAAUUCCUGUCAUUCUUGAUCCACAAUUCAAAUACCCCUUUCUUCAGUUUCGUUUCCAGCAAGCAUUUGGUGACAAUGCCCCAUCUCAAUUCUCUAAAGUGAAAAGCUUGUUUGGACAGAUGUUUGAUGAAUAUGCUGAAAUGAGCAACUCAGGGUCCACACAACAAGAAGGUGUUGAUAUUGGAAUGGGCACGGGUAAUAAUGACUUAUUGGCGGACUGGGAUCACCACCUAAGCCUUACCACCACCUCUUCAAAUCUGGCAUGGUCAGAGCUUGAUAGUUAUUUAAAAAAAACUCCUAUUCCUCGACGCGAUAAGUUCGAUAUUCUUAGUUGGUGGCAAAUGAAUUCAUUUGAAUUCCCAAUACUUGCCCGCAUGGCCCGCGAUAUUCUUGCCGUUCCUGCUUCAACGGUGGCUUCCGAGUCAGCGUUCAGCACCGGCGGUAGAGUCAUUUCUGACUAUAGGAGUCGACUAACUCCUGAGGCAGCUGAGGCACUCAUAUGUUUGCAAGAUUGGUACAGAGCAUCAGGUAAAUUGAUUGCAACUUCCUGUAAUGCUUCAAGUUCACAAGAUAAUAAUUUGUUUAUCCAUUUUUCAUAUGCAGGUUCAUCUGAGCUGACCAUGGAAUCAAUUGAUGACAUGCUUGGACAUGAAGAUAGUUGAGUAGUGGCACAAAAUCUGAGCUGACCAUGGAAUCACUUAGUACAGCAGCACACUGGUUUUGGUUUGAUUAGUUUGGUUGUAUCUGACACUAACUACUCCCUCUUAUUCUAAAUGCUUGACUUAAAUUUGCUCAAAUAUGGAUGUAUUUAUUCUUAAAAAGUGUCUAGAUACAUGUAAUAUUUCGACAACAAUUUAGGGUCGGAGGGAGUACAUGGUAAUGAGAAAUUAGUGCAAGUUGUUCCUUCGGUAUACGAGUAUGCAGCUAGCUCAGAUGGAUUUUGGUAGUGUAAGCUUAGUGCAUGUUGUUCCUUACGUCCGCAAGUACAGGUUCGAACCUAUAGAUCCAUUGGAUCACGUGGAUCACGGAUGUUGUGCCGAUGGAGCAGAUCGUUAUAUCCUUGUGGGCUCGCCUCAUUUGUAUUAUACCUUCUUUCUAACUUUCUCUCAGCUUCACGAGCAAGACUAAGCAAACACAAUAGAGAGUCGUAAUCCCCAUAUUCAAUCACGUAAGAAAUUUCAAAAUUAAGCCCAUAAUAAAACCUAUCCAUUUUUCUUUGUUCGGUUUCAUCUAAACCAGAUCGCAAGGUUAAAAUUUGGAACUCAUGGUAGUAAUCAUCAACAGUUUUAUCAUCUUGUGUCAAACGUCGUAAUUUGGAACGCAACUCAUAAGCAUAACUUGGAGGAACAUAUUUUUCUCUCAUGAUUUUCUUCAUAUCAAUCCAAGUGUGAGGUAUUUUGUUUUCUCUAACUAUCUCACUCCACCAUGAUAAUGCAUCAAAACGAAAUCUACUACUAGCAAUUUCGACCUUACGACUAUCUAGUACAUGGAAGCAUGUGAAUUGCUCAAUUAGAGCUAUUUCCCAAUCAAUAUAAGCUUCAGCAUCAUUAUUUCCAUCAAAGAAAGGUCCAAAACAAUUAGUGACAUUACAAGGAUUGCGAUAUACCUUUUCCUUGCCAAUGUCAACAAGAGACGAGGAGGAUGGAUGUGGUGAAAAACGCUCAUGUCGGUCACUUGAUAGCAUAGGCCUAUUUUCCAUCCUUUGUGUAAGUCCUGUCAUGGUUAGUAUAAGACAAGAAACAAAACACAGGAAUAUGUUCCUAUCAACUAAUAGGAUGUGGCUACAAGUCACUCAACUCUCAAGCUAAAAAUCAAGUUCUUACAAGUUCUUACCAUGCAAAAUAGGAAGGUGAUGGCCAGCGGCGUGACCAAGCCCUCCGAAGAUUAAAUGUAUCGAUGCCUCGGUAACAAACCAACCUAGGUGUAGAAUAUGUGGAGCAAAUAAUCAAAUCAGCAAUGCAAAGUUGAAAAUAUGUUCAAUAAUGCUAGUCCUAGCUGCUGGAGUCGAUAAGAACGAAUUACAGAAAUAAUCUAAACCUAGAUACUGAAGAAGAUAGGAUAGAAAGAUCAAAAGAUGGCACAACAAGUAAAUCCCUGGGAUUUUUUUCUUCUUUUUUCUUUUUGUGGCCUUCAGUUUGGCUUCUUAUUCUUUUCUUCUUCUUUUUUCUUUUUUUUUAACCCCAGAAACUCAUGCAAAAGAAGGACCGGAAAACUGUACGUCGGUCUGUCGAAGAACAGCAAAGGCUGCAGUAUGAAAAAUUCAGAAAAAUAUGGAAAAAUAUGUUAGAAGCGUAUCGACACAAGCUUUCUAGCAAGGGCAAGAUCACAGAAAACGGAUGUCGGACAGUGGAGAAAACUGAGAAACACCGGGCUGCAGCGACGCCGGAAAACGGAUGUAGAAACUUGAAAGCUCUGAAAGUCCACCUUACAAACCGAAUUUGAGGGUCAAAGUGCAGGGCACGCCCUGGAUAUUUCCUGAUGCGCCUCGUCGUGAGCUUUCCAAAAAGUCCAAGACUUUCCGAAACUAAAAUUCUACUCGGACUCGGGUCCGAAACUGACUCGAACUCUUUCUCUUUUUUUUUUCGUUUUUUUUCUCUUUCCUUUUCUUUUCUUUCCUUUCUUUUUUUUUUGACAACUUUCCGAACAACUUGAUCUAUAAAAAAAUUCGAUCUAUUAUAAAAGUUUCCAAAAGCACUCUUGAUUGGACUCGGACUUGAACUUGCGGCUGAAAACUAUAACUUGCCGACUCAAUGUAGAACUCGAUGUAGGACACGGUGUAGGACUCGACGAGGGACUCGGUGUAGGACUCGAAGAGGGACUCGGUGUAGGACUCAAAGAGGGACUCGGUGUAAGACUCGAAGAGAGACUCGGUGGAAGAUAUGGUGGCGGCGGGAGAUUAUGGCGGUGGUGUGGCAGGAAGUUUGGCGGCGGAAGAUUGAUGAAGGAAACCUGCAUCACACGAAGAACAAGAAAACCAAAAGCAAGUUCGAUCUAGUAGGAAACCUGCGUCACACGAAGAACAUGCCUAGCGAGUCCCUAAAAGCGGUCUACUCUUGUAUCGCUUCGAUGAGUAGCUUUGUUUGGUGGACUCAUCCUAGUAUCUCAAAUGGACACGUUCUGGAUCAAAGUUUAGCACAGACUCCGAUUUGGCCGAACUGUCCGACCUACUAAGGGACCAUGGCUAGCGAGUCCGUACCAGUGGUCUAGUCUUGUUUCGCUUCUAUGAGUAGAUUUGUUUGGUGGGCUCAUCCCACUACCUCAAAUGGACACGUUCCGGAUCAAAGUUUAGCACCGACUCCGAUUUGGCCGCAUUGUCCGUCGUAGUGAGGGACCAUGCCUAGCGAGUCCCUACAAGCGGUCUACUCUUGUAUCGCUUCGAUGAGUAGCUUUGUUUGGUGGGCUCAUCCUAGUAUCUCAAAUGGACAUGUUCUGGAUCAAAGUUUAGCACAGACUCCGAUUUGGCCAAACUGUCCGUCCUACUGAGGGACCAUGCCUAGCGAGUCCGUACCAAUGGUCUAGUUUUGAUUCGCUUAGAUGAGUAGAUUUAUUUGGUGUGCUCAUCCUAGUACCUCCAAUGGACACGUUCCGGAUAAAAGUUUAGCACCAACUUUGAUUUGGCUGGAUUGUCCGUUCUAGUGAGACGCCAUGGCUAGCGAGUCCCUACAAGUGGUCUAGACUUGUUUCCCUUUGAUGAGUAGCUUUGUUUGGUGUGCUCAUCUUAUAAUGUCAAAAGGACCCGUUCCGGAUUAAUGUUUAGCACCGACUCCGAUUUGGCCGCAUUGUCCGCCCCAGUGAGGGACCAUGCCUAGCGAGUCCCUACAAGCGGUCUACUCUUGUAUCGCUUCGAUGAGUAGCUUUGUUUGGUGGGCUCAUCCUAGUAUCUCAAAUGGACAUGUUCUGGAUCAAAGUUUAGCACAGACUCCGAUUUGGCCGAACUGUCCGUCCUACUGAGGGACCAUGCCUAGCGAGUCCGUACCAGUGGUCUAGUUUUGAUUCGCUUAGAUGAGUAGCUUUGUUUGGUGUGCUCAUCCUAAUAUCUCAGAUGGACACGUUCCGGAUAAAAGUUUAGCACCAACUUUGAUUUGGCUGGAUUGUCCGUUCUAGUGAGACGCCAUGGCUAGCGAGUCCCUACAAGUGGUCUAGACUUGUUUCCCUUUGAUGAGUAGCUUUGUUUGGUGUGCUCAUCUUAUAAUGUCAAAAGGACCCGUUCCGGAUUAAUGUUUAGCACCGACUCCGAUUUGGCCGCAUUGUCCGUCCCAGUGAGGGACCAUGCCUAGCGAGUCCCUACAAGCGGUCUACUCUUGUAUCGCUUCGAUGAGUAGCUUUGUUUGGUGGGCUCAUCCUAGUAUCUCAAAUGGACACGUUCUGGAUCAAAGUUAACCACAGACUCCGAUUUGGCCGAACUGUUCGUCCUACUGAGGGACCAUGCCUAGCGAGUCCGUACCAGUGGUCUAGUUUUGAUUCGCUUAGAUGAGUAGUUUUGUUUGGUGUGCUCAUCCUAAUACCUUAAAUGGACACGUUCCGGAUCAAAGUUUAGCACCGACUUUGAUUUGGCUGGAUUGUCCGUUCUAGUGAGACGCCAUGGCUAGCGAGUCCCUACAAGUGGUCUAGACUUGUUUCCCUUUGAUGAGUAGCUUUGUUUGGUGUGCUCAUCUUAUAAUUUCAAAAGGACCCGUUCCGGAUCAAUGUUUAGCACUGACUCCGAUUUGGCUGAAUUUUCCGUCCUAGUAAGGGAACAUGCCUAGCGAGUCCCUGCAAGGGGUCUAGUCUUGUUUCGCUUCGAUGAGUAGCUUUGUUUGGUGGGCUCAUCCCAGUACCUCAAAUGGACACGUUCUGGAGCAAAGUUUAGGACCGACUCCGAUUUGGCCGCAUUGUCCGCCCCAGUGAGGGACCAUGCCUAGCGAGUCCCUACAAGCGGUCUACUCUUGUAUCGCUUCGAUGAGUAGCUUUGUUUGGUGGGCUCAUCCUAGUAUCUCAAAUGGACACGUUCUGGAUCAAUGUUUAGCACAGACUCCGAUUUGGCCGAACUGUCCGUCCUACUGAGGAACCAUGCCUAGCGAGUCCGUACCAGUGGUCUAGUUUUGAUUCGCUUAGAUGAGUAGAUUUCUUUGGUGUGGUCAUCCAAGUACCUCGAAUGGACACGUUUCGGAUGAAAGUUUAGCACCGACUUUGAUUUGGCUGGAUUGUCCGUUGUAGUGAGACGCCAUGGCUAGCGAAUCCUAACAAGUGGUCUAGUCUUGUUUCGCUUCUAUGAGUAGCUAUGGUUGGUGGGCUCAUCCCACUACCUCAAAUGGACACGCUCUGGAUCAAAGUUUAGUACCGACUCCGAUUUGGCCGCAUUGUCCUCCCCAGUGUGGGACCAUGCCUAGCGAGUCCCUACAAGCGGUCUACUCUUGUAUCGCUUCGAUGAGUAGCUUUGUUCGGUGGGCUCAUCCUAGUAUCUCAAAUGGACACGUUCUGGAUCAAAGUUUAGCACAGACUCCGAUUUGGCCGAACUGUUCGUCCUACUGAGGGACCAUGCCUAGCGAGUCCGUACCAGUGGUCUAGUUUUGAUUCGCUUAGAUGAGUAGAUUUAUUUGGUGUGCGCAUCCUAGUACCUCCAAUGGACACGUUCCGGAUAAAAGAUUAGCACCGACUUUGAUUUGGCUGGAUUGUCCGUUCUAGUUAGACGGCAUGGCUAGCGAAUCCUAACAAGGGGUCUAGUCUUGUUUCGCUUCUAUGAGUAGCUUUGUUUGGUGGGCUCAUCCGAGUACCUCAAAUGGACACGUUCUGGAUCAAAGUUAAGGACCGACUUUGAUUUGGCUGGACUGUCCGUUCUAGUGAGACGCCAUGGCUAGCGAGUCCCUACAAGUGGUCUAGACUUGUUUCCCUUUGAUGAGUAGCUUUGUUAGGUGUGCUCAUCUUAUAAGUUCAAAAGGACCCGUUCCGGAUCAAGAUUUAGCACCGACUUUGAUUUGGCUGAAUUUUCCGUCCUAGUGAGGGAACAUGCCUAGCGAGUCCCUACAAGUGGUCUAGUCUUGUUUCGCUUCGAUGAGUAGCUUUGUUUGGUGUGCUCAUCCUAAUACCUCAAAUGGACACGUUCUGGAUCAAAGUUUAGCACCGACUCCGAUUUGGCCGCAUUGUCCGCCCCAGUGAGGGACCAUGCCUAGCGAGUCCCUACAAGCGGUCUACUCUUGUAUCGCUUCGAUUAGUAGCUUUGUUCGGUGGGCUCAUCCUAGUAUAUCAAAUGGACACGUUCUGGAUCAAAGUUUAGCACAGACUCCAAUUUGGCCGAACUGUUCGUCCUACUGAGGGACCAUGCCUAGCGACUCCGUACCAGUGGUCUAGUUUUGAUUCGCUUAGAUGAGUAGAUUUAUUUGGUGUGUGCAUCCUAGUACCUCCAAUGGACACGUUCCGGAUAAAAGAUUAGCACCGACUUUGAUUUGGCUGGAUUGUCCGUUCUAGUUAGAUGGCAUGGCUAGCGAAUCCUAACAAGGGGUCUAGUCUUGUUUCGCUUCUAUGAGUAGCUUUGUUUGGUGGGCUCAUCCGAGUACCUCAAAUGGACACGUUCUGGAUCAAAGUUUAGGACCGACUUUGAUUUGGCUGGAUUAUCCGUUCUAGUGAGACGCCAUGGCUAGCGAGUCCCUACAAGUGGUCUAGACUUGUUUCCCUUUGAUGAGUAGCUUUGUUAGGUGUGCUCAUCUUAUAAGUUCAAAAGGACCCGUUCCGGAUCAAGAUUUAGCACCGACUCCGAUUUGGCUGAAUUUUCCGUCCUAGUGAGGGACCAUGCCUAGCGAGUCCUUACAAGUGGUCUAGUCUUGUUUCGCUUCUAUGAGUAGCUAUGGUUGGUGGGCUCAUCCCACUACCUCAAAUGGACACGCUCUGGAUCAAAGUUUAGUACCGACUCCGAUUUGGCCGCAUUGUCCGCCCCAGUGUGGGACCAUGCCUAGCGAGUCCCUACAAGCGGUCUACUCUUGUAUCGCUUCGAUCCGUAGCUUUGUUCGGUGGGCUCAUCCUAGUAUUUCAAAUGGACACGUUCGGGAUCAAAGUUUAGCACAGACUCCGAUUUGGCCGAACUGUUCGUCCUACUGAGGGACCAUGCCUAGCGAGUCCGUACCAGCAGUCUAGUUUCUGUUUGCUUAGAUGAGUAGUUUUGUUUGGUUUGCUCAUCCUAAUACCUUAAAUGGACACGUUCCGGAUCAAAGUUUAGCACCGACUUUGAUUUGGCUGGAUUGUCCGUUGUAGAGACGCCAUGGCUAGCGAAUCCUAACAAGUGGUCUAGUCUUGUUUCGCUUCUAUGAGUAGCUAUGGUUGGUGGGCUCAUCCCACUACCUCAAAUGGACACGCUCCGGAUCAAAGUUUAGUAACGACUCUGAUUUGGCCUUAUUGUCCGCCCCAGUGUGGGACCAUGCCUAGCGAGUCCCUACAAGCGGUCUACUCUUGUAUCGCUUCGAUUAGUAGCUUUGUUCGGUGGGCUCAUCCUAGUACCUCUCAUGGACACGCUCUGGAUCACCCCCCCCGCACAGACUCCGAUUUGGCCGAACUGUUCGUCCUACUGAGGGACCAUGCCUAGCGAGUCCGUACCAGCGGUCUAGUUUCUAUUUGCUUAGAUGAGUAGUUUUGUUUGGUUUGCUCAUCCUAAUACCUUAAAUGGACACGUUCCGGAUCAAAGUUUAGCACCGACUUUGAUUUGGCUGGAUUGUCCGUUCUAGUGAGACGCCAUGGCUAGCGAGUCCCUACAAGUGGUCUAGACUUUUUCCCUGUAUGAGUAGCUUUGUUAGGUGUGCUCAUCUUAUAUUUCAAAGGACCCGUUCCGGAUCAAUGUUUAGCACUGACUCCGAUUUGGCUGAAUUUUCCGUCCUAGUAAGGGAACAUGCCUAGCGAGUCCCUGCAAGGGGUCUAGUCUUGUUUCGCUUCGAUGAGUAGCUUUGUUUGGUGGGCUCAUCCCAGUACCUCAAAUGGACACGUUCUGGAGCAAAGUUUAGGACCGACUCCGAUUUGGCCGCAUUGUCCGCCCCAGUGAGGGACCAUGCCUAGCGAGUCCCUACAAGCGGUCUACUCUUGUAUCGCUUCGAUGAGUAGCUUUGUUUGGUGGGCUCAUCCUAGUAUCUCAAAUGGACACGUUCUGGAUCAAUGUUUAGCACAGACUCCGAUUUGGCCGAACUGUCCGUCCUACUGAGGAACCAUGCCUAGCGAGUCCGUACCAGUGGUCUAGUUUUGAUUCGCUUAGAUGAGUAGAUUUCUUUGGUGUGGUCAUCCAAGUACCUCGAAUGGACACGUUUCGGAUGAAAGUUUAGCACCGACUUUGAUUUGGCUGGAUUGUCCGUUGUAGUGAGACGCCAUGGCUAGCGAAUCCUAACAAGUGGUCUAGUCUUGUUUCGCUUCUAUGAGUAGCUAUGGUUGGUGGGCUCAUCCCACUACCUCAAAUGGACACGCUCUGGAUCAAAGUUUAGUACCGACUCCGAUUUGGCCGCAUUGUCCUCCCCAGUGUGGGACCAUGCCUAGCGAGUCCCUACAAGCGGUCUACUCUUGUAUCGCUUCGAUGAGUAGCUUUGUUCGGUGGGCUCAUCCUAGUAUCUCAAAUGGACACGUUCUGGAUCAAAGUUUAGCACAGACUCCGAUUUGGCCGAACUGUUCGUCCUACUGAGGGACCAUGCCUAGCGAGUCCGUACCAGUGGUCUAGUUUUGAUUCGCUUAGAUGAGUAGAUUUAUUUGGUGUGCGCAUCCUAGUACCUCCAAUGGACACGUUCCGGAUCAAAGAUUAGCACCGACUUUGAUUUGGCUGGAUUGUCCGUUCUAGUUAGACGGUAUGGCUAGCGAAUCCUAACAAGGGGUCUAGUCUUGUCUCGCUUCUAUGAGUAGCUUUGUUUGGUGGGCUCAUCCGAGUACCUCAAAUGGACACGUUCUGGAUCAAAGUUAAGGACCGACUUUGAUUUGGCUGGACUGUCCGUUCUAGUGAGACGCCAUGGCUAGCGAGUCCCUACAAGUGGUCUAGACUUGUUUCCCUUUGAUGAGUAGCUUGUUAGGUGUGCUCAUCUUAUAAGUUCAAAAGGACCCGUUCCGGAUCAAGAUUUAGCACCGACUUUGAUUUGGCUGAAUUUUCCGUCCUAGUGAGGGAACAUGCCUAGCGAGUCCCUACAAGUGGUCUAGUCUUGUUUCGCUUCGAUGAGUAGCUUUGUUUGGUGUGCUCAUCCUAAUACCUCAAAUGGACACGUUCUGGAUCAAAGUUUAGCACCGACUCCGAUUUGGCCGCAUUGUCCGCCCCAGUGAGGGACCAUGCCUAGCGAGUCCCUACAAGCGGUCUACUCUUGUAUCGCUUCGAUUAGUAGCUUUGUUCGGUGGGCUCAUCCUAGUAUAUCAAAUGGACACGUUCUGGAUCAAAGUUUAGCACAGACUCCAAUUUGGCCGAACUGUUCGUCCUACUGAGGGACCAUGCCUAGCGACUCCGUACCAGUGGUCUAGUUUUGAUUCGCUUAGAUGAGUAGAUUUAUUUGGUGUGUGCAUCCUAGUACCUCCAAUGGACACGUUCCGGAUAAAAGAUUAGCACCGACUUUGAUUUGGCUGGAUUGUCCGUUCUAGUUAGAUGGCAUGGCUAGCGAAUCCUAACAAGGGGUCUAGUCUUGUUUCGCUUCUAUGAGUAGCUUUGUUUGGUGGGCUCAUCCGAGUACCUCAAAUGGACACGUUCUGGAUCAAAGUUUAGGACCGACUUUGAUUUGGCUGGAUUAUCCGUUCUAGUGAGACGCCAUGGCUAGCGAGUCCCUACAAGUGGUCUAGACUUGUUUCCCUUUGAUGAGUAGCUUUGUUAGGUGUGCUCAUCUUAUAAGUUCAAAAGGACCCGUUCCGGAUCAAGAUUUAGCACCGACUCCGAUUUGGCUGAAUUUUCCGUCCUAGUGAGGGACCAUGCCUAGCGAGUCCUUACAAGUGGUCUAGUCUUGUUUCGCUUCUAUGAGUAGCUAUGGUUGGUGGGCUCAUCCCACUACCUCAAAUGGACACGCUCUGGAUCAAAGUUUAGUACCGACUCCGAUUUGGCCGCAUUGUCCGCCCCAGUGUGGGACCAUGCCUAGCGAGUCCCUACAAGCGGUCUACUCUUGUAUCGCUUCGAUCCGUAGCUUUGUUCGGUGGGCUCAUCCUAGUAUUUCAAAUGGACACGUUCGGGAUCAAAGUUUAGCACAGACUCCGAUUUGGCCGAACUGUUCGUCCUACUGAGGGACCAUGCCUAGCGAGUCCGUACCAGCAGUCUAGUUUCUGUUUGCUUAGAUGAGUAGUUUUGUUUGGUUUGCUCAUCCUAAUACCUUAAAUGGACACGUUCCGGAUCAAAGUUUAGCACCGACUUUGAUUUGGCUGGAUUGUCCGUUGUAGAGACGCCAUGGCUAGCGAAUCCUAACAAGUGGUCUAGUCUUGUUUCGCUUCUAUGAGUAGCUAUGGUUGGUGGGCUCAUCCCACUACCUCAAAUGGACACGCUCCGGAUCAAAGUUUAGUAACGACUCUGAUUUGGCCUUAUUGUCCGCCCCAGUGUGGGACCAUGCCUAGCGAGUCCCUACAAGCGGUCUACUCUUGUAUCGCUUCGAUUAGUAGCUUUGUUCGGUGGGCUCAUCCUAGUAUCUCAAAUGGACACGCUCUGGAUCAAAGUUUAGCACAGACUCCGAUUUGGCCGAACUGUUCGUCCUACUGAGGGACCAUGCCUAGCGAGUCCGUACCAGCGGUCUAGUUUCUAUUUGCUUAGAUGAGUAGUUUUGUUUGGUUUGCUCAUCCUAAUACCUUAAAUGGACACGUUCCGGAUCAAAGUUUAGCACCGACUUUGAUUUGGCUGGAUUGUCCGUUCUAGUGAGACGCCAUGGCUAGCGAGUCCCUACAAGUGGUCUAGACUUGUUUCCCUUUGAUGAGUAGCUUUGUUAGGUGUGCUCAUCUUAUAAGUUCAAAAGGACCCGUUCCGGAUCAAGAUUUAGCACCGACUCCGAUUUGGCUGAAUUUUCCGUCCUAGUGAGGGAACAUGCCUAGCGAGUCCCUACAAGUGGUCUAGUCUUGUUUCGCUUCAAUGAGUAGCUUUGUUUGGUGUGCUCAUCCUAGUACCUCAAAUGGACACGUUCUGGAUCAAAGUUUAGCACCGACUCCGAUUUGGCCGCAUUGUCCGCCCAGUGAGGGACCAUGCCUAGCGAGUCCCUACAAGCGGUCUACUCUUGUAUCGCUUCGAUUCGUAGCUUUGUUCGGUGGGCUCAUCCUAGUAUCUCAAAUGGACACGUUCUGGAUCAAAGUUUAGCACAGACUCCGAUUUGGCCGAACUGUUCGUCCUACUGAGGGACCAUGCCUAGCGAGUCCGUACCAGUGGUCUAGUUUUGAUUCGCUUAGAUGAGUAGAUUUAUUUUGUGUGCGCAUCCUAGUACCUCCAAUGGACACGUUCCGGAUAAAAGAUUAGCAACGACUUUGAUUUGGCUGGAUUGUCCGUUCUAGUUAGACGCCAUGGCUAGCAAAUCCUAACAAGGGGUCUAGUCUUGUUUCGCUUCUAUGAGUAGCUUUGUUUGGUGGGCUCAUCUGAGUACCUCAAAUGGACACGUUCUGGAUCAAAGUUUAGGACCGACUCCAAUUUGGCCGCAUUGUCCGCCCCAGUGAGGGACCAUGCCUAGCGAGUCCCUACAAGCGGUCUACUCUUGUAUCGCUUCGAUGAGUAGCUUUGUUUGGUGGGCUCAUCCUAGUAUCUCAAAUGGACACGUUCCGGAUCAAAGUUUAGCACAGACUCCGAUUUGGCCGAACUGUCCGUCCUACUGAGGGACCAUGCCUAGCGAGUCCGUACCAGUGGUCUAGUUUUGAUUCGCUUAGAUGACUAGGUUUGUUUGGUGUGCUCAUCCUGAUACCUUAAAUCGACACGUUCCGGAUCAAAGUUUAGCACCGACUUUGAUUUGGCUCGAUUGUCCGUUCUAGUGAGACGCCAUGGCUAGCGAGUCCCUACAAGUGGUCUAGACUUGUUUCCCUUUGAUGAGUAGUUUUCUUUGGUGUGCUCAUCUUAUAAUUUCAAAAGGACCUAUUCCGGAUCAAUGUUUAGCACCGACUCCGAUUUAGCUGAAUUUUCCGUCCUAGUGAGGGAACAUGCCUAGCGAGUCCCUACAAGGGGUCUAGUCUUGUUUCGCCUCGAUGAGUAGCUUUGUUUGGUGGGCUCAUCCCAGUACCUCAAAUGGACACGUUCUGGAUCAAAGUUUAGGACCAACUCCGAUUUGGCCGCAUUGUCCGCCCCAGUGAGGGACUAUGAUAUGGACAUGCUAACCAUGGAUACAACAAUUAGAACCCUAAUUGUUGGUGUCUCUUAUAAUUAUAAUCAGGUGAAUUCAAUUACAAAAUGUUUUCAAUAUGUUACUUGCAAAGAGGCGGAGCUACUAUCUUGUGUAAUCUUAUUAUGUAGGCAUCUUAUUGAACUUUACAAGUCCAAAGUGAAGAUGAAGUGUUAUAGCCUGCAAAGGGAGAUUCAAAGUGAAGCCUAUCAAGUGUACUUUCCACCAAAUCAAACGGCACAUGAUUCGGAGCUUGCUAGAGAAAGAUAUCACGAAUUAAAGUUGAAUCCGAUUCGGGUCCGAGCUGUCAGGAGACACGAAUUUGUUUUAAUCACCCAGGCCGCAUCCGGAGUCCAAAUCAAGCAAACAAGUACUUGUUGGAAAGGUAAUUACAAGACCUUUCCAACGGAUCUGGCCCCAUCAAAAGAUUCGACUCGUGCUGACCGUGGCGGACAAAACAAGCUGACGGAUCUUUUUUUCUGUUUCCUAAAGAGUUGUAGUUUGUUAGGAAAGUUAGAGAUAGAGUUGGAUUUCGGACUCCUUAUUCAAGGUGGACGAAAAUAUCUCUCCCUGCUCCUUUAUAUACCCCAUGAGCCCCCCUAAGGAGCCUUGGGUUUUGAUUAGAUAAAGUUUAGCCAUCUUUGCUACUUUCGUGUAAUCGCGUGUGUCGGUUAGACCACCUGUUUCACCGUCGUCAAGACUCCAACUUAUCGUCUCGUUGAGACAUUGGUUUGAUAUAGUAUAGUCGCAAUUUUAGAUUGCAUCCGCUAUUUAUCUUGUUCUUGCUUGUUCUUCGAUUGCUUGCAGGAACAAAGACCUUCGUGGUCAGGUUGAUCGUGCCCCCGCGUGAUCAAUAACCCUCUGGAGUUGGUGUAUCGAUUGCUAAGGCGCUGCCUCCUAGGCCGUAGUCGGAUCGUCAACGUCACCUCCUACCCAAAUCGAGAGUUAUCAAUCUCAUCGAAAGAUCGGGCCACCGGCACCCGUAUCACGUGGUAUCUUAAACGGACACGUUCCGGCUCAAAGUUUAACACCGACUCUGAUUUGCCGAAUUGUCCGUCCUAGUGAGGGACCAUGCCUAGCGAGUCCCAACAAGCGGUCUACUCUUCAAUCCCUUUGAUGAGUAGCUUUGUUUGGUGUGCUCAUUUUAUAAUGUCAAAAGGACCCGUUCCGGAUCAAAGUUUAGCACCGACUCCGAUUUGGCCGCAUUGUCCUCCCCAGUGAGGGACCAUGCCUAGCGAGUCCGUACAAGCGAUCUACUCUUGUAUCGCUUCGAUGAGUAGCUUUGUUUGGUGGGCUCAUCCUAGUAUCUCAAACGGACACGUUCCGGAUCAAAGUUUAACACCGACUCUGAUUUGCCGAAUUGUCCGUCCUAGUGAGGGACCAUGCGUAGAGAGUCCCUACAAGUGGUCUACUCUUGUAUCGCUUUGAUGAGUAGCUUUGUUUGGUGGGCUCAUCCUAGUAUCUCAAAUGGACACGUUCUGGAUCAAAGUUUAGCACAGACUCCGAUUUGGCCGAACUGUCUGUCCUACUGAGGGACCAUGCCUAGCGAGUCCGUACCAGUGGUCUAGUUUUGAUUUGCUUAGAUGAGUAGUUUUGUUUGGUAUGCUCAUCCUAGUACCUCAAAUGGACACGUUCCGGAUCAAAGUUUAGCACCGACUCGGAUUUGCCGAAUUGUCCGUCCUAGUGAGGGACCAUGCGUAGAGAGUCCCUACAAGUGGUCUAGUCUUGUAUCGCUUCGAUGAGUUUCUUUGUUUGGUGGGCUCAUCCUAGUAUCUCAAAUGCACACGUUCUGGAUCAAAGUUUAGCACAGACUCCGAUUUGGCCGAACUGUCUGUCCUACUGAGGGACCAUGCCUAGCGAGUCCGUACCAAUGGUCUAGUUUUGAUUUGCUUAGAUGAGUAGUUUUCUUUGUGUGCUCAUCCUAAUACCUCAAAUGGACACGUUGAUGCGGGUCGGGUGGCCCGAUCUUUCGAUGAGAUUGGUAACUCUCAAUUUGGGUAGGAGGUGACGUUGACGAUCCGACUACGGCCUAGGAGGCAGCGCCUUAGCAAUCGAUACACCAACUCCAGAGGGUUAUUGAUCACGCGGGGGCACGAUCAAUCUGACCACGAAGGUCUUUGUUCCUGCAAGCAAUCGAAGAACAAGCAAGAACAAGAUAAAUAGCGGAUGCAAUCCAAAAUUGCGAAUAUACUAUAUCAAACCAAUGUCUCAACGAGACGAUAAGUUGGGGUUCCGAAAGCGGUAAAACAGGUGGUCUCAACGACACACGCGAUUACACGAAGUAGUAGCGAUGGCCAACUUUUAACUAAACAAAACCCAAGGCUCCUUAGGGGGGCUCAUGGGGUAUAUAAACUAGGAGGGAGAGAUAUUUUCGUCCACCUUGAGUAUGUAGUCCGAAAUCCAACUCUAUCUCUAACUUUCCUAACAAACUACAACUCUUUAGGAAACAGAAAAACAGAUCCGUCAGCUUGUUUUGUCCGCCACGGUCAGCACGAGUCGAAUCUCUUGAUGGGGCCAGAUCCGUUCGAAAGGUCUUGUAAUUACCUUUCCAACAAGUACUUGUUUGCUUGAUUUUGACUCCGGAUGCGGCCUGGGUGAUUAAAACAAAUUCUGGUCUCCUGACAGUUCGGACCCGAAUCGGAUUCAACUUUAAUUCGUGAUAUCUUUCUCUAGCAAGCUCCAAAUCAUGUGCCGUUUGAUUUGUUGGAAAGUAGACUUGAUAGGCUUCACUUUGAAUCUCCCUUUGCAGGCUAUCACACUUCAUCUUCACUUUGUGAUAGCCUCGAGGGUGUCCCGAUCUUUCGAUGAGAUACCUAAUUAUCGAUUUGGUAGGAGGUGACGUUGAAGAUCCGACUACAACCUAGGAGGCAGCGCCUUAGCGAUCGAUACACCAACUCCAGAAGGUUAUUGAUCCCGCGGGGGCACGAUCAACCUGACCACGAAGGUCUUUGUUCCUGCAAGCAAUCGAAGAACAAGCAAGAACAAGAUGAAAAGCAAUCUGAAAUUGCGAAUAGGAGAUAUGAAGGUUCACGAAUCUGAAUACUCAAUAUAGUUGGAGUCUUGAUGACGGUAAAACAGGUGGUCUAACUGACACUCGCGAUUACACGAAAGUAGCAAAGGCUAAACUUUAUCUAAUCAAAACCCAAGGCUCCAUAGGGGGGCUCAUGGGGUAUAAAUAGGAGGGGAACUAGGUGGUUUUCGGCCAGGCCCUUGUGGGACUCCAAAACGGCCUAGGAAUCCUCCUAAAACACAACGAAAACAUCUAAAAAUUGGCUGGACUCUAUUACAUGGCCUUAGGCCCAAUAAAACAAGGUUAUAACCCUCAUCUUUGGCCCAUAGAUACCCAUUGGAGGGGGAAUCCUCCACUUGGCCGAAAUCCCAUUGAUGAAGAGGAUGCGGCCUUCUUCUCAUCUCUUUAUGGCGGUUUCAAUGUUCUAAAAUCAACACUUGAGCUACCUCCCGCCACCUUGCUGCCACCUCCAUGGUUUGCUGUCCAACGCUGAUCCUUGAGGUCCAACCUAGGUCUUUCAUUCCUAAAACACAUAAAAGAACCCAUCUUAGGCAGCAGCAUAUUCUCAUUAAUAUUAAAUGAAGUACCGAGGAACGAAAAUACCUGAUAAUUUAGUUGUCGUGCACGAGCUCUAGUAAUUGGUCCAUGUAUCUCCGGUACUUGAGGUGUAGGUGCUGUAGGGGCUGUGGUUGUAUCAUUAGUUGGGAUGUCCUCAUCAUCCUCCCCUUCUUGAAUCGAAGUCGUCCUCGACGGUAGUUCAUCUUCUUCUCCCAAAUAAGGCUUCAAAUCUGCAAUAUUAAACGUGGGACUAACCCCAAAAUCUGCAGGUAGCUCAAGUUUAUAUGCAUUAUCAUUAAUUUUCGCUAACACCUUAAAGGGACCAUCAGCUCGUGGCAUUAACUUAGACUUGCGCAAAUCAGGGAAACGAUCUUUGCGCAAAUGCAACCAAACAAGAUCUCCAGGUUCAAACACAAUUUGUGUUCUGCCCCUAUCUCCCGAAAGUUUAUACUUAGAAUUCAUGCGCUCAAUGUUCUCUUUAGUCGUCUCAUGCAUUUUUAUUAUAAAUUCAGCACGUUCCUUAGCAUCAAAGUUAACUUUUUCAGAAGUCGGCAAAGGUAACAAAUCAAUUGGUGCACGAGGUAUAAAACCAUAAACAAUUUCAAAAGGGCACAAUUUUGUGGUUGAAUGCAGUGAACGAUUAUAAGCAAAUUCAAUAUGAGGUAAACAUUCUUCCCACAUUUUCAAGUUCUUCUUUAAAACAGCCCUAAGCAUAGUAGAUAAUGUUCUAUUAACAACUUCAGUUUGUCCAUCUGUUUGGGGAUGACAUGUAGUACUAAAAAGCAAUUUAGUCCCCAACUUAGCCCAUAAACAUCUCCAAAAGUGGCUAAGAAAUUUUGUGUCAAGUUCUUACUCGUUCAGAUCUGUUUGGGAGAUUUUUUCAGUUUAUCCAUAGUUUAGAUCUGUUUUUACCUAUCGUCCAGAAAAGGCCAAACAAAAAUUAGAAUUAGUUACCUUGUCCUAGAACCAAUCUGAGCCUUGCAAUUUUCACAUUAGUAUUUGCAUUGUUGAAUCUUUGCUGCAUUAAUCGUGUCGAGUUGCUGGAUUAGAUUGGAUCGUUUUUCAGAUUUUUUUCUACUAGAUCGAACUUGCUUUUGGUUUUCUUGUUCUUCGUGUGACGCAGGUUUCCUUCAUCAAUCUUCCGCCGCCAAACUUCCUGCCACACCACCGCCAUAAUCUUCCACCGCCACCAUAUCUUCCACCGAGUCCCUCUUCGAGUCCUACACCGAGUCCCUCUUCAAGUCCUACACCGAGUGCUUCUUCCAGUCCUACACCGAGUCCCUCUUCGAGUCCUACAUCGAGUCGGGAAGUUAUAGUUUUCAGCCGCGAGUUCGAGUCCGAGUCCAAUCAAGAGUGCUUUUGGAAAGUGUUUCAUAAUAGAUCGAAUUUUGUUUAGAGAUCAAGUUGUUCGGAAAGUUGUGAAAAAAAAGAAGGGAAAGAAAAAAAAAAGGAAGAAAGAAAGAAAAAAAAACGAAAAAAAAAGAGAAAGAGUUCGAGUCAGUUUCGGAUCCGAGUCCGAGUAGAAUUUUAGUUUCGGGUGGGUUUGACCCGUGUUCAGUAAAACGGGCGUAUCUUUUGCGUACCAACUCGGAUUUGGACGUUCCUGGACUUUUUGGAAAGCUCAUGACGAAGCGCAUCAGGAAAUAUCCAGGGCAGUGCCCUGCACUUUGACCCUAAAAUUCGGCCUUUAAGGUGGAGUUUUCGAGCUCCAAAGUUUCUGCACCCGUUUUACGGCACUGGGGCAGCGCAGUAUAUCUCAGUUUUCUCCACCGUCCGACCUCCGUUUCGAGUGAUCUUGCACUUGUUGGAAAGCUUGUUUUGAUACGCUUCUAACCCAUAUUUUCUCAUAUUUUUCUGAGUUUUCCUUACUACAGCCUUUGCUAUUCUCCUACAGACCGACGUGCAGCUUUCCGGUCUUAACUUCUUUUGCGUGAGUUUCUGGGGAUAAAAAAAAGAAAAAAAAAUAGAAAAGAAUAAGAAGCCAAACAGAAGGCCAAAAAAAAGAAAAAAAAAGAGAAAAAAAUUAUUCCCCAGAGAUUUACUUGUUUUACCUUUCAUUUAAUCUUUCCUUUCGACCUUUUUCAGUAUCUAGGCUUAGUUAAUUUCUGUAAUUCGUUCUUGUCGACUCCAGCAACUAGAACUAGCAUUUUUGAGCAUAUUUUCAACUUUGCAUUGCUGAUUUGAUUAUUCGCUUUUCCUUGCUACUCACAUAAGCCUCCAAGCUCCACAGAUUCUACACCUAGGUUGGUUUGCCUCGAGGCAUCGAUACACUAAUCUUCGGAGGGCUUGUUCUCGCUGCUGGCCAUCACCUUCCUGUUUGCUGGGUAAGAACGAGUAAGAAUUUGAUUAAAAGUUGAGUGGAGUGAUCUUUGGAACCCCACAUUCUUUUGCAUUUCUUGAUAAUAAUCUUGGACAGAAUUACUACCUUGCCUUAAUUGUUGUAGUUUCUUUAACAAGUCACGCGAAUAGUAUGAAGGAACAUAUCUAGCGCGCAUAAUUCUUUUCAAAUCAUCCCAUGUUGGUGGUAUAGCGUUAGGAUGUGCAAUACAAUACUCAUGCCACCAAACAGAAGCAAAAUCAGUAAACUCACUAGUAGCAGCCCUAACCCUCUUAUUAGCAGGAAAAUCAUGGCAAGUAAAUUUUUGACUCAAUUCUAAUUCCCAUGUAAGGUAAGCAUCAAGGUCAUAUUUUCCAUCAAAAGGAGGAACCUUAAGUUUAAUAGAAUGCAGCAAGUCAUGUUCCUCUCUGUGAGGUCGUGUCGGUCCCAUACCUCGGCGGUUGAAACGAGUUCGGCGAUGAUCACGGUCGUUGUGAUGGUUUACGGCCCCGUCAUGUUCCGUAUCCGCGGAGUAGUCGUCGUCGUUCUCCUCAACCUCGCUUGCGAAGGUACCGUUAUUAGCGGUCCGCUGGUUGUGUGUAUUGUUUCCUCCCGGUGUAGCGAUGGUCGUUGCAGCAAUUGCCGCCAGUUGCGUCGUGAUUUCUGCCAGAGAAGUACUAAUGGUAGCAACAGAAUUCUGUAAAGAUGUUAGCUUGGUAUUUGUUUCAAUGUGCGCGCUCUCCAAGGUUCCAAGUCUCUCAUUCGCAACCCGAACGUCCUCAUCCAGCUCCUCGUUACGAAGCCUAAGCUUGCGAUCAAAAUGUGAAAUAAUGCCCUUUGUGCGUGGAGAGUGGCCUUGUAAAUCAUCGUCAGAACCUGCCAUCGUUAGGAGAAAACAAGAAACAAAUCACAAGGAAAAAGUCCCUAUGCACUACUAGGAUGUGGGGUUCCAAAGAUCACUCCACUCAACUUUUAAUCAAGUUCUUACUCGUUCUUACCCAGCAAACAGGAAGGUGAUGGCCAGCGGCGAGAACAAGCCCUCCGAAGAUUAGUGUAUCGAUGCCUCGAGGCAAACCAACCUAGGUGUACAAUCUGUGGAGCUUGGAGGCUUAUGUGAGUAGCAAGGAAAAGCGAAUAAUCAAAUCAGCAAUGCAAAGUUGAAAAUAUGCUCAAAAAUGCUAGUCCUAGUUGCUGGAGUCGACAAGAACGAAUUACAGAAAUUAACUAAGCCUAGAUACUGAAAAAGGUAGAAAGGAAAGAUCAAAUGGAAGGUAAAACAAGUAAAUCUCUGGGGAAUAUUUUUUUUUCUCUUUUUUCUUUUUCUUUUUGUGGCCUUCUGUUUGGCUUCUUAUUCUUUUUUUUUUUUAUCCCCAGAAACUCACGCAAAAGAAGUUAAGACCGGAAAGCUGCACGUCGGUCUGUAGGAGAAUAGCAAAGGCUGUAGUAAGGAAAAAUAUGAGAAAAUAUGGGUUAGAAGCAUAUCAAAACAAGCUUUCCAACAAGUGCAAGAUCACUCGAAACGGAGGUCGGACGGUGGAGAAAACUGAGAUAUACUGCGCUGCCCCGGUGCCGUAAAACGGGUGCAGAAAAUUUGGAGCUCGAAAAGUCCACCUUAGAGGCCGAAUUUGAGGGUGAAAAUGCAGGGCACUGCCCUGGAUAUUUCCUGAUGUGCCUCGUCGUGAGCUUUCCAAAAAGUCCAAGAACGUUCAAAUCCGAGUUGGUAUGCAAAAGAUACGACCGUUUUCCUGAACACGGGUCAAACCCACCCGAAACUAAAAUUCUACUCGGACUCGGGUCCGAAACUGAGUCGAACUCUUUCUCUUUUUUUUCGUUUUUUUUUCUUUCUUUCUUUCCUUUUUUUUCCUUUCCUUUCUUUUUUUCACAACUUUCCGAACAACUUGAUCUCUCAACAAAAUUCGAUCUAUUAUGAAACACUUUCCAAAAGCACUCUUGAUUGGACUCGGACUCGAACUCGCGGCCGAAAACUAUAACUUGCUGACUCGAUGUAGGACUCGACGAGGGACUCGGUGUAGGACUCGAAGAGGGACUCGGUGUAGGACUCGAAGAGGGACUCGGUGGAAGAUAUGGUGGCGGCGGAAGAUUAUGGCGGUGGUGUGGCAGGAAGUUUGGCGGCGGAAGAUUGAUGAAGGAAACCUGCGUCACACGAAGAACAAGAAAACCAAAAGCAAGUUCGAUCUAGUAGAAAAAAUCUGAAAAACGAUCCAAUCUAAUCCAGCAACUCGACACGAUUAAUGCAGCAAAGAUUCAACAAUGCAAAUACUAAUGUGAAAAUUGCAAGGCUCAGAUUGGUUCUAGGACAAGGCAACUAAUUCUAAUUUUUGUUUGGCUUUUUUUGGACGAUAGGUAAAAACAUAUCUAAACUACGGAUAAACUGGAAAAAUCUCAACGAGCAACCUUAAGCUCUGAUACCACGUGAUAGCCUCGAGGGUGUCCCGAUCUUUCGAUGAGAUACCUAAUUAUCGAUUUGGUAGGAGGUGACGUUGACGAUUCGACUACAACCUAGGAGGCAGCGCCUUAGCGAUCGAUACACCAACUCCAGAAGGUUAUUGAUCCCGCGGGGGCACGAUCAACCUGACCACGAAGGUCUUUGUUCCUGCAAGCAAUCGAAGAACAAGCAAGAACAAGAUGAAAAGCAAUCUGAAAUUGCGAAUAGGAGAUAUGAAGGUUCACGAAUCUGAAUACUCAAUAUAGUUGGAGUCUUGAUGACGGUAAAACAGGUGGUCUAACCGACACACGCGAUUACACGAAAUUAGCAAAUUCUAAACUUUAUCUAAUCAAAACCCAAGGCUCCAUAGGGGGGCUCAUGGGGUAUAAAUAGGAGGGGAACUAGGUGGUUUUCGGCCAGGCCCUUGUGGGACUCCGAAACGGCCUAGGAAUCCUCCUAAAACACAACGAAAACAUCUAAAAAUUGGCUGGACCCUAUUACAUGGCCUUAGGCCCAAUAAAACAAGGUUAUAACCCUCAUCUUUGGCCUAUAGAUACCCAUUGGAGGGGGAAUCCUCCACUUGACCGAAAUCCCAUUGAUGAAGAGGAUGCGGCCUUCUUCUCAUCUUUUUAUGGCGGUUUCAAUGUUCUGAAAUCAACAGUUGAGCUACUCCCGCCACCUUGCUGCCACCUCCAUGGUUUGCUGUCCAACACUGAUCCUUGAGGUCCAAGCUAGGUCCUUUAUUCCUAAAACACAUAAAAGAACCCAUCUUAGGCAGCAGCAUAUUCUCAUUAAUAUUAAAUGAAGUACCGAGGAACGAAAGUACCUGAUAAUUUAGUUGUCGUGCACGAGUUCUAGUAAUUGGUCCAUGUAUCUCCGGUACUUGAGGUGUAGGUGUUGUAGGGGCUGUGGUUGUAUCAUUAGUUGGGAUGUCCUCAUCACAAUCUAUAUACGUUUCAGCAUCAUUUUUCUCCUCAAAGAAAGGUACGCACAAUUUAAUUGUAUUAGAAGGAUUGUUUUGUACCGUUGCCGUGGCAUUCUCAACAAGAGACGUGGAGGAUAGCCGUGGUGAAAAGCACUGAUCGCGGUCACGGGAUAGCAUCGGUCUAGUUGCCAUGCUUCGUGUAAGUCCUGUCAUGGUUAGUAGAAAACAAGAAACAAAUCACAGUAAUAUGUUCCUAUCAACUACUAGGAUGUGGCUACAAGUCGCUCAACUCUCAAGCUAAAAAUCAAGUUCUUACGAGUUCUUACCAUGCAAAACAGGCAGGUGAUGGCCAGCGACGUAACCAAGCCCUCCGAAUAUUAAAUGUAUCGAUGCCUCGGUAACAAACCAACCUAGGUGUAGAAUCUGUGAAGGUUGGAGGCUUUUGUGAGUAGCAAGGAAUAGCAAAUAAUAAAAUCAGCAAUGCAAAAUUAAAAAUAUGCUCAAUAAUGCUACUCCUAGCUGCUGGAGUCGAAAAGAACGAAUUACAGAAAUAAUCUAAGCUUAGAUACUGAAGAAGGUAGGAAUAGAUAGAUCAAAAGAUGGCACAACAAGUAAAUCCCUAGGAUUUUUUUUUCUUUUUCUUUUUGUGGCCUUCUGUUUGGCUUCUUAUUCUUUUUUUCUUCUUUUUCUUUUCUUUUUAACCCCAGAAACUCACGCAAAAGAAGGACCGGAAAACUGUACGUCGGUCUGUCGAAGAACAGCAAAGGCUGCAGUAAAGAAAAUUCAAAAAAAUAUGGAAAAAUAUAGGUUAGAAGCGUAUCAACACAAACUUUCCAGCAAGGGCAAGAUCACUCAAAACGAAUGUCGGACGGUGGAGAAAACUGAAAAACACCGGGCUGCAGCGACGCCAAAAAACCGAUGCUGAAACUUGGAAGCUCCGAAAGUCCACCUUACAAACCGAAUUUGAGGGUCAAACUGCAGGGAAAAGCCCUGGAUAUUUCCUGCUGCGCCUCGCCGUGAGCUUUCCAAAAGGUCCAUGAACGUCCAAUCCACGUUCUGGAUCAAAGUUUAGCACCGACUCCGAUUUGGCCGCAUUGCCCGCCCCAGUGAGGGACCAUGCCUAGCGAGUCCGCACAAGCGGUCUACUCUUGUAUCGCUUCGAUGAGUAGCUUUGUUUGGUGUGCUCAUCCUAGUAUCUCAAAUGGACACGUUCUGGAUCAAAGUUUAGCACAGACUCCGAUUUGCCGAAAUGUCCGUCCUACUGACGGACCAUGCCUAUCGAGUCCGUACGAGUGGUCUAGUUUUGUUUCGCUUAGAUGAGUAGUUUUGUUUGGUGUGCUCAUCCUAGUACCUCAAAUGGACACGUUCCGGAUCAAAGUUUAGCACCGACUCCGAUUUGGCUGGAUUGUUCGUUCUAGUGCGAGGCCACGGCUUGCGAAUCCAUACAAAAGGUCCAUGAACGCCCAAUCCGAGUUGGUACGCAAAAGAUACGUCCGUUUGACUGAACACGGGUCAAACCCACCCGAAACUAAAAUUCUACUCGGACUCGGGUCCGAAACUGAGUCGAACUCUUUCUCUUUUUUUUCGUUUUUUUUCUUUUCUUUCUUUCCUUUUUUUUUCUUUCCUUUCUUUUUUUCACAACUUUCCGAACAAAUUGAUCUCUAAACAAAAUUCGAUCUAUUAUGAAACACAUUCCAAAAGCACUAUUGAUUGGACUCGGACUCGAACUCGCGGCUGAAAACUAUAACUUGCCGACUCGAUGUAGGACUCGAAGAGGGACACGGUGUAGGACUCGACGAGGGACACGGUGUAGGACUCGAAGAGGGACUCGGUGGAAGAUAUGGUGGCGGCGGGAGAUUGUGGCGGUGGUGUGGCAGGAAGUUUGGCGGCUGAAGAUUGAUGAAGGAAACCUGCGUCACACGAAGAACAAGAAAACCAAAAGUAAGUUCGAUCUAGUAGAAAAAAAUAUGAAAACGAUCCAAUCUAAUCCAGCAACUCGACACGAUUAAUGCAGCAAAGAUUCAACAAUGCAAAUACUAAUGUGAAAAUUGCAAGGCCAGAUUGGUUCUAGGACAAGGUAACUAAUUCUAAUUUUUGUUUGGCUUUUUCUGGACGAUAGGUAAAAACAGAUCUAAACUACGGAUAAACUGGAAAAAUCUCACCGAGCAACCUUAAGCUCUGACACCACGUGGUGUGGGUCAGGGUGGCCCGAUCUUUCGAUGAGAUUCAUAACUCUCGAUUUGGAUAGGAGGUGACGUUGACGAUCCGACUACGGUUUAGGAGGCAGCGCCUUAACAAUCGAUACACCAACUCAAGAGGGUUAUUGAUCACGCGGGGGCACGAUCAACCUGACCACGAAGGUCUUUGUUCCUAUAAGCAAUCGAAGAACAAGCAAGAACAAGAUAAAUAGCGGAUGCAAUCUAAAAUUGCGAGUAUACUAUAUCAAACCAAUGUCUCAACGAGACGAUAAGUUGGAGUCUUGACGACGGUAAAACAGGUGAUCUAACCGACACACGCGAUUACACGAAAGUAGCAAAGAUGGCUAAACUUUAUCUAAUCAAAACCCAAGGCUCCUUAGGAGCGCUCAUGGGGUAUAUAAAGGAGGAGGGAGAGAUAUUUUCGUCCACCUUGAGUAAGGAGGUCGAAAUCCAACUCGAUCUCUAACUUUCCUAACAAACUACAACUCUUUAGGAAACAGAAAAACAGGUUCGUCCGCGUGUUUUGUCUGCCACGGUCGGCACCAGUUGAAUCUCUUGAUGGGGCCAGAUCCGUUGGAAAGGUCUUGUAAUUACCUUUCCAACAAAUACUUGUUUGCUUGAUUUGGACUCCGGAUGCGGCCUGGGUGAUUAAAACAAAUUCGGGUCUCCUGACAGCUCGGACCCAAAUCGAAUUCAACUUUAAUUCGUGAUAUCUUUCUCUAGCAAGCUUCGAAUCAUGUGCCGUUUUUGUUGGAAAGUAGACUUGAUAGGCUUCACUUUGAAUCCCCCUUUGCAGGCUAUCACACUUCAUUUUCACUUUGGACUUGUAAAGUUCAAUAAAAUGCCUACAUAAUAAGAUUACACAAGAUAGUAGCUCCGCCUCUUUGCAAGUAACAUAUUGAAAAUUUUUUGUAAUUGAAUUCACCUGAUUAUAAUUGUUAUUAGAUAGACCAACAAUUAGGGUUCUAAUGGUCAUAUCCAUGGUUAGCAUGUCCAUACCAGUAGAUAUCUGGAGAGACACUCUAAUAACAAUGUCUAAUGAGAGGAUGUGAAGCGGCUACCAGGUGUAAGGUGAUUACCUAUUUACUAAACACCAAACAACACAAUCCUCAUAUCACCCCUCAACACCCUGUGAGGAAGCAAUCCAAAGGACACUCACACUUAAGCAGUUUUGAGCAUACCCAUGAUUAAGGCUAAUUAUUACUCAAGUUUAAGAGAUUAAGUUAAUUAACUGGUAUGAGUUCUCUAUGAUCAAGUAAUGACCAAUCAAGUCAUCCAUAACCGCGGACACGGCUUUCCGAAAGAUUUAUCCCUGCAGGGUGUGCCAAUUUACUCGUACACGUUCGUCGAACCCUUAUUGCCACUCGAGUAGGAACACACAAAAAGGUGUGUCGGCAGGAUUGAGCGACACGAUGUUUCCAAGCCCCACAACUAAUCCAGGAAACCACCCAACUGAGUCUAAUCCGAAAUGAGAGCCCGGCCGAAGCGUCGUACGGACUCAAGAGUUGCAGGAAGAGCUGGUAGUGGUUCAGUGUCCGCAGAAUGACCACUCCAGACAUGUGCCGCAGUCCUAUAUGAAUGCAAAGUCACCAACAAAUGUCUACGAAUCUCUGUGUGCAUGCAAUGCAAGUGCCAAAUGGAACGCCCGAACUAUGUGGCCCCUGGAAGAGCUAUGAAACGUGUACUAAGCCGAGGGGGGACCCAUAUAUUCUACCACGAGCGGUUAGUGCGAAGUUUCUUGGGUUGGCAAAAAUGAGAACUCAGUCCUUAGGUCGACGCCAAUGGAACAAAACACCAAUGAGUUAGAGCACGGCCUCCCAUCGUUGCCUUGUUACAGUUUAAUAUCAUAUCACGGUUUAAUAAUUGCAAUUUAAAAUACAGGAAGUAGCAUGUGGAUGUAGCAAUUGUGGAACCCUAGAUAUAAGGACACUAGACUCGCAAUUAAGCAUGACAUCUAAUGACCAAGAACUAGGGCAACAAGCAAACAUGUGACAUGGUAAUAGGACUAGUAACAAGACAUAGGGUAAUAAGUAGAGCUGACUAAUAAGUUAUGCAACCUAGAGGCAUCGUGACAAGACUGAGAUCGUAACUUAAUGCAAGAUUGAGGGAGAAGCAAUAGGUAGAAUCAACAUGGUCAAGGAAGGCUGCUUGCCUGAAGUACUCAAUUGCCCGGAAUUGAGCAAGAAACCUGGAAGAAGAACACAAGCGUAGUCGUCGUCGUAGGAAUCGAAGACUAGCAACGAAGAAGCAAAUCCACCACAUAAAAGGAAAGUAUAAGCAUACAAGAUACACAUGGUAAUGUUAAAUGCGCAAUCAAAGGAUGAUGCAUGACAUAUAGGGAUGAUGCAUGACAUAUAGGGAUGAUGCAUGACAUAUAGGGAUGAUGCGUGACAUAUUAAGAAUCCCGAAAGUAAAUCCGAUAUACGAUCACCAAGUUAAAUGGAGUCCGAAUCAUCUACACAUAGCCUCUAAAUAACUCCAUAUGCAAGGAAUAGAGUUUAAUUGGUUAAUUACACACAAUAAUAUUAUAGUUGUAUUAUCAUGUAUGAGAAUGACAUGAAUAGGUGCGAUGCAGGCUUUAAAACAAGAACAACACACCAAACAAACAACUCGGUCGGGUUGCACACACCAACGAGGUACCUGCAACUAUCGAUACUAUCGGUACAUACACGGCAUCUCAUACAACACAUGAAUAUCAUCGGUCGCAACCUACGGAUCUACGCCGAAGAACGGUCGGUUCACGGACGGUCGCUCGUUAUACCUUGGACUCGUUGCGACGUCGCGAUGUAGAGGAAGUAGUCGACGUAGUCGAGGUAGUCGUACACAUAGUCGUCGUAGUCGAAGUAGCUGUUCACGUAAGCGAUGUAGUCGUCGCGGCGAAGUAGUCGUUCACGGGACCGGCUCGAAGGUUCAAGGCGAUGUUGGUCUCCACGGUGCCGAUGAGGUGUGGCAGCAACACGUGCAGUAGCGAGGCAUCUUGACGCGGAGCAACUACAACACAGCAGGAGGCGCUGACCAGCAGAGCCCACACGUCAAGAUUUCAACUAUUUCAGGAAAAGAAGAAAAAGGAAAAGAGGGCACGGGCUUGGGCUUGGAUCUGGCUUGGGCUUGGGCGAGCCGGGCUUGCUCGGGCCUUCGGGCUGGAGGCAGAGGAGGCUGGUGGGGAGUGCUGUAGGCGGGCGGCGUGCGUGGAGGCGGUCGCCGGCGGCUCACAGCAGGCGAGGGAGGCCGUCGGCGCGAGGCCACGGCAGGCGGGCGUCGCGGCUAGGAACAGAGGCCGGGAGGAGGUGGUCGUGGGCACGCGUGGUGGAGGGCGGAGCAGGAAGAGAGGGCGGCCAGGCGGAGGCGUGCGGAGAGCGAGGGACGCCCGGGGAGAGGAGGGCGCGCGGGGCGGACGCGGGAGGAGGCGGCUCCGGCGCAGAGGGAGAAGGGCGCGCGGGCGAGCGCGGGGCAGAGAGGCGGAGCAGGGGAGGCGCGCGCGAGGAGAGGCGGAGCGGCGCCGCGGCGAGGGGGCUUGGUGGCGCGGCAGGCAUGGGACAGAGGAGGCGCUCGGGCGGGGGAGAAGGCCGCGGGGAAGGGAGCUCGCCCAGGGAGAGAGAGAGAGAGAGAGGGGGGGGGGGGGGCGGCCAUGGAGAUGGAGCAGUGGCAGAGAGGGAGGCGCCUGGGUGAAUGAAGAAGAAGGGGAGAAGGCUGGCGGCGGCUGAGGAAAAGAAAUAAAGAGAAAGAAAAAGAAAGAAGGGAUUAGGAUAGCUUUAUAGGUUAGAAAAACCUAGGGUUUGGUUUAGUGGGCUUUUGGGUCAACAAAAGUCUCAAACAAAAAUACGGGUUUUACCAAUUUAUAUUUUCGUGAUAAAUUAAGAGACGAGAGGCUAGGUCUAAUUAAUUCCGGAAGUAAUUUGUCAAAUCAAAAUAGAAUUUCUACAAAAAUAGUUUUAGGCUUUCGCGAACACGCGAAAAGGCAAGCACAUUAAAGACAGCUUCGUGCAAUGAAUAUGGUUUCAUGUGACAUGAUGCUAAUGACAUGGCAAAACAAUUAUGAUGACAUGAGCAUGACAGAUGAUGACAACAAUUAAAUUACAAAACAAUCCAAAAGGGCUUAAAGGAAAAGGGUUGCUCUCGGGCUGUUACACGGUACGCCUAGGGUUAGGGUUAGACCGCGUUUUGGCUAUUUUCGAGACUUUGUUGAACUGCGAGAAUCAUUCAUCUGGAAUCCUAUACACCAUAUUCGUUUUGAUAAGGUGUUUUUAUCUACUGAAAUUUCGAGUAUAAUCUCUCGUUCUGCUGGGAAUUGGAAGAUUGCGAAACCACUUGUGGUUGGCGGACUACUGCGCAAGUGUGUGGUGUUGCGAAUUUCCAUUGGGUUGCAAGUUCGUCGUGCGGUGACGGGUGAACAGCUAGAAGAUUUGUAGAAUCAUACAAGUUAUCCGCGUUGCUCUCUGAGAAGAUCGGGCCACCCCUUAUCAACGUUCCGAAUUAACUGACGUGUAUUUGUAUAGAUAUACAAAUCAGUUAAUUCAGGAUGGAUGAAAUAUAAGACAUGCAGAAAAACAGACAAACAUCGCUUGUACUCCAUAUCUGAUUGUUAUUAAAUGCUAUUUAUACCGGAAAAAACAUUACAGAUCAUCACUUUACAAUAUUGGAAAUCAAAAGGUGCAAUAUGUGUUCUCUCCUUCCUACCGCAAGGUCAUGUCCUUUAUUUAUUGUCAAGGGAUGAAAUCUCGUUGCCUCGAUAUGAUACGUACUCGUACGUGAUUUGUUUAGACGUGGGGAGAAUCUCAGGAUGCGACUAACACAUACAUUUACGCAGGUCUAAACCACCUCGGAUUGGGUACCAACUCUACUCAUGUCUUGUUGAGAUUAUCGGACACUUAAAGUACAAUAGUGUUUACGAUUGGGGUAUUUGGCGACUCAGCGGGUUAGGAUUAUGUGUGUAUGGUAGGCUCUUGCAAUCUCUUGAUUACUCUCCCUUCUCGCGGGCAUCUGGCCAUCCUUUUAUAGUCGCAGUAUGGCGGUUGCUCCUCUGUAUUAUGGUAGAAUUUCAUGUUGCGUCGAGCAGGUCUCCUAAUACAAUACGAAUGAUGCAGUGUAGUCGAGUGUGGCAGGUGCCAAGCCUCCAAGGUAUCCACAUGUACAUGGAGAAACUUCGUGCGACCGAUUGCGAAAUCCGAUGGCACAUCUUGGGCGCAAGAAUGAUGACAUCUGUGUCAUAUUGUCUUCUAUAACCCUUCACGAGUUGAUCUACUCUACUUAACAUCCCAAAAUAUGCUCAACACUUGAGGCUCUUGAGGACUCUAUACACAAAGAUCACUUAGAUCCAAUCAUUGUGGAUUCCUUACUCAUAAGGCUAUGACCCUAUACGUCAUGAUCACUUGGAUACGACUUAAAGUCAGUCCGAGUUCUCACAUGUGGCUUUGAGUACACUACUCGCUCCAAGUGUUCUCAAAUUCAAGCUGAUAGCUGGUAGCGGCUCCUAGAACACGCCAACUCUCAAGUGCUCGCAAAUUUGUGAUGACAAAUCAUACAACGUGGUAAAUGCAACACUACUUUUGUCAUGCUAUAUGUGUUGUUGGGUUAAAUUAGACGAAUACUUGUAAUCCGUGUUGGAAGCUUGACCUCUCGCGUCAAACAUGUGAUGCAUAUUUUUGAAACCUGAUUAAUUGAUAAUCAAAUAUGCAUGGACUUGCUUUGUGAAUCUUAUCACUUGAGAGACCCAAAGUUAUCUAUCCAAGUCGGGGGAGGGGGGCAAAUCCUAUUUUGACAUGUUGGACGGGAUAUCCAAAAAUUACCUAUUAUGGGGGAGCAUUUGAUAGCUCAUAAGUAUGCUGAUUCAUGUCUCGAGAACAUGUGAAGAUCUCAAGCCUAGGACAUAGCAUAUACACCUUGCUCCAGACUAACAAAUGACAAACAUAUUGUUGCGUCUCAAAGUUCUUUCUAACUCAGUGAUAUCCGUGCAUGAGUAUUAGCAUCGUCUACGUCCAUGACUUGUGAAGUAUAAUCAUCAAACCAAAUCGUAUACUACUGAUAUAAGGAUAUUUGUCCCAUUAACCUGAUCAUCUAGAGACCAUUAGAACAAUCUUCAUCAAUAUAUGGCCUCACAAAAACAAAUCACGUAUUGGUUGAUACGUAUGAAUGAUGGUGUUCCAAGAUAACAUGCAUAACACAUGAUUACAUAGAAAAUACCAGCAUCACAUGAGUGUCUAUAAAGCAUAUCUCCAACAAUGGUUGUGGUUCAAGUAACACGAGCAGCCCAAACCAAUAAGCAGAGAAACAAUUUCGAGUGUUGACCAGAAAGUAUCAAGUGAGCAAAGUUGCAUGAUCAAAAGUGCAGGCACAAGGUGGAACAAUGGGAUGUUGCAUGGAUAAUAUCGAAUAUAUAAUGGUGGAGAAAUAGUAAGUAAGAUAAAUCUAGCUCCAUUCCAAAGAUAAUGUAGGCAUGUGUUUCCAAAUCAUCCGGUCGUCAAAAAAGAACUCAAUACUCCUGCUAUCCUACCUUCGUAUUUCACCGCGGCCAUUAAAAAAAUGAGUCAUUAAGGUUGUGGAAGAUCUCGAGAUAGUCCGGAAGAGGAGAGAGAAAUUGAGAGAAGAAAAAAUCACUCGUAAUCGGGAGUGGAAAAUCUAGCUUCACGGCACGGGUAGCACACCUUCGUGCAAAUAGUUACGAGCCAUUAGUGGAGCUAUGGAGGCCCAUGCUGCAAGCUGGCUUGACCUCUUCGUGGAUCCAAUAGCUCUUGAUCAUUUGCGCGCAGGCCUCUGCUCUAGUUCUGUCCUUAGCAAUAAACACAACAAAUUAAGAGAAAUAAAGAAUAUGCUUAAGUUUCUUUUGGCGGUGAACGUGUGUUUGAGAGUCGCGGGAGGCGGGGAAGCGCGGGAAACUAAUCUUGUGCGCGCGAAGCUCACUGCCCAGGGUAUCGCGGGACCCACACAUUCGCUAAACUUGUCAGUGACCUCAUAACCCUUCGUGCCUCGUUAGGCUAGUCGUUCUCAUUUCCGCCUCUCUGCUUCUCCCCGGCCAAAUCUUUCCCCCUGAAAGGCCGAAACAAAUCCAGAACCAAUCGGCUUAUGAUUAUUUUGUCGCACUGAUGGGAAUCCCCAAUCUUCUCCGCUUCAUGAAGCCAUUCAUCGAGCCCGUGCACAUCAAGAAGUACACCGGCCAACGGGUAAAUAGAUCCCCCAAUAUUUCACCUUGCACUCGCACUUUUCUGUUACAAUUUCAUCCAUCUAUCGGAUUUAUCGCUGCUUGUUCUUUGCGUCGGCAGGUCGGUAUCGAUGCCUACACUUGGCUACACAAAGGAGCCUAUUCUUGCAGCAUGGAGCUGUGCUUGGACCCUAAGAGCGGCGGUGCCAGGCGCUACAUCAGCUAUUUCAUGCACCAUAUCAACCUCCUGCGGCAUCAUAAGGUUGUGCCCGUCGUCGUCUUUGACGGGUGCAGCAUGCCCUGCAAGUCAGCCACGGAUAAAGACAGGCACAAGUAUGCCUAUUCGAACUGUCAUACCAUCUGCUUGAGAAAUGCAGUUCCUUUUUUUUCAUCUGUUAGCUAACUUAGUGUGAUCAGUUGAGAUUGUAUGAUUUGUUAGCAUGGGAGGUAUUUUAAUUGUUGCAACACUAGCAUUGUGCGUUAACUCCUUGCACAGCUUUGUUUUAAGGUCACAAUGGAGUUGGUUAAUCUCUCUAAAAAAACAAUGGAGUUGGUUGGUCAUCAGAUUGGAAACAUGUAUGGAACCAAUAGGAAUCGAACUUCUAUUGGCGUCAGGAACAGUCCCUUUCAGUAGUUAACUUUCAGUCUUAAUGUUUAGAUAGUACUCCCUCUGUUGGUUGGAUUGUCCGUUCUAGUGAGAGGCCAUGGCUAGCGAGUCCCUACAAGUGGUCUAGACUUGUUUUGCUUUGAUGAGUAGGUUUGUUUGGUGUGCUCAUCUUAUAACGCCUAACGAACCCGUUCUGGAUCAAAGUUUAGCACCGACUCCGAUUUGGCGGAAUUUUCCGUCCUAGUGAGGGAACAUGCCUAGCGAGUCCCUACAAGUGGUGUAGUCUUGUUUCGCUUUGAUGAGUAGCUUUGUUUGGUGGGCUCAUCCCAGUACCUCCAAUGGACACGUUCUGCAUCAAAGUUUAGCACCGACUCCGAUUUGGCUGAAUUUUCCGUCCAAGUGAGGGAACAUGCCUAGCGAGUCCCUAUAAGUGGUCUAGUCUUUUUUCGCUUCGACGAGUAGCUUUGUUUGGUGGGCUCAUCCUCGUACCUAAAAUGGACACGUUCGGGAUCAAAGUUUAGCACAGACUCCGAUUUGGCUGAACUGUCCGUCCUAUUGAGGGACCAAGCCUAGCGAGUCCCUACAAGUGGUCUAGUCUUGUUUCGCUUCCAUGAGUAGCGUUGUUUGGUGUGCUCAUCCUAGUACCUCAAAUGGACAUGUUCCGGAUCAAAGUUUAGCACCGACACCGAUUUGGCCGACUUGUCCGUCCUAGUGAGGGACCAUGCCUAGCGAGUUCAUACAAGUGGUCUAGUCUUGUUUCGCUUUGAUGAGUAGCUUUGUUUGGUGUGCUCAUCCUAAUACCUUAAAUGGACACGUUCCGGAUCAAAGUUUAGCACCGACUCCGAUUUGGCUGGAUUGUCCGUUCUAGUGAGAGGCCAUGGCUAGCAAGUCCUUACAAGUGGUCUAGACUUGUUUCACUUUGAGGAGUAGCUUUGUUUGGUGUGCUCAUCUUGAUAUGGGUGUGGGUGGCCCGAUCUUUCGAUGAGAUUGAUAACUCUCGAUUUGGGUAGGAGGCGACGUUGACAAUCCGACUACGGCCUAGGAGGCAGCGCCUUAGCAAUCGAUACACCAACUCCAGAGGGUUAUUGAUCAUGUGGGUGCACGAUCAACCUGACCACGAAGGUUUUUGUUCCUGCAAGCAAUCGAAGACCAAGCAAGAACAAGAUAAAUAGCGGAUGCAAUCUCAAAUUGCGAAUAUACUAUAUCAAACCAAUGUCUCGACGAGACGAUAAGUUGGAGUCUUGACGACGGUAAAACAGGUGGUCUAACCGACACACGCGAUUACACGAUAGUAGCAAAGAUGACUAAACUUUAUCUAAUCAAAACCCAAGGCUCCUUAGGGGAGCUCAUGGGUAUAUAAAGGAGGAGGGAGAGAUAUUUUCGUGCACCUUGAGUAAGGAGGCCGAAAUCCAACUCUAUCUCUAACUUUCCUAACAAACUACAACUCUUUAGGAAACAGAAAAACAGAUCCGUCAUCUUGUUUUGUCCGCCACGGUCAGCACGAGUCGAAUCUCUUGAUGGGGCCAGAUCCGUUGGAAAGAUCUUGUUUUGCUUGAUUUGGACUCGGGAUGCGGCCUGGGUGAUUAAAACAAAUUCGGGUCUCCUGACAGCUCGGACCCGAAUCGGAUUCAAUUUUAGUUCAUAAUAUCUUUCUCUAGCAAGCUCCGAAUCAUGUGGCGUUUGAUUUGUUUGAAAGUAGACUUGAUAGGCUUCACUUUGAAUCUCCCUUUGCAGGCUAUCACACUUCAUCUUCACUUUGGACUUGUAAAGUUCAAUAAGAUGCCUACAUAAUAAGAUUACACAAGAUAGUAGCUCCGCCUCUUUGCAAGUAACAUAUUGGAAACAUUUUGUAAUUGAAUUCACCUGGUUAUAAUUGUUAUUAGAUACACCAACAAUUAGUGUUCUAAUUAUCGUAUCCAUGGUCACCAUGGAUACGACCAUUAAUAUGAUAUGGACCAUGCCUAGCGAGUCCGAUUUGGCCGAAUUGUCUGUCCUAAUGAGGGACCAUGCCUAGCGAGUCCCAACAAGUGGUCUAGUCCUUUUUCGCUUUGAUGAGUAGCUUUCGUUUGGGGUGCUCAUCUAGUAACGCCAAACGGACCCAUUUCGGAUCAAAGUUUAGCACCAAGUCCGAUUUGGCCGAAUUGUCCAUCCUAGUGAGGAACCAUGCCUAGCGAGUUCCUACAAGUGGUCUAUUCUUGUUUUGCUUCCAUGAAUAACUUUGUUUGGUGUGCUCAUCCUAGUACCUCAAAUGGACAUGUUCCGGAUCAAAGUGUAGUAUCGACUUUGAUUUGGCUGGAUUGUCCGUUCUAGUGAGAGGCCAUGGCUAGUGAGUCCCUACAAGUGGUCUAGUAUUGUUUCGGUAAGACGAGUAGCUUUUGUUUGGUGUGCUCAUCUUAGAACGCCAAACGGACCCAUUCCGGAUCAAAGUUUAGCACCGACUGCGAUUUGGCUGCAUUGUCCGUCCUUGUGAGGGAACAUGCCUAGCGAGUCCCUACAAGUGGUCUAGUCUUGUUUCGCUUCGAUGAGUAGCUUUGUUUGGUGGGCUCAUCCUUGUACCUCAAAUGGACACGUUCUGGAUCAAAGUUUAGCACCGACUCCGAUUUGGCCGUAUUAUCCGCCCCAGUGAGGGACCAUGCCUAGCGAGUCCCUACAAGUGGUCUAGUCUUGUUUCGCUUCGAUGAGUAGCUUUGUUUGGUGGGCUCAUCCUAGUACCUCAAAUGAACACGUUCUGGAUCAAAGUUUAGCACCGAAUCCGAUUUGGCCGCAUUGUCCGCCCCAGUGAGGAACCAUGCCUAGCGAGUCUCUACAAGUGGUCUAGUCAUGUAUUGCUUCGAUGAGUAGCUUUGUUUGGUGGGCUCAUCCUAAUACCUCAAAUAGACAAGUUCUGGAUAAAAGUUUAGCACAGACUCCGAUUUGGCCGAACUGUCCGUCCUACUGAGGGACCAAGCCUAGCGAGUCCGUACAAGUGGUCUAGUCUUGUUUCGCUUCGAUGAGGAGGUUUGUUUGGUGUGCUCAUCCUAGUACCUCAAAUGGACACUUCCGGAACAAAGUUUAGCACCGACUCCGAUUUGGCCGCAUUGUCCGUCCUAGUGAGGGACCAUCCCUAGUGAGUUCCUAGUAGUGGUCUAGUCUUGUUUUCGCUUCGAUGAGUAGCUUUAUAUGGUGUGGUCAUCCUAGUACAUCAAACGGGCAAGUUCCCGAUAAAAGUUUAGCACCGACACCGAUUUUGCCGCAUUGUCCGUCCUAGUGAGGGACCAUGCCUAGCGAGUCCGUACAAGUGGUCCUAUCUUGUUUCGUUUCGAUGAGUAGCUUUGUUUGGUGCGCUCGUCCUACUACCUCAAAUGGACACGUUCUGGAUCAAAGUUUAGCACGGACUCCGAUUUGGCCGAACUGUCCGUCCUACUGAGGGACCAUGACUAGCGAGUCCGUACUAGUGGUCUAGUUUUUUUCGCUUAGAUGAGUAGUUUUGUUUGGUGUUCUCAUCCUAAUACCUCAAAUGGACACGUUCCGGAUCAAAGUUUAGCACCAACUCCAAUUUGGCCGCAUUGUCCGUCCCAGUGAGGAACCAUGCCUAGCGAGUCCCUACAAGUGGUCUAGACUUGUUUUGCUUUGAUGAGUAGGUUUGUUUGGUGUACUCAUCUUAUAACGCCUAACGGACCCGUUCAGGAUCAAAGUUUAGCACCGACUCCGAUUUGGCGGAAUUUUCCGUCCUAGUGAGGGAACAUGCCUAGCGAGUCCCUACAAGUGGUGUAGUCUUGUUUCGCUUCGAUGAGUAGCUUUGUUUGGUGGGGUCAUCCCCGUACCUCCAAUGGACACGUUCUGCAUCAAAGUUUAGCACCGACUCUGAUUUGGCUGAAUUUUCCGUAAGUGAGGGAACAUGCCUAGCGAGUCCCUAUAAGUGGUCUAGUCUUUUUUUGCUUCGACGAGUAGCUUUGUUUGGUGGGCUCAUCCUAGUACCUAAAAUGGACACGUUCGGGAUCAAAGUUUAGCACAGACUCCGAUUUGGCUGAACUGUCCGUCCUAUUGAGGGACCAAGCCUAGCGAGUCCCUACAAGUGGUCUAGUCUUGUUUCGCUUCCAUGAGUAGCGUUGUUUGGUGUGCUCAUCCUAGUACCUCAAAUGGACAUGUUCCGGAUCAAAGUUUAGCACCGACACCGAUUUGGCCGACCUGUCCGUCCUAGUGAGGGACCAUGCCUAGCGAGUUUCUACAAGUGGUCUAGUCUUUUUUCGCUUCGAUGAGUAGCUUUGUUUGGUGUGCUCAUCCUAAUACCUUAAAUGGACACGUUCCGGAUCAAAGUUUCGACUCGUGCUGACCGUGGCGGACAAAACAAGCGGACGGAUCUGUUUUUCUGUUUCCUAAAGAGUUGUAGUUUGUUAGGAAAGUUAGAGAUAGAGUUGGAUUUCGACCUCCUUACUCAAGGUGGACGAAAAUAUCUCUCCCUCCUCCUUUAUAUACCCCAUGAGCCCCCCUAAGGAGCCUUGGGUUUUGAUUAGAUAAAGUUUAGCCAUCUUUGCUACUUUCGUGUAAUCGCGUGUGUCGGUUAGACCACCUGUUUUACCGUCGUCAAGACUCCAACUUAUCGUCUCGUUGAGACAUUGGUUUGAUAUAGUAUACUCGCAAUUUUAGAUUGCAUCCGCUAUUUAUCUUAUUCUUGCUUGUUCUUCCAUUGCUUGCAGGAACAAAGACCUUCGUGGUCAGGUUGAUAGUGCCCCCGCGUGAUCAAUAACUCUCUGGAGUUGGUGUAUCGAUUGCUAAGGCGCUGCCUCCUAGGCCGUAGUCGGAUCGUCAACGUCACCUCCUACCCAAAUCGAGAGUUACCAAUCUCAUCGAAAAUCGGGCCACCCCGCACCCACAUCAGGAGGGGGCCCAGCGGGCAGAGCAACAGCGCCACGUGACCGCGUGACGGGCGUCGAGUGCGCAGUCUCGGCAGGACGAGGAGUGAAGCGCACGGCGCAUUUAAUGAGCCGACAGGAGGGAAGUUACCCGUCUAGUCGGGUAAACAGUGACUGUCCAGGGCUAGUUCGUAGGCCUUAGGCCCUUAGCUGAGGAGUUGGCACUCAUGCAUGCCACCAGCGCACCGAGGGGGAGUUGCCAUGUCUCCCUGCUCGCCACUUGUAAUGCAUGCACCGUGUCACCUGUGGUAUCCCCUUGGUUAUAAAAGGAGGAUUCCCGCCAACGGUCAAAGGGUUUCACAUUUUUCUACGGUUCGACGAUCACACGGUUGGACGGACUCAUAGUUCGCCACUAGCAGUAUCCUGAAGUAGCCAAGAGCACUUAGGCAAAAAAAGGCACUCGGGGACUCUCCCCCCGGCAACGUUUAAACCUUUGAUUUACAGUCAAUACCAGUUCAGACAAGCAGGACGUAGGGUUUUACACCUCCUGGUGGCCCGAACCUGGGUAAAAAACGUGCGUGCAUGUGUCAUUAGCCUGCGUGUAUUCUGGGUACAUCACUUCGCAGGUUACGUGCGCCAUCGGCCUCGCCGGCGAUCGCCGGAGCGAUCCCUGACGCCCCUGCUGAACCUAAAAAGGGGGCGUGGCCGCACGCCCCCGGUGUCGGAGCCCCGUGCGACGACAUCUGGCGCGCCAGGUAGGGGGCGCGAGAGAAGAGCUCGCCGGUGACCGCCGGCAGCAGUGUUUGCAUCAACGUCGGCCUCGUCUUCUUCGCCGACGGGACCGGCUACCAUGCCCCGCAAGCGGGCUGGUGACCCUCGGAUAGCCACGCGUGAGGCCCCAACGGCACACACGCGGUCGUCAGUGCCACCCGCGUCGGGGGCUCAGGAGGACCCAGAGCCCUUGCGAGUGCAGCAGUCGUAGCUGCCUCCUCCGCCCCCUCGGCCGUUGGCAGAUAACCGGCUGAGGGAACCGGCGGCUCCUAGCGCCGGGGCCAGCCGGGCGAGCGGGCAUGGUGCCGCCCGCGCUGGCCAGCGAGUCGAGUCGCGGGCUGAUGACACGCAGCGACAGCGGCACCAUGAGCAUACCACGUCAGGAGCGACGCCCGAGGGCUCACACCCCGCGCACUUGGAGGCGUCCGGGGCCAUAGUGGACCGCAGCCGCUCGGGAAAUCGGCUGCCCCCCGCACGAACCCCGGCGAAAGCCAUCAUCGCCGCGCGGGUCAUGGUGCGGUAUGAACCGCAGCAAGGCAUGCCGACGCACGAGACGUGGGGCGAGGAGUUGGACGCGCUCCUCGCUCUGGCCGCCCAGCAGCCGCAAGGCGAGGGUGUCCCGAUAGGCUCCAGCCACGGGCAGAACCCAGAGCGCGGAGACGCGCCCCCCGCCUCACGACAGGGGGAGAACCCUCCCCCGCAGGGAGGCCAGGGAAACGGGGACCCGGAGGGGUCCUCGGACUCGUCACCCACUGUCACGCGGGGCGACGCGCGCGGCAUUCUAAAUGCCCGGCAGCAAGAGGAUCUGCGCCAGCGCCUGGAGCGCCGCCGUCGGCGCAAGGUAGAGCGCUCGCGCCCGGAGGAGCAGGAGGAUGCUCCUAUGGGCCCCGAGGACGGUUGCGCCGCGUUCACGCGCGAGCUGCGCCGGGUGACGUGGCCCCGCAAGUUCCGAGCGCCAGCGCUCGGCGCAUACGACAGGACCGUGAAUCCCAAGGAUUUCCUCUUGACCAACACGUUGGGGAUGCAUGCCAUCGGCGCUGACGACAAGGUCAGGGCCAACUGGUUCCCAAUGGUUCUGAAAGGAUCAGCGAGAACCUGGCUGCUCCACCUGCCCGCCGGGUCCAUCGCCACUUGGCGGACCUGCGCGAACAGUUUGUGAGCGCGUUCCAGGGCGGCUACAAGCGCCCAGGAACCAUGGCGGAACUGCACACCAUCGUGCAGAAGCUGAGAGAGACGUUGUGGAGCUUGAUCAACCGCUUCUCCAUCCUCUCCUACUCUAUCCCGGGGGCGGAGGCAGCCGCCAUCGUCAACGCCUUCGCCAUCAACGUCCGCGACCCCAAAAUGCGCGAGAAGCUGAGCACGCAUCGGAUCUGGACGACGCAGGAUCUAUACACCCUGGCGCACAAGUGUGCCAUGGCUGAGGAAGGGCGCUCAGAGCCCCGGCGAGGGUUCACAAAAGAAGGGUUCCCGCAAGCACAGCGGAAAGUAGGUUCUCGCUGCAGACUCGGGGGCUCCUGUCGCGAGGCCUGCAAAGAAGGCCUCACUGGGUGGUGGGUCUGGCGGCAAGCAGGGUGAUGCGCCCCGCUGCCCCAUCCACAACAACUCCACCCACGACGCGCAGGACUGUCGCAUCCUACAGGGGAUCAGGCAACGCCAUGAGGAGCGCCGCGCUGCUGGCGCUUGCUUCAACUGCGGCGACAUCGGGCAUCACUCCUGAGAUUGCCCGAACGAUCCCAGAGCAGGGCCGAGGCAUGCCGGUGGCGCUGCCGACAGAGACGAACCCCAGGGGGGACGCAACAGGGCUCGCGCUGAGGAGCAGCACGAGUCCGACUGCACUGGUGGCGACGAGCUGGGCUUCCAGGAGCCUCGCGGCGUCGCCUGUAUCCAUAGGGGAGCCUAUGCUCUCCCAUCCCAUGCCACGGUGAAGCGCCUCACCCGCGACAUGUGCGUGCUGUUGCCGGACACGGAGCCGCAACAGACGCUGAGGUGGUCACAUGUGCCGAGCACCUUCAGCGCGGAUGAUCACCCAGCGCGGUAGCUGGGUUCAGGGGUAAUACCCUUCGUUGUUUCACUGAUCAUCAGCAAUAUGACGGUGACCAAGGUACUGGUGGACAACGGAGCAGGGCUUAACCUCCUGUCCGCCAGGCUGGUGGAGAAACUCCAGCUGCCAGUGGAGCAGCUGAAGCCCACCGACCCGUUCCGGGGGGUAAACCCCGGGAUCGUGCGCCCACUAGGGCGCAUCACGCUGCCGGUAACCUUCGGGUCCCGAGAAGCGUUCAGUACCGAGCACAUAGUGUUCGACGUGGCACACACCCCGUUGCCUUACAACGGGAUCCUUGGUCGGCCAGCGCUGAUCAAGUUCAUGGCGGCUACGCAUUGCGCCUAUGGCGUGAUGAAGAUGCCGUCCGUAUAUGGAGUUCUCUCCAUCAGGUGCGACCUCAAGGACGCGGCCUGGUGCGUUGGCGAGGUCGUUAGGGCCGCCGCCGCGGCUGACACCGGCGACGAAGACGUUGCCAGAGACGACAGCUCGCCGGGCGAUGCCCCGGCAAUGAAGAAGGCCAGCGCUACCCCGCAAGAGCUUGCCGGGGGAAGCGCAGGCUCGAGCUCGUGCCCCGGCAAGGGACAGAAGCUCCGGGAGGAGGCCGCCAAGGUGAAGAAGCUGCUCCUCCAAGCCGGCAACAUGGAACGCACCGUCACCGUCGGUGCGAACCUUCCUCCGGGAUAACGCCAACGUGUUCGCUUGGGAACCGUCGGAUCUUCCCGGAGUCCCCAGGGAGGUGAUUGAGCAUUGGCUCGCAGUGCACCCGGACGCGCGCCCCGUCAAGGAGAAGAUUCGGCGGCAAGCAGAUGAGCGUAAAGAUUUCAUCAAGCAGGAGGUGGUCAGCUCAGUGCUGGUUGCCGAGAGGGACGAAGAUGUUCCAGGGACUGAGGCUGUGGGGCAGGGGGCGGAGCGGCCCCCAGCAGCCGCCUCAGACCCAGGGACCACCCCCGAGCCGGCAGCUCCUGCACCGCGUAAGCGAAUAGUGCAGCACUCGGUGUACUUCGUCAGCACGGUGAUGCGCGACGCGCGCACGAGGUACCCGCAAGUGCAAAAGCUCCUCUUGGGGAUUCUUCUUGCGUCCCGCAAGCUGCGCCAUUACUUCUAGGCGCACCGCAUCACGGUGGUGUCGGGGUUUUGUGUCGAGCGAGCCCUCACCAACCGCGAAGCCACCGGGAGGGUGGCCGAAUGGAGGAUGGAGUUGUCGGAGUUUGACCUCCACUUCACCAACUCCAAGAGCAUCAAGAGUACGGCCUUGGUGGACUUCGUCGCUGAGUGGACGUCGACGAGCGUGAGAGAGGAUGAGCCGGAGACCAGCCUACCCGGCAAGCUGGACGAGGACCAUCGGGUCCUCUACUUCGACGGCGCGUUCAGCCUCCAAGGAGCUGGCGCCGGGGUCGUCAUCGAGUCACCGACAGGGGAUCAGCUGAGGUUUGUUGUCCAGCUCGAUUUCCCGAACUCCACCAACAACACGGCGGAGUACCAGGGUUUGCUCGCCGGGUUACGGGCAGCGAUCGCCCUCGACAUCAAGCGCCUGGUUGUUCGUGGGGGCUCUCAGCUCGUGAUCAACCAGGUGAACAAGGACUACGACUGCCCACAGAUGGCGCCGUACAUGGAGGAAGUCCGCAGGCUGGAACGUAAGUUCAAAGGUUUGCGAUUCGAGCACGUCAAGCGAAAGGAUAACUUCGCUGCUGACGAGAUAGCCAAGAUGGCAGCGGAGCGCCGGAAGCCUCCGACGGGAGUGUUCUGCCAGAAGCAGGCGGUUCCUUCAGUCGCCCCCGAGCCUACUGCCGGGGACGCCCCUCCAGCAACCGAAGGAACGCCUGCAACAGCAGGGGUCCAUGCCGCUGACAUAGCGGCAUGCGUUGGCAAGGAGACCCCUCCCUGGGCGGUGGAAAUCGCCUGCUACUUGAAGGAGGAGGCUCUCCCGGAAGAUGACGUUGCCGCAGAGCGAGUAGCGCGGCAAGCAAAAAUGUACACUGUGGUGGAUGGAAACCUCUAUCGCAGACGUGCAAACGGGGCAAGCUCAUAUGCGUGCCGCAAGACGAAGGGCGUGAGCUGCUGGAGGAGAUACACCGAGGCACAUGCUCACACCAUGUGGUCUCUCGGGGUUUAGCUGGCAAGGCGUUUCGGCACGGUUUCUACUGGCCCUCGGCCCUGGCCGACGCGGAGCGGCUGGUGAAGACGUGCGAAGCAUGCCAGUUCCACUCGAAGAAGAGCAACCAGCCAGCGCAGGCCCUACACGUCAUCCCUUCCUCGUGGCCGUUCGCAGUCUGGGGGCUCGAUAUCGUCGGCAAGCUACCGAGGGCAGUUGGUGGUUACGAAUAUUUGUUCGUGGCUGUCGACAAGUUUUCCAAGUGGGUGGAAGUGGAACCAGUGCGGAAGGUGACCGCCCAGGUGGCCAUCAAGUUUUUCAAGAGCAUUGUGUGCCGGUUUGGUGUGCCUAACGGCAUCAUCACCGACAACGGCACGCAAUUCACGAGCGCAGUGUUCCAGGCCUACUGUGAGGGCAUGGGCACCAAGUUGCACUUCGCGUCCGUUGCUCAUCCGAGAAGUAACAGGCAGGCGGAGCGAGCCAACGCAGAAGUGCUGCGGGGACUCAAGACGAGAACCUUUGACAAGCUCAAAGGCCACGAGAAACACUGGGUUGAAGAACUCCAGCCCGUGUUGUGGUCAAUCAGGACCACACCUAGUCGGGCAACGAGCGAAACUCCUUUCGCCCUUGUCUACGGGGUAGAAGCGGUGCUGCCCCUCGAGCUCAAGCAGGGAUCUCCCCGAGUACGCGCGUACGGCAACACCAGCCAACACGAGCAAAGGGUCGACGAUCUAAACUUCAUCGAAGAGCUUCGAUGCCGGGUUGCUGUGCGAGCCACGCGCUAUCAGCAAGGACUAACUCGUUAUCACGACAAGCAAGUCCAUUCCCGGGGACUCGAGAACGGAGACCUUGUCCUGCGCCGGAUACAAGGAACGAAGGCCGGGAACAAGUUGACUCCGAAAUGGGAGGGGCCCUUCCGGGUAGUGCAGGUGACCAGACCGGGGGCUGUCCGGCUGGAAACCGAAGACGGCUUGCCGGUGCCAAAUAGCUGGAAUAUUGAGCACUUGCGCAAGUUCUACCCGUGAAGCGGCGGAGCCCAACCCUCGGGGGAUGCCGCCGAUGCAUACCUCUCGAACUAGUGUAGCCGGGAAGGCCCCGUGUGUAAACCACUAGUUAUUGUGAAUAAAGAUAAGUGUUUCUUUCCUGAACUUCAAAGUUGCCUUGCUUAUUUGUGUGUUCCUCCCUUCUUCUGUCUUCUGCUUUUGGUGCACGAAAGUGUCUUUCCAUACUUGGUUGUGAGCAGGGGGCUGUUGGAGCCUCGAAAGCAAAAACCCCGUUGCCGGAUCACUCCGCCACGGGGCAUGCAGUCAUUGGGUUAACCGCGACGUGCAUCAGGGGACAUGCAGUUGCUGGGUUCCCCGCAACGUGCAUCACGGGACGUGUAGUUGCUGGGCUCCCCGCAACAUGCACCUCGGCUGGGAAAUGGAGUGCUCACAUCCAAGUUUGGCAUCAACCCUUCCGUGCCCGGGGGCUGGGAGGCAGGCGAUUACUCGUGUUGCUUUAUGUAUUUUCGUGAAUUUCGAAAAAAAAUUGCAGCACCUCGGGCCUGGUAAGUGUCUAAUCUGCAGGAAAAGGUGGAAUCUUACGCACUGUAAUACCCGUGGGCUGCCCACGGGUCGCGGCAUGUAGCAGUGCCUUGUGGUGCGGGACGACUGCAACAUGAGGGACUCACCGCACUCCGAGGCUCUCGACCCAGGAGGGGGCCGCCACGUGUGCCACAGCCACUUGGCAUGCAGGGUGGAGAAGACUACACCACAUUUCAAGGGGAGGGAUGCCACGGGUGCUGCACUGAUUCGUUGCGCGCGGUGGCAAGCCCUUCCCCCGCGCCUAUAAAAAGCGCGCUCCAGCCAUGGAACGGCUCAGAGCAGAGCCAAGAGAGGGGUUGUUAAGGCGGGCGGUGCCGCGGAGGCGUGAUGGUGGUGCAUAACAUCCGCGCCUGGCGCCGACGGGUGCACUGCCAUCGCGCCCUUGCCACAUCGCCCCAUCAAGCCCACUCCGAGGGGCGUCGCAGAGGCACGGUGGCGGUGCAUGCAGUCAGCGCUCCGUGCCGACAGGUGCACGGCCACCGUGCCCUUGCUGCGCCUCCUCUAGCGAGCGGCUCCUGGGCGAGGGCUGCCGUGGAGGCACUGUGGUGGUGCAUUCCAUCGGCGCCCGGCGCCGACGGGUGCACGAUCGCAGUGCCCCUGCCGCAUCCCUCCAGAGGACACCUCCGCAAGGAGCAGGGGAUGCCGCGGAGACACCAUGGUGGUGCAUGCCAUUGGCACCCCGCGCCGACGGGUGCACCACCAUAGUGUCCCUACCCCGUUUCCCUAAGAGAGGGCCACUAUAGGCGGGGGUCAUCGCGAGGACACUGUGAUGGCGCCGGGGCCGGCGUUUGCCGUCCGUUCCGGCCCAUCACCGCGUCCUUGCCACGGCCCUCGAGCAGUUUUGCUCCCAGGCAGCGAGGGCUGCUGCGGGAACAUCGUGGCGUCCUUGUUGCCCGCUUUCGGCGGUGGUGGCGAGGAAGCCACGAUGUCCCUGUUGCGGCCCUCAGAAGGGUUUUUCCCAAGCAGCGAGGGCUGCUGUGGGGACGCCGCGACGUCCUCGUCGCCCGCGGACAGCGGCGCUGCCAAGGAAGUCACGGCGUCCCUGCCGCACCCCUCGGAAAAGGCUCCUUCGAGGACGAGGGUUGCCGCGGCGUCCCCGCUGCUUCCCUUUAUCAGGCACUUUGCAGGGACGGCGAGCCAGGAGUGCACCUCCGGCGAACACUCCGGGCGCAAGACUGAACGAAAAGCUAAGUGCUGACACCUAAAUGGCAAACCCAAUAAGAACUAAACGUAAUUGAACGCUGCUUCGCCAGGUGUGGCCCCGGAACCUGCGCGUGGCUGGAGUGUUAGAAAGACGCUUGCGGGGGGAGUGCGCUCCCCGUGUGGCUUCCUGGGUCCGUCCCGAAAGGGCAUGGCUUGGAGUAGUUACCCCGCAAGUGGAGUGGCUCCCCCGCUACCGCUUGACCCCAGGUCGGCACUGCGGGUCCGUCCCGGGUCUGGUCAAGGGUGAGGUGCGUGAGUCCCCCGCAACACAAGGCGAAACACGCAAAGGCUAAAGGAGCCGCCCCGCGAGGCAGCCCUGGGAACAAGGGACAAGAAUUAAGCAAAUUAAAGAGCUUGAUUAACUAAGUGUUGAACGGUUACAUAAGCUAAUGGAAAAACAAUUGUUCAAACGGCGCCAAGCGCCACACUUGCAGGAAAAAGCGAACGAAAGAAGAUACAUCGGGAAGCGGCAAGGACUGGGAGCCACGGCAACUAGUUGCCGGCGUCUUCUGCCGGGCGCUCCAGGGACGGCUCGGGGUCAGGCUUCCGCUGCAUCCGCUCGACCACCUCGUCGACGAACCCGCGCACCGCCUGGGUGUGCAUGGGCUCAUCCUCGCUGUCCGACCAGGCGUCUAGCAGGGACUCGAAGGAAAACUCCGGGUCCCGGAGGUGUAUCCUCGAGAGGAUUGUCCCGGCAACCUCCCGGGCGCAGUUCGCGACCUUGUUGGCGCCGAACUGGGCGAUCCAGACGUCGAGAGCCCCAAGCUUCCCCACCAGGUCGGAGAAGAAGGGGAUCAAGGUGGAGACGUCUGUGCCGUCCACCGCCGCGCCCUGCAGCUCGAACCGGGGUAGCAAGUCGCGCAGCGCCUAGGCGAUCUUUAGCAACUUCUCGGUCUAUAUAUGCCGCUGCCCGAUCAGUGUGCCAUGGUGGAGCCGGGCAUCAUGCGUGGCCUUCUUGGCCUUGCGGAGGUUGUCCCCCAACGCCGCGAGCUCCGCGGUCUUUACCACGAUGUCGUCGCCAGCCUUGGCAAGCUCUUCCCGGACUGCGGCCAGCUCGGUUUCGAGCCUGCCCAUCCUGUCCUUGGCGGAGCCAAGCUGGAUCUCGUGCCGAGCUGCUGCUCCUACCGCGUCCUCGGUGGCCUUGAUCUGCACCGCCAGCUUGAUGUUAAGACCCUGAAUCUCGCCGCGAUAAUUGGCGAUCAGGUCACUCUUCUCGUCCAGCCGGGCCUGGGCUGCUGCGAGCACCCCGGCGUGCUCCUUCUUGGUCACCUCGAGGGUUGCCGCUAGCGAGUCCAGCUCCCCCUGAAGCUCCGAGCGCUGGGCCUCCAGCUGCCAGUGGAGUUCAGCCUCUGGGACGACCGGUUCCUCGGCGUCCUCCAGGGCUUGCCGGGCAAGACGCGCCUCCUCCCUGGCGAGGCGCGUCUCCUCUCGCAGCCGGGAGAGCUCUUGACGUUCCCUCUCCACGGCUUCCCGCACCUCGCCAAGUUGGCUCUUGGCAACGGCGUGGUGCUCCCUCACCUCGUUGAAAGAGGUGACGAAGCCUUGUUGUUCGUCCCUGAUGGCUUCCAGGAACUGGUGCCCCCGCUCAAAGAUGCUAGGAUCCCAGGUGAUGGGAUUCCAAGCCAGCCCGGCGAGGGUGCCGAGGUCGGAGUUAGGGGGGCAGCCGAGGACGACGAAGCCCCCGCUGCCAUUGUAGGGCUGUGCGGGGGGUCACCCGCUUGCUCCUGGGGAUCCUGUCGUCCUUCCCCGGCAGCUCCCCCUUCACCCGCGCCAGGGGACCCUGCGGCUGGAAAAGCCUUCCUGCCCCCGGCAGGAGCCGUUCCCUGCAGGGCUGUAGGCGAAUCCACGCCAACCGCAUCCGCAGCUGCUGGCGCGUCGCCAAGCACAGUCCCAGUGGUGACGGUGGCCACCAUUGCCGCUGUCGCUGGCACGGCAGGGCUUGGUGCGGGAGCCGGUGCCGGCUCCGCCGCCCCCGUGAUCUCAACGUUAGGGUCAAGAUCAACCACGGUAGUGCUCGCUCCGGGUGCGGGCGUGCUCGUGCCUACAGCAAUAAGGAGUGUGAGGAUCGACAAGGAAAAGAGCUAUCGGAAGCGGACAAGGGUGGCCGGGGCGGUUACCCUGCAAGGCAGAUGGACUUACGAGGGGGGCUUCCCCCGCCUCACCUGUGCCGGUGGGAGCCUCCGAGAGGCUUGCCGCGGGCGAGCUGCCGCUUGCUGAAAAAGCAAGUACGUUUGUAUGGUUAACUAACAACUGAAAAAUGCAGCAAAGGAGGAGCAAAGGAGCCGUACCAGUUGCCGGCCCCACCCCCGUUGGGGCUGGGUCGUCGGCGGGCGCGAUAACGGUGCCACUAGCCCCUGUGUCAGUCGGGUCAGCGGCGCCGCCGGCGUCCGCGCGAGCUCUCUUGUCCGGCAUGGCGGGCGGGGAGUCGCUCCUCCCCCUUUUGCUGGCACCCGCCGGCGAGUUGGACCUCGGGGGGUUGCGCCAGAGCGCGAAGCCCCGAAAGACCCCCCGAGCGGGCGGCACCUACUGGGUCACCGCAGCCCGGGGCGUCGCGGGAGUCGGGGGCGAAGCCGCCGCGGAGUCAGGGGCUGACGAUGGGGAGGCUGCCAACGCAUCCCCGGCAGUAGUCGCUGCCGAGGCCGUUGCUGGGUCGCUAAUGGUCCCCGCCAAGGCAUUGGCAGGUGCCAUCGGAGCAGCUGCCGCCGCGGUGCUGGCGGACCGCGGCGGCAGCUGCUAGGGCGGAUGUUACCGUUGUGGCUCCGGCGACCCCCACGGACGUGUGCGCUGCCGAGGUACCGGCAGGCGCCCCUGAGUGGACGCCGCCGCAGUGCUGGUGGCCGCCGCUGGGGCGGAUGUUGCCGCCGAGGCUCCGGCGACCCCUGCGGACGCGGUCGCCACCGAAGUACCGACAGGCGCCCCUAAAGCGGCGGCCGCCGCGGGGCUGGCGGCCGCUGUCGGGGCAGAUGCCGCCGCUGAGGAGAUAGCCGCGGCCGCGGCGUACGCCCUCGAUCUCCGAACGAUCAGGGGCGCAGUGUCGCUGUCCUCGUCGUCGUCGUCCACGGGGACGACUUCCGGGGACGCUGCAGCCUGGCCCGCCUCGUCAUCCAGGGACUGGAGGGAGGUCCAGCUGAUCUCUGAUUCGCCCCCGCUCUCCUCGAGCACCUGCUUCCCGUGAGGUGUUGGCAGGGGAGCGCGGGGGGUCCGGGUGGGGGUAUCGUCCAUCAACCCCCACUCAUUGCAGGGCGGGAAGGCGGCGACGAUGUCGUUGAGCGCCGCAACGCCGGCAUGGAGGGAAAAGACACCUGGUGGGAACCUCGUUGAUUGGAAGGUUUCGCCGGAGAUUCCCCUCACCCACGUCUUGAGGGUUUCCAAAUCCACGCCGUCCUGAUGGAGGCGCGUCCUGUCCCCGGGACCCGUGUACAUCCACGCGGGCCAGGAGCGCAGUUGAAGCGGCGCAAUGCGCCGGUUGAUGAAGGCAGGCGCCACAUCCACAUCGGUGAGCCCUGCUAGCCGCAGCGCCUUAAUUUUCUCCACGAUGGGGAGGAGAUCGGCGUCGCGGAUGAACUCUUGGGGGUCUUCCACUCGGACCCAGCACCAAUCGCCCCGCCACUCCUCCUCAAUCUUCUUCCCCAACUGGGUGAUGAACUCGGACUUCAUCUGGUCACGGGCGCGGAAUACCACCCCCGACGACAUUGCUUUCGUGUUGUCGAGCCGGGGGUAGAAAUAGUGGCGGAAGAGCGCCACCGACGGCAUCACCCCCACGAAUGCUUUGUAGAGGAAUUGGAAGGUGGCGAGAAGGAACAGCGAUGUGGGGUGGAGCUGCGCCACCUGCAGCUGGUACGACUCCAUCAGCGCGUGGAGGAACAGCGAGAAUGGCGGCAACAGCCCGGUGAGCAGGAAGCGCCCAAACACCCGAAAGUCAUUGUCCUAGUGCUCGGCGCCCGUCGGGAAGAUCAGGGUCUCCCCGUGCUCGUUGAACUUGGAGGCGACGGCAUGCCGGACCUUGUCCAGCGCCUCGCCAUUGUAGCCAGGCCGGUAGAAGGCGAGCGUGGCCCGCAUCUCCCGCUUCCUCCGGUCUUUGUCGGCGGCUGCCUUGGUCGCCACCUCGCUCCUGCUGACCGCCGCUCUCUUCGAGACCUGCGCCUCUUUUCCCUUCCUGGUGGUGGGGGGGCGCCAUGGGGAGCAGGGGUGGAAGCUAGCAAGAACACUUGGGUGCGAGAUGCGAAGGAGGGUGAAGGCGAAGGCUGUGGGAAGCAGAGUGUUUUCCCCUUUUGGCAACAGUAAGAGCUUUAUAGCGCCCGGCCGUUUGGUAACGGCCGGUUCCAUACCCUACGGGUGCGCGGGGAUAACUCCUAAUAAAAAGGGGUAAUGCAGGGAGUGGCCUUAACUUUCCUGUUUAAGGGGGAGGUUAGGGCGGAAAUCACGCGCCCACUACUCCGUCUGUAACGGCGUGGUGUUAGGGGCAGCAAAGGGAUGCGGGCCCGAGGCGGAUCGGGGCCCACGCGUCGGUUGUGGGCGUAGCCCGGCAACCGACCUGGGGGAAAGCUCGUCCGGGGACAGGUGAUGCCGGCCCACGCCCGGGGGCUACUGUCGCACCAGUGGCACUCGGGGUACCACCAUUGCGCGACGCGUGGGCUCCAUCUCCAAGUUCCCGGGAGGGUCUCAUCCCGGGCGGCAGCUACGAGCAGCCCGGCAAGCUACCAGUCUGGAAGGGCUAGAGGGGCUUCGGGGAAUAUUCCCGCCUGGACACCUCCGGGAAGCCACUUGCCGGGAGGGGGUUACUGGGCGUGUCAGGCCUGGGUGCCUCCCGGGAGCCCCUUGCCGGGAGGAGGGGUUCCCGGGCGCAAGCUCCUUCCGCAAGGGAGGGGGCCCAGCGGGCAGAGCAACGCGCCACGUGGGCGCGUGACGGGCGUCGAGUGCGCAGUCUCGGCAGGACAAGGAGUGAAGCGCACGGCGCAUUUAAUGAGCCGACAGGAGGGAAGUUACCCGUCUAGUCGGGUAAACAGUGGCUGUCCAGGGCUAGUUCAUAGGCCUUAGGCCCUUAGCUGAGGAGUUGGCACUCAUGCAUGCCACCAGCGCACCGAGGGGAAGUUACUCUGUCUCCCUGCUCGCCACUUGUAAUGCAUGCACCGUGGCACCUAUGGUAUCCCCUUGGUUAUAAAAGGAGGACCCCUGCCAACGGUCAAAGGGUUCCACAUUUUUCUACGGUUCGACGAUCACACGGUUGGAAAGACUCACAGUUCGCCACUAGCAGUAUCCGGAAGUAGCCAAGAGCACUUAGGCAAAAAAAGAACACCCAGGGACUCUCCCCCCGGCAACGUGUAAACCUUUGAUUUACUGUCAAUACCAGUUCAGACAAGGAGGACGUAGGGUUUUACACCUCCUGGUGGCCCGAACCUGGGUAAAAAACGUGCGUGCAUGUGUCAUUAGCCUACGUGUAUUCUGGGUACAUCACUUCGCAGGUUACGUGCGCCAUCGGCCUCGCCAGCGAUCACCGGAGCGAUCCCCGACGCCCCUGCCGAACCUAAAAAGGGGGCGUGGCCGCACGCCCCCAGUGUCGGAGCCCCGUGCGACGACAGUUUAGCACCGACUCCGAUUUGGCCGGAUUGUUCGUCCUACCGAGGGACCAUGCCUAGCAAAUCUGUACAAGUGGUCUCGUCUUGUUUCGCUUCGAUGAGUAGUUUUGUUUGGUGUGCUCAUCCUAGUACAUCAAAUGGACAAGUUCCCGAUCAAAGUUUAGCACCGACACCGAUUUGGCCGAAUUGUCCGUCCUAAUGAGAGACCAUGCUUAGCGAGUCCGUACAAGUGGUCUAGUCUUGUUUCGCUUCGAUGAGUAGCUUUGUUUGGUGUGCUCAUCCUAGUAUCUCAAAUGGACACGUUCCGGAUCAAAGUUUAGCACCGACUCCGAUUUGGCCGAAUUGUCCGUCCUAGUGAGGGUCCAUGCCUAACGAGUCCCUACAAGUGGUCUAGUCUUGUUUCGCUUCGAUGAGUAGCUUUGUUUGGUGUGCCCAUCCUAGUACCUCAAACUGACACGUUCUGGAUCAAAGUUUAGCACCGAUUCCGAUUUGGCCGAACUGUCCGUCCUAGUGAGGGACCAUGCCUAGCGAGUCUCUACAAGUGGUCUAGUCUUGUUUCGCUUCGAUGAGUAGUAUUGUUUGGUGUGCUCAUCCUAGUACCUCAAAUGGACAAGUUCCCGAUCAAAGUUUAGGACCGACACCGAUUUGGCCGGAUUGUCCGUCCAAGUGAGGGACCAUGCCUGGCGAGUCCGUACAAUUGGUCUAGUCUUGUUUCGCUUCGAUGAGUAGCUUUGUUUGGUGUGCUCAUCCUAGUGAGGGACCAUGCCUAGCGAGUCCCUACAAGUGGUCUAAACUUGUUUCACUUGGAUGAUUAUCUUUGUUUGGUGUGCUGAUCCUAGUACCUCAAAAUGGACUUUCUCAGCAUAUCUCUGGCAACCGUUGCAUUUCCUGACCAUAUCUUCUGCCUCUUGUAGUGCACUCGGCCAGUAAAAUCCGUGCUGAAAUGCCUUUGCUACCAACGUUCUUGAGGACGCAUGAUGGCCGCACUCGCCUUGAUGAAUAUCUCGGAGGAUUUCUUGUCCUUCUUCUGGCUCGACGCAACGUUGCAACACGUUGGUGACACCUCUCUUGGAUAGUUCGCAGUUGAUAAUGGUGUACGCCUUCGCUCUUCUCUGAAUCUGCCUUGCCGACACUGCAUCUUCCGGCAGACUUCCAUCUUUGAUGUAUGACAUGAUUGGUUGUGCCCACACCGGCACAAGGUGAGUCAUGAAUACCGGCUCGUUUAUUUCCAUUGGUUCAAUUGCCAUUGCCUCGUCCAAGUUAGGGUGCUCAGUCCCCGGGUUACUGGAACCACUGUCGCUAUCAAUAUCCAUUGGUGUGAAUUUGGCCUCCGGGUUCACCGGAAUAAAUAUCGAUUCCGACUCUGGUGACGGCUUGAUCGAACGCUUGCGCAGAUGUUCCAGCGCUAUGCCGGCCGGAAUGGCCUGCCGCAUUGAUCCCAGCUUCGAUAGAGUGUUGGCUGCUUCAUUCUCCGCUCGGGGUAUGUGAUGGUACUCACAACCUUCAAAGUGACCGCUGAUUUUCUGCACAUGAAAACGAUAUAGCGCCAUAUUGGCAUCCAAUGCAUCCCAAUUGCCAGAGGCUUGCUGGAUCACCAGGUCAGAAUCACCCAACCGACUAACAAAGCGACUUAAUGAUGCUAGGCAUCCGGUUAAUUUUAGUACGUCCUUGAGACAUUUUGGCGGCUUCAUUCUUUCUAUGGCAGCAAUUUUCACAUGAUUUAUUUCUAUGCCUCGGCUUGACACCAGAAAUCCGAGUAACUUUCCAGCCGGCACACCGAAUGUGCACUUGGCCGGGUUUAGUUUCAUCCAGAAUCUUCUUAGAUUUGCAAAUGUUUCUCGGAUAUCAUCUAGGAGUGUGCUGCUCUCUUUGGUUUUUAUGACGACAUCGUCGACAUCCACCUGCACAUUUUUGCCUAGUUGUUCAUGCAAGCAUUUUUGCAUACAUCUCUGAUAGGUAGGCCCUGCAUUUCACAAACCAAAAGGCAUGGUGAGAUAGCAAUAAGCCCCAAACGGGGUGAUAAAUGAUGUCUUUAUUUGAUCAUUAGGGUUCAGUGGUAUCUGGUGAAAACCAGAAUACGCAUCUACAAAAGACAACAAUUCACACCCGGCAGUGGAGUCGAUGGCUUGAUAGAUCCGAGGUAGUGGAAAAGGAUCCUUAGGACAUGCCUUGUUCAGGCUGGUGUAAUCAAUACACAUGCGCCAAACUUUGGUCGUGGUGGUGUCAUCUUUCUUCUUCUCGACCAUGACCGGGUUGGCCAACCAGUCAGGAUGUAAGACUUCCAUGAUAAAGCCGGCAGCUAAAAGCCGAGAUAUCUCUUCCAAUAUGAUCUUCUUUCUGUCAUCGGCGAAGCGUCGAAGGGGUUGCUUCACCGGUCUUGCGUCUGGCCUGACAUGUAGUGAGUGGUCAGCCAACUCCCACCAGGUAGGUCCUGGUUUGACCAUGCAAAGAUGUCCCGGUUCUCACGAAGGAAGUCGGUGAGCUCGCCUUCCUAUUUCUUGGUCAGGCCGGCACCAAUGAUGACGGUGCCGUCCAGGAACUCGCUGUUAACCGGUAUCUUCUUCGUCUCCUUUGCCGCCUGGAAAGCCACACUGCCAUGAGGGUUGGUCAUAGCCAGCAGAGUAGUUUGUGCUGACUGAGCCAGUGCCAUGACUUCCUGCAGCUUCUUCUUCUCUUCGGCAAUGACCAAUGACUCGGCCAAAUCAGAACCCGUAGCUGCACACUCCAUUGAUUGAUUGUAGUUGCUGGAUAUGGUUAUGGUACCAUUUGGUCCUGGCAUCUUCAUCUUUUGGUAGACAAUGUGAGUUCUCGCCAUAAACUUGGCCAAUGCCGGCCUGCCCAGCAACGCGUGAUAUGGGCUGUUGAGAUCAACCACUUCAAACACCAAAUUCUCUGUCUGACAAUUUUCCCUUGUGCCGAUUAAGACAUCUACCCGGACUUUGCUCACUGGCGCACACGACACCCCCGACACGAUACCAUGGAAGGUAGUCCAGCUGGGCUCAAGCAUGUUAUCGGUAAUGCCCAGUUUGAGCAUUGUGUCACGGUAAAUGAUGUUAAUGCAUCUCCCAUUAUCGAUGAGGAGUCAGGUAAACUUGACGUUGAUGUCGGGCCCGAUGAGUGUUGGGUCAACCACUAGAGCGUAUCCGCCGGGAUUCGGCAUGACCCUAGGAUGGUCAGACCGGUUCCAACAGAGCUCCUGCUCCAACCAGUACAUAAACUUCGGCACUGCCGGCAUAACUGCAUUGACUUCCAUCUCAUGCCGACGCUGGCUUUGCUUGUCAGUCUGCUCCGUGACGAAAAUCAUGUAGCUCUGGUGAUGUUCUUUGUACUCAUUUCUUCCUCCAUACUCCGGGAUGCCUUGAUCUUCCACCUGAUUGACAGCGUUGUUCACCGGAAGGGGGCCUUGAAUCUGUGCAUUGGCGCCUAUGAGUGGCGUCGGGGGAGGUAGCCGACUUGCUCGGAUUCUCGGCCCGUUGCAUCCAACUACAUUGCCGGGUUGUAUGAUUCGUCGGCUUGCUCGGAUUGGUCAUGUGGAAACGACAAGGCUGAUCAAGCAUCAUCUCAAACGUGCACUUCUGCUUAUCUUGCCACGGCUUCUUCUGUUCUCCUUUCUUGGCCCACUGCUGAUUCCCAGUCUUCUGUCGCUGGCUAUGACCGUCAUCAGGUUGAUCUUGGAUCGCAACCACAUGAGCUGGCCCAUACCGGUAAUCCGUCCUGUCAUCUCUUCUCUUGUUUGUAUGAUCUUGAUGAUCAUUUCUCUGGAAUGCCCCGGCAGGGUUGUAUGUCUGUUGCUCUCUGUGCGGCUCUGCCGGCAUCAGUGACGGCUGGGUUGGGUCUCCCUAUGCAUACAUAUCUGCAACCUUGAUCAUCUCGGCCAAUGUAGCCGGCAUUUCUCUUUGCAGCUUUUGCCAUAACAUGCUGCCAUGUCGGCAUCCUUGGGCAAACCAUGCUAUAGCCUGUGAUUCCACAAUCCCCUCACAGGAAUUGCAGAGAUUGUUCCAUCUCGUCAGGUACUCCCGGUUGGUCUCAUUGUCUCUCUGCUUGCACAUGGACAAUUGCUGAGGUCGAUUAGGUCUCUUGUAUGUGCUGGUGAAGUUGAUAACAAAAGCUUCUUCGAAAUCUAUCCAACAGUUGAUGCUGCCCUCGGGCAGAUUGUUCAGCCAAAUCCUGGCUAGUCCUUCUAGCAUUUGGGGUACGUAACGUACUGCUAGUCUGCGAUUGCCUCCUGCAACAUGCACAGCAGUGACAUAAUCUUCCAGCCAGUCUUCCGGCUUGGUGCUGCCGUCAUAUGUUCUCGUGCCCUUGGGUAGCUGGAAACCCGGGGCAGGCAUCUCUCUCAUGAUCCGGUAAGCAAAGCAACGUGGUCCCGGAGGACCCUGCGGUUCCAGAAGUUCCGACUGGUAGAUUCUGUCGAGCCGGUGGCGAGCAUCAAGCGGCGACACUUGCCGGUUUCCCACUCGAGCUCCGAGUGGACCGACGUUGUCACGCUCUCGCCUAAGAUAACCAUCAUCUCCCAUGGCCGAGUAUCUGUCAUUGUAACAGUCUUGCUUUGAUCCUCACCUCGAUACAGGGGUUGUGCCCGGCACUCUGCUGACCCGCAGCAGUAUUGGGCGCCGGACCGCGAGGUUGGUGUCCAUGUCCCGCCGAAUGACGUUCUUGCGGGUCUCGGCGAUUCUUGCUGAGAUGUAGGCCACUUUGACCAUCAUCAACUCGCCUGGCAACUUGCUUCCCAGCGAAUGCCGGAUCAUAGUGAUCCAGCCGUUUGUCUCGGUCGGAAUUAACACUCUUAUCCCGUCUCCCACCGACAUUGGGGGAAGACGCUUGAUUGCCGGCUCGGCCACUCGCGCCUGCGGCCGAGUGAAUGAUCUGGGAUGCCUCCGGCUUGGCAUGCAACUUCAUCUAUGCCUCAUUUUGCUCGUUAGCAAUGUGAAGCAGCUCCUUCACCCGCUGCUGCUGCACUCGGAGCGCUUCUCCUGUUAGGUUAGGUAGCUCUUCUGCUGCAACCUCAGCAGCCCUGAGGUUUUUAACAAGAGUGCUAUAUUUCGGCUUCAGUGCCGACGCAUAGCUUCCCGACAUAGCAGGGGCAACUCUACCAUCCCUAGCUAUCUCGGCAUUCAAGUUCUUGCCCCGGUAACGCACCUCUCCUACUCAGCUAGGGUUGUGCAUGGCAGUAGAGUUAAGACCAUGAGCUUUGUUAUACUCACGGAGGGAAAUCUCGAGCUCUUGUCGAGCGCGAGACACGUCGACAGCUUCCUGCAGCAAGUUCUGGCGCUGCACUUCCAGCUCAGCUUGGAGCUAUGCUGAGUUGGCGUUUGGAGCUACAGGCGCAGCCAGCCUUUUGAUGGAGGCCUGAAGCGGAGUCGGCUUUGCAGCGGGGGGCGAGCUGUUCUGCCGGACUUGCUCGGGACACCGGUGUUUUCAGCUGCGCCUUUGCCGGCAUCGCCACCCUGAGCUGUCAUCAUGACCUCCACGCAGCUAACGGGGCAGUCGCUAUGCCGGCCGCGAGCCGCGCAGACGGUAGGGGGAUCCUCAGCUACCACCACAUGCUCGGGAUACCUGCAAGCAAAGUCAGUGGCGACGUAGACCUCGUGUGUGCCAAAGUUGAUGAACCGGCCGGCAUAGGGCAAUGGUGCGAUGUUAAAGCAACCUGUGUUGUUGUCGAUGAAGCCCAGAGAGCCGAAUCUUUGGACCAAACCGGAGACCACGCGCUCUCCGGUGACGACGAUGCUUCCCGUCCGGAUGAAAACUCCAGCCAGCGCCGCUGCUGGCCCCACGGUGGGCGCCAACUGUCAUGGUGGUGUCACGUCAGAUGCCAUAGGAUGGCUUAAGUUGGGACCGAUGGAGGAUCCGGAGGAGGGAUGGCGUAGUGAAACUACACACAAUGUAAAGAAGACACGGUGUUUACCCAGGUUCGGAGCCCUCUUGUAGAGGUAAAGCUCCUACUCCUGCUUAGCUUGUAUUACCCGAGAUACACGAGAGCUACAAUGGUGCUUCUUGAGCUGUAUUGAGAGGAACCCCCCUCACAGGAGGGGUGAAGCCUCUAUUUAUAGGCUAAGGAUGUUACCCUGACAGGUGGGGCAAGGGGAAACCCUAACAACUCCUGGGCCUGCGGGGCCUGCCCGUGGUCUCCUCCGGAUUGUCCGGGAGGGGACAAUGCAGUUUUGUGCUUUUCAUACUAUGAGACGGCGCGCACUGUAGCCAUGCCCCGGCUAUGGCUACCGUCACUGUCCUUCUACGGCGCGUCACUGUGCAGUCGUCCGACACGGCAAUGUGAGCAAUGACUGCUUUCCCGUCAUCAAAGGAGCGUAGCUUUACUUUAGACCGUAAGAUCAAGAUAAGACCGUUGGCAUAUCCCGGCUCUAGCCGAGAUAAGAUAGCUUUUGCUUGUCCUGCAAUUACAUGAGACAAGAUGAUGAUGCCGGCAUACUUUUGGUAUGUCGUCCUGUUAGAAAGUCGGCUUAUGAGUGCUGGUCUAUUCAUUUAUGCCGGUCCUGCUUUCGGUUAGCCGGUCAUUAUGUGUCGUCAUGAUCCUACCCGGGGUCAUUCCCCCGACAACAGGCGUACCGAGAAGCAAGUGGGAGCAGGCAGCGUGCGGGAGCGGACGGGCAGCGGGAAUCUAUGAGCGGAGGCAGUGCGCACAAACGGGCGGCCGCGCAAUGUUCGGUGUCGGGAUGAAUCGGGACGGGAAGAGGAGGAGUUUGCACUCAGAGUGGAUGGAGAGGAUAGUCAGAGGGAGAGCGAGAGAAAUUGGGAGAAGUGAUUUGAGAAAUAAAGUAGAAAGUAGGAGUAAUAGGAGAGCAUGAAGGCAAAAAAGUUAUCAUUGCUACAUGGUCUUAAUUAUUCAUAAUUAUAUUGAGAAUCACUUCAUGAAUUCAUCAAAAACAUUGAAAAACACUCACACAUGACUUUUCAAGUGUGAUGUAUGUGAGAACGGUGACACCCUGGAGGUAGAGAGCAAAAGAGUUGAUCAUGUGUCACUUUUUCUUUACACGAGAUAUAGAAAUAAGACAUGUGUAAAAGAGAAAGAGAUCAGAGUAUAACCUAAAAAAUAAACAUAGAGAAAAUUACGCAAAACCACCACAUUUGUGACACUCGAUGAUUUGACAGCUAAGUGCAUUGUGAUGCAAAACCAGACAGGGGGCCACCUGUUCGUGCCAGCUUGGCGCCACGCUCGACAUGGCCUGCACGACUAGGACGGCGUUCGGGUACGUCUCAGGCCACCGCUCGAAGUUCUGCCUCGCCCCUCCAUCUUCGAUCUGCCCCGCUGCACCGUGACCCAUGAGGUCGUCGCUCGCCUCGCCUCGCCGCGCGAGGUCACCGUCCUCGUCGCCCGCGCAUCGGCGGCGACUUGACGCAUCGCCAGUGCCGGGGAAGAUGACGGGCGCGACAGCACGAGGAGGCCCUCGGUAGCGAGGUAGGGGCGGCCGAGGUCGGGCUCAGACGCGGGGCGAUUGGGGCUCGCGGGAUCGAAUCCGUAGGCGGAGGGCGGCAGAGGAUCCAGAGAUGGGGGAGACGGUGGCGACGGCGGCGGGAUCUCGAGGAGGCUGGGCCGCGGCGGCGGGAUCUCGAUGUGGCUGGGGAGGAGGCGGCGCCCGGGUUGGGUUGGGCUUCUGCGCGAAACGCCCGUGUUGCGGCUGCGGAUGCCCGUGUUGCAGGAGCGUGGCGGGCGCGCGGGUUGACCGGCGGUAAGCCGGCAGCGUCUGUCUCACAGGGACGGCGGCGCUGCGCUUAUGACGAGUCCUCCGCGGCCCCGCGCCUACGACGUGGUCGCGCUCCGCUUCCGCGGCCGCGACGCCGUCACCAAUUACCACAAAAGCUCGAGCUCCCUUCUUCUUCUUCGUGUCCGGCCACGACUAGCGAGCUCGCGUUCCUGGACGAGCUGCGGCAGGGCCUGCUCCGCGGCCAUGGCGCCGGUGCACGCGUGCGCACCCCCAGCGACUUCGGCAAGCUCAACCGGCUCGUGGUGCCCAAGCAGCACGCCGAGAGGCAUUUCCCGGAGCCGGAGAAGACGACCGGCAGUAGCGGCAAUAUGGGCGUGCUGCUCAACUUCGAGGACGGGGAAGGAAAGAUGUGUCGUUCAGGCACUCCCAUGACGUCAUGGACCUGCUCGCGCGCGUGGUGUUCGCUCAAUAAGCUGCGUCGCGAGCAGAUAAGAGGCUGGUCGUUCUCGCUGCGGAUGAAGACAGCGGCCUCAAGGCGGAGGCUCAGCUGCAUGUCCCGGAAGUACUGAUCCCUGGUGAGGCGAUCGUCGCCGCUGUGGCCGAACUGCAACUCCUUCCGCUGCACAUCACGCAAGUGCAGAGCCUGCUUCUCAAUUACUACCUCCGUUCCAUGAUUCUUGUCGAAAUAUUACAUGUAUCUAGACGUUUUUUAGAAUAGAUACAUUCAUUUUUUGGCAAAUUUGAGACAAAAAUUAUGAAACGGAGGGAGUACGUGCUCACCAAAUUCUGGGGAUCGGUCGGGCGUCGGCCAAAGUGCCGAGGAGGUCCUCCGCGACGUCGCCUUUGACUCUCCACGUCAUCAAGCAGUUCGGCCACGACUUGUCCAGCGUGGCGCCAAGCUGGCACCGACAGGUGGGCCUCUUUGUCAGGUUUUGUAUCAAAACGCACUUAACUGCUGAAUCAGUGCGCAAGAGUACCUCCGGCUUCAAAAGCGGUGGUAAUUUGAAAAAAAUUAAAAAAAAAUGUGGUUUUUCUGGAAGUGUCCAAAAUGCGGUGGUUUUGCGUAAUUUUUUCAAGAACAUAUCAUAAUCGUUAUAUACAUAUGCCCAUGAAACACAUCAACAUUUGAUUUGACGUUUUGAUACAAUUUUUCGUUGUUCCGUAUUCACGGGCCUUUUGCUAGUUAACUUAUUAAGAGACUUCAAACGGGAAAACAAAUCUGACAUCCAGUUGCAGCACAUUAACCUCGUAUAUACCAUAGUUUUACAGUGCUGAUUUCAUAUCCUACUAACCUUUGGAUUGCUCCAUUUCAGUCUGUUCCAAACUUCUAAUAUCACAGCUACAGCCUUACAAGUAUAGCUUCCAUAACAGUCGAUAAAUUGCUCUUUAUGCCUAGCUGUAAGAUCAAGAAACAACUACUAACAAAUUAACACCACCAGAAUGACGAAUUUGUGACCUAAAAAACCUAUCUGAUUAACUCUCCCCUUCCGGGAAAAAAAUAUAAUAAACCUUCCAGGCAUAUCAUAACUUUGCUGUCGUUCACUAUAUGCAGUCCCUUCUAUGCCUCUGUUUUCGAGUAAUAGAUCGACCCAAGCGAACCCGUCGCACUGUGAGAGCAUCUAGCAAGACAUCCAACGAGCACUCCACUGCCUCAGCUUGCUCUUCCAGCUUGAACGCACUGAGGUCAGGCCGCAUGUGCAGCUCCGAGAGGAGACCAGCUGCGGCUGCCGCAGUGCAGGUACGAUCCCAUGCUGGCUGAGGUCUGUUUUCCGAAAACAGAUCAGCAAAAGUAAGAAUUAAAGACCUGGAAUAUUCAAAAGAAAACAACAAAUAUAAAAAAUAAAUACAGACUUAGUUUUUAGCUCACCGCAGUUUAUGCAUCACUGAAGCGCUCAACAUAGACAGUGAGAUACACGGUAUGUCUUCCUCCCCCCAUAUUGCAGCCCAUCUCUCCUAUAAAACCUUAGAUAUUAGGAUUCACUUAGCUAAUUGCUAAAUGACAUGCUUUAUCACACACUCGUGCUUAAAAAUGACUUCAACCAAGCAGAUGCCAUUCACGUGGUGUGUCCUAUGUUUGGUUGUGGCCUGGACAUGCUUUAUUGAAAGCACAGUUGCCCUGUGAGGGCAAACAUAUUAGCAAGCACCAUACAGUAGCAGGCGGUUGGGCCAGUGCUUCCACAGGAGCAUGUGGUUGUAGUUAGUUGAGUUGGCAAGUAUUCUUGAGUCUAUUCUACGUAGUAUGAGUUAAAUCCGCAUUUCCGAUUUAGCUUGGCAUCUAAAGUAGUUUAGGCCAAACUAGUUUUGUAACCUAAUCAAAUUUAGGUGGCGGCUUUUCCAGAAAGCUAGGGGAGGGCAGCUUCUCGGAGAAGCUGGUCUAGGAAGCCGAAAAAACUGGCCCUAAAUAUCUGCUGGACCAACACCUCAAUGGCGGGAAAGUAGAUAAAUUUGCCUCACAUGGCAAAGCAUUACCAUGAUGGCAGUGCCAAAAUUUUCACUUAUAAAACACAAAACAGUACCAUAAUUGCUUCCAUAAUAGUUCCACAAACAAGAAGACACGUAUCAGCUUAUAAAUUACGAUAAAAAAUCGCAUUAAAGGGUAAAGUGUGUACCUCAACUUCAUAUGCUUUAUGAGUUGCUACGUCCGCAAAUAAUAUUAGAUAACCUUGUGACCUUUACAUGUAAUGAACGCUUAGGAGUUGGAGCAUAAAGAGUACUACUCCACCAUCAAAGCCAUCAUCAGCUCAAUCGCAUAGUCAGUACACCUCCAACCAUCGCUGGCUGUGAAAUCUUAUUUAGGUAUGCUCCAACACCUAGUCCUAAUGUUGAAUGGCCACAAAGUCAAAUCCAACAAUAUCCAUGGAUGUGGUUAUAACUCCAAAACCGAUCAAAACAUACAAUCCUACCACUUGAUAUACCCCCGUACUGCCAACCAUAAUCUGCAAGAUGAUAUUGUGCUCCGGAUGGUGAUGGUGCCAAAUGUGCAUUUUUUUUAUGAGCAUCCUAUAUGGUAAAAAUGGUAUUUUGAAAUUUUAUUGAAGAUCAUCUCCUUUUGACAAUAAACACAUGCUGCUUGCACACAAAUAACUUGGGGCCAGCAGCGUGAUAAUUCAUAUUACAUUUUGAAUUUUUACUAAUAAGAAUUAACUUCUUCCGUAUAUUAAAUGUACUAUCGACACCUCUUGUCACUGCCACCAAGAGGACAAUACUGCAUAAGGGGAGGGUAUACCUAGGAGGUAAAACCGUCGAUGAUAUCCUUUGAUUAGCUUUGGAGUUGAUAUGUUCACAAAUGAAAUAUUACUUUCUGACGUUGUGGUCUUUGCAUGGAACAAACGCUUAGGAGUUGGGAGUUAAAUUUGGCAGUAUCAAACUGAUCACAUGCUUAGUAACCCCUCAAACAUCUCAGCAUGGCUUAUGUGUAUAUCAUGGUGAUGUUCGGUAUGCUCCAACAACUAAACAUGGUGUUGCGUGGUCACAAAGUCAAAUUCAAUGAAAUGAAUGAACAUGGUUACAACUCCAAAAUUAAAUAAAACAUACAACCUUACCAUUUCAUAUCCCCCUAACAUAAUGUCAACCAUAAUGAGCAAGAUGAUUCAGUGCUCCUGCUCAUGGCGGCGAUAGUGCCAAAGGUACAAAGAAUGACAUUUUGGAAUGUUAUAUGGAGCCUCUGUUGAAAUUUAAUUGCACAUAUCACUUCGGCAUUCGUUGGCAUAUGAUUGGAUAUGGCAAACACAAAGUCACGAGGGUAAGACCAACCAAUGGGCCCUAGCAUGGUGCAGCAGAAGCAAACCAUAAUGGGCCAAUGGCCCUUAACUUGACUGCGAUGAUUUCCUCUCUGCUUCCUGUCCUUCCUCCCAGAGCCGAAUCUGCUGUGCUCAGAUGCAAGCUCAUAGGAUUUGGCAGACCACUAUGGAGGCCAUAUGGUUCCCUCUUGUCCAAAAGGAUUAGACUAACACAGGCACAGGAAAAAAUGAAGCUUACCUGGACUACAUUUGUUGUAUGUAUUACGUAAACAAUGGUUGCAUCAAUAUAGCUUAAAACCUUGAGCAAUGAUUUUUCAUGUGGAAGCAGACACAAACAAGUAAAAGGAGUGCAGCAUGUUGAAUGAGGAAUGCACUGAAUCGUACCUUCAGCCUUCUGUAUAAUGCGGCAGAGUUACUCCAGGUACCAUCAAGCAAGACCAAGUUAAGAGGUUCACCUUGUGCUUCCUACAUUCCAAAAGUUAACCUGUUACCAUGUACCGAUAGUGAUAUCUUGCUGCAUCAUGUUAUUUUACCAUGAUACUUGAUAUCUCUUCUCUUACACAUCACCAUCAUAAACACAUAAAACCAGUACAGCACGAACACAUAAAACAUGUACACAUAAAACCAGCAAACAUUCAAAGGAGUAACUAUUGAUAUUCAAUACUUUGCAUCUUAAGGUGCUAAUAAAUAAAAUUCCCAAUGUCGAACAUAACUAAGAAGACUGCACUGCUUAUAAGCACUUCGAUUUGAAAGUUGGUUUUGCAACAUUUCAAGUCAUAGAUACAAGCUUAAAUAAAAAAAUACAUACCAUCUCCUGACAUUCAGCAUUCAAGGUCAAAUCAUCAAAUUUAAGAUCCUGGACAGAUUUGGGGGUUGUACUCUUAUUUGGGUACAGAAAUGAGACCUUCCCCUUUCCUGGAGGACAAAAUCAGGAUGGAAAUAUACAGUAAUUAGUUGUAGUGACAUACAUAAUCAGAAACACCCUAACUAACAAUAUUUGCUAUCGAUUAAGCAAAGAACAAACAAAGUUUUCUAGUCUCUCCCUCUCAUCUUGAAUAAUAAGCAGUUAAAAAGCUCUCAAUGGCAACGAAGAGCCCUGCUGACAGGUAGAGGAAGGCAAGCACCCUACCAUAAAUCCACGGACCCAUGCCCGACCGUGCAUAUAAAAAUGAAGCUAAUUGAAACAAACAUAACAAGUGAACCGAAUCUAAAACGACAAAGAAAAUGAGUAAGUUAAACCCUAGCAAGCUUUCAUGCCAUCAAAGGUGUUUUUGAGAUUACCUGACCGCUGGAAUGCAUCCCACAUUAUAUCUUCCUGUUCUUGGAUGCCGAAGAGACACAAGGGCGCAGCUUGGAUGCCAAAUACUUGCCAGAGUAACUUUCCAGUGUUGUUUUGCCGCAAGAAGUCCUGAAAGAACAGAAAUGCUCACACAACCCAAAAGGAAAGGAUACAGCAGCAAGUACAGCACAACAGACCUUUGGAUGCAUGUAUAGCCAGAAUUUUAUUCCCCUCCACAAAUUGCAAGGGGCAAGUUUUGAGCACAUACAAUCUUCCAUUGGUAGCCAGCACUGCAAUUUAGAGAUAUCAAGAAAAACUUUAAAACUCUUGGCAUGAACAUGAGUGAAAAAUGACUACAGCAAUGUAUGCAAAAAUAAGCUUCUGUUGAGUAGAUCAUUAAAGCCAAAUUGAUGCAUAUGUAUAGCACUGAAUUCCUUUUCAGACUGAUUAACUGGUACGCUACCUUCUGGCACAGAUACCCCCUGCUCCCGAGCAGACGGCAACCAAUCUGCCGUGCAGAGUAGUACUGCAGCUUCUGAUCGGAGUCGGGGAGCGUCUCGUACACAGCCCUGUGCUUCUUAUCCUCCACGUCCUUGAAAUCGCCCUACGACGAGUUGAGAGAAAAUCAAACCAAUAAAUUCAAUAGCAUUCCCGUCGAUUUAAUUCUUGAUGCGUUCUGUAACUUUUAGAAGCACAUACACAGCAACAACAUCUAGGUCCAAUAAGGGAUUGAAGCAAAAACCGUUACCUUCAGCUUGGAGCCAACGCCACCGAACCGCAUCUUCUCGCCGGCCAAGGAUUCCAUCCGGAGCAGCUCGCGGACGACGGCGGACACCACAUUUGGGAGAGGAGAGGAGGUUCCCCAUCGCUGCCACUCCUCCGUGCUCACCUCACCGCCGUCUCCAGCGCCGGUGGAGAGGGCUUCCUCCUCCGCCUCUUCGACCGCUAUCUCCGCGGAGAAGACCAUGAGAGACCGCGUUGGGGUGGGGCAGGGAGGCGGACCCUGAGGCCGGCGGAGGAGGGCGGGAGGGUGGGGAAGCGGGAGGCGGCGGUGGAAGGCGAGGGAGCGGAUGGAGGUUGGACGAGCCAGCAUUGCCGCUGCUGUUUUUUUAUUAUUGCCCGUCAAUACCACAGGAACAACAAUCCGAAGUUCGGAAAUCCGAACAUGGUGGACUUUUAGAUUUUUCUUUUCUUUUCUAAUUACUAGUACAAUGCUCGCACGGCCUACGCAAAAAAGUUCAGGUUAUAGAAAAGACAAAAAUUGACAUUUGAAAUGUGUUGAACAAUAAGUAUUAAUCAAAGUGUCAUUUACUUCAGCAUAAACUAUUUUGUGAGGAAUUCUUUGUACACAGUAUUCUUUGUGUAUGUCUCGCUUGUACUCAUUUCCACAUUUUUGUUCUUCGUAUUGUUCUUCUUUUUAUUCUCCUUAUUCUCUUGACGUGUACCUGUUAGUACCUUUAUGUUCUUUGUCGCUGUUGCCUUAGAGAGUGCUACAUAUAGUUGGCCAUGUGAGAAAACUGGUUCUGGCAGGUAGAUGCCUACAUUUGGUAUUGUCUGACCUUGUGAUUUGUUUACUGUCAUUGCGAAGCUGAGCCUGAUAGGAAACUGUUUCCUCUUUGAAACGGAAUGGGAACAUCUCGUCGUCAGAGGGGCAUAAUGGUAUUCGAGGCAAGAAAACUCGUGUUCCAGAAUGUUGUCCUAGCACAAUCUCUGCAUCAAUAGCAUUUUUUUGAAAUCCCCGUACGACCAACCUUGUGCCGUUGCAUAGGCCAUUUGCGGGGUCGAUAUUCCUGAGUAGUAUGAUUGGACAAUUAAUCUUGAGUUUCAGCAUAUGUGGAGGCAGUCCGUUUGGUGUAAGGGUGUUUAGGAAUUCUGGUGGAUAGUAGUUAUGCGGGUCUUCUUCUACACAAUCGAAGCUGUGGUACACCAUCUCCUCCCCUUGGAAGCAAUCAAUCAUUUUUAGGUUGAUUCUGUCUACGCACUCGUUCUUUGUGGAUAAAAUUGCUCUUGACGUGAUGUAUUUUGGAUCUUCUAUGGAGGCAUCGUUUUCUUUGUAGAUAUAGUUGAUGAGACUAUCCAGGCCAUUAUCAUCCGUCUUAUUUGGCACACAUAUACUUGUAGGCAGAAGUAUUUCUCCGUUUUCGUUUGUCAUCUCGGUUCCGUUUCCAAUGCGCAGUAGGUAUUCUGCAAACCCUGGGUCGUUUUGAGCCCUCAUGUUUUGCACAAGCUUAAUUUUUGUCAUGCAGUUCCAGAGCUCUGACCUGCUUAGUGACGCAUCUACUAUUUGGGCUCUUAUACCCUUUCGUACAACGGGAAGUACUUGUCUAAAAUCUCCUCCAAAUACAAUUGUUUUUCCACUGAAUGGAAGAUCCGGUCUAUCCAUUAUGUCUUGCAUGCUUCUGUCGAGCGCCUCAACUGCCUACCUCUUUGUCAUCAGUGCUUCAUCCCAGAUUAUUAGAGAUGCAGUUUUUAGUAGCUUGGUUGUACCGCUUUGUUUUGUGAAUCCACAAAUUGCCCCAUCAUCUAUUCUUAGUGGAAUCUUGAACCUUGAGUGUGCAGUCCUCCCUCCAGGCAUUAUGGAAGCAGCAACACCGGAAGUGGCCGUCGCAAGAGCAAUCUUGCCUUGUCUGCGUACCGUGUCCAAUAGGGCUCUGUAAAGAAAUGUUUUUCCUGUGCCUCCUGGUCCAUCGACGAAGAAUACUCCUCCUCUUUGGCUGUCGAUCGUGGCUAGGAUUUUGUCGUAGGCCGCCUUCUGCUCUUUGUUUAGUUUGUUAUGUAACGUUUCGUCCUCAGGGUGUGUCUCGAUUGAGUACUCCUCGGUCAUCUCUCUAGGCAUGUCGUUGUUUGUCAUGUCAUGUUGUUCGUCUAUCUCUGGCAGAGGAAAUGACUGGAUGUCUUUUCCCAUAGAUUGCAACAUGCCCCUGAUAUCUUUGAGUACCAUCUGUUCGAUAGUGUGCUUGCAUUUGUAGUUUCUACUAUAGUCCUCAGACAUUCCCUCUAGGUGAUUGUUCCAGAGGCCACGGAUGUCGCUAGGCUCACAAAACACCAGGAUUGUUGCGAAUAGCCUGUGGAGCGAUGAAGGCUUCCGGAACAACUCCGCUUCUGUCAUGCAAUCAUCUAGUGUGUUGUCUGCCUUAAUGAGCCCCCUUUUUUCUGCAGCUUCACGGAAGUUUGGCAUUACUUGGCCAUCAACUGUUCUCAGGUCUUCGUAGCUUGUGGCCCCUGGCACGUGGUUUAGGAGAACUCGGAGAUAGUAUCGUUCUCCUUCAGCCGGAUGUGCUGAGAUGAUCCUGCCAACCUAGGCCGUACCUUUUCAUUUCCUUUCUUGCCACAAUUUAUCUCCUCUUUGCCAAGUAUAAUGUUCGGGGAAGUCCCUGUAUGGUAUGUCUCGUGCUUUCUCAUUUAAUCUGUUUGCGUCGAAGUAUGCUGUCAACAUUGACCUAUCUGCUCCACCACGGCUGAUAACGUUCUUGAUAUUUUGUUCGGCAUUAUAUGAAACCAUGUGCAUAUUUGGGAGAUGUAGCUGUAGUUGCAGGACGGAUGGAUGUAUUUUGCUUAAUUCGAACCCAUAUAUUCUCCAUAGUGCUUCCGGAGGUGUCACCCACCGUGCAUCUCUGUACUGCCUUAUCUCGUCGAUUUUAGCUUCAUUUACUUUUUCAGUGACGGAUACAGAUGCUCGGUCAUGUCCCUUGUAGAUGUACUUAAACAGGUACUUAACGGCUUUAAUGCUUGAGCAUAUCUCGACAUUUAUGUGGCAGUUGAACAUCCUCAACAGAUAGGGGUUGUAAGGAACGACCCACCUGUUAUCUAGCGUGCAUUUUCGGAUUGUUUCGGUCCGACCAUCAUUGCGUCUCCUAUAUAGUGGGUAUGAGUCCUUGCCUUGAAUUGUAUUUUCGUUAAAUGUGGAUAAUUGUUCUUGCACGACGUGCGAUUCUUUGUGCACGGACAAUUUCUAUUCAGUGCACCGCAAGGACCAUGCAUCAUAUGUUUGAUUACCAUUUUGUAUAGCUCUGGAUACUUGUUCUUGUUAGGGAGUUCAGCCGAGAUUAUCUUGUCAUAUUGUUCUGGACAUGUGUACUUGUAUUUUCCAGUCAUGAUAAGAAGGAAGUGAGCAUGUGGUAGUCCCCUCUUCCGGAACUCUACAACAUAGGUAUAUGCCUUAACCUUUCCAAGAAUGCUCUUCUCAAAUAGUUGCUUCUUCAUUUCUUCUAGCUUCGCCCUAAAUACACGGACAACGAUAUUUGGGCGAUCUUGUGGUGUCUAUCCACACUCUAGCUCACAUUUGAUCUCUUCCCAGUUUGGGUUGCAGGUCAUUGUGAGGAAUAUAUCUGGCUUUCCAUAUUUUCUAACUAAAGCCAUUGCAUCUAGAUAUCGACGAAGUUUAUCUCGUGGCCCUCCAAUAAAUGAUGAGGCUAAAACUGUUCUUUUUCCGAUUGCAUUUCCGUCUUGUUCUCUGGCUUUAAUGCUAUCGAGAAGGCCUUGGUAUAGAUCCGCCCUUAUUUCUUUCUGAUGAUGAAACAUGUAGUCCAGUCUAGAGUUCUCAAUCUUGAUAUAUGUAUCUACAACAAACUGUUGUAGUAGUCGUCCGCCGUACAAUAUUGGGUUGAAGAUGUUUGGUCGCAUAUGUAAUUUAUAGCAAUAGUAUUCUUUCAUGGUUACCCACAGCCUACUGGUUGCAUCUGUUCCAAGCAUUGUGACAUAAAAAAGUUAGCUGCAUGUGUAGGAGUGUACCAUAUAUCUCUACCUAAUAAUAAAAUCAGGGAUGAAUAUUGAAUGAAUAUUGAAGACAGUACUGACCUGGGUCAUCAUCAUCAUCGUUUUCUUCUGCACCAGCCUUUUUCAUAUCUUCCUCUUCUGCAUUUGCCUUUGGUAUCUUUGAAUGCAAACCUAGUUCACCUCUUGGAAAGAACAGAGGAUACGACAACGGAUCAUAGCAUCCAUAAUAUGAUUUAAUGAUCUGUAUUUCGUUGUUGUUUCCAUGUAUUAUUACGUUCUUGUCAAAAGUAUUUCUUCUUUGAUUUCCUUUGAUCCACACUGCAGCUACCUCUGAAGUGAUCGGUGCGUUGUAUGUUCUCUGGUCCAAUCUUUGGUCAAGGUUCAAGAUGAGCCUGUAGUCGUCAAGGUCUUCGGCUUGUCCCAAACUUCUAAAUUGUUUAGAAUAUGGAUUCUCACGUAGAAUCUCAGUUAUUAUGCCAACUACGUGUUUGUCUUGCUCGUAAGUUUCCUUGCGGCAACGGCGGUACCGAUGUUCUAAGCUUGGAUCAUCAUCAUAGAAGUAUAGUUCCAGAUGCUUUGGAUCUGAGCGACUAUUAGCAAAUGAGUGUAUAGGUCUUUGUUGGUUGGACUUACUGAAGAGGGUAUGUCUGUCCAUGAAAGAUGGUAAGUUGUCCAUAAUUUAUAUUUUUUUUGAAAUGCAUGAGUAUAUAUUCUAUAAAAUUUAGAGUAUUACCUUUAAUCCUGAUUUCUGGCUUCUUUAGAGGUUCUGUGUCACCAAUGUCUUUUUCAUCACGGAUAUUAUGGAAUCGAUGGCCUCACGGCGUUCAUUCUCAUUGAAAAAUGGUUGCGGUUGUUCAUCCACGUUUUUGUUGGUUGCUUCUAUCUCAUCGUUGUGAGUUUUCAUCUUGGAUGUGUCCUCUUGUACCGAUACCUGAACAGUUUUCCUCUGUCUUGUCGAGAAUUCUUUGUUACGACGGUGUACCAAUGUUUGUCUUUCUCCCGGUGUCACAGUUUUUCUGCGUCUUACUUUUAAGGGAGAUAUAUUAACUUCCUGUUCUGCCGUGAUAUAUGCAGGGUUCUCCAUCGCAAUUGAAUCUCUGCUUGGUGUGCUGCGCUUCAGUUCACGGUUAGCUCCAAUUUGAUUUAUUCUAGCUUUCUUUUGUUCUGGCUGCAUAUUUGCAUAUCUCCGCCUAUGUUGUGCCUGUUGUUUUGUCUUUUGUUCCGUCACCUUUUCUUUUUUUUGCUCAUAGGCUUCACGCCGUUUUUCCAGUUGUUCUUGCUUUUCUUCAUCGGUCUUUUGCUUAUAGGAUUCACGCCGUUUUUUCAGUUUUUCUUGCUUUUCUUCAUCUGUUCUUUUUGCAUCCCGCUCUCUCUCUCUCUUUUCCUUUUUUGUUCCUUGACAUCCAUAACUUCAGAGUUCGACUCAAAUUGCUUGGCUGCAUGAUAAUUUUUAUAUGUUGUAAGUAUGAAAUCUGGAUAAUAUGAAUAGAUCAGGGGUUUUUUCCUAUUUCAAGCCGGCUGGCCAACAGCAUAUUUGAGAGCUACAUACCCGUAAGGAAGUUGAAGGGAUGUCAUGUGUAAGGAGAUGAAUAAUAUACCUAAUGACUUGUUGUAUUUUCUUAUCAGGGUUGGCCAGGCGACACGAUGGUUGUGGCUUGGAGUUCAAAGUGUUGGACUACAGCGUAUCUCUAGCUACCACGCCUGUAUAUAAAGGCUAGGUCGCCGGAGGGAUUGUCAAAGUAUAUUAGGAUUCAAACUGAUCCUUGCCUGAGUAGGAUUAGGAGUCACGUAGGAUUUGGACUGAUCCUUAUCUGAGUAGGAUUAGGACUCAAGUAGGAUUCGGUCUCCUAUUUUGUAUUUGUGAAUCUAGAUAUGUUUGGCUGCAUGCUAUUUUCAGUUGAUAAUAAGGCCCUGUCAAUCGUUGUGCUACCAUGUUCAGCAGCUCAGCAAUGCAGUUGACGGGAAGCAGGAGUAUGAGAAGCUACCAUGAUCUGUGCCGAUGAGACUUCAUACCGUACCAGACAGAAACACUUUCAGAAGGGAGCAGAAGUAAUAAAAAUUGUCACGACUUGCAUUGCUCUAAUGUAUCGGUCAGCCUCAAAUCUCUACUUUCUGAUGCUCGUCAUAUCUCUGAAACCUGUCAUGGUGGAUUUCAGGUACCCUUUUAUCGAUGCCAACAUGAAGGAACUUUUAGCUACUGGUUUCAUGUCGAACCGUGGCCGUCAGGUAUCCUUUGGCACACUAUCAGUCAGCAGCAUGACUGCAUAAGGAUUUAACACUGCAGGCUUUCCAACCUCCCAAUCAUUCAUCUUAUAUGCAGAUUGUCUGCUCAUUUUUGGUCUGAGACAUGGCUAUCGAUUGAAGAAUGGGCCGGACCAAGUUCAGGAUGGGUCAGGCUACUCCAGAAGGAAAAUAAACCACAGCAAGUAGCACUUGGCAUGAUUUUAUUUCUGAUGCAUUGACAGAUGAAGCAUAUGCUUGUAGAAAUUGGACUGGGAUUGAUAAAAAACUGGAGGAUGUCUCAAGCUGUUAUAGAAAUAGAUACUAUGGAGUUCAUGUCCCCGUGGAAAUCCAAACACCAUGAUCUGUCUCCCAGAUAAUAAACAUCCUCAUGAACCCAGUGUCUGAACUUUAGAUCAAGUUGUUGUUAUUAAAGAUAAUAACUACGAAAUGAUAAAACAGGCACUUCAAUGAUUAGGCUACAUCCCCGCCAUAACAGAGAACAGAGUAAUAAGUACAAAAAGGCAGAUGCAGUUUAAGAAAAAGUGUCUUGAUCAUGAAACCAACAGGCAUGUCAAAUUGGAAAUACAUUCUUACUGGUAACUAAUAAAGAACCGGCAAUCAGUCACUCCAAGUCAAGUACCAGGUUUUGGACAAAAACCAAAACAAUAUAAUUAGUUGAGCACAUUAGUUCCUGAAAAGCAAUACAAACUCCGCAUUUGAGUAUGUGACAUCCUCAACCCACAAUAACUGAAAACAACACAAACUAAAAAUUUGAGUCUGUGACAUCCUUAAAAGUGUGGAGGCAGUUGGUGAUGCAGCUUCUUUAUUGGUCUUCGUUGCGUUUUCAUCCUCAGAUCUUCACAUUCAUAUUGGUUUGGAUAUUCCCGAUACAGUUGAUGAUAUCCAGUACACCGGCGCGCAUGUUGACUUCACAUUCAUUUUUCUUGAAUGUCAGUAGCUUUCCCAAAAUUUGUUUCCUUAGCUCGUAUCCAUCCUAUACAUUGUAUAUGAAUAAGAUCAGCAUGUCAUGUGUAAAAAGGAUAACGAUUUAAUGCUUAUGAUAUUGACCUUUAAAAAUGGCAGAUUCAAUUUUUCGUCAUCCCAUGUAGACAUGAAGAGUGUAAUAAGAUAACCAGACAAUUCCCUAUGUAACAUAAGAUAAAAAUUAGUCACAAAUGGCAAAAUAUAUAUAUGUAUCGUACAUAUUGAGUAAACAUGUUACCUGUUGUGAAUUGGAAUAUUACUUAUGAUCUGUUGAUGCCAUAGGAAAAUAUUUUCAUUCCAUGUAGACCCAGGGCAUGCCUUUGACAUGGCUUUCGGUAAGUGUUCAGAAAUCCACAAAAGUUUGGGCACAUAUUUUGCGUAUCGGUUGCGUUGAUAGAUGGGGUCAGUAGGAGUAGGAUCCAAAAUGUAGACAGUUCUCGUAUCUUUGGCUAGUACGAAUAGAAUAAAUCCAUUGUUGGCUUGUAUUGGAAUAUGAAUCUGAAUUAAGCUUGAAUUAGGUGUAGAUUAAAAAAAUUGUGUUGACAUGUAUAUGCAAGUGGCCUUACCGUUUUGCAGGAUGAAACGUUAUAUUUGAUACCAGGCCAGCUACGAACGGAAUAUGCUAGUUGUUCCACAUCUAACUUUUUCCGGUAGGUUGGAUGUCGUCCAAAAUCAGUAAUCAUCUAGGAUAUUAUAACAUACAUGAGUGUUUAGAAAGGUAUCAGAAAAAUAUUUAGUAUGUAGAUAUAGACACAAAAAAUACAGUUAAUAUAAGAAAUUACCCAAAAUCGCAUGUCAAGAUAAUGUUUCGAUAUCAAUCCUUUUCUUUUUUUCACUGUUUGGAUAUCGUCAAACAUGAUCUUCCGUAUAACCAAAUUGAAGCAGUCACACUCCAUGGGCAACUCUUCAUUUAGCAUUCCUUGCAGCCUUUUGAGAGUUAAGCUAAUUGGAUAUGGGUCAGAGCUUUGUACCCAAACUUUCCUGCAAAUCAUUAUCAUCACAAAGAAAAUAAGAUAACGUAUUUAUCAAUUAUAUUCAAUUAGUAAAAUAAAAUUACAUGCAAUAAAUGGCUUACUCUAAAAUUUCAGCAGGACCGAUUGAUUUGAUGUAGUUACAAAGUCCACCUUCUAACUCAUCUACACUCAUGUAAGAAACAACAGAUAUCAGUGAUUGGUAUCUUUUUUCAAUAGAUAAUGAGUUUAUUGGCUUUGGCCGAUUUUCGUCAUCUAGGCUUUCCAACAGCAUAACAUCAUUUGGAUCUCCCUCACUAUAAUCACUUUCUUCAAUCAUUGUACUCGCUUGCGCCGUGUUUGUUUUCCAACAUAAUAGUAUGGCAGCUAACUUAUAUCUAAAAUCAAUAAUAUUUUCCUGCAAAGUAUACACAAAUAUUAGCAUUUUACUCAUAUAACAAUUAAAAUGGCACCCACAUAUACAUGUUUAUCAAACAGAAGAUUUAUUUCUUUACCUGUGUAAUGGAAUGUGUUAGUGUAUGUCCGGUCCAAUAUUCCAUGAAUUUAAGCAUAAACAGACCACAAGAUGAACUGCAUGUUUCGAACAAAAUUGAGUACUCCACAUAAAUUACAACAUUUCUUAUAUAUGGUUAUCUGUAAACAAAAUUGUGUUAUAUAUACCUGUCUUUCUGAAUUGGAUUAUGUAGUUGUUCUGUAAUCGUCCAUUUAGUAACAUCGAGGUCUUUCCAAUUAUGAUUAUUCAUGUUUUCUUGAGUUUUAAGAAUGUCCAAAUGAUAUUGUAGUCCUUGCAGCUGAAAAAUUAUUAGGGGUAGAUAACACACGUAAGCGGAAGAUCAAUUGACAACAUUUUUUUACAGAAAAGAGUUAUAAGCAACUAACCGUAUUAGUGAGAUCAACUCGGUUGUGCUCCCAACAUAAUGAGUCGAGUACUUGUAUCUCAGACUUUUCAACGUUGACACAAGCUAAAUACCAAUGCGAGUGCUCGAUGUUUAUUGGAAGAUGAAUCUGCAAUCAAUAUAAUGAGUUAAUCUUAUCUUAGAGAUGUAAUAAUAAUAAGUAAAUAAUAGAACUUAUAAUUAUGGGUAUGGUUGUUACCAUGUCAUGCUUGAGAUAGUUUCCGACAAUCUUUGUCAUAAAGGUUGCUUCAUGUAUUCCAAUCUUACCAUCCCGUUUUAACAGCCCGGCUAAAAAGGUAUUCUCAAAAUAUACUUUAUGAUCGUUCUUAUUUUGCUCAUGUACUUCUUGUAUACAAUAUAUAUACGAGUUGAUUACCUAAAAAGAUUUGAAAAAUAUUAAUUGUUAAUGAAUAUUAAAAUAGUCAUAAACUUUUUUCUUGUUAGUUAAUAAAGGUACUUACAUCAUCCUUUAGCCAUUUGGCACCAUCUAGCAGGCAUCUCAAAUCACACUGUUUUACACAUACUUGAUCUAUCUUCACCAAUAUUUCUUUUUCAGAAGAGUCUUCGAUUACUAUAUGAGCACACAGAUCCAGUUCGGUCAAUGCGUAAUCUACAAAAAGAUCGAAGCAACAGAUUUGCGUUAUAUCCUGAUUUAGAUAUAAUGAAAGGCAUAAGUACAGAAGAUGAGUGAAAAUUUUACCUUGUGGAAGAUAGUCAUAUGUCUCAUUUGUAUGUUGAGGUACGUCUGGUUGCUUACCAUCGUAUGCUGAAAUGGUUUGCUUGUCAUCAUCUUCUGAAAGUUUUUCUUCAUUUACUAAAUCAGAAACCGGCGAUAACGUCGACUUGGUUUCAGAACAUUCAGAAACCAUCGACUUGGUUUCGGAACAUUCAGAAAGCAGAGAUGAUGCUGAGAUGGAAGGUGAUGACAGUAAAUCAUCCAAAACACUUGUUUCACAACAUUUUGCUUUUUUCAAAGGCCGGUUAUCAAAAUCCUGAAAGGUGGUUGUUUCAAUGUUGUGGUCCAUGUUCUGUAAACACAAGCACAAAAAUCAAAGUUUAAGAUCCCAACAGAGAUAGAGCCAAACAUUCAGAAAACAAUUAGCAUGCUCUGACUACACAAAACAAUCAAACAAAAUAAUCAGAAAGAUGCUAACAUAAAUUUUCAAGUUUAGGGAUUGAACUAAACAUACACUCGUGCACCAUAAUCAUCCUUUUGAACAUAACUUUCACAAAAUCAAAGAGAACCUUGGAGGAGGAGGGGGCAUUGUGGCUUGGUUGUGAUGCCCAUUGCUCAGGCAACAGUAUAUGGUAUGGGAAAUUGGGAAUGAAAGAUGCAUUUGUGAGUGGAAUGUCUGAAUCAAAUUCUGAAAGCAACUCAACGGUAUUUCUGAAUGUGUUAAGCUGAAUCAUUAGCCAUUUUAAUCAAUCAAAGUACAUGUUCAGCUUUCUGAAUUCUGAAAUUCUGCAUGGUGGGUUCCAAGGUGUCCACUACAAUAUACUUUCUGCUAUAUUCUUCUGGAGGACAUAAUGCAUAACAGCUAUUUUCUUCUAUAUCAACAUAAUAUAAUGCAUAGCUGUAAAAAAACAUAUGCGGUGAUAUAAUGCAUAAGCAACACUACAUGUGCAAGACCACGAAUUUCAGAGGUUUAAAAAAAUUAGGAUCACGUUGGAUUUCAGAGGUUAAAAAUUAGGAUGGCAGAGCAACACUUCGACUAAAUUAACUUUUCUUGAUUUGAUCGCCGCAACUCUCUAUUCUGAACUCCAAUUAACCUACAGGAGAGAAAGGAUUAGAUUGGAUCGAGAUUGGAUACCCUGCUGCUGUCCUAGGGUUCAAGAGGAGGGAGAGGAAACGCAUCAGAGAGAGUGGGUGCCAUGGGCCAUGGGAAGGGGAGACGGAGGGGCCGCCAUGCGAGGGGAAGUCACACAAUCUCAUCUCAACAGAUUCAAUCAAUAAAGAGCAAAAUUAUAAGAAUCCCUAGGGAGGGGAAGCCAGGAAGGAGAAAGCUGAGACCUUGUUGUCCUCCUAUGCUGGAGUGCUCGGUGGUGACGGAGUUGACCGUAGAGGCGGUACCUUGGGCGAGAAAACGUCUCGAGCGGAUCUGGCGAGGCGUGCUGUCGAAGUUCUGGCAAGUCAGCAAGCGAGACGGCACCUCGGGCGGAGCUUUGUAGAACGGGGCAAAGGAGUACAUGUCGGAACCCCAUUGCUCGAGCAGGAUUUUGCCUCGGAGAAGAAUUUGUCUCGGAUUUAGGUUCGGAGGAGAGCAACCCAGUCGAGGAGUAGAUGGCGAGCGCGCAGGAGACAACGACGGCGGGCCCGGCAGCAGCCGGGUUAAUCUGCCGCUGGCUGCUGCUGCUGCUGCUGCGGCGAGGGCACGUCGGCAUAGCGGGCGAGAUGCGGGUCGGCCGGGGAUGAGUCGGGAGAGAUACGGGAGACGCAAAAUUGCAGUUUAGCCCAUACCUUGCAAAACAAACCCAGUUCCGUCCUUAAUAUGGACCGGGGUUAAAUUAACAAAAAUGUGAAGGGGCAAAUCGCAAAACUUGCGGGCGGACAACGACGAAGGAAGCAUUCCUCCUUUUAUUAUUUGGGUAGAAAUGUUACUCCGUAGCUUUCAUGCUUCAAAUUCGACCUAAAUUUAACUUCCAUAUUUCAAAAUUCAACCUUGUAUAAUUUUGUCACUAUCAAAACUCCAACUCCAUGGGUCUAUCAAAAAGUUUAGUAUGGACACGAGCUUAACAAUUGCCCGUACCACACGUCAAGAUGGUACGUGAUUUGUCACAUUAAUAGUUUAGUGAUAAGGGAUGGCCCGAUCUUCUCAGAGAGCAAUGAGGGUAACUUGUAUGAUUUUACAAAUCUCGCGAUUGUUCACCCGUCGCCGCACGACGAACUUGCAACCCAAUGAAAAUUCGCAACACAACACACUUGCGCAGUAGUCCGCCGACCACAAGCGGUUUCGCAAUCUUCCAAUUCACAACGGAACGACAGAUUAAGUUCGAACUUUUAGUAGAUAAAACACCCUAUCGAAACGAAUAUGGUGUAGGUAAAAUUUUUGAUCGAAACAAAGAGAAAUCAUAUACUUUCAGAUGAAUGCUUGGAGCAAUUCAACAAAAGGUUCUGAAUAAGCUAAAACGUGGUCUUCCCUAAACCUAGUCGUACCCCUUGUUUAUAUAGAUGAGGAGUAGCCCAAACUCAAUACAGACUCCGACUCAAACUCAAACUAGAAUUCGACUCAGACUCAAAAUAGAACUAGAAUUCGACUCAGACUCAAACAUGGACUCGCAGAUCCGGUCGCUCCUUAGACGUAUCGGACUCGUCGUAGGCUCUCCUAGUGCGCCUCAUAUUCGUACAUGACUUGUGGUGCAUCCUGAGCAUAUCAUCCUUGUCGUUGGUUGCCCCUUGCACACAAGACAUUCUUCUAAGUUGUAUCAUUCAUCUUCACUUUUGGUGUGGCUACCUCCCUCUCCUCCCUCGCGCAUAUCUUGAUGUUGGAUAUCAACACUUGAGGAUCUGUACCCUCAUCAUCCUCCCCUUCUUCAAAAAGCGUUGUCCUCAACGCUGAAAGGUCUUUUCCAGCGGGUGGAGUCAGAUCAGCAACAUUGCCACACUCCAUCUUCAAGCCUCGCCAGCCUGCCACACCACGUCCUCCCUCUCGGCUAGCUUGACCUGCCCUCGGCGCCACUUCGGUUGUCGGCGCCACCAACCUGAUUGAGACAUAAAGCAUCCUCCGAAUGUAACGAAGCACACCUCGCAUAUCACCCCGAACAAACAGGACAAAUUCUUGUACGCUAAGAGUCCAAAUAAGCUGAGUACACCCGUAUGUGCAAUUUGUUGGAAACCAAUAUCUCCUUUUCCUUUUAAUCCUUUCCUUGCUGUCCUCGUGAAGCCACAAACUUCUCGGAACUCGGAACUUGCUGGAACUUGCCGGGACUUGCCGAAACUUGUCAGGACGUGCCGUGAAGUCGGAUAUGAAUUUCUUGGCUACACGUGCACACAUAAAUCUCCUCUUGCCUUUUUUUUUCUUUUUUUUCGUAGCAAUCUAUACCAAGAUGAUAAGGGAUGGCCCGAUCUUCUCAGAGAGCAACGAGAAUAACUUGUAUGAUUCUACAAAUCUUCCGGCUGUUCACUCGUCCCCACACGACGAACUUGCAACCCAAUGGAAAUUCGCAACACCACACAUUUGCGCAGUAGUCCGCCGACCAUAAGCCAUUUCGCAAUCUUCAAAUUCCCAGCGGAACGAUAGAUUAUGCUCGAACUUUCAGUAGAUAAAACACUCUAUCGAAACGAAUAUGGUGUAGGUAAAAUUGCUGAUCGAAAGAAAGAGGAAUUAUAUACUUUCAGAUGAAUGCUUGGAGCAAUUCAACAAAAAGUUCUGAAUCAGCUAAACCGCGGUCUUCCCUAAACCUAGGCGUACCCCUUGUUUAUAUAGACGAGGAGUAGCCCAAACUCAAUACAGACUCAGACUCAAAUUCAAACUAGAAUUCGACUCAGACUAGAAUUCGAAUCAGACUCAAACUAGAACUAGAAUUCGACUCAGACUCAAACAUGGACUCGCAGAUCCGAGCACUCCUUAGACGUGCCGGACUCGUCGUACGCUGUCCUAGUGCGCCUCAUAUUUGUACACGACUUGUGGUGCAUCCUGGGCAUAUCAUCCUUGUCGUUGGCUGCCCCUUGCACACAAGACAUUCUUCUAAGUUGUAUCAUUCAUCUUUAUUUUUGGUGCGCGUGCCUCUCUUUCCUCCCUCGCGCAUAUCUUGAUGUUGGAUAUCAACACUUGAGGAUCGUACCCUCAUCAUUUAGCAUGUCAUUACAAUCAGAUACUCACUCCGUCCCAUAUUAAGUGUCUCAAAUUUUUCCAAAUAUGGAUGUAUCUAUGCCUAAAAAGCGUUUAGAUACAUGUAAUAUUUCGACACUUAAUAUGGGACGGAGGGAGUAGGAUAGAAAGAUAGUCAGUCGAGAAAGCAGACAUAUAUCAAAGAUAAAAAGAAUUAAAACAUGAUGUCUUAGGAUAGAGAAUGUAACAAGAGAGCAGCUAUAUGAUUAUAUAUGCUUGUUUACCAUAUAUCUUAGUUGGAUAGGACAAAAAUCAAAGAAAAUCUUUGAAUGAAUUCUCCAGAUUGGACAUGCUAAUUAUGUUCUGCUUUGUGCCCAAACAGAAUGUCUUAGGGUAGUAACGAUCAAUUUUGGCACCAAAUAAUAUACAUGAUGGCAUUGCCAAUUCUAAGUAUACCAUUUUCUAAAUUAUUUUAACAGUCGUCCAAACAUGUUUGCUAGGAGUACCAUUUUAGAGCACCAUAGAAUGGUCUGGAUGGUUAAAGCGUGUACUUGUAGAAGUACACUGCUUUCCGUUAUUCUCAAAUAUAUUUUUCUAAUAUGGUCCAAUAGUUCAUCCAAUAAAAUAUACUUACUCGGUCCCAUAUUAAAUGAUUCAAAUUUGCCCAAAUAUGGACGUAUCUAUGCCUAAAAAGUGUCUAGAUACAUGUAAUAAAAGUCACUUAAUAUGGUACGGAGGGUGUAGUAAUUUAGUAAAAUCGAAGGUGAGACUUAACACAAAGAAUAGUCAAUAAGCUAUUUUGAGAUAAGACAGGAUGAGAAGACAAAUCUCAUACAAUGCAAAACAUGAAUAAACAAGUGUAGCAAAGAAAAAAUAGUGAAAAAAACCAAGAUACAAAAUUAGCUGUCAAUAAACUUGCCCCAUCACUUAUUUGUGGUGGUGCCAGGAAAAAUGUAGAAACCUGACGAGUUAUUCAGUCAAUAUGAUCAGAAACUUGGAGUUGAUCUUGGAGACGCAUGACUUGUAAACUGGGAACUCGAUCCACUUUAUAUAUGGUACGUCUACGUUGCCAGCUAGGGCUACACAACCACUACGUCAGUUUCUAUAUAUAAGAGGUUCUCACUUUGUCCUAACAUCUAGAAUAUCAAAUAAAUAUACUACGAAAAUAUAUAUCAUGAUGGUUUUGAUAAAACUAAUUUAUAGUCGUAAAUGUUGAUACAUUUUUUUUUAUAAAUUUGGUCAAAUUUAAAAAGUUCGACUUGGAACAAAGAUAUAACUUUACAUUUAGGAACGAAUGGGGUAUUCAUCUAGAUAUGGAAUAAGAAUGACACAUCGCAAGAGCCAGAGCUCAUACAUGCUUAUCGAUGUAAGUAUAUUGCCGCUACUAUUCGGUGUGAUCAAUCACAAUCUAGCCACGCUAAAAGCAAAUAAGUUUAAACAUGCAUUUUAUAGUGAUCUAAUUAAUAAAAUCAACCAGAGGAAACUCACUGGUGACUUAACAGUGGCAAAAAGAAGCCCCAAGAAACGCCAAACACUUCCAUAACAGGGUACAAAACUACAAAUAAUUGACAAUGCGGCUGCGUGGUCACUCAAGAAAGUCCCAAGAAGCAUAAAAAAUUCCCAUAAGAGGGCAUGCAAUUUUCUUUUGUAUAUCUUGUUGUAUCAUUAAUCUUUCCUAUAAAAGAGAUCAGCAAUUUAUUGUCAUUACUAUUUCAAGAAUAUUGGACUACGUAAAUCCUAGACAAAAUCCGAUCCACUCGUACUAAAGAAUCGGAACAUUUCAACUGAAAUUCAUCUUAUUUAUUACUCAUGAAAAGAUAGAGAAUGAGAGUGCAACUCGAAUCAUCUCAAAAACCAAUCGAAUAUUUCGUAUGAGUAAUUAGGGGUACAUCCGUUUUAAUAUGUCCCGUGUCAUGCAAGCUCAGGUAGGCUAGCAGCCUAACACCUAGUUUGUCUCAACAUCGGAGCAAAGCAACACUGCCCAUCUGAUUAGCUAGCUCGUUAAGCGGUUAAAGCUCAGUUCCGUAUCGGUUUGAGAGAUGAACAUGGUCUUGUCCGUGCGGGAGAGCUGUUUCUCUCCUGUGAUAUGCGUUUUGCUACAGUUACCGCAUUGUUUAACAAAACCAAAGGUUAGGUGCUACCGAGUGAUCUGCCAAAUAAGGAUGCAGAUGUAAGAAGGUGAGGACCACGCAUUGCUUCACGGGUUAACGAAAAUAUUUGCAACUCAGUGUUCAACGUCAGUUUAAAAAAAAAAUGUUCAACGUCACAGACGUCGUUUGGACUUUCUUUCUCCGUGACAUAUGCGCGUGCGUGCAGAGAGAGUUGUUCGCAGGCCCAGGCAGCAGCGAGGUGAGGUCGACUGGAUCCCGGCCGCAUAACGCUCACUCUCUCCUUCCCCUCCCAUGGCGCCUUCCCUUCCCAUCCCCACCCCACCCCUCAAACCCUAACUCCAAGCCGCAUCAAAUCGAACGGAACUUAAAUCAAAUCGACGAGAAAAAACGAACGAAAACCAAUGGAUCGCUCCCGCUCGAAGCGCGGGUAUCACUACGACGAGGACUCGCCUCCGCCUCGCUCCAAGCCCCGUUUCGACCGCCGUGGCGGUGGAGGAGGCCCGAACCCUAAUUCCAACUACCACCGCCGUGGACCCACUGGAGGCGGCGGCGGUUCUGACCGCCGUGGUGGCUUUAUUCCGUCAGACGGCGCGCCGCCCCCGCUCCCGCCCCCAGCACUUCCCCCUUCUUCCUCUGCGACGAUUGGGGGCGGUGGCCCUGGCGGCCCCGGCCAGGCCACAUCCUUCCGCAUCCUGUGCCCGGAAUCCAAGACCUACGGGUUCCCCGCCAGCUUCAUCAUCAAGGCGCAGGAUGACAGUGGCGCGAUCAUCACUAUACACGCGCCCUUCGCGGGGGACCCGGUCCGCGUCAUCGAGAUGGCUGACGGCGUGCCGCGCGACGUGGAUGGCCGCCCGCCCAUGUUCUCGCCGGCACAAGAGGCGCUCAUCAUGGUGCACCGGAGGAUCCUGGAAACGGAGCCUGACGACGGGGAUGAGGACGGCGAGUAUGGGCCCAGGGGCAAGGACGCCCGUGACCGUGGAAAGGUGACCACACGGCUUGUCGUCCCACGGCUGCAUGUAGGAUGCCUGCUUGGCAAGGGUGGCAAGAUCAUCGAGCAGAUGAGGUCCGAGACCAAGACGCACAUCAGGAUCCUGCCACGCGAUCAGAACACUCCGCGCUGUGUAUCAUUGUCGGAGGAGGUUGUACAGGUAUGUAUGGUGUCUGCUACAAUGUUGUAAAUAUAUGCUACAAUGUUGUAAAUAUAUCUAUUCUCGUUUUGGUAAGAGAGCAUUAACAUCGGUAUUUUGAGUGGAAUAUAAGAUAUGGCUCCACACCAUUCUAAACUGUUAGGGGGGCUUACAUAAGGAAAAAUAUUUGUGUUAAUGACAUACUCCGUAUUAUGCUAUGCGUUGGAGAAGACUUAGGCCUGUUCUGGUGAUCUUUUUACUCUAGGAAAUUAGAAAUCAUCAUUCCGUGGAUAAAGUAUUUGUGGUAAACAGAGUUUUGGCUAAUACAAUAAUUGCUUCAUAUGAUAUCAAACUGUAGUGGUGAUUAGGUAGCUUGGCUAAGUUCAUUAAUUAUUAGUCAUUUUGUUAGGAGAACAAUAAGCUGGACCCUACUGGUAGGUUUAUUGGACCGAUUUGCUGCUCUUUGAGAUUCUAUUGCUGUAGAGAAAUUGGACUGCUUUGGUAACCCAGUAUAUAUUCAGGUUUGAAUAAGCCGAAGGUGCCUAAUGGACUGUGUAGACUGACAUGUGCUGUAGUAGGAGGAUAAUCAUUGACAUAGCACAUGGAAAAGCAAAUUUGUUUCCUGAUCAAACUGAAUAUUCCCAGAUUCAAACAAUACUAGUAAAAACUAAGAAGCAUAGAGCUAAAUACAAGUCAACAGACAAAUGUUCAAACUACUAUUUUAAGUUAGUGAGGCAAUGCCUCAUCUUCUACAUACCUCGAGAUUGGGUUUUGAUGAUGGACCGCUAACCUUUUCCUCCUAGCUCUCAUAAUUCUGUUUAGUGAUCACCCUGAUUCCCAAGAUGUGUCCUGCUCAAGAAUUGUACUAGGCUGGUAGCUAUGCAUUUGUUCUGGAUCCUUUUCUGGUAAUGUUAAACUUAUUAAUACUGGCUUAAACACGAUACUCACUGUCUUCUAGGCAGUCACUCACUGAUGGUUCCAGACUCAUCUUUUCACACGUCAAUUUAAAUAUGAAAGUUUUGAAAGUUAUUUUAAUCUGCCAGGUACUUGCUGAAGAACUAUUCCGACAUCAUAUAUUCCUAUCAUCAUAUAAUUAUGAUUAUGAUUGUGGAUGCUUGACAGGGCAUAUUACCUUUUUGUUCCCUGACUUCGCUUUCACUGUAACUUGUGUACUAUUCCCAUGAUAUGUUGUUGCAGAUUGUUGGAGAAGGGAAUUGUGUUAAAAAGGCUGUAGCAAUCAUCUCUGACCGUCUAAAGGAAAGCUUACACCGUGAUCGUGGUCCCUUCCGUGGUCGCAAUUCACCGGAGCAUCGGAUUUCCCAGGCUGACGAAUAUCAGCAGAUGCCUGCAUAUGAAGAACCUUUUGCCCGAUUUGAUCAAAUUAGAAAUAACGGUAGUAUGGAGCCACCAGGAUACGAGUUUGAUUCAAAUGGUAGCAAGUUCAAUGAACAUCCAGAGUUUCCAUAUGAUGAAAUCAUAUUUCGAAUUCUUUGCCCAAAUGACAAGGCUAACAAUUUAGUUGGAUCACGUGAUGGAAUACUAGAGAUGUUACAGGUUGAAGUUGGUGUUGAUGUUAGGCUUACUGAUCUUGUUGUUGGAUCUGAUGAAAGGACCGUAAUCAUCACGUCGAGAGAGGUAAAUGACAUUACUCAUCACUCUACAUACUGUUCUGUAAUUCGAGUACUUAAUGAAGAUCUGUAUACACACCAACACACUGACCCGUGUCAGCCUGAGGGCUUAGACUACUCAUAGUGGGGGUAACUUAGGUAGUAACAUGAGAUGCCAACUAUGCAUUUUGGUGACAUGGCAUGGUAUUAAAUGAAGAAAGAGAGGGAGGUGGUAACUAGAUAUGUUACCAUAACAUCACACAAAACAAGGCAAGAUGAGUCUACAACCUAAUAAAUGACACAAUGCAUGACACCACAUAUAUGUUACUACCCACUAUGGAGGUAGUAACUUAGACUAGUACUCCCUCCGUUCCUCAAAGAUUGGCAUAUUAGCUUUCAUUAAGACAAGGCUUUGACCACAAAUUACUAUGUUAAAUUGUGGUUUAUAUGACAUGAAAUCACAAGUAUCAUGAAGUACUUUUGAUAACGAAUCUAGCGAUACUAAUUUUACGUCAUAUAAAAUACAUCUUGAUAUAGUAAUUUGUGGUCAAAGGCUUGUCUUAAUGAAAGCUAAUAUGCCAAUCUUUAAGGAACGGAGGGAGUAACAUAUACAUGUUACUACUCUAAGUUACUCCCCACUAUGACCAGCCUUACUGCUUGCCUGCCUUGCCCACUGAAAUAGGUAGGCAUUGCGGAAAGUUAGGAGUUAAGAGUGGUUACCUUAAAUAGUGAGUUUGGAUUCUGUAUCUACUUCAGUCUGUUAGGUAAUCCCUCUCUAUAUAUAUCGAUAAACAGCCAGACAGAAGCUAUCUCUUGCGUUAAAAAAACCCCGAAAAGACAGAAGCUAUCUCUAAUCUUCCUCCUCUCUUGGUCAAACUCUCCUGUUGGCACACUGCCCUUGGCUGAAGUGACACCACCCCGCUGCCGAAUCCCAUGGUACAGGACCUUGGUACAGGACCUUGGUACAGGACAUUGGAUAUGAGUUAUCUAUUCAAGGCAGUGAAGUUACAAUUUUUCUAAAUGCUGGAAUGGAAGGCAUGAUUAUGAACUUGAAAUUUCACAUCAUUUUGGACUUUUUCAAAAACAUUAGUUUUUCCUGUUAUAUAUUGGUAAAAUUAUAAGAUUACAAGCUUCUAGGAAUUAUUACUUAAAAAAUGAUCAUUUUUUCAGAUGGCCAGUCAUAACUCAUAAGUUAACAAUGGUCAAUACUGAAUUGUCAAAGAAUUUUGGUCUAGCAUACAUUCAAAAGUAGCAUUGGCGUAUUGCUCUUGGGAUGGUGGAAGUAAAUUGUUUCAUUGUUCACUAUAAGGCUGUAAUAUGUUUUUUUAACUGAACAGUAAAUGAGGCCCCAAAAUUAUAUUAUUAAAAAAAUGAAAAUAUUUACAACAAAGGAUUGGAAAUGUGCACAAAACAAGUCUGUUCACUAUAUUAUGGUAUCACGACAUGUUGAAGUCUACAUAUUUACGUAUGAAGUUAAAUUGCCUUAUACUUGCUUGUGCUUCGUUUUGAAGCAUGUGAAUAAAUAAACCGUAAGUCAGUUGGAAGUCUGUUGGUCUAUUACUUUGGAUCUCAGUUGGACUCAUCAGGUUCUGUGAUCAAAACAUGCCUGCCCAACAUAACACUUCCAAAUUUGAAGGACUCUGCAUGGCUUGUGUGCUUUUAGGAAGCUUGGUAAGCAUCUGUUAUACUGAUUCAUGAACAGAGUUGUGGGUGAGUUUAUUUACAGACUUGGAAGCUGGAACAAGAGUUGGGUUGCAGUUCUGUCGAUUUCUCAAAUUUUACAUUUUUAGCUUUGACAAACUACAUAAUCAGUAUCAACGGUCAACACAUAUAAAGGUUGCUUCUUCAGAUGGAUAGUCCAUUUUCUCCCGAAUAUGUUACUGAUUGUGCCACUAGUUUAAAGUUGUAUACUCGGUAUACUUACUAAGUUGCUAACUGGCAAUUACCUUGUUUGAGUGAUCUUGACUUGUUGCCUCAUGAGAAUCAACUAAAUUAGUUAGUUUUCCUUUUAAACCUGUUAAGGAAGUUUAGAAGUUGUCUAAAUUAAAUCAAACUAUGAUAUCUGAAAUAUCGAGCAAGGUUUCCCUUUCAAUAUCCCCACAAGAAAUAAUAUCUAACUGUUAUAUGUUAGCUAAUUACGCUGUUCAGUUUUAUCUGUAUAGUAGCCAAUCUUCAGAUCUGUGGAGCAACUCUAUUCGAGAAAAGGCUCCUCAUAUUAUUGGUUAAUUCACAGCAGUAUCUGCUUGCAUGUAACCUCACUUUGACCUUUUGUUGUGAGUUGUGACGCAUGUAUACUAUGAUCUCUGUUUAUUUUAAUUACUAAUUUUUGGUGUUGUUUGAUGUCUUAUGCACUUAUGAAAUGUAUAUACUUGUGAACGACUGCCAGUUUGGAAUUUUGCAUCAGCUAUCAUUUUUAACUGUAAUUUAGGAUCACUUUAACCCCUCACGUAUUUCAUUUUUAUAUUCCUAACAUAUCGUUGAUUAUGAUAUAGGGCCCAGACCAUGAGCUUUUCCCAGCUCAGGAAGCAUUGCUGCACAUCCAAACCCAUAUAGUAGAUCUGGGCCCUGACAAUGAUAACAUUAUCACAACAAGGUUACUUGUCCCUUCAAGUGAAGUUGCUUGCUUUGAGGGAAGGGAUGGAUCAUUAUCUGAUAUACAGAGACAAACUAGUGCGAAUGUACAGAUAUUACCAAGGGAGGAACUUCCAUCUUGCGCUCUUGAAUCUGAUGAACUCAUACAGGUUGGUCUUCAAUUGCAGUACACCUUCACUUCUGCUAUACAAGAAUUUAAACAGGUAGCGGAGAUCCAUCUGCAAACACCUACAUGGCUGCAUUAUAGAUUUUUCUCGAAAUUUUUGUCAAUUGUUUGAGAGGAAUGCAGAUUGGGAUUUCUUGGCCAUAACCUAGAAUGACCUUUGCCCAAAUACAGUGGAGUCUUGUUUCGUUCUUUGCUUUUUUAGCCGAGCUGGAGUUGACCUAUUUUUCUAGUUGUUUUUUGCUCAUCAGGGGGAUCUUUAGGUUGCACAUUUUAUCAUAAAGUUCUAUGCUAGUAGUCAUUGUUGCCGACACGAAUCCAACUUUUUUCUAUUGUUUAAGUUUGAAGUUCAUUGGCCUACAACAUUAUGUUUUUAUAGAUUGUUGGAGGGAUUAGAGCUGCUCGAAGUGCUCUCAUGCAAGUCACUACGAAAAUACGGAGUUACAUAUACCGUGAGAUGUCUGUUCCUAACCAAAUUGCCAGCAUUAAUGUACAUGGAUCCAUUCCUCCAGCAAAUGGCUCACCUCGAGGAAUAUACCCUGGAAAUGACCUUCCAAUGGCUAUCUACCAGCAAUCACAACAAAUGACAACUUCAUGGCACUCAAAGGUAUUGGUGAACCUCACUGCCUGCCUUCAUCCUUAUGUACAGACGUUUAUAUGCCUCUGAAGUAUUCUUACCACUGAUUUCUCUUCUUGUCACAUGUUCCACAUAGACCUGCUGUCUUACAAUCAUGGCCAUCUUCUAUCUGUUUCUUUCGAAAUGUGGUUGGUUGUGCCACAUACAUAAAUUGACUGUUAAAUAUCACAAUCAGUGGGUUAUAAACUUAACAAAACAGUUACCUAAAUGGUUAAUAAUCAUGGGAAAUAUGAUCUGAAUAUUUGUACUGUAUGCAAAUAGAGUUAUAGUGCAUGUAACUGCUCUUGUAGUUUUAUUUCUGGAGUCUGAUGAUUAUGUUUGGACCGUACAUUUGGUAUGUUCAGGAUAGUGGAGGUAGUGCAAGUGGAUCAUUUGAGCAAGGGAGCAACAUUAAUGAUGAUAUAAGGAGUACUAUAAAACGGUAAAUUUGGGUCUUCAGCGCUAAUUCUUCUAUCUUGUUGAUCCAUGACGACCUUACUCUUUUUCCAUCAGAUUUGCUGUUCCCUUAGUGACUAGAAGCACAUUAGAAGUUGUCAUACCAAAGAGUGCUGUUGCAAGUCUCAGUAUGAGGGCUGGAAGCAAGCUUGCCCAAAUAAGUGAGGUGCUAUAUAUCCUGAACUUUUUAGUGAAAUGAAGGCAGACAGUUCCAAACCAUUCUAACUUUCUAACCUCUGUUGGUAACAGAUGUCUGGUGCCUCUGUCACACUUGGUGAAGACAGACCUGGAGUCAUGGAAAAAGUUGUUCGAAUAUCUGGUACCCCUGAGCAAGCCGACAAAGCUCAGAGCCUGCUUCAGGGGUUUAUACUUAGCAGUGAGUAUUUCUCUUCCUGUCCCUCUAUCUGUAUUAUUCCUUUAUCCUCUGCACUUUGAAAAAUAUGUAACUCUUAUCUCCUUUCCACUGCCCAGUCCAAGAUGAUAUUCCUUCAGGGUAACGGAGUUAUUGCUGCGGCUUACACACCACCUGUUCAGUAGGUGUCAUUUGUUCAAUUUAACCUUGUUUUAUGAAUUUCCUGCGUAUUCAGGUGUAGUACAUGAGUUCUUAUGAGGUAUUUAUUUUUUAGUUUGUAUGAAUUUUCCCUGAUUAGAUCUUGUAUCUUUAUGUGCAAAGUGUUCCUGUACGAUGUUCUCUGAACUUUAUCUAUUUAAGCUGUUGCGUUAUAUUAAGUAGCGAAAAUGAUCGGGAUGGACUAUUGAAAAUGAUUACCUAAAGCACACUAUGUACUAUUGAAGAUUAUUUCUACCAAUAUCCCUUUCGAUUUGUAGGAAAAUUACAUGAUACCUUCCAAUAUAACCCAAGAUGGCACCUGAUCUCAUUCCGACUUUUCCUUUUGAAGGGAGAACCCUCUAGGUGCACAUCCGUACCUGCUUGUGUGCUUUUAUCUCGUGCUGAUGAUAUGCUAAAUACAUUUGGAAUUUAUCCAAAUAUAUUAUUUGGAACUGCUGGUUGUUUAAAGGCAUGCUAUUUGCUAGUGAAACAAAUCAUGUUAAAGCCUGAAGAAACUAGGCAGGCUCUCAGAUCUUGAUUAUAUGUAUAUAUGAAUUAGUCAUAUGUCCAGUUUACCUGCUAAGAACUGGUUCGGUUUUCCCCCCUAAUCUAGUAGAAAUGUCGUCAAACAUAAUGUAUGGAUUUAUGCAUGGAGUUGCAAUGAUGUACUAGCCUAUCCCAACUUGCUUGGGACAAAAGGUUUUGUUGUUGUUGUUGUUGUUGUUGUUGUUGUUUUACAGAAGACCGUAUCAUCUAGCAACAUAGUACAGGAUAAACCUAAAAGAGCUUAGGCUUUGUCUAUUACAAGGAGAGGCAUCUUCUAAUGAGAAGAAUCGGUACAAGUUAGAGAAGGAACGUUUGCAGCAUUCUUUUUGCCCUGUGUGCUGGAUGGUGAGCAACAGUGUUCUUGUCCCUAGAAACAUGACGAAAUGAAGCCUCCUUGGGAGUUGUAAGGGCAAUGAUGUAGUAAGGGUGGAGUUGUAAGUGCAAUGAUGUAGUAAGGGCAUCUCCAAUGGUUGGUACGAAGCAGGUACUUCUCAUAUGUGGAGAGAAAGAAAAAGAUAGUACCAGUUACUUGUAGAAGCAACAGAUUUCUACGCAGGUACGAAGAACAAAAAGAGAAUGACAUGCGGACCCAUUAGAAAAAAGAAGUGAAUAGAAAAGUGAAAGAGGAGAGAAAAACCAUGGAAUAAAAAUUAGUAACAGCUUGUUGAAAAUGCCCUAUUUGCUCCGCUGAUGUUCCGGUGUCCUGGAGACUGCAAACGUCACCUGCCUUGCAAUCCCUCCAUGCGCAGCUUCAACCCUGGAAGAUUCAAUGCUUCCAGAAGGCUUGCUGCAAGACACAGGCCAGAAGCAACCCUGAAGAGGUGAGGACCCUGGGGGUGGAGAUGGCUUGAAUUUGUGCAUCCACCUAUGACCACUGAAAAUGCCAAUGUUGGCUGGAACGUGUAAAGCAUGAAGAGUAGAGAGUUUCCAAGCUGCGUCUGAGAAGAUUAGAAGGCUAUCAGUGAAGGAGACCUGUUCAUAAUAAUUCUAAAUGUUAGGCGCUAAAUUAUGAGGACGGGGCAGGUUACAGCUAGCAAGGCCUUGAGCAUUAUGGUGAACUUGCAAAGGAAAGCUAAGACUUCUAUUGAAUAAACAAUUAUUUCUAGAUUUCCAAAGACACCAAAGAAAAGUGGAAACAUUUUGAAUAGAAGCAUGAGCGUGGCCAGAAGGAGGUUAUGGUAGGAGAAAUUUAAUUGUUUUGCUCGACAGAAACCUCCUUAUGUACCAGGCUAGGCUUCCUCUGAAAUGGGGCAUAGGAGGAGGUGAACGUCAUCUUCAAUCAAGCAUCAUCUGGAGCAAGAUUUGUUAUCAUGUUUGAUGAUCGUACAUUCUAUUUUACCUGUUGGAAGGGCUCUCCUGAUGAGGACCCAUGCAAAUGUUCGAAUACUGGACAUCAGGGUUUUUAUUCAAGAUCGUCGACUUUAGCAGGGUAGCUGUAAGGAGGAUUCCGAAAGAUAUGAGAUGCCCUUUGGGUGUCUUUUAUUAAAAAGAAGGAUCACUCCAAACAUCCAAGGGAAGGAUCACUCCAAAUGGAGUUGUUCCCAUCCGCAAGUUAGUGGUAGAGCUGCAAAAUUGUGACCCCCGGGGUACCCUUUGAUCCUACUUAGUUCAACCAAAUGAACUAAAAUUUUAGAACGACAUAACUUUUUGGAAAACUAGUUCAUUGGUUUGAACUAAGGAGGGUCAAAGGGUACCCUAAGAGUCACCAUGUUUCACCUCUAGUUAGUGUGGAUGCCCAAAAGGCUUUUUGGGAAAAUAGAAUCUUGAAAAUAUUUUGACCUGUGGAUAAGAGCAUAUUGAGUGUUGGGCUUGUUUGCAAGGCUCCAAGCUGCCACAACCAAAAGGUUCUCUUGUUCAUGCCAUGCAUGUCACGAACUCCGAGUUCACCAUGUUUCUUAGGGUAACUCCAGCGGGGAGACCCAUUUGUGUUCGUUUGGGCCAAACGGAUUCUCCCAUCCACUUUUGGGUCUGCCACUGCCUCAGCGAGGACACCCACUUGGUUCGUUUUAUUACUCAUGGACAUGCGCAAUGCAAAAACGACGUGCGCCACGACCAAACCCAGAGCAAAUUUGUGUCGGAAAUGGGUCGUGUCCGGACCAAAAAGCGGAUUUGGAUGUCCAUUUUGCCCAAACGGACAAAAUGGAUGGCCCCACUGGGAUGGCUUGCAAAUGCCAAUCCAAGCCCAGAGACACAUGCGCUCUCCUCCUUACCUAACACCCCGUCUGUCAAAAAAUUCUAAUAAUAGCUAUAAGUUUUUGGAAAAAGAAUAUAGGGAUGGAAGAAAAAUUUGUGAGAAGUUCCCUGGCAUUGAACCCAUUAAGUUUGUUUUUGAACUUGUCAAUGAUGAAAUCAUAGGCCGAGGACCUGUCUGUCCAGAAGAAUGAGAUGCUCCAAAUGAAAACAGUGACAUUAUCCAAAUCUUGCACGGGCAAAAUGUUGUUGAUCGGGGCAAUAUUAUAUGAGUAUCAACUUUCUUGCUACAGAGGAUCGCAGCUCCGGUUUGGAGUUAACCGGAGUUAUGACAAAAAUCAGCAAGAAUAUCAUUAAUAGUAGUUGCCUCAACAGUGUUAGUACGACUGCAGAUACGUGAUAGCCUCGAGGGUGUCCCGAUCUUUCGAUGAGAUACCUAAUUAUCGAUUUGGUAAGAGGUGACGUUGACGAUCCGACUACAACCUUGGAGGCAGCGCUUUAGCGAUCGAUACACCAACUCCAGAAGAUUAUUGAUCCCGCGGGGGCACGAUCAACCUGACCACGAAGGUCUUUGUUCCUGCAAGCAAUCGAAGAACAAGCAAGAACAAGAUGAAAAGUAAUCUGAAAUUGCGAAUAGGAGAUAUGAAGGUUCACGAAUCUGAAUACUCAAUAUAGUUGGAGUCUUGAUGACGGUAAAACAGGUGGUCUAACCGACACACGCGAUUACAUGAAAGUAGCAAAGGCUAAAACUUUAUCUAAUCAAAACCCAAUGCUUCAUGGGGGGGGCUCAUGGGGUUUAAAUAGUGAUGUGGGUCGAGGUGGCCCAAUCUUUCGAUGAGAUUGAUAACUCUCGAUUUGGGUAGGAGGUGACGUUGACGAUCCGACUACGGCCUAGGAGGCAGCGCCUUAGCAAUCGAUACACCAACUCCAGAGGGUUAUUGAUCACGCGGGGGCACGAUCAACCUGACCACGAAGGUCUUUGUUCCUGCAAGCAAUCGAAGAACAAGCAAGAACAAGAUAAAUAGCAGAUGCAAUCUAAAAUUGCAAAUAUAUUAUAUCAAACCAAUGUCUCAACGAGACGAUAAGUUGGAGUCUUGACGACGGUAAAACAGGUGGUCUAACCGACACACGCGAUUACACGAAAGUAGCAAAGAUGGCUAAACUUUAUCUAAUCAAAACCCAAGGCUCCUUAGGGGGGCUCAUGGGGUAUAUAAAGGAGGAGGGAGAGAUAUUUUCGUCCACCUUGAGUAAGGAGGCCGAAAUCCAACUCUAUCUCUAAGUUUCCUAACAAACUACAACUCUUUAGGAAACAGAAAAACAGAUCCGUCAGCUUGUUUUGUCCGUCACGGUCAGCACGAGUCGAAUCUCUUGAUUGGGCCAGAUCCCUUGGAAAGGUCUUGUAAUUACCUUUCCAACAAGUACUUGUUUGCUUGAUUUGGACUCCGGAUGCGGCCUGGGUGAUUAAAACAAAUUCGGGUCUCCUGGCAGCUCGGACCCGGAGCGGAUUCAACUUUAAUUCGUGAUAUCUUUCUCUAGCAAGCUCCGAAUCAUGUGCCGUUUGAUUUGUUGGAAAGUACACUUGAAAUCCUUCCUGUCAGCUGUAUGAAUGCUUGAUUCUUGUUGGCCCUCCCGUUCGCCUCCAUCGUAUCUCAUCUUGACAUUGGACAUGAAAAGCUCGACAAGAUGCCUACGUAAUAAAACGAGACAAGAUAGUAGUAGCUCCGCCUCUUCAUAAAUAUGACAAUGAAAAAAAUUACUACCUGAAUUCACCUGAUUAUAAAUCUUGUCAAAUAUUAUAAAAUUGAGGGUACCAAAGGUCGUAUCCAUGGUUAGCAUGUCCAUAUCAUCCUCCCUUUCUUGAAAGGAAAACCGUCCUCGGCGUCGUUUGUGCUGUAAAGAGACUGACAAAAUAGACAAAGUGUGUGCAUGGUAUAUGUAUAUGUCAUCCAUCUUUAUACAUCUUCUUUCUUGCACAACUAAUCUUUUAUAACAAAGUUUCAUGAGAUAAUUGUAAAACAAUCAUGAUGAAUAACAUUCCAGCAAGAAGAUUGACAAUAUUGUUUGCAUUUAUAAGCGAAACGAUUUCUUGUAUUUGGUUUGCACCACCAUUGCACCAUCCCAACAUUGGAGAAUAAUAAUGAAUAGUAUCCAAAUUAGUUACUACAAUAUGCUGAAAUUUAGAGCAAGUCAAAGCACUAAUAUUCAAACAAGCAUGUAAAUAACUAUUUGGCAAAUAAUCAACACAUAUAUUGGAGGUCCUAUCAAAAUGAUUAAGCAUGGUAAUGCAAAUCUCAUGCACCAAAAUGUUAUUGUUCACAUCAUGUUGUCCAAUUAAAUGAAUUGUGUAUCCAUGAACAGCAAAAGAUUUCGAAAUUGUUAACUCACACAGUUUAUCCAUUGCAUGCGACAAAUACAUGGGACUAUCAAGUGCAAUAUAACACAAAGAAUUAAUAGGUGGAUCGUUCUCAAUCACUCCAUGUGUAAUUAACUCGACACAACCUAAACCAAAUUUAUCUACAUCACAUGUUUCUCCGAAAACAUUAGUUAUUUCCUCACAUGAUUCAUUCUCAUCAAUAUCAAAAUUAAUAUGUGCACUCAAAUCAUUAGAAGAAUUAAUUUCAGCAGUAUGUGCACUCAAAUCAGCAUGUAAAUCAACAAUUUCACAUGGUGCAGAAAAUUCAACGGGUAUCUCAUUUAUUUCAUCACAUGUCAUAUUUUGUUCAGUAACACAAUCAUCUUUAUCAUUACCUUGUAGGCUCAACACGUUUCUUGUACACCUUCUCUCCAAUUUCCUCUCCGCUUCACGAGCAAGAUUAAGCAAACACAAUAGAGAGUCGUAUUUUCCGUAUUCAAUUAUGUAAGAAAUAUCAAAGUUAAGCCCACAAUAAAAUCUAUCCAUUUUUCUUUGUUCGGUUUCAUCUAAACCAAACCGCAAUCUUAUAACUUGGAACUCAUGGUAGUAAACAUCAACAGAUUUAUCAUCUUGUGUCAAACGUCGUAGCUGUGAGUGCAAGUUAUUAGCAUAAUUAAAAGGAACAUAUUUUUCUCUCAUGAUUUUCUUCAUACCAACCCAAGUGUGGGGAAUUUUCUUUUCUCUAACUAUCUCAGUCCACCAUGAUAAUGCAUCAAAACGAAUUCUACUACUAGCAAUUUGGACCUUACGACUAUCUAGUACAUGGAAGCAUGUGAAUUGCUCAAUUAGAGCUAUUUCCCAAUCAAUAUAAGCUUCAGCAUCAUUAUUUCCAUCAAAGAAAGGUCCAAAACAAUUAUUGACAUUACAAGGAUUGCGAUAUACCUUUUCCUUGCCAAUGUCAACAAGAGACGAGGAGGAUGGAUGUGGUGAAAAACGCUCAUGUCGGUCACUUGAUAGCAUAGGCCUAUUUUCCAUCCUUCGUGUAAGUCCUGUCAUGGUUAGUAUAAGACAAGAAACAAAACACAGGAAUAUGUUCCUAUCAACUAAUAGGAUGUGGCUACAAGUCGCUCAACUCUCAAGCUAAAAAUCAAGUUCUUACAAGUUCUUACCAUGCAAAACAGGAAGGUGAUGGCCAGCGGCGUAACCAACACCUCCGGAGAUUAAAUGUAUCGAUGCCUCGGUAACAAACCAACCUAGGUGUAGAAUCUGUGGAGCUUGGAGACUUUUGUGAGUAGCAAGGAAUAGCAAAUAAUCAAAUCAGCAAUGCAAAGUUGAAAAUAUGCUCAAUAAUGCUAGUCCUAGCUGCUGGAGUCGAUAAGAACGAAUUACAGAAAUAAUCUAACCCUAGAUACUGAAGAAGGUACGAUAGAAAGAUGGCACAACAAGUAAAUCCCUGGGAUUUUUUUUUCUUUUUUUUUCUUUUUGUGGCCUUCUGUUUGGCUUCUUAUUCUUUUCUUCUUCUUUUUUUUUUCUUUUUUAACCCCAGAAACUCACGCAAAAGAAGGAUCGGAAAACUGUACGUCGGUCUGUCGAAGAACAGCAAAGGCUGCAGUAAGAAAAAUUCAGAAAAAUAUGGAAAAAUAUGGGUUUGGAAGGGUAUCGACACAAGCUUUUCAGCAAGGCAAGAUCACUCAAAACGGAUGUCGGACGGUAGAGAAAACUGAGAAACACCGGGCUGCAGCGACACCGGAAAAUGGAUGCAGAAACUUGGAAGCUCCGAAAGUCCACCUUCCAAACCGAAUUUAAGGGUCAAAGUGCAGGGCAAAGCCCUGGAUAUUUCCUGAUGCGCCUCGUCGUGAGCUUUCCAAAAAGUCCAAGAACGUCCAAAUCCGAGUUGGUACGCAAAAGAUACGCCCGUUUUACUGAAGACGGGUCAAACCAACCCGAAACUAAAAUUCUACUCGGACUCGGGUCCGAAACUGACUCGAACUCUUUCUCUUUUUUUUUCGUUUUUUUUAUUUCUUUCUUUCCUUUUUUUUUUCUUUCCUUUCUUUUUUUUUCAACUUUCCAAACAACUUGAUCUCUAAACAAAAUUCGAUCUAUGAUGAAACACUUUCCAAAAGCACUCCUUAUAGGACUCGGACUCGAACUCGCGGCUGAAAACUAUUACUUGCCGACUCGAUGUAGAACUCAAAGAGGGACACGGUGUAGGACUCGAAGAGGGACACGGUGGAAGAUAUGGUGGCGGCGGGAGAUUAUGGCGGUGGUGUGGCAGGAAGUUUGGUGGCGGAAGAUUGAUGAAGGAAACCUGCGUCACACGAAGAACAAGAAAACCAAAAGCAAGUUCGAUCUAGUAGAAAAAAUCUGAAAAACGAUCCAAUCUAAUCCAGCAACUCGACACGAUUAAUGCAGCAAAGAUUCAACAAUGCAAAUACUAAAGUGAAAAUUGCAAGGCUCGGAUUGGUUCUAGGACAAGGUAACUAAUUCUAAUUUUUGUUUGGCUUUUACUGGACGAUACGUAAAAACAGAUCUAAACUACGGAUAAACUGGAAAAAUCUCACUGAGCAACCUUAAGCUCUGAUACCACGUGAUGUGGGUGAAGGUGGCCCGAUCUUUCGAUGAGAUUGAUAACUCUCGAUUUGGGUAGCAGGUGACGUUGACGAUCCGACUACGGCCUAGGAGGCAGCGCCUUAGCAAUCGAUACACCAACUCCAGAGGGUUAUUGAUCACGCGGGGGCACGAUCAACCUGACCACGAAGGUCUUUGUUCCUGCAAGCAAUCGAAGAACAAGUAAGAACAAGAUAAAUAGCAGAUGCAAUCUAAAAUUGCAAAUAUAUUAUAUCAAACCAAUGUCUCAACGAGACGAUAAGUUGGAAUCUUGACGACGGUAAAACAGGUGUCUAACCGACACACGCGAUUACACGAAAGUAGCAAAGAUGGCUAAACUUUAUCUAAUCAAAACCCAAGGCUCCUUAGGGGCGCUCAUGGGGUAUAUAAAGGAGGAGGGAGAGAUAUUUUCGUCCACCUUGAGUAAGGAGGCCGAAAUCCAACUCUAUCUCUAAGUUUCCUAACAAACUACAACUCUUUAGGAAACAGAAAAACAGAUCCGUCAGCUUGUUUUGUCCGUCACGGUCAGCACGAGUCGAAUCUCUUGAUUGGGCCAGAUCCGUUGGAAAGGUCUUGUAAUUACCUUUCCAACAAGUACUUGUUUGCUUAUUUUGGACUCCGGAUGCGGCCUGGGUGAUUAAAACAAAUUCGGGUCUCCUGGCAGCUCGGACCCGAAUCGGAUUCAACUUUAAUUCGUGAUAUCUUUCUCUAGCAAGCUCCAAAUCAUGUGCCGUUUGAUUUGUUGGAAAGUACACUUGAAAUCCUUCCUGUCAGCUGUAUGAAUGCUUGAUUCUUGUUGGCCCUCCCGUUCGCCUCCAUCGUAUCUCAUCUUGACAUUGGACAUGAAAAGCUCGACAAGAUGCCUACGUAAUAAAACGAGACAAGAUAGUAGUAGCUCCGCCUCUUCAUAAAUAUGACAAUGAAAACAAUUACUACCUGAAUUCACCUGAUUAUAAAUCUUGUCAAAUAUUAUAAAAUUGAGGGUACCAAAAGUCGUAUCCAUGGUUAGCAUGUCCAUAUCAAAUAGGAGGGGAACUAGGCGGUUUUCGGCCAGACCCUUGAGGGACUCUGAAACGGCCUAGGAAUCCUCCUAAAACACAACGAAAACAUCUAAAAAUUGGCUGGACCCUAUUACAUGGCCUUAGGCCCAAUAAAGUAAGGUUAUAACCCUCAUCUUUGGCCCAUAGAUACCCAUUGGAGGGGGAAUCCUCCACUUGGCCGAAAUCCCAUUGAUGAAGAGGAUGCGGCCUUCUUCUCAUCUCUCGUUAUGGCGAUUUCAAUGUUCUGAAAUCAUCACUUGAGCUAGCUCCCGCCACCUUGCUGCCACCUCCAUGGUUUGCUGUCCAACCCUGAUCCUUGAGGUGCAAGCUAGGUCCUUCAUUUCUAAAACACAUAAAAGAACCCAUCUUAGGCAGCAGCAUAUUCUCAUGAAUAUUAAAUGAAGUACUGAGGAACGAAAGUACCUGAUAAUUUAGUUGUCGUGCACGAGCUCUAAUAAUUGGUCCAUGUAUCUCCGGUACUUGAGGUGUAGGUGCUGUAGGGGCUGUGGUUGUAUCAUUAGUUGGGAUGUCCUCAUCAAUACGCAAGUCAUCCGCGAACAUUAGAAUGGAUGGGGGCUAAGCAGGGCCCAAGAAUAACAUAUGGAGUACUUUAACCACAAAAUCUUGUUGAUUCCAAGCAAAUAACAAAUGUACUCCCUCCGUCCAACAAAAGAUGUCUCAAAUUUGUUAAAAUUUGGAUGUAUCUAGACAUGACUUGGUGUAUAGAUGGAUUUAAAUUUAGUCAAAGUUUAGACAUCCUUUGUUGGACGGAAGAAUAAUAAUUUCAAGUGUAAAAAAAUCACAUUAUUCAUUCCUUUAAUGUGCUUGUAAAUUUUCACCGAAAAUAAAGUAAUUUGAUGCCGAACGGAAAAUUCACAUAGAGAAACAAACAACAGCUUAACGAGCCACGGGGCUGAGUAGCACGCUUGAGGGACAAAGGCAAAGCAAAUGGUGCAAACAUGAGGCGGACCGGAGAAGAGCAACAUAGGAUCGUGCAUGAGCGGGGCUGGCCACCAGCAUGGCUACCGGCAAGAGUAUCUCCAGCCGCGUCCCCUAAAGGCCCCCUAAACUAGUUACGGGGGCACCGGCGUAAAAAACCUGACCCAGUCCGCUCUCCCAAAAUAAAAAAGUAGCCGGCCUGAUGCAUCAAUUUAGCCGGCGCCCUCAAUCCACUCCCUUCUCACAGGGGGCUAGCGGGGGCGCCGGCUGAAGCUGACAAGUAGGGCAUGCCACCACUAUCAGUGAGACAAACUAAAUUUGGGGGAGCGAUGUUUGAGGGUGUGGCUGGGUGCCGGUUCCACCCCAAACAAAUUGUUGCGCUGGCGCCUUCCCAUAUGACCAUGCGCCAGAUGAAAUAUAGGGGGCCGGAUGAAAUAUUCUCUGAGAGGCUGAAGGUGAGAUUUAAUUUGGUUUAUUCUUUAUUGUUUACCUGGUGUGUGGACCUGUGGUGUGAGUUGGAUCUUCAUGUGCACAGACGUAUACCACCGUGGCAAAUGAAGCAUCACCAUCACAAGUGAGGAAGCCGAAGCGCAUCAAUUUCGAAAAAGAAGAGCGCCCUCAAACUCUCCAAACACCCGUCUUCCUCAACCUAUAACUGUCAGUCGGCUAGAAAAUCCUACAAUCAUAUCCAUGCCUGUUCCUUGUGCAUACGACAACGACAACAAGGAGAAGGAGAAUAUGGAUGAUGGUUGACCUAAGAUUGUUGGGUUGCUGACAGCAAGGUUUCAUCUCUGUCUUUUCACCACCUCCCGAGCCACUGAUGCAUUCACAAGACCGAGGAAAAGAGGUGGAGGGUGAAACAUCUCCGGCGGUGGCCUAUUAAGAUUGCAAAAAUGUUAAGGUCCUGAAGUCCAAUUUGACUUCCUCACAUGCUCUGUGUAGGCUCCAUUUGCAAGCAUAGCAUAGGACACCACGGUGGCUAAAAUCGUUCGGUGUGAACCAAGAAGCCAAUUAGGUGCAUUUUCUUUCUAAUUUUGAGAGUGAAUUCCAGUUUUUACCUCCCAUUUUUACUUUUUGUGUCAGAAGUGUGCUUAAAUGAAGUAAGUUUGUAAUCCGUCCGUCCCAUAUUAAUGUCUCAACAUUGUCUAGACAUGCAUGUGAUAUGGACAUGACUACCUUGGGUACGACCGAAUUUACUGCACGCAGAUAUAUUUCUUAGGUGGUUUUUAUUAAUAAUUAUAUAAUAUGUUAUUAUUGUAUCAGGAACAAAAAUACGACACCUCCGGUUUUCAUAUGCAGGAUCACCGAAGACCUAUACAAGCCGCCUGUUAAAAUAGGAAGAACAGUCUACCAUACAUGUGAACUUGUAUGCGUACACAUAUGCUGAAGUGGUUCAAAUCAAAAGGAAGUCAUGGGCACGUCCAAGAUCAAUUAGUGGGCCACAGGCCCAUGAGUGUUGCAGGCCACACACAAUGCAUGUAGGGAUGCAAACGGGAUCCCGCGAAAGUCCCUCUUCUAGUUCAUUUUUCAAAUCUUCUAUUCAAAGUUUUGCUCAAAAUUUGAAUAGGCGAUUUGAGAAUUGCACUAGAAGUGAGCCUUUCGCGGGAUCCCGUUUGCAUCCCUAUGCAUAUGUAUAAAUUUUUAGUCCAUCACGUCGUCACGAGGAAAGGCCCAGCUCCAUCUUCAAACAGCCAAGACUUCCAACGGCGUUCGUCUCUGUGGUUGUCUAAUAAAUUGAGGUUGCGCGCUUAGGGUUUGACUGGGUUUUGUUGAAUUGUUUAGCUUUGCUACAAUAUACAGCUGCGAGAUGUGUAGGUUUAGUCCAUCACGUCGUCACGAGGAAAGGCCCAACUCCAUCUUCAAACAGCUAAGACUUCCAACGGCGUUCGUCUCUGUGGUUGCCUAAUAAAUUGAGGUUGCGCGUUUAGGGUUUGACUGGGUUUUGUUGAAUUGUUUAGCUUUGCUACAAUAUACAGCUGCGAGAUGUGUAGAUUUACCGUCUUGUUCAGAUCAUCAGUGGAACCCCCACUUAUCGUGCCUAUAUUAUCAUCUGCAAUUUCAGAUUGCAAUUUAUCAUAGUUGCUGGUUCUUCGAUUGUCUGCAGGAACUCGAACCUGGUUGUUCAGGUUGAUCGUGCCUACGGCAAGCUCCAUAACCAUCAUGCAUUUUUACGGUACCCAGUACUCCUUAUUGAGAGGAAGGAGUACCAUUCAUCUGACCAUCCAUGUAAAAGGGUAGUUCAGUCUUUUCAUUUUACUCUUGAGGUUAUCCAUCUAAUUUCCAAUCAAUUGUUAAUUGAAAAACUCUUUGUCUCGAUCAAACGCAUGUCGCCGCCGCCGGCGCACUUGCCCUGGUCGUCUCCAUCAAGGGCGUGUUGCGCGCGUCUGCAUCCUCCUCCUCGUCCCCUGUGCCGCCGCUGUCUUCCAAAUCACGAGCGACUGCGUCAUCCUCUCCAUAAAUCUUUCUGUACACGCCGCAUCCCCCUUGUAUCCCAUACUGCAGCCGCUGCUGCAUCCCCAUUAUUUCCAUUGUUUGAUUGAAUUACUACUAGUCGGUGGACCUCCAGCAAGGAAUUUGAGAUGUAAAUUAAAAGUUCUUCCAUGCAUUUAAAUUUGCGAUUUAAUUCUUCUGAACCAGUUCUUGUAAUCAUGUAUCACCGAGUUGUUCCUAAUUCUCAGCCAUCUAUGCUGACACGAGCUCUCCUGGCCUCCGCGCCGGUGGCCGCAAGGGCCUGGGGCCAGGCCACCAAACUUAGAUGUUUACUCCUUCCGGGCGAUCCGGCAAGGAGACGCCAUGCCUGCAAAGUAAACAUAGGGUUUCAGACAAUUUGAGAUGGAACUAUAUGUUCCUCUCAGAUCAUCGGACUUAUAUGUGAACAAAACAAAAUUGCCAUAGUGUCUCCAUAUAUUGUUAUUUAGAUGACUUCUUUUUAAGAUAUUCGGAUUACCAUUUUACCCCUAUACUCAUGCUACUCCUCAGUUUUUUUAGGUACUCCCUAUACUUUCAUUGGAGUACCGUUCAAUAGCAUCAGUCGGAUCGAGGCAGAUGAAUGGCUCCUAUUUAUUUCGGGGCACCGUAAAAGAGCUUUAACCAUCGGAGAUUGGUUUAGCGAUUGCUUGAGUGUAUCGUCGAGUACGGUAUAGUCGGAUCAUCAAGGUCAAAAUCCACCAAAUCAAUAUUUAUCCCCACUCUCAUUGAAAGAUCGGGCCACCGGCACAUCAAGUAUCAAAGCUAAAAUUGAUUGGUGAGAGAUUUACAGUUUUGAUAUAUCAGAUUUUUUUUAUUACCUAUAGUCCAACAAAAAGCCUACAAAAAAAAUAGUAGAUUGGUUCAUCCGUUUCACCUACCUUUCUUUAGCCGUAGCAAUCUUUUGCAUCUAGUCUUUGGUUGGUUGAAUUUUUGUUGCAUUCAUCCUAGAAUGGUGCUGGUUUAGAUUGGUAUGAGAGAAUAACCGUCUACUAGAUCACUUUUUUUUUAUUUCCUAUAAUCUCGACCACCUCACGCCAUGAUAUUGUCGCACCAGUGGCCCACGAGGUCCCACUGAUGCCGGACGCAUGGGUCGCAGCCGCAGAAUCCCCACAAGGAUGGCUCCCCGUGAAAGGCAAACCCGGGAAGCCUCUCAUCCCCGAGACGACAGUCAAGGGGGUUACCGAAAGACGCUCACUGGCAAGACCAUUGGAUUAGAGAUCGAAAUCUCUGACACCAUUGACGACGUCAAGGCCAAGAUCAGGAUAAGCAGAACAUCCACCCCAACGGCUACCCGGGAGGCGUUAUUCCGGCAAGCUGGCAGCACGAUGCCCCCACAGCUGGCCAGGCAACGAUACUGGGGUGCUUCCGGACUACUAGAGCUUGGGCCCGCAGGUGGGGCCAACGGAACAGUGAAGACAGCAACGACAGUGCAUUUAAUGCACCGACAGGAGUCACAUCGGCAAGGCUAGUCUUGCUCAGCAAGUCUAGAGCGGCUACCGUAAGGCUCAUUUUAUUUACCACGUACAGUGGCCUGGGCGCUGCAUGAAGCCCAGCGAGGAUCAACAGUAGGGUAAUUCUUGUGGCGAUGACACGCGUGUAGUUAACGUGCAUGUCACGUUGCAUGCAUCGGCACCUGUGGUAUCCCCUUGGCUAUAAAAGGAGAACCAAUGCCACCGGUUGAAGGGUUCAAGUUCUAAUUGGAGCAUAAGGUAGUUCAGCAUCCGUCCAAGUAGCAAAAUCCCUUAGGGGGACAAGUAGCAAAGCCCGGGAACCCUCUCGGGAACCUGUACACGCUCAAACUUGUGAAUACAACCAAAAGCAGAACCUAGGGUGUUACACCUCCGGGUGGCCCGAACCUGGGUAAACUCACGUGCCGCCACUUCAUGUCUUUCGUCACGCGGACGAUCGCCGGAGCGAUCCCCUCGACCUCCACUGAACCAAAAAGGGGGUGUCCAACAUCCCCAGUGCCGGAGUUUCGUGCUCCGACAUCUGGCGCGCCAGGUAGGGGGGGCGUGCAGAGAACUCCGCGUGACCGCCGGCAUCAUCAUCUUCGUCAUCGUCUUCAUCAGCUCACCAUGCCGCCCAAGAAGGCAGACAAGCCUAGGUCGACUUGCGUGAUACACUCGCUAUGCGCACUCGGUCCCACGACGCCGCCAGGGCGUCUCGAGAUCACCGGGACUAAGGGUCUCCCCAGCAGCAGCCGCUGCUGCCCCCGCGAGGCCCUCGUGCGUAGACAAACAACCGCCUGAGGGGGCCUGCGGCGCCUAGCGACGGAGAUAGCCGCCCAGGCGACGCGCACGUGCCAGCCAGCGAGGUCGCUCGCAGGCUGAAGAUGAGCGACAACAGUCGCGUCACGAACAAAGCGUGUCUACCUCAAAUGGACACGUUCCGGAUCAGAGUUUAGCACCGACUCUAGAUUUCCCAAAUUGUUCGUCCUAGUGAGGGACCAUGCCUAGCGAGUCCGUAUAAGUGGUCUAGACUUGUUUCGCUUCUAUGAGUAGCUUUCUUUGGCCUGCUCAUCUUAUAACGCCAAACAGACCGAUUUGGCCGAAUUGUCCGUCCUAGUGAGGGACCAUGCCUAGCGAGUCUGUAACAGUGGUCUAGUCUUGUUUCGCUUCGAUGAGUAGCUUCGUUUGGUGUGCUCAUCCUAGUACCUGAAAUGGCACGUUCCGGAUCAAAGUUUAGCACCGACUCCGAUUUGGCCAGAUUGUCCGUCCUUGUGAGGGACCAUGCCUAGCGAGUCCCUACAAGUGCUCUAGUCUUGUUUUGAUUCGAUGAGUAGCUUUCUUUGGUGUGCUCAUCUUAUAACACCAAACGGACCCGUUCCGGAUCAAAGUUUAGCACCGACUACGAUUUGGCCGAAUUGUCCGUCCUAGUGAGGGACCAUGCCUAGCGAGGCCGUGAAGUGGUCUAGUCUUGUUUCGCUUCGAUGAAUAGCUUUGUUUGGUGUGCUCAUCCUUGUACCUCAAAUGGACACGUUCCGGAUCACAGAUUAGCACCGACUCUAAUUUGCCCGAAUUGUCCGUACUAGUGAGGGACCUUGCCUAGCGAGUCCGUAUAAGUGGUCUAGUCUUGUUUCGGUUCUAUGAGUAGCGUUUUUUGGUGUGCUCAUCCUAGUACCUCAAAUGGACACAUUGCGGACCAAAGUGUUUGCACUGACUCUAAUUUGGCCGAAUUGUCCGUCUUAGUGAGGGACCAUGCCUAGCGAGGCCGUGAAGUGGUCUAGUCUUGUUUCGCUUCGAUGAGUAGCUUUGUUUGGUGUGCUCAUCCUUGUACCGCAAAUGGACACGUUCCGGAUCACAGUUUAGCACCGACUCUAAUUUGCCUGAAUUGUCCGUACUAGUGAGGGACCUUGCCUAGCGAGUCCGUAUAAGUGGUCUAGUCUUGUUUCGGUUCUAUGAGUAGCGUUUUUUGGUGUGCUCAUCCUAAUACCUCAAAUGGACACAUUGCGGACCAAAGUGUUUGCACCGACUCUAAUUUGGCCGAAUUGUCCGUCCUAGUGAGGGACCAUGCCUAGCGAGGCCGUACAAGUGGUCUAGUCUUGUUUCAGUUCGAUGAGUAGCUUUGUUUGGUAUGCUCAUCCUAGUACCUCAAAUGGACACGUUCUUGAUCAGAGUUUAGCACCGACUCUGAUUUGCCCGAAUUGUCCGUACUAGUGAGGGCCUUGCCUAGCGAGUCCGUAUAAGUGGUUGAUAGCCUCGAGGGUGUCCCGAUCUUUCGAUGAGAUACCUAAUUAACGGUUUGGUAGGAGGUGACGUUGACGAUCCGACUACAACUUAGGAGGCAGUGCCUUAGCGAUCGAUAGACCAACUCCAGAAGGUUAUUGAUCCCGCGGGGGCACGAUCAACCUGACCAUGAAGGUCUUUGUUCCUGCAAGCAAUCGAAGAACAAGCAAGAACAAGAUGAAAAGCAAUCUGAAAUUGCGAAUACGAGAUAUGAAGGUUCACGAAUCUGAAUAUUCAAUAUAGUUGGAGUCUUGAUGACGGUAAAACAGGUGGUCUAACCGACACACGCGAUUACACGAAAGUAGCAAAGGCUAAACUUUAUCUAAUCAAAACCCAAGGCUCCAUAGGAGGGCUCAUGGGGUAUAAACAGGAGGGGAACUAGGUGGUUUUCAGACAGGCCCUUGAGGGACUUCGAAACGGCCUAGGAAUCCUCGUAAAACACAACGAAAACAUCUAAAAAUUGGCUGGACCCUAUUACAUGGCCUUAGGCCCAAUAAAGCAAGGUUAUAACCCUCAUCUUUGGCCCAUAGAUACCCAUUGGAGGGGGAAUCCUCUACUUGGCCGAAAUCCCAUUGAUAAAGAGGAUGCGGCCUUCUUCUCAUAUCUCGUUAUGGCGGUUUCAAUGUUCUGAAAUCAUCACUUGAGCUAGCUCCCGCCACCUUGCUACCACCUCCGUGGUUUGCUGUCCAACGCUGAUCCUUGAGGUGCAAGCUAGGUCCUUCAUUCCUAAAACACAUAAAAGAACCCAUCUUAGGCAGUAGCAUAUUCUCAUUAAUAUUAAAUGAAGUACCGAGGAACGAAAGUACCUGAUAAUUUAGUUGUCGUGCACGAGCUCUAGUAAUUGGUCCAUGUAUCUCUGGUACUUGAGGUGUAGGUGCUGUAGGGGCUGUGGUUGUAUCAUUAGUUGGGAUGUCCUCAUCAUCCUCCCCUUCUUGAAUCGAAGUCGUCCUCGACGGUAGUUCAUCUUCUUCUCCCAAAUAAGGCUUCAAAUCUGCAAUAUUAAACGUGGGACUAACCCCAAAAUCUGCAGGUAGCUCAAGUUUAUAUGCAUCAUCAUUAAUUUUUGCUAACACCUUAAAGGGACCACCAGCUCGUGGCAUUAACUUAGACUUGCGCAAAUCAGGGAAGCGAUCUUUGCGCAAAUGCAACCAAACAAGAUCUCCAGGUUCAAACAGAAUUUGUUUUCUGCCCCUAUCUCCCGCAAGUUUAUACUUAGAAUUCAUGCACUCAAUGUUCUCUUUAGUCAUCUCAUGCAUUUUUAUUAUAAGUUCAGCACGUUCCUUAGCAUCAAAGUUAACUUUUUCAGAAGUUGGCAAAGGUAACAAAUCAAUUGGUGCACGAGGUAUAAAACCAUAAACAAUUUCAAAAGGGCACAAUUUUGUGGUUGAAUGCAGUGAACGAUUAUAAGCAAAUUCAAUAUGAGGUAAACAUUUUUCCCACAUUUUCAAGUUCUUCUUUAAAACAGCCCUAAGCAUAGUAGAUAAUGUUCUAUUAACAACUUCAGUUUGUCCAUCUGUUUGGGGAUGACAUGUAGUACUAAAAAGCAAUUUAGUCCCCAACUUAGCCCAUAAACAUCUCCAAAAGUGGCUAAGAAAUUUUGUGUCACGGUCUGAAACUAUAGUAUUGGGCACACCAUGCAAGCGAACAAUUUCACGAAAGAAUAAAUCAGCAACAUUUGUAGCAUCAUCGCUCUUAUGACAAGGUAUAAAAUGUGCCAUCUUAGAAAAUCUAUCAACAACAACAAAUAUGCUAUCCCUCCCCUUCUUAGUUCGAGGCAAUCCCAAAACAAAAUCCAUUGAUAUAUCUUCCCAAGGAACAUUAGGAACAGGGAGAGGCAUAUAUAAACCAUGAGUAUUGAGUCGUGACUUAACUUUUUGACAUGUAGUGCAGCGAGCGAUAAAUCUCUCAACAUCCCGUCUCAUCCGAGGCCAAAAGAAAUGAUCAGCGAGCACAUCUUCGGUCUUCUUCACGCCAAAGUGACCCAUCAACCCUCCUCCAUGUGCCUCCUGUAACAACAAAAGACGAACGAAGCUAUCUGGGAUGCAUAGCUUGUUAGCACGGAACACAAAUCCAUCAUUAAUGACGAACUUGUUCCAUGUUCUGCCCUCUUUACAAUGCUGCAAAACAUCCUUAAAAUCUGCAUCAUGCUCAUAUUGUUCUUUUAUAGUCUCCAAUCCAAAUAUCCAAAAAUCAAGCUGAGAUAACAAGGUAUAACGACGUGAUAACGCAUCAGCAAUAACAUUAUCUUUACCCUUCUUAUGUUUAAUAACAUACGGAAAAGACUCAAUAAAUUCAACCCAUUUAGCAUGACGACGGUUCAGCUUUGCUUGACUACGAAUAUGCUUCAAAGAUUCAUGAUCAGAAUGUAUAACAAAUUCUUUGGGCCAUAAAUAAUGUUGCCAUGUUUCUAAAGUCCGAACGAGAGCAUAUAAUUCCUUAUCAUAAGUAGAAUAAUUCAGACUAGGCCCACUCAAUUUUUCACUAAAGUAUGCAACAGGUUUUCCGUCUUGUAACAACACACCUCCUAAACCGAUUCCACUAGCAUCACACUCCAACUCAAAAGUCUUAUUAAAAUCAGGAAGUUGGAGUAAAGGAGCAUGUGUCAACUUAUCUUUCAAUAUGAGAAAAGCUUCUUCUUGUGCAACGCCCCAUACAUAUGGAACGUCCUUCUUUGUGAGCUCAUUAAGCGGUGCAGCAAGGGUGCUGAAAUCCUUUACAGAGCGGCGAUAAAACCCAGCGAGUCCAAGAAAGCUCCUCACUUGGGUGACCAUUGUUGGAGUUGGCCAGCUUUGAAUAGCGUCGAUCUUGGCCUUAUCAACUUCUAUGCCCUGUGGAGUGACAACAUAGCCAAGAAACGAAACUCGAUCGGUGCAAAAGGUGCACUUCUCAAGGUUACCAAACAAACGUGCAUCUCUCAAAGCAUCAAAAACAGCACGUAAAUGAUUCAAGUGGUCUUCUAAAGAGCUGCUGUAAAUCAAUAUAUCAUCAAAAUAAACCACCACAAGUCAUCCUAUGAAAGCACGUAAAACUUUGUUCAUUAACCGCAUGAAAGUGCUAGGUGCGUUAGUAAGACCGAAAGGCAUGACUAACCACUCAUAUAGUCCAAACUUAGUUUUAAAUGCUGUUUUCCAUUCAUCGCCUAAUUUCAUUCGAAUUUGGUGGUAACCACUACGUAAAUCAACUUUAGAGAACACGGUAGAGCCACUUAAUUCAUCUAACAUAUCAUCAAGUCUAGGAAUUGGGUGACGAUAGUGAAUAGUAAUGUUAUUAAUAGCUCUACAAUCUACACACAUACGCCAAGAACCAUCUUUCUUUGGUACCGAUCUUUCGAUGAGAUACCUAAUUAUCGAUUUGGUAGGAGGUGACGUUGACGAUCCGACUACAACCUAGGAGGCAGCGCCUUAGCGAUCGAUACACCAACUCCAGAAGGUUAUUGAUCCCGCGGGGGCACGAUCAACCUAACCACGAAGGUCUUUAUUCCUGCAAGCAAUCGAAGAACAAGAUGAAAAGCAAUCUGAAAUUGCGAAUAGGAGAUAUGAAGGUUCACGAAUCUGAAUACUCAAUAUAGUUGGAGUCUUGAUGACGGUAAAACAGGUGGUGUAACCGACACACGCGAUUACACGAAAGUAGCAAAGGCUAAACUUCAUCUAAUCAAAACCCAAGGCUCCAUGGGGGGGCUCAUGGGGUAUAAAUAGGAGGGGAACUUGGUGGUUUUCGGAUAGGCCCUUGAGGGACUCCGAAUCGGCCUAGGAAUCCUCCUAAAACACAACGAAAACAUCUAAAAAUUGGCUGGACCCUAUUACAUGGCCUUAGGCCCAAUAAAGCAAGGUUAUAACCCUCAUCUUUGGCCCAUAGAUACCCAUUGGAGGGGAAUCCUCCACUUGGCCGAAAUCUCAUUGAUGAAGAGGAUGCGGCCUUCUUCUCAUCUCUCGUUAUGGCGGUUUCAAUGUUCUGAAAUCAUCACUUGAGCUAGCUCCCGCCACCUUGCUGCCACCUCCAUGGUUUGCUGUCCAACGCUGAUCCUUGAGGUGCAAGCUAGGUCCUUCAUUCCUAAAACACAUAAAAGAACCCAUCUUAGGCAGCAGCAUAUUCUCAUUAAUAUUAAAUGAAGAACCGAGGAACGAAAGUACCUGAUAAUUUAGUUGUCGUGCACGAGCUCUAGUAAUUGGUCCAUGUUUCUCCGGUACUUGAGGUUUAGGUGCUGUAGGGGCUGUGGUUGUAUCAUUAGUUGGGAUGUCCUCAUCAGUGGUCUAGUCUUGUUUCGCUUCUAUGAGUAGUUUUUUUUGGUGUGCUCAUCCUAGUACCUCAAAUGAACACAUUCCGGACCAAAGUGUUUGCACCGACUCUAAUUUGGCCGAAUUGUCCGUCCUAGUGAGGGAGCAUGCCUAGCGAGUCCGUACAAGUUGUCUAGUCUUGUUUCGGUUCGAUGAGUAGCUUUGUUUGGAGUGCUCAUCCUAGUACCUCAAAUGGACACGUUCCGGAUCAAAGGUUAGCACCGACUCCGAUUUGGCCGAAUUGUCCGUCCUAGUGAGGAACCAUGCCUAGCGCGUCCGUACAAGUGGUCUACUCUUGUUUCGCUUCGAUUGGUAGCUUUCUUUGGUGUCGUCAUCCUACUACCUCAAAUGGACACGUUCCGGAUCAAAGUUUAGCACCGGCUCUGAUUUGGGCGAAUUGUCCGUCCUACUGAGGGACCAUACCUAGCGAGUCCAUACAAGUGGUUUAGUCUUGUUUAACUUCGAUGAGUAGCUUUGUUUGGUGUGCUCAUCCUAGUACCACAAAUGGACACGUUCGAAUGAGAGUUUAGCACCGACUCUCAUUUGCCCGAAUUAUAUGUCCUAGUGAGGGACCAUGCCUAGCUAGUCCGUAUAAGUGGUCUAGUCUUGUUUCGCUUCGAUGAGUAGCUUUGUUUGGUGUGCUCAUCCUAUUACCUCAAAUGGACACGUUCCGAUCAAAGUUUAGCACCGACUCCAAUUUGCCUGAAUUGUCCGUACUAGUGAGGGACCUUGCCUAUCUAGUCCGUAUAAGUGCUCAAGUCCUGUUUCGCUUCUAUGAGUAGCUUUGUUUGGUGUGCUCAUCCUAGUACCUCAAAUGGACACAUUCCGGAUCAAAGUGUUUGCACCGACUCUAAUUUGGCCAAAUUGUCCGUCCUAGUGAGGGACCAUGCCUAGCGAGGCCGUACAAGUGGUCUAGUCUUGUUUCGCUUCGAUUAGUACCUAAGUUUGUUGUGCUCAUCCUAGUACCUCAAAUGGACACGUUCGGGAUAAACGUUUAGCACCGACGCUAAUUUGCGCGGAUUGUCCGUCCUAUCGAGUGACCAUGCCAAGCGAGGCCGUAAAAGUCGUCUAGUCUUGUUUCGCUUCGACGAGUAGCUUCGUUUGGUGUGCUCAUCUUAUAACGCCAAACAGACCCGUUCCGGAUAGAUGUUUAGCACCGACUUCGAUUUGGCCGAAAUGUCCGUCCUAGUGAGGGACCAUGCCUAGCGAGUCCGGACAAAUGGUCUAGUCUUGUUUCGGUUCGGUAAGUAGCUUUGUUUGGUGUGCUCAUCCUAGUACCUCAAAUGAAAACGUUCCAGAUCAAAGGUUAGCACCGACUCCGAUUUGGCCAAAUUGUCCGUCCUAGUGAGGGACCAUGCCUAGCGCAUCCGUACAAGUGGUCUAAUCUUGUUUCGCUUCGAUUAGUAGCUUUCUUUGGUGUUGUCAUCCUACUACCUCAAAUGGACACGUUCCGGAUCAAUUUUUAGCACCAGCUCCGAUUUGGCCGAAUUGUCCGUCCUACUGAGGGACCAUGCCUAGCGAGUCCAUACAAGUGGUUUAGUCUUGUUUAACUUCGAUGAGUAGCUUUGUUUGGUGUGCUGAUCCUAGUACCACAAAUGGACACGUUCGAAUCAGAGUUUAGCACCGACUCUGAUAUGGACAUGCUAACCAUGGAUACGACCUUUGGUACCCUCAAUUUUAUAAUAUUUGACAAGAUUUAUAAUCAGGUGAAUUCAAGUAGUAAUUGUUUUCAUUGUCAUAUUUAUGAAGAGGCGGAGCUACUACUAUCUUGUCUCGUUUUAUUACGUAGGCAUCUUGUCGAGCUUUUCAAGUCCAAGGUCAAGAUGAGAUACGAUGGAGGCGAACGGGAGGGCCAACAAGAAUCAAGCAUUCAUACAGCUGAGAGGAAAGGAUUUCAAGUGUACUUUCCAACAAAUCAAACGGCACAUGAUUCGGAGCUUGCUAGAGAAAGAUAUCACGAAUUAAAGUUGAAUCCGAUUCGGGUCCGAGCUGCCAGGAGACCCGAAUUUGUUUUAAUCACCCAAGCCGCAUCCGGACUCCAAAUCAAGCAAACAAGUACUUGUUGGAAAGUUAAUUACAAGACCUUUCCAACGGAUCUGGCCCAUCAAGAGAUUCGACUCGUGCUGACCGUGGCGGACAAAACAAGUUGACGGAUCUGUUUUUCUGUUUCCAAGUUGUAGUUAGGAAAGUUAGAGAUAGAGUUGGAUUUCGGCCUCCUUGCUCAAGGUGGACGAAAAUAUCUCUCCCUCCUCCUUUAUAUACCCCAUGAGCCCCCUAAGGAGCCUUGGGUUUUGAUUAGAUAAAGUUUAGCCAUCUUUGCUACUUUCGGGUAAUUGCGCGUGUCGGUUAGAUCACCUGUUUUACCGUCGUCAAGACUGCAACUUAUCGUCUCGUUGAGACAUUGGUUUGAUAUAGUAUACUCGCAAUUUAAUAUUGCAUCCGCUAUUUAUCUUUUCUUGCUUGUUCUUCGAUUGCUUGCAGAAACAAAGACCUUCGUGGUCAGGUUGAUCGUGCCCCCGCGUGAUCAAUAACCCUCUGGAGUUGGUGUAUCGAUUGCUAAGGCGCUGCCUCCUAGGCCGUAGUCGAAUCGUCAACGUCACCUCCUACCCAAAUCGAGAGUUAUCAAUCUCAUUGAAAGAUCGGGCCACCCCCACCCACAUCAGACUCUAAUUUGCCAGAAUUAUAUGUCCUAGUGAGGGACCAUGCCUAGCGAGUCCGUCGAAGUGGUCUAGUCUUGUUUCGCUUCAAUGAGUAGCUUUGUUUGGUGUGCUCAUCCUAUUACCUCAAAUGGACACGUUCCGGAUCAAAGUUUAGCACCGACAACAAUUUGCCUGAAUUGUCCGUACUAGGGAGGGACCUUGCCUAGCUAGUCCGUAUAAGUGCUCAAGUCCUGUUUCGCUUCUAUGAGUAGCUUUGUUUGGUGUGCUCAUCCUAGUACCUCAAAUGGUCACAUUCCGGCUCAAAGUGUUUGCACCGACUCUAAUUUGGCCGAAUUGUCCGUCCUAGUGAGGGACCAUGCCUAGCGAGGCCGCACAAGUGGUCUAGUCUUGUUUCGCUUCGAUGAGUACCUAAGUUUGUUGUGCUCAUCCUAGUACCUCAAAUGGACACGUUCGGGAUAAAAGUUUAGCACCGACGCUAAUUUGCGCGGAUUGUCCGUCCUAUCGAGUGACCAUGCCAAGCGAGGCCGUACAAGUCGUCUAGUCUUGUUUCACUUGGAUGAGUAGCUUCGUUUGGUGUGCUCAUCCUAGUACCUCAAAUGGCACGUUCCGGAUCAAAGUUUAGCACCGACUCCGAUUUGGCCGGAUUGUCCGUCCUAGUGAGGGACCAUGCCUAGCGAGUCCUUACAAGUGGUCUAGUCUUGUUUCGCUUCGAUGAGUAGCUUUCUUUGGUGUGCUCAUCUUAUAACGCCAAACGGACCCGUUCCGGAUCAAAGUCUAGCACCGACUCCGAUUUCGCCGGAUUGUCCGUCCUAGUGAGGGACCAUGCCUAGCGAGUCCGUACAAGUGGUCUAGUCUUCUUUCGCUUCGAUGAGUAGCUUUGUUCAGUGUCCUCAUCUUAUAACGCCAAACGGACCCGUUCCGGAUAAAAGUUUAGCACCGACUCCGAUUUGGCCGGAUUGUCCAUCCUAGUGAGGGACCAUGCAUAGCGAGUCCCUACAUGUGGUCUAGUCUUGUUUCGCUUCGAUGAGUAGCUUUCUUUGGUGUGCUUAUCUUAUAACGCCAGUCGGACCCGUUCCGGAUCAAAAUUUAGCACCGACUCAGAUUUGGCCGGAUUAUCUGUCCUAGUGAGGGACCAUGCCUGGCAUGUCCGUACAAGUGGUCUAGUCUUGUUUCGCUUCUAUGAGUAGCUUGGUUUGGUGUGCUCAUCCUAGUACCUCAAAUGGCCACCUUCCGGAUCAAGGUGUUUGCAUCGACUCUAAAUUGGCCGAAUUGUCCGUCCUAGUGAGGGACCAUGCCAAGCGAGGCCGUACCAGUGGUCAAGUCUUGUUUCGUUUCGAUGAGUAGCUUCGUUUGGUGUGCUCAUCCUAGUACCUCAAAUGGCACGUUCCGGAUCAAACUUUAGGACCGACUCCGAUUUGGCCGGAUUGUCCGUCCUAGUGAGGGACCAUGCCUAGCGAGUCCGUACAAGUGGUCUAAUCUUGUUUCGUUUCGAUGAGUAGCUUUGUUUGGUGUGCUCAUCCUACUACCUCAAAUGGACACGUUCCGGAUCAAAAUUUAGGACUGACUCUAAUUUGCUCGAAUUGUACGUACUAGUGAGGGACCUUGCCUAGCGAGUCCGUAUAAGUGGUCUAAUCUUGUUUCACUUCUAUGAGUAGCUUUGUUUGGUGUGCUGAUCCUUGUUCCUCAAAUGGACAUAUUCCGGAUGAAAGUGUUUGCAUCGACUCUAAUUUUGCCAAAUUGUCCGUCCUAGUGAGGGACCAUGCCUAGCGAGGCCGUACAAGUGGUCUAGUCUUGUUUCGCUUCGAUGAGUAGCUACGUUUUUUGUGCUCAUCCUAGUACCUCAAAUGGCACGUUCCGGAUCAAAGUUUUGCACCGACUCCGAUUUGACCGGAUUGUCCGUCCUUGUGAGGGACCAUGCCUAGCGAGUCCGUACAAGUGGUCUAGUCUUGUUUCGCUUCGAUGAGUAGCUUUCUUUGGUGUGCUCAUCUUAUAACGCCAAACGGACCCGUUCCGGAUCAAAGUUUAGCACCGACUCCGAUUUGGCCGAAUUGUCCGUCCUAGUGAGGCACCAUGCCUAGCAAGUCCUUACAAGUGGUCUAGUCCUGUUUCGCAUCGAUGAGUAGCUUUGUUUGGUGUGCUCAUCCUAUAACGCCAAACGGAUCCGUUCCAGAUCAAAGUUUAGCACCGACUCCGAUUUGGCUGGAUUGUCCGUCCUAGUGAAGAAGGACCAUGCUUAGCGAGUUCGUACAACUGGUCUAGUCUUGUUUCGCUUCUAUGAGUAGCUUUGUUUGGUGUGCUCAUCCUAGCACCUCAAAUGGACACAUUCCGGAUCAAAGUGUUUGCAUCGACUCUAAAUCGGCCGAAUUGUCCGUCCUAGUGAGUGAUAGCCUCGAGGGUGUCCCGAUCUUUUGAUGAGAUACCUAAUUAUCAAUUUGGUAGGAGGUGACGUUGACGAUCCGACUACAACCUAGGAGGCAGUGCCUUAGGGAUCGAUACACCAACUCCAGAAGGUUAUUGAUCCCGCGAGGGCACGAUCAACCUGACCACGAAGGUCUUUGUUUCUGCAAGCAAUCGAAGAACAAGCUAGAACAAGAUGAAAAGCAAUCUGAAAUUGCGAAUAGGAGAUAUGAAGGUUCACGAACCUGAAUACUCAAUAUAGUUGGAGUCUUGAUGACGGUAAAACAGGUGGUCUAACCGACACACGCGAUUACACGAAAGUAGCAAAGGCUAAACUUUAUCUAAUCAAAAUCCAAGGCUACUUAGGGGGGCUCAUGGGGUAUAUAAAGGAGGAGGGAGAUAUAUUUUCGUCCACCUUGAGUAAGGAGGCCGAAAUCCAACUCUAUCGCUAACUUUCCUAACAAAGUACAACUCUUUAGGAAACAGAAAAACAGAUCCGUCAGCUUGUUUUGUCCGGCACGGUCAGCAGGAGUCGAAUCUCUUGAUGGAGCCAGAUCCGUUGGAAAGUUCUUGUAAUUACCUUUCCAACAAGUACUUGUUUUCUUCAUUUGGACUCCGGAUGCGGCCUGGGUGAUUAAAACAAAUUCGGGUCUGCUGACAGCUCGGACCCGAAUCGGAUUCAACUUUAAUUCGUGACAUCUUUCUCUAGCAAGCUCCGAAUCAUGUUACGUUUGAUUUCUUGGAAAGUAGACUUGAUAGGCUUCACUUUGAAUCUCCCUUUGCAGGCUAUAACACUUCAUCUUCACUUUGGACUUGUAAAGUUCAAUAAGAUGCCUACCUAAUAAGAUUACACAAGAUAUUAGCUCCGCCUCUUUGCAAGUAACAUAUUGAAAACAUUUUGUAAUUGAAUUCACCUGAUUAUAAUUGUUAUUAGAUACACCAAAAAUUAGGGUUCUAAUGGUCAUAUCCAUGGUUAGCAUGUCCAUAUCAUCCUCCCUUUCUUAAAAGGAAAGCCGUCCUCGGCGUCGUUUAUGCUGAAAAUAUGCUAACAAAAGAGACAAGGUAUGCGCAUGGUAUAUAUGUACAUAUCGUUAUUUUUAACUCCACUCCCAUGUUGCACAAUUAAUGUUUUAUAACACAAUCUCAUGAGAUAAUUAGUCAAACAAUCAUCAUGAAUAUCAUUCCAGCAAGAAGAUUGACAAUGUGUUUUGCAUAUAUAAGUGAAACAAUAUCUUGUAUUUGGUUUGCACCGCUCACCAUUAUACCAUCCCAGCACUGGAGAAUAAUAAUUAAUGUUACCCAAAUUUAUUUUCUCUCAAGAAAGGAAAAUUAUCACAAGUAAUGCAAAUUUCAUCCAACAAAAAGUUAUUGUUCACAUCAUGUUCUCCAAUGAAAUGAAUAGCGUAUCCAUGAGCAUUAGCAAAAGAAUAGCCUAUCCUAGUGAGGGACCAUGCCUAGCAACUCCGUACUAGUGGUCUAGUCUUGUUUCGCUUCGAUCAGUAGCUCUGUUUGGUGUGCUCAUCCCAGUACCUCAAAUGGACAUGUUCCGGAUCGAAGUUUAGCACCGACUCCGAUUUGGCCGAAUUGUCCGUCAUAGUGAGGGACCAUGCCAAGCGAGGCCGUACAAGUGGUCUGGUCUUGUUUCGCUUUGAUGAGUAGCUUCGUUUCGUGUGCUCAUCCUUGUACCUCAAAUGGCAUGUUCCGGAUCAAAGUUUAGCACCGACUCCGAUUUGGCCGGAUUGUCCGUCCUAGUGAGGGACCAUGCCUAGCGACUCCGUACAAGUGGUCUAGUCUUGUUUCGCUUCAAUGAGUAGCUUUCUUUGGUGUGCUCAUCUUAUAACGCCAAACGGACCCGUUUCAGAUCAAAGUUUAGCACCGACUCUGAUUUGGCCGAAUUGUCCGUCCUAGUGAGGGACCAUGCCUAGCGAGUCCGUACAAGUGGUCUAUUCUUGUUUCGCUCCGAUGAGUAGCUUUCUUUGGUGUGCUCAUCUUAUAACGCCAAACGGACCCGUUCCGGAUCAAAGUUUAGCACCGACUCCGAUUUGGCCGAAUUGUCCGUCCUAGUGAGGGACCAUGCCUAGCGAGUCCGUAUAAGUGGUCUAGUCUUGUUUCGCAUCGAUGAGUAGGUUUGUUUGGUGUGCUCAUCCCAGUAGCUCAAAUGGACACGUUCCGGAUCAAAGUUUAGCACCGACUCUGAUUUGGCCGCAUUGUCUGUUCUAGUGAGGGACCAUGCCUAGCGAGUCCGUACAAGUGGUCUAGUCUUGUUUCGCUUCGAUGAGUAGCUUUGUUUGGUGUGCUUGUCCUAAUACCUCAAAUGGACACGUUCCGGAUAAAAGUUUUGCACCAAAUCUAAUUUGCCCGGAUUGUCCGUCCUAUCGAGUGACCAUACCUAGCGAGUCCGUACAAGUGCUCUAGUGUUGUUUCGCUUCGAUGAGUACCUCAAAUGGCACAUUCCGGGUCAAAGUUUAGCACCGACUCAAAUUUGGCCGGAUUGUUCGUCGUAGGGAGGGACCAUGCCUAACGAGUACGUACAACUGGUCUACUCUUGUUUCGCUUCGAUGAGUAGGUUUGUUUGGUGUGCUCAUCCUAGUACCUCAAAUGGACACGUUCCGGAUCAAAGUUUAGCACCGACUCUGAUUUGGCCGGAUUGUCCGUCCUAGCGAGGGACCAUGCCUAGCGAGUCCGUACAACUGGUCUACUCUUGUUUCGCUUCGAUAAGUAGGUUUGUUUGGUGUGCUCAUCCUAGUAGCUCAAAUGGACACGUUCCGGAUCAAUGUUUAGCACCGACUCUGAUUUGGCCGGAUUGUCCGUCCUAGCGAGUGACCAUGCCUAGCGAGUCCGUACAAGUGGUCUAGUCUUGUUUCGCUUCGAUGAGUAGGUUUGUUUGGUGUGCUCAUCCUAGUUCCUCAAAUGGACACGUUCUGGAUCAAAGUUUAGAACAGAUUCGGAUUUGGCCGAAUUGUCCGUCCUAGCGAGGGACCAUGCCUAGCGAUUCCGUACAAGUGUUCUACUCUUGUUUCAAUUCGAUGAGUAGCUUUGUUUGGUGUGCUCAUCCUAGUAUCUCAAAUGGAUACGUUCCGUAUCGAAGUUUAGCACCGACUCCGAUUUAGCCGGAUUGUCCGUCCUAGUUUGAUAUGGACAUGCUAACCAUGGAUACGACCUUUGGUACCCUCAAUUUUAUAAUAUUUGACAAGAUUUAUAAUCAGGUGAAUUCAGGUAGUAAUUGUUUUCAUUGUCAUAUUUAUGAAGAGGCGGAGCUACUACUAGCUUGUUUCGUUUUUUUACGUAGGCAUCUUAUCGAGCUUUUCAAGUCCAAGGUCAAGAUGAGAUACGAUGGAGGCGAACGGGAGGGCCAACAAGAAUCAAGCAUUCAUACAGCUGAGAGGGAAGGAUUUCAAGUGUACUUUCCAACAAAUCAAACGGCACAUGAUUCGGAGCUUGCUAGAGAAAGAUAUCACGAAUUAAAGUUGAAUCCGAUUCGGGUCCGAGCUGCCAGGAGACCCGAAUUUGUUUUAAUCACCCAGGCCGCAUCCAGAGUCCAAAUCAAGCAAACAAGUACUUGUUGGAAAGGUAAUUACAAGAAAUUUCCAACGGAUCUAGCCCCAUCAAGAGAUUCGACUCGUGCUGACCGUGGCGGACAAAACAAGCUAAAGGAUCUGUUUUUCUGUUUCCUAAAGAGUUGUAGUUUGUUAGGAAAGUUAGAGAUAGAGUUGGAUUUCGGACUCCUUAUUCAAGGUGGACGAAAAUAUCUCUCCCUCCUCCUUUAUAUACCCCAUGAGCCCCCCUAAGGAGCCUUGGGUUUUGUUUAGUUAAAAGUUAGCCAUCGCUACUACUUCGUGUAAUCGCGUGUGUCGGUUAGACCACCUGUUUUACCGCUUUCGGAACCCCAACUUAUCGUCUCGUUGAGACAUUGGUUUGAUAUAGUAUAUUCGCAAUUUUAGAUUGCAUCCGCUAUUUAUCUUGUUCUUGCUUGUUCUUCGAUUGCUUGCAGGAACAAAGACCUUCGUGGUCAGGUUGAUCGUGCCCCCGCGUGAUCAAUAACCCUCCGGAGUUGGUGUAUCGAUUGCUAAGGCGCUGCCUCCUAUGCCGUAGUCGGAUCGUCAACGUCACCUCCUACCCAAAUUGAGAGUUAUCAAUCUCAUCGAAAGAUCGGGCCACCCGCACCCGUAUCAUAGUUAGGGACCAUGCCUAGCGAGUCCGUACAAGUGGUGUAGUCUUGUUUCGCUUUGAUGAGUAGGUUUCUUUGGUGUGCUCAUCCGAGUACCUCAAAUGGACACGUUCCGGAUCAAAGUUUAGCACCGACUCCGAUUUACCCGGAUUGUCCGUCCUAGUGAGGGACCAUGCCUAUCGAGUCCGUACAAGUGGUCUAGUCUUGUUUCGCUUCGAUGAAUAGGUUUGUUUGGUGUGCUCAUCUGAUAUGGACAUGCUAACCAUGGAUACGACCAUUAGAACCCUAAUUGUUGGUGUCUCUAAUAAUUAUAAUCAGGUGAAUUCAAUUACAAAAUGUUUUCAAUAUGUUACUUGCAAAGAGGCGGAGCUACUAUUUUGUGUAAUCUUAUUAUGUAGGCAUCUUAUUGAACUUUACAAUUCCAAAGUGAAGAUGAAGUGUUAUAGCCUGCAAACGGAGAUUCAAAGUGAAGCCUAUCAAGUGUACUUUCCAACAAAUCAAACGGCACAUGAUUCGGAGCUUGCUAGAGAAAGAUAUCACGAAUUAAAGUUGAAUCCGAUUCGGGUCCGAGCUUUCAGGAGACCCGAAUUUGUUUUAAUCACCCAGACCGCAUCCGGAGUCCAAAUCAAGCAAACAAGUACUUGUUAGAAAGGUAAUUACAAGACCUUUCCAAGGAUCUCGCCCCAUCAAGAGAUUCGACUCGUGCUGACCGUGCCGGACAAAACAAGCUGACGGAUCUGUUUUUCUGUUUCCUAAAGAGUUGUAGUUUGUUAGGAAAGUUAGAGAUAGAGUUGGAUUUCGGACUCCUUAUUCAAGGUGGACGAAAAUAUCUCUCCCUCCUCCUUUAUAUACCCCAUGAGCCCCCCUAAGGAGCCUUGGGUUUUGAUUAGAUAAAGUUUAGCCAUCUUUGCUACUUUCGUGUAAUCGCGUGUGUCGGUUAGACCACCUGUUUUACCGUCGUCAAGACUCCAACUUAUCGUCUCAUUGAGACAUUGGUUUGAUAUAGUAUACUCGCAAUUUUAGAUUGCAUCCGCUAUUUAUCUUGUUCUUGCUUGUUCUUCGAUUGCUUGCAGGAACAAAGACCUUCGUGGUCAGGUUGAUCGUGCCCCCGCGUGAUCAAUAACCCUCUGGAGUUGGUGUAUCGAUUGCUAAGGCGCUGCCUCCUAGGCCGUAGUCGGAUCGUCAACGUCACCUCCUACCCAAAUCGAGAGUUAGCAAUCUCAUCGAAAGAUCGGGCCACCCGCACCCGUAUCACGUGGUAUCAGAGCUUAAGGUUGCUCGGUGAGAUUUUUUCAGUUUAUCCGUAGUUUAGAUCUGUUUUUACCUAUCGUCCAGAAAAAGCCAAACAAAAAUUAGAAUUAGUUACCUUGUCCUAGAACCAAUUUGAGCCUUGCAAUUUUCUCUUUAGUAUUUGCAUUGUUGAAUCUUUGGUGCAUUAAUCGUGUCGAGUUGCUGGAUUAGAUUGGAUCGUUUUUCAGAUUUUUUCUACUAGAUCGAACUUGCUUUUGGUUUUCUUGUUCUUCGUGUGACGCAGGUUUCCUUUAUCAAUCUUCCGCCGCCAAACUUCCUGCCACACCACCGCCAUAAUCUCCCGCCGCCACCAUAUCUUCCACCGAGUCUCUCUUCGAGUCCUACACCGAGUCCCUCUUUGAGUCCUACACCGAGUCCCUCAUCGAGUCCUACACCGAGUCCCUCAUCGAGUCCUACACCGAGUCCCUCUUCGAGUCCUACACCGAGUCCCUCGUCGAGUCCUACACCGUGUCCUACAUCGAGUUCUACAUUGAGUCGGCAAGUUAUAGUUUUCAACCGCAAGUUCGAGUCCGAGUCCAAUCAAGAGUGCUUUUGGAAAGUUUUCAUAAUAAAUCGAAUUUUAUUUAGAGAUCAAGUUGUUCGGAAAGUUGUCAAAAAAAAUGAAAGGAAAGAAAAAAAAAAGGAAAGAAAGAAAAAAAAAACGAAAAAAAAAGAGAAAGAGUUCGAGUCAAUUUCGGACCCGAGUCCGAGUAGAAUUUUACUUUCGGGUGGGUUUGACCCGUGUUCAGUAAAACGGGCGUAUCUUUUGUGUACCAACUCGGAUUUGGACGUUCUUGGACACGUUUCGCUUCGAUGAGUAGGUUUGUUUGGUGUGCUCCUAGUACCUCAAAUGGACACGUUCCGGAUCAAAGUUUAGCACCGACUCUGAUUUGGCCGGCUUGUCCGUCCUAGCGAGGGACCAUGCCUAGCGAGUCCGUACAACUGGUCUACUCUUGUUUCGCUUCGAUGAGUAGGUUUGUUUGGUGAGCUCAUCCUAGUACCUCAAAUGGACAUGUUCCGGAUCAAAUUUUAGCACCGACUCGGAUUUGGCCGGAUUGUCCGUCCUAGUGAGGGACCAUGCCUAGCGAGUCCGUACAAGUGGUCUAGUCUUGUUUCGCUUCGAUGAGUAGGUUUCUUUGGUGUGCUCAUCCUAGUACCUCAAAUGGACACGUUCCGGAUCAAAUUUUAGCACCGACUCGGAUUUGGCCGGAUUGUCCGUCCUAGUGAGGGACCAUGCCUAGCGAGUCCGUACAAGUGGUCUAGUCUUGUUUCGCUUCGAUGAGUAGGUUUGUUUGGUGUGCUCAUCCUAGUACCUCAAAUGGACACAUUCCGGAACAAAGUUUAGCACCGACUCCGAUUUUGCCGGAUUGUCCGUCAUAGGGAGGGACCAUGCCUAGCGAGUCCGUACAAGUGGUCUAGUCUUGUUUCGCUUCGAUAAGUAGGUUUGUAUGGUGUGCUCAUCCUAGUACCUCAAAUGGACACGUUCCGGAUAAAAGUUUAGCACCGACUCCGAUUCACCCGGAUUGUCCGUCCUAGUGAGGGACCAUGCCUAGCGAGUCCGUACAAGUGGUCUAGUCUUGUUUCGCUUCGAUCAAUUGGUUUGUUAGGUGUGCUCAUCAUAGUACCUCAAAUAGACACGUUCCGGAACAAAGUUUAGCACCGACUCCGAUUUUGCCGGAUUGUCCGUCCUAGUGAGGGACCAUGCCUAGCGAGUCCGUACAAGUGGUCUAGUCUUGUUCCGCUUCAAUAAGUAGGUUUGUUUGGUGUGCUCAUCCUAAUACCUCAAAUGGACACGUUCAGGAUCAAAGUUUAGCACCGACUCCGAUUUGGCCGGAUUGUCCGUCGUUGUGAGGGACCAUGCCUAGCGGGUCCGUAUAAGUGGUCUAGUCUUGUUUCGCUUCAAUAAGUAGGUUUGUUUGGUGUGCUCAUCCUAGUAGCUCAAAUGGACACGUUCCGGAUCAAUGUUUAGCACCGACUCUGAUUUGGCCGGAUUGUCCGUCCUAGCGAGGGACCAUGCCUAGCGAGUCCGUACAAGUGGUCUAGUCUGUUUCGCUUCGAUGAGUAGGUUUGUUUGGUGUGCUCAUCCUAGUGCCUCAAAUGGACACGUUCUGGAUCAAAGUUUAGAACAGAUUCGGAUUUGGCCGAAUUGUCCGUCCUAGCAAGGGGCCAUGCCUAGCGAUUCCGUACAAGUGUUCUACUCUUGUUUCAAUUCGAUGAGUAGCUUUGUUUGGUGUGCUCAUCCUAGUAUCUCAAAUGCACACGUUCCAUAUCGAAGUUUAGCACCGACUCCGAUUUAACCGGAUUGUCCGUCCUAGUCAGGGACCAUGCCUAGCGAGUCCGUACAAGUGGUCUAGUCUUGUUUCGCUUUGAUGAGUAGGUUUGUUUGGUGUGCUCAGCCGAGUACCUCAAAUGGACACGUUCCGGAUCAAAGUUUAGCACCGACUCUGAUUUACCCGGAUUGUCCGUCCUAGGGAGGGACCAUGCCUAUCGAGUCCGUACAAGUGGUCUAGUCUUGUUUCGCUUCGAUGAAUAGGUUUGUUUGGUGUGCUCAUCCUAGUACCUCAAAUGGACACGUUCCGGAACAAAGUUUAGCACCGAGUCCGAUUGAUAGCCUCAAGGGUGUCCCGAUCUUUCGAUGAGAUACCUAAUUAUCGAUUUGGUAGGAGGUGACGUUCACGAUCCGACUACAACCUAGGAGGCAGCGCCUUAGCGAUCGAUACACCAACUCCAGAAGGUUAUUGAUCCCGCGGGGGCACGAUCAACCUGACCACAAAGGUCUUUGUUCCUGCAAGCAAUCGAAGAACAAGCAAGAACAAGAUGAAAAGCAAUCUGAAAUUGCGAAUAGGAGAUAUGAAGGUUCACGAAUCUGAAUACUCAAUAUAGUUGGAGUCUUGAUGACGGUAAAACAGGUGGUCUAACCGACACACGCGAUUACACGAAAGUAGGUGGAAGCAACGGACGCUGCUGAACUUUGUGCAGAGGCAGCGGGUGUAUUUCUUGUUGCUGCUGGUCCAACCUUUGCGGAUGUAGGUGUAGAGGUACUUUGCUUGUUGGUGGAAGUAGUCGGAACAGCCGGACGUGUAGGGGGUGCAGCUGGGCGUGUGGAAGGGGCAGCGGGGCUGCGUGCUGCCCAUGAGGAAGUACGACCUGCAGAAAAGUUAGUCCGCGCGUUCGCGUGUCGUCCCUGCACUUCCCUUUCAGCUUUGCAAGCAAUGUGAAAUAAUCGAUUGAUAGAAUUAUACUCCUUAUAAUCAACAAUGUCAGCAAUUUCACGAUUUAAACCACCAAAGAAUCUAGCCAUAGCAGCUUCCUCAUUCUCAACUAAACCACAACGUAACAUCUUCUUUUGCAUUUCUUGAUAAUAAUCUUGGACAGAAUUACUACCUUGCCUUAAUUGUUGUAGUUUCUUUAACAAGUCACGCGAAUAGUAUGAAGGAACAUAUCUAGCACGCAUAAUUCUUUUCAAAUCAUCCCAUGUUGGUGGUAUAGCGUUAGGAUGUGCAAUACAAUACUCAUGCCACCAAACAGAAGCAAAAUCAGUAAACUCACUAGUAGCAGCCCUAACCCUCUUAUUAGCAGGAAAAUCAUGGCAAGUAAAUUUUUGACUCAAUUCUAAUUCCCAUGUAAGGUAAGCAUCAGGGUCAUAUUUUCCAUCAAAAGGAGGAACCUUAAAUUUAAUAGAAUGCAGCAAGUCAUGUUCCUCUCUGUGAGGUCGUGUCAGUCCCAUACCUCGGCGGUUGAAACGAGUUCGGCGAUGAUCACGGUAGUUGUGAUGGUUUACGGUCCCGUCGUGUUCCGUAUCCGCGGAGUAGUCGUCGUCGUUCUCCUCAACCUCGCUUGCGAAGGUACCGUUAUUAGCGGUCCGCUGGUUGUGAGUAUUGUUUCCUCCCGAUGUAGCGAUGGUCGUUGCAGCAAUUGCCGCCAGUUGCGUCGUGAUUUCUGCCAGAGAAGUACUAAUGGUAGCAACAGAAUUCUGUAAAGAUGUUAGCUUGGUAUUUGUUUCAAUGUGCGCGCUCUCCAAGGUUCCAAGUCUCUCAUUCGCAACCCGAACGUCCUCAUCCAGCUCCUCGUUACGGAGCCUAAGCUUGCGAUCAAAAUGUGAAAUAAUGCCCUUUGUGCGUGGAGAGUGGCCUUGUAAAUCAUCGUCAGAACCUACCAUCGUUAGGAGAAAACAAGAAACAAAUCACAAGAAAAAGUCCCUAUGCACUACUAGGAUGUGGGGUUCCAAAGAUCACUCCACUCAACUUUUAAUCAAGUUCUUACUCGUUCUUACCCAGCAAACAGGAAGGUGAUGGCCAGCGGCGAGAACAAGCCCUCCGAAGAUUAGUGUAUUGAUGCCUCGAGGCAAACCAACCUAGGUGUACAAUCUGUGGAGCUUGGAGGCUUAUGUGAGUAGCAAGGAAAAGCGAAUAAUCAAAUCAGCAAUGCAAAGUUGAAAAUAUGCUCAAAAAUGCUAGUCCUAGUUGCUGGAGUCGACAAGAACGAAUUACAGAAAUUAACUAAGCCUAGAUACUGAAAAAGGUAGAAAGGAAAGAUCAAAUGAAAGGUAAAACAAGUAAAUCUCUGGGGAAUAUUUUUUUUCUCUUUUUUUUUUCUUUUUUUUGGCCUUCUGUUUGGCUUCUUAUUCUUUUCUUUUUUUUUCUUUUUUUUUUAUCCCCAGAAACUCACGCAAAAGAAGUUAAGACCGGAAAGCUGCACGUCGGUCUGUAGGAGAAUAGCAAAGGCUGUAGUAAGGAAAACUCAGAAAAAUAUGAGAAAAUAUGGGUUAGAAGCGUAUCAAAACAAGCUUUCCAACAAGUGCAAUAUCACUCGAAACGGAGGUCGGACGGUGGAGAAAACUGAGAUAUACUGCGCUGCCCCGGUGCCGUAAAACGGGUGCAGAAACUUUGGAACUCGAAAAGUCCACCUUAAAGGCCGAAUUUUAGGGUCAAAGUGCAGGGCAACGCCCUGGAUAUUUCCUGAUGCGCUUCGUCAUGAGCUUUCCAAAAAGUCCAAGAACGUCCAAAUCUGAGUUGGUAGGCAAAAGAUAUGUCCGUUUUACUGAACACGGCUCAAACCCACCCGAAACUAAAAUUCUAUUCGGACUCGGGUCCGAAACUGACUCGAACUCUUUCUCUUUUUUUUCGUUUUUUUUUCUUUCUUUCUUCCUUUUUUUUUUCUUUCCCUUCUUUUUUUUCACAACUUUCCGAACAACUUGAUCUCUAAACAAAAUUCGAUCUAUUAUGAAACACUUUCCAAAAGCACUCUUGAUUGGACUCGGACUCGAACUCGCGGCUGAAAACUAUAACUUCCCGACUCGAUGUAGGACUGGAAGAAGGACUCGCUGUAGGACUGGAAGAAGGACUCGGUGUAGGACUUGAAGAGGGACUCGGUGUAGGACUCGAAGAGGGACUCGGUGGAAGAUAUGGUGGCGGUGGAAGAUUAUGGCGGUGGUGUGGCAGGAAGUUUGGCGGCGGAAUAUUGAUGAAGGAAACCUGCGUCACACGAAGAACAAGAAAACCAAAAGCAAGUUCGACCUAGUAGAAAAAAAUCUGAAAAACGAUCCAAUCUAAUCUAGCAACUCGACACGAUUAAUGCAGCAAAGAUUCAACAAUGCAAAUACUAAUGUGAAAAUUGCAAGGCUCAGAUUGGUUCUAGGACAAGGGAACUAAUUCUAAUUUUUGUUUGGCUUUUUCUGGACGAUAGGUAAAAACAGAUCUAAACUACGGAUAAACUGGAAAAAUCUCACCGAGCAACCUUAAGCUCUGAUACCACGUGAUAGCCUCAAGCGUGUCCCGAUCUUUUGAUGAGAUACCUAAUUAACGAUUUGGUAGGAGGUGACGUUCACGAUCCGACUACAACCUAGGAGGCAGCGCCUUAGCGAUCGAUACACCAACUCCAGAAGGUUAUUGAUCCCGCGGGGGCACGAUCAACCUGACCACGAAGGUCUUUGUUCCUGCAAGCAAUCGAAGAACAAGCAAGAACAAGAUGAAAAGCAAUAUGAAAUUGCGAAUAGGAGAUAUGAAGGUUCACGAAUCUGAAUACUCAAUAUAGUUGGAGUCUUGAUGACGGUAAAACAGGUGGUCUAACCGACACACGCGAUUACACGAAAGUAGGAAAGGCUAAACUUUAUCUAAUCAAAACCCAAGGCUCCAUGGGGGGGCUCAUGGGGUAUAAAUAGGAGGGGAACUAGGUGGUUUUCGGACAGGCCCUUGAGGGACUCCGAAACGGCCUAGGAAUCCUCUUAAAACACAACGAAAACAUCUAAAAAUUGGCUGGACCCUAUUAUAUGGCCUUAGGCCCAAUAAAGCAAGGUUAUAACUCUCAUCUUUGGCCCAUAGAUACCCAUUGGAGGGAGAAUCCUCCACUUGGCCGAAAUCCCAUUGAUGAAGAGGAUGCGGCCUUCUUCUCAUCUCUCGUUAUGGCGGUUUCAAUGUUCUGAAAUCAUCACUUGAGCUAGCUCCCGCCACCUUGCUGCCACCUCCAUGGUUUGCUGUCCAACGCUGAUCCUUGAGGUGCAAGCUAGGUCCUUCAUUCCUAAAACACAUAAAAGAACCCAUCUUAGGCAGCAGCAUAUUCUCAUUAAUAUUAAAUGAAGUACCGAGGAACGAAAGUACCUGAUAAUUUAGUUGUCGUGCACGAGCUCUAGUAAUUGGUCCGUGUAUCUCCGGUACUUGAGGUGUAUGUGCUGUAGGGGCUGUGGUUGUAUCAUUAGUUGGGAUGUCCUCAUCACCGAUUUACCCUGAUUGUCCGUCCUAGCGAGGGACCAUGCCUAGCGAGUCCGUACAACUGGUCUACUCUUGUUUCGCUUCGAUGAGUAGGUUUGUUUGGUGUGCUCAUCCUAGUACCUCAAAUGGACACGUUCCGGAUCAAAGUAUAGCACCGACUCUGAUUUGGCCGGCUUGCCCGUCCUAGCGAGGGACCAUGCCUAGCGAGUCCGUACAACUGGUCUACUCUUGUUUCGCUUCUAUCAAUUGGUUUGUUAGGUGUGCUCAUCCUCGUAGCUCAAAUUGACACGUUCCGGAUCAAAGUUUAGCACCGACUCUGAUUUGGUCGGCUUGCCCGUCCUAGCGAGGGACCAUGCCUAGCGAGUCCGUACAACUGGUCUACUCUUGUUUCGCUUCGAUGAGUAGGUUUGUUUGGUGAGCUCAUCCUAGUACCUCAAAUGGACACGUUCCGGAUCAAAUUUUAGCACCGACUCGGAUUUGGCCGGAAUGUCCGUCCUCGUGAGGGACCAUGCCUAGCGAGUCCGUACAAGUGGUCUAGUCUUGUUUCGCUUCGAUGAGUAGGUUUGUAUGGUGUGCUCAUCCUAGUACCUCAAAUGGCCACGUUCCGGAUCAAAGCUUAGCACCGACUCCGAUUUACCCGGAUUGUCCGUCCUAGUGAGGGACCAUGCCUAGCGAGUCCGUAGAAGUGGUCUAGUCUUGUUUCGCUUCAAUAAGUAGGUUUGUUCGGUGUGCUCAUCCUAAUACCUCAAAUGGACACGUUCGGGAUCAAAGUUUACCACCGACUCCGAUUUGGCCGGAUUGUCUGUCUUAGGGAGGUACCAUGCCAAGCGAAUCCGUACAAGUGGUCUAGUCUUGUUUCGCUUCGAUCAAUUGGUUUGUUAGGUGUGCUCAUCGUAGUACCUCACAUAGACACGUUCCGGAACAAAGAUUAGCACCGACUCCGAUUUUGCCGGGUUGUCCGUCCUAGUGAGGGACCAUGCCUAGCGAGUUCGUACAAGUGGUCUAGUCUUGUGUCGCUUCCAUAAUUAGGUUUGUUUGGUGUGCUCAUCCUAAUACCUCAAAUGGACACGUUCCGGAACAAAGUUUAGCACCGAGUCCGAUUUACCCUGAUUGUCCGUCCUAGCGAGGGACCAUGCCUAGCGAGUCCGUACAAGUGGUCUACUCUUGUUUCGCUUCGAUGAGUAGGUUUGUUUGGUGUGCUCAUCCUAGUACCUCAAAUGGACACGUUCCGGAUCAAAGUUUAGCACCGACUCCGAUUCACCCGGAUUGUCCAUCCUAGUGAGGGACCAUGCCUAGCGAGUCCGUACAAGUGGUCUAGUCUUGUUUCGCUUCUAUCAAUUGGUUUGUUAGGUGUGCUCAUCCUAGUACCUCAAAUGGACACGUUCCGGAACAAAGUUUAGCACCGACUCCGAUUUACCCGGAUUGUCCGUCUGACGGAGGGACCAUGCCUAUCGAGUCCGUACAAGUGGUCUAGUCUUGUUUCGCUUCGAUGAGUAGGUUUGUUUGGUGUGCUCAUCCUAGUACCUCAAAUGGACACGUUCCGGAACAAAGUUUAGCACCUAGUCCGAUUUACCCUGAUUGUCCGUCCUAGCGAGGGACCAUGCCUAGCGAGUCCGUACAAGUGGUCUACUCUUGUUUCGCUUCGAUGAGUAGGUUUGUUUGGUGUGCUCAUCCUAGUACCCCAAAUGGACACGUUCCGGAUCAAAGUUUAGCACCGACUUCGAUUCACCCGGAUUGUCCGUCCUAGGGAGGGACCAUGCCUAGCGAGUCCGUACAAGUGGUCUAGUCUUGUUUCGCUUCGAUGAGUACGUUUGUUUUGGGUGCUCAUCCUCGUAGCUCAAAUGGACACGUUCCGGAUCAAAGCAUAGCACCGAUUCCGAUUUACCCGGAUUGUCCGUCCUACGGAGGGACCAUGCCUAUCGAGUCCGUACAAGUGGUCUAGUCUUGUUUCGUUCGAUGAGUAGCUUUGUUUGGUGUGCUCAUCCUAGUACCUCAAAUGGACACGUUCCGGAUCAAAGUUUAGCACCGACUCCGAUUCACCCGGAAUUUCCGUCCUAGGGAGGGACCAUGCCUAGCGAGUCCGUACAAGUGGUCUAGUCUUGUUUCGCUUCGAUCAAUUGGUUUGUUAGGUGUGCUCAUCGUAGUACCUCAGAUAGACACGUUCCGGAACAAAGUUUAGCACCGACUCCGAUUUUGCCGGAUUGUCCGUCCUAGUGAGGGACCAUGCCUAGCGAGUCCGUACAAGUGGUCUAGUCUUGUUUCGCUUCCAUAAGUAGGUUUCUUUGGUGUGCUCAUCCUAAUACCUCAAAUGGACACGUUCGGGAUCAAAGUUUAGCACCGACUCCGAUUUGGCCGGAUUGUCCGUCGUAGUAAGGGACCAUGCCUAGCGGGUCCGUAUAAGUGGUCUAGUCUUGUUUCGCUUCAAUAAGUAGGUUUGUUUGGUGUGCUCAUCCUAGUACCUCAAAUGGACACGUUCCGGAUCAAAGUUUAGCACCGACUCCGAUUCACCCGGAUUGUCCCUCCUAGUGAGGGACCAUGCCUAGCGAGUCCGUACAAGUGGUCUAGUCUUGUUUCGCUUCGAUGAGUAGGUUUGUUUGGUGUGCUCAUCCUAGUACAUCAAAUGGACACGUUCCGGAACAAAGUUUAGCACCGACUCCGAUUUUGCCGGAUUGUCCGUCGUAGGGAGGGACCAUGCCUAGCGAGUCCGUACAAGUGAUCUAGUCUUGUUUCGCUUCGAUCAGUAGGUUUGUAUGGUGUGCUCAUCCGAGUACCUCAAAUGGCCACGUUCCGGAUCAAAGCUUAGCACCGACUCCGAUUUACCCGGAUUGUCCGUCCUAGUGAGGGACCAUGCCUAGCGAGUCCGUAGAAGUGGUCUAGUCUUGUUUCGCUUCAAUAAGUAGGUUUGUUCGGUGUGCUCAUCCUAAUACCUCAAAUGGACACGUUCGGGAUCAAAGUUUACCACCGACUCCGAUUUGGCCGGAUUGUCUGUCUUAGGGAGGUACCAUGCCAAGCGAAUCCGUACAAGUGGUCUAGUCUUGUUUCGCUUCGAUCAAUUGGUUUGUUAGGUGUGCUCAUCGUAGUACCUCACAUAGACACGUUCCGGAACAAAGAUUAGCACCGACUCCGAUUUUGCCGGGUUGUCCGUCCUAGUGAGGGACCAUGCCUAGCGAGUUCGUACAAGUGGUCUAGUCUUGUGUCGCUUCCAUAAUUAGGUUUGUUUGGUGUGCUCAUCCUAAUACCUCAAAUGGACACCUUCGGGAUCAAAGUUUAGCACCGACUCCGAUUUGGCCGGAUUGUCCGUCGUAGUGAGGGACCAUGCCUAGCGGGUCCGUAUAAGUGGUCUAGUCUUGUUUCGCUUCAAUAAGUAGGUUUGUUUGGUGUGCUCAUCCUAGUAGCUCAAAUGGACACGUUCCAGAUCAAAGUUUAGCACCGACUCCGAUUUACCCGGAUUGUCCGUCUGACGGAGGGACCAUGCCUAUCGAGUCCGUACAAGUGGUCUAGUCUUGUUUCGCUUCGAUGAGUAGGUUUGUUUGGUGUGCUCAUCCUAGUACCUCAAAUGGACACGUUCCGGAACAAAGUUUAGCACCUAGUCCGAUUUAACCUGAUUGUCCGUCCUAGCGAGGGACCAUGCCUAGCGAGUCCGUACAAGUGGUCUACUCUUGUUUCGCUUCGAUGAGUAGGUUUGUUUGGUGUGCUCAUCCUAGUACCCCAAAUGGACACGUUCCGGAUCAAAGUUUAGCACCGACUUCGAUUCACCCGGAUUGUCCGUCCUAGGGAGGGACCAUGCCUAGCGAGUCCGUACAAGUGGUCUAGUCUUGUUUCGCUUCGAUGAGUACGUUUGUUUUGGGUGCUCAUCCUCGUAGCUCAAAUGGACACGUUCCGGAUCAAAGCUUAGCACCGAUUCCGAUUUACCCGGAUUGUCCGUCCUACGGAGGGACCAUGCCUAUCGAGUCCGUACAAGUGGUCUAGUCUUGUUUCGUUCGAUGAGUAGCUUUGUUUGGUGUGCUCAUCCUAGUACCUCAAAUGGACACGUUCCGGAUCAAAGUUUAGCACCGACUCCGAUUCACCCGGAAUUUCCGUCCUAGGGAGGGACCAUGCCUAGCGAGUCCGUACAAGUGGUCUAGUCUUGUUUCGCUUCGAUCAAUUGGUUUGUUAGGUGUGCUCAUCGUAGUACCUCAGAUAGACACGUUCCGGAACAAAGUUUAGCACCGACUCCGAUUUUGCCGGAUUGUCCGUCCUAGUGAGGGACCAUGCCUAGCGAGUCCGUACAAGUGGUCUAGUCUUGUUUCGCUUCCAUAAGUAGGUUUCUUUGGUGUGCUCAUCCUAAUACCUCAAAUGGACACGUUCGGGAUCAAAGUUUAGCACCGACUCCGAUUUGGCCGGAUUGUCCGUCGUAGUAAGGGACCAUGCCUAGCGGGUCCGUAUAAGUGGUCUAGUCUUGUUUCGCUUCAAUAAGUAGGUUUGUUUGGUGUGCUCAUCCUAGUACCUCAAAUGGACACGUUCCGGAUCAAAGUUUAGCACCGACUCCGAUUCACCCGGAUUGUCCCUCCUAGUGAGGGACCAUGCCUAGCGAGUCCGUACAAGUGGUCUAGUCUUGUUUCGCUUCGAUGAGUAGGUUUGUUUGGUGUGCUCAUCCUAGUACAUCAAAUGGACACGUUCCGGAACAAAGUUUAGCACCGACUCCGAUUUUGCCGGAUUGUCCGUCGUAGGGAGGGACCAUGCCUAGCGAGUCCGUACAAGUGAUCUAGUCUUGUUUCGCUUCGAUCAGUAGGUUUGUAUGGUGUGCUCAUCCGAGUACCUCAAAUGGCCACGUUCCGGAUCAAAGCUUAGCACCGACUCCGAUUUACCCGGAUUGUCCGUCCUAGUGAGGGACCAUGCCUAGCGAGUCCGUAGAAGUGGUCUAGUCUUGUUUCGCUUCAAUAAGUAGGUUUGUUCGGUGUGCUCAUCCUAAUACCUCAAAUGGACACGUUCGGGAUCAAAGUUUACCACCGACUCCGAUUUGGCCGGAUUGUCUGUCUUAGGGAGGUACCAUGCCAAGCGAAUCCGUACAAGUGGUCUAGUCUUGUUUCGCUUCGAUCAAUUGGUUUGUUAGGUGUGCUCAUCGUAGUACCUCACAUAGACACGUUCCGGAACAAAGAUUAGCACCGACUCCGAUUUUGCCGGGUUGUCCGUCCUAGUGAGGGACCAUGCCUAGCGAGUUCGUACAAGUGGUCUAGUCUUGUGUCGCUUCCAUAAUUAGGUUUGUUUGGUGUGCUCAUCCUAAUACCUCAAAUGGACACAUUCGGGAUCAAAGUUUAGCACCGACUCCGAUUUGGCCGGAUUGUCCGUCGUAGUGAGGGACCAUGCCUAGCGGGUCCGUAUAAGUGGUCUAGUCUUGUUUCGCUUCAAUAAGUAGGUUUGUUUGGUGUGCUCAUCCUAGUAGCUCAAAUGGACACGUUCCAGAUCAAAGUUUAGCACCGACUCCGAUUUACCCGGAUUGUCCGUCUGACGGAGGGACCAUGCCUAUCGAGUCCGUACAAGUGGUCUAGUCUUGUUUCGCUUCGAUGAGUAGGUUUGUUUGGUGUGCUCAUCCUAGUACCUCAAAUGGACACGUUCCGGAACAAAGUUUAGCACCUAGUCCGAUUUAACCUGAUUGUCCGUCCUAGCGAGGGACCAUGCCUAGCGAGUCCGUACAAGUGGUCUACUCUUGUUUCGCUUCGAUGAGUAGGUUUGUUUGGUGUGCUCAUCCUAGUACCCCAAAUGGACACGUUCCGGAUCAAAGUUUAGCACCGACUUCGAUUCACCCGGAUUGUCCGUCCUAGGGAGGGACCAUGCCUAGCGAGUCCGUACAAGUGGUCUAGUCUUGUUUCGCUUCGAUGAGUACGUUUGUUUUGGGUGCUCAUCCUCGUAGCUCAAAUGGACACGUUCCGGAUCAAAGCUUAGCACCGAUUCCGAUUUACCCGGAUUGUCCGUCCUACGGAGGGACCAUGCCUAUCGAGUCCGUACAAGUGGUCUAGUCUUGUUUCGUUCGAUGAGUAGCUUUGUUUGGUGUGCUCAUCCUAGUACCUCAAAUGGACACGUUCCGGAUCAAAGUUUAGCACCGACUCCGAUUCACCCGGAAUUUCCGUCCUAGGGAGGGACCAUGCCUAGCGAGUCCGUACAAGUGGUCUAGUCUUGUUUCGCUUCGAUCAAUUGGUUUGUUAGGUGUGCUCAUCGUAGUACCUCAGAUAGACACGUUCCGGAACAAAGUUUAGCACCGACUCCGAUUUUGCCGGAUUGUCCGUCCUAGUGAGGGACCAUGCCUAGCGAGUCCGUACAAGUGGUCUAGUCUUGUUUCGCUUCCAUAAGUAGGUUUCUUUGGUGUGCUCAUCCUAAUACCUCAAAUGGACACGUUCGGGAUCAAAGUUUAGCACCGACUCCGAUUUGGCCGGAUUGUCCGUCGUAGUAAGGGACCAUGCCUAGCGGGUCCGUAUAAGUGGUCUAGUCUUGUUUCGCUUCAAUAAGUAGGUUUGUUUGGUGUGCUCAUCCUAGUACCUCAAAUGGACACGUUCCGGAACAAAGUUUAGCACCUAGUCCGAUUUACCCUGAUUGUCCGUCCUAGCGAGGGACCAUGCCUAGCGAGUCCGUACAAGUGGUCUAGUCUUGUUUCGCUUCGAUCAAUUGGUUUGUUAGGUGUGCUCAUCGUAGUACCUCAGAUAGACACGUUCCGGAUCAAAGUUUAGCACCGACUCUGAUUUGGCCGGCUUGUCCGUCCUAGCGAGGGACCAUGCCUAGCGAGUCCGUACAACUGGUCUACUCUUGUUUCGCUUCGAUGAGUAGGUUUGUUUGGUGAGCUCAUCCUAGUACCUCAAAUGGACACGUUCCGGAUCAAAUUUGAGCACCGACUCGGAUUUGGCCGGAAUGUCCGUCCUAGUGAUGGACCAUGCCUAGCAAGUCCGUACAAGUGGUCUAGUCUUGUUUCGCUUCGAUGAGUAGGUUUGUUUGGUGUGCUCAUCCUAGUACCUCAAAUGGACACGUUCCGGAACAAAGUUUAGCACCGACUCCGAUUUUGCCGGAUUGUCCGUCGUAGGGAGGGACCAUGCCUAGCGAGUCCGUACAAGUGGUCUAGUCUUGUUUCGCUUCGAUCAGUAGGUUUGUAUGGUGUGCUCAUCCUAGUACCUCAAAUGGCCACGUUCCGGAUCAAAGCUUAGCACCGACUCCGAUUUACCCGGAUUGUCCGUCCUAGUGAGGGACCAUGCCUAGCAAGUGGUCUAGUCUUGUUUCGCUUCAAUAAGUAGGUUUGUUUGGUGUGCUCAUCCUAAUACCUCAAAUGGACACGUUCGGGAUCAAAGUUUAGCACCGACUCCGAUUUGGCCGGAUUGUCUGUCUUAGGGACGUACCAUGCCUAGCGAGUUCGUACAAGUGGUCUAGUCUUGUUUCGCUUCGAUCAAUUGGUUUGUUAGGUGUGCUCAUCGUAGUACCUCAAAUAGACACGUUCCGGAACAAAGUUUAGCACCGACUCCGAUUUUGCCGGAUUGUCCGUCCUAGUGAGGGACCAUGCCUAGCGAGUCCGUACAAGUGGUCUAGUCUUGUUUCGCUUCCAUAAGUAGGUUUCUUUGGUGUGCUCAUCCUAAUACCUCAAAUGGACACGUUCGGGAUCAAAGUUUAGCACCGACUCCGAUUUGGCCGGAUUGUCCGUCGUAGUAAGGGACCAUGCCUAGCGGGUCCGUAUAAGUGGUCUAGUCUUGUUUCGCUUCAAUAAGUAGGUUUGUUUGGUGUGCUCAUCCUAGUAGCUCAAAUGGACACGUUCCGGAUCAAAAUUUAGCACCGACUCCGAUUUACCCGGAUUGUCCGUCCGACGGAGGGACCAUGCCUAUCGAGUCCGUACAAGUGGUCUAGUCUUGUUUCGUUCGAUGAGUAGGUUUGUUUGGUGUGCUCAUCCUAGUACCUCAAAUGGACACGUUCCGGAACAAAGUUUAGCACCGAGUCCGAUUUACCCUGAUUGUCCGUCCUAGCGAGGGACCAUGCCUAGCGAGUCCGUACAAGUGGUCUACUCUUGUUUCGCUUCGAUGAGUAGGUUUGUUUGGUGUGCUCAUCCUAGUACCUCAAAUGGACACGUUCCGGAUCAAAGUUUAGCACCGACUCCGAUUCACCCGGAUUGUCCAUCCUAGUGAGGGACCAUGCCUAGCGAGUCCGUACAAGUGGUCUAGUCUUGUUUCGCUUCUAUCAAUUGGUUUGUUAGGUGUGCUCAUCCUCGUAGCUCAAAUUGACACGUUCCGGAUCAAAGUUUAGCACCGACUCCGAUUUGGCCGGAUUGUCCGUCGUAGUGAGGGACCAUGCCUUGCGGGUCCGUAUAAGUGGUCUAGUCUUGUUUCGCUUCAAUAAGUAGGUUCGUUUGGUGUGCUCAUCCUCGUAGCUCAAAUGGACACGUUCCGGAUGAAAGCUUAGCACCGACUCCGAUUUACCCGGAUUGUCCGUCCUACGGAGGGACCAUGCCUAUCGAGUCCGUACAAGUGGUCUAGUCUUGUUUCGCUUCGAUGAGUAGAUUUGUUUGGUGUGCUCAUCCUAGUACCUCAAAUGGACACGUUCCGGAUCAAAGUUUAGCACCGACUCCGAUUCACCCGGAUUGUCCGUCCUAGGGAGGGACCAUGCCUAGCGAGUCCGUACAACUGGUCUACUCUUGUUUCGCUUCGAUGAGUAGGUUUGUUUGGUGUGCUCAUCCUAGUACCUCAAAUGGACACGUUCCGGAUCAAAGUAAAGCACCGACUCUGAUUUGGCCGGCUUGCCCGUCCUAGCGAGGGACCAUGCCUAGCGAGUCCGUACAACUGGUCUACUCUUGUUUCGCUUCGAUGAGUAGGUUUGUUUGGUGAGCUCAUCCUAGUACCUCAAAUGGACACGUUCCGGAUCAAAUUUUAGCACCGACUCGGAUUUGGCCGGAAUGUCCGUCCUAGUGAGGGACCAUGCCUAGCGAGUCCGUACAAGUGGUCUAGUCUUGUUUCGCGUCGAUGAGUAGGUUUGUUUGGCGUGCUCAUCCUAGUACAUCAAAUGGACACGUUCCGGAACAUAGUUUAGCACCGACUCCGAUUUUGCCGGAUUGUCCGUCGUAGGGAGGGACCAUGCCUAGCGAGUCCGUACAAGUGAUCUAGUCUUGUUUCGCUUCGAUCAGUAGGUUUGUAUGGUGUGCUCAUCCGAGUACCUCAAAUGGCCACGUUCCGGAUCAAAGUUUAGCACCGACUCCGAUUUGGCCGGAUUGUCCGUCGUAGUGAGGGACCAUGCCUAGCGGGUCCGUAUAAGUGGUCUAGUCUUGUUUCGCUUCAAUAAGUAGGUUCGUUUGGUGUGCUCAUCCUCGUAGCUCAAAUGGACACGUUCCGGAUGAAAGCUUAGCACCGACUCCGAUUUACCCGGAUUGUCCGUCCUACGGAGGGACCAUGCCUAUCGAGUCCGUACAAGUGGUCUAGUCUUGUUUCGCUUCGAUGAGUAGAUUUGUUUGGUGUGCUCAUCCUAGUACCUCAAAUGGACACGUUCCGGAUCAAAGUUUAGCACCGACUCCGAUUCACCCGGAUUGUCCGUCCUAGGGAGGGACCAUGCCUAGCGAGUCCGUACAACUGGUCUACUCUUGUUUCGCUUCGAUGAGUAGGUUUGUUUGGUGUGCUCAUCCUAGUACCUCAAAUGGACACGUUCCGGAUCAAAGUAAAGCACCGACUCUGAUUUGGCCGGCUUGCCCGUCCUAGCGAGGGACCAUGCCUAGCGAGUCCGUACAACUGGUCUACUCUUGUUUCGCUUCGAUGAGUAGGUUUGUUUGGUGAGCUCAUCCUAGUACCUCAAAUGGACACGUUCCGGAUCAAAGUUUAGCACCGACUCCGAUUCACCCGGAUUGUCCAUCCUAGUGAGGGACCAUGCCUAGCGAGUCCGUACAAGUGGUCUAGUCUUGUUUCGCUUCUAUCAAUUGGUUUGUUAGGUGUGCUCAUCCUCGUAGCUCAAAUUGACACGUUCCGGAUCAAAGUUUAGCACCGACUCCGAUUUGGCCGGAUUGUCCGUCGUAGUGAGGGACCAUGCCUAGCGGGUCCGUAUAAGUGGUCUAGUCUUGUUUCGCUUCAAUAAGUAGGUUCGUUUGGUGUGCUCAUCCUCGUAGCUCAAAGGGACACGUUCCGGAUGAAAGCUUAGCACCGACUCCGAUUUACCCGGAUUGUCCGUCCUACGGAGGGACCAUGCCUAUCGAGUCCGUACAAGUGGUCUAGUCUUGUUUCGCUUCGAUGAGUAGAUUUGUUUGGUGUGCUCAUCCUAGUACCUCAAAUGGACACGUUCCGGAUCAAAGUUUAGCACCGACUCCGAUUCACCCGGAUUGUCCGUCCUAGGGAGGGACCAUGCCUAGCGAGUCCGUACAACUGGUCUACUCUUGUUUCGCUUCGAUGAGUAGGUUUGUUUGGUGUGCUCAUCCUAGUACCUCAAAUGGACACGUUCCGGAUCAAAGUAUAGCACCGACUCUGAUUUGGCCGGCUUGCCCGUCCUAGCGAGGGACCAUGCCUAGCGAGUCCGUACAACUGGUCUACUCUUGUUUCGCUUCGAUGAGUAGGUUUGUUUGGUGAGCUCAUCCUAGUACCUCAAAUGGACACGUUCCGGAUCAAAUUUUAGCACUGACUCCGUAUUACCCGGAUUGUCCGUCCUAGGGACGGACCAUGCCUAGCGAGUCCGUACAAGUGGUCUAGUCUUGUUUCGCUUCGAUGAGUAGGUUUGUUCGGUGUGCUCAUCCUAAUACCUCAAAUGGACACGUUCGGGAUCAAAGUUUACCACCGACUCCGAUUUGGCCGGAUUGUCUGUCUUAGGGAGGUACCAUGCCAAGCGAAUCCGUACAAGUGGUCUAGUCUUGUUUCGCUUCGAUCAAUUGGUUUGUUAGGUGUGCUCAUCGUAGUACCUCACAUAGACACGUUCCGGAACAAAGAUUAGCACCGACUCCGAUUUUGCCGGGUUGUCCGUCCUAGUGAGGGACCAUGCCUAGCGAGUCCGUACAAGUGGUCUAGUCUUGUUUCGCUUCCAUAAUUAGGUUUGUUUGGUGUGCUCAUCCUAAUACCUCAAAUGGACACAUUCGGGAUCAAAGUUUAGCACCGACUCCGAUUUGGCCGGAUUGUCCGUCGUAGUGAGGGACCAUGCCUAGCGGGUCCGUAUAAGUGGUCUAGUCUUGUUUCGCUUCAAUAAGUAGGUUUGUUUGGUGUGCUCAUCCUAGUAGCUCAAAUGGACACGUUCCAGAUCAAAGUUUAGCACCGACUCCGAUUUACCCGGAUUGUCCGUCUGACGGAGGGACCAUGCCUAUCGAGUCCGUACAAGUGGUCUAGUCUUGUUUCGCUUCGAUGAGUAGGUUUGUUUGGUGUGCUCAUCCUAGUACCUCAAAUGGACACGUUCCGGAACAAAGUUUAGCACCUAGUCCGAUUUACCCUGAUUGUCCGUCCUAGCGAGGGACCAUGCCUAGCGAGUCCGUACAAGUGGUCUACUCUUGUUUCGCUUCGAUGAGUACGUUUGUUUUGGGUGCUCAUCCUCGUAGCUCAAAUGGACACGUUCCGGAUCAAAGUUUAGCACCGACUUCGAUUCACCCGGAUUGUCCGUCCUAGGGAGGGACCAUGCCUAGCGAGUCCGUACAAGUGGUCUACUCUUGUUUCGCUUCGAUGAGUACGUUUGUUUUGGGUGCUCAUCCUCGUAGCUCAAAUGGACACGUUCCGGAUCAAAGCUUAGCACCGAUUCCGAUUUACCCGGAUUGUCCGUCCUACGGAGGGACCAUGCCUAUCGAGUCCGUACAAGUGGUCUAGUCUUGUUUCGUUCGAUGAGUAGCUUUGUUUGGUGUGCUCAUCCUAGUACCUCAAAUGGACACAUUCCGGAUCAAAGUUUAGCACCGACUCCGAUUCACCCGGAAUUUCCGUCCUAGGGAGGGACCAUGCCUAGCGAGUCCGUACAAGUGGUCUAGUCUUGUUUCGCUUCGAUCAAUUGGUUUGUUAGGUGUGCUCAUCGUAGUACCUCAGAUAGACACGUUCCGGAACAAAGUUUAGCACCGACUCCGAUUUUGCCGGAUUGUCCGUCCUAGUGAGGGACCAUGCCUAGCGAGUCCGUACAAGUGGUCUAUUCUUGUUUCGCUUCAAUAAGUAGGAUUGUUUGGUGUGCUCAUCCUAAUACCUCAAAUGGACACGUUCGGGAUCAAAGUUUAGCACCGACUCCGAUUUGGCCGGAUUGUCCGUCGUAGUGAGGGACCGUGCCUAGCGGGUCCGUAUAAGUGGUCUAGUCUUGUUUCGAUUGGAUGAGUACGUACAAGUGGUCUAGUCUUGUUUCGCUUCGAUGAGUAGGUUUGUUUGGUGUGCUCUUCCUAGUACCUCAAAUGGACACGUUCCGGAACAAAGUUUAGCACCGACUCCGUAUUACCCGGAUUGUCCGUCCUAGGGACGGACCAUGCCUAGCGAGUCCGUGCAAGUGGUCUAGUCUUGUUUCGCUUCGAUGAGUAGGUUUGUUUGGUGUGCUCAUCCUACUACCUCAAAUGGACACGUUCGGGAUCAAAGUUUAGCACCGACUCCGAUUUGGCCGGAUUGUCCGUCGUAGUGAGGGACCAUGCCUAACGGGUCCGUAUAAGUGGUCUAGUCUUGUUUCGCUUCAAUAAGUAGGUUUGUUUGGUGUGAAAAUGCUCGUAGCUCAAAUGGACACGUUCCGGAUCAAAAUUUAGCACCGACUCCGAUUUAUCCGGAUUGUCCGUCCUACGGAGGGACCAUGCCUAUCGAGUCCGUACAAGUGGUCUAGUCUUGUUUCGCUUCGAUGAGUAGGUUUGUUUGGUGUGCUCAUCCUAGUACCUCAAAUGGACACGUUCCGGAACAAAGUUUAGCACCGAGUCCGAUUUACCCUGAUUGUCCGUCCUAGCGAGGGACCAUGCCUAGCGAGUCCGUACAACUGGUCUACUCUUGUUUCGCUUCGAUGAGUAGGUUUGUUUUGUGUGCUCAUCCUAGUACCUCAAAUGCACACGUUCCGGAUCAAAGUUUUGCACCGACUCCGAUUUACCCGGAUUGUCCGUCCUACGGAGUGACCAUGCCUAUCGAGUCCGUACAAGUGGUCUAGUCUUGUUUCGCUUUGAUGAGUAGGUUUGUUUGGUGUGCUCAUCCUAGUACCUCAAAUGGACACGUUCCGGAACAAAGUUUAGCACCGAGUCCGAUUUACCCUGAUUGUCCGUCCUAGCGAGGGACCAUGCCUAGCGAGUCCGUACAACUGGUCUACUCUUGUUUCGCUUCGAUGAGUAGGUUUGUUUUGUGUGCUCAUCCUAAUACCUCAAAUACACACGUUUCGGAUCAAAUUUUAGCACCGACUCGGAUUUGGCCGGAAUGUUCGUCCUAGUGGGGGACCAUGCCUAGCGACUCCGUACAAGUGGUCUAGGUUUGUUUCGCUUCGAUGAGUAGGUUUGUUUGGUGUGCUCAUCCUACUACCUCAAAUGGACACGUUCGGGAUCAAAGUUUAGCACCGACUCUGAUUUGGCCGGAUUGUCCGUCGUAGGGAGGGACCAUGCCUAGCGAGUCCGUAGAAGUGGUCUAGUCUUGUUUCGCUUCAAUAAGUAGGUUUGUUUGGUGUGCUCAUCCUAGUAGCUCAAAUGGACACAUUCCGGAUCAAAGUUUAGCACCGACUCCGAUUUACCCGGAUUGUCCGUCCUACGGAGGGACCAUGCCUAUCGAGUCCGUACAAGUGGUCUAGUCUUGUUUCGCUUCGAUGAGUAGGUUUGUUUGGUGUGCUCAUCCUAGGACCUCAAAUGGACACGUUCCGGAACAAAGUUUAGCACCGAGUCCGAUUUACCCUGAUUGUCCGUCCUAGCGAGGUACCAUGCCUAGCGAGUCCGUACAACUGGUCUGCUCUUGUUUCGCUUCGAUGAGUAGGUUUGUUUCGUGUGCUCAUCCUAGUACCUCAAAUGCACACGUUCCGGAUCAUAUUUUACCACCGACUCGGAUUUGGCCGGAAUGUCCGUCCUUGGGAGGGACCAUGCCUAGCGAGUCCGUACAACUGGUCUACUCUUGUUUCGCUUCGAUGAGUAGGUUUGUUUGGUGUGCUCAUCCUAGUACCUCAGAUGGACACGUUCCGGAUAAAAGUUUAGCACCGACUCCGAUUUGGCCGGAUUGUCCGUCGUAGUGAGGGACCGUGCCUAGCGGGUCCGUAUAAGUGGUCUAGUCUUGUUUCGCUUCAAUAAGUAGGUUUGUUUGGUGUGCUCAUGCUCGUAGCUCAAAUGGACACGUUCCGGAUCAAAGUUUAGCACCGACUCCGAUUUACCCGGAUUGUCCGUCCUACGGAGGGACCAUGUCUAUCGAGUCCGUACAAGUGGUCUCGUCUUGUUUCGCUUCGAUGAGUAGGUUUGUUUGGUGUGCUCAUCGUAGUACCUCAAAUGGACACGUUCCGGAACAAAGUUUAGCACCGACUCCGAUUUACCCGGAUUGUCCGUCCUACGGAGGGACCAUGCCUAUCGAGUCCGUACAAGUGGUCUAGUCUUGUUUCGUUUCGAUGAGUAGGUUUGUUUUGUGUGCUCAUCCUAGUACCUCAAAUGGACACGUUCCGGAACAAAGUUUAGCACCGACUCCGUAUUACCCGGAUUGUCCGUCCUAGGGACGGACCAUGCCUAGCGAGUCCGUACAAGUGGUCUAGUCUUGUUUCGCUUCGCUGAGUACGUUUGUUUGGUGUGCUCAUCCUAGUACCUCAAAUGGACACGUUCCGGAUCAAAGUUUAGCACCGACUCUGAUUUGGCCGGCUUGUCCGUCCUAGCGAGGGACCAUGCGUAGCGUGUCCGUACAACUGGUCUACUCUUGUUUCGCUUCGAUGAGUAGGUUUGUUUGUUGAGCUCAUCGUAGUACCUCAAAUGGACACGUUCCGGAUCAAAUUUUAGCACCGACUCUGAUUUGGCCGGCUUGUCCGUCCUAGCGAGGGACCAUGCGUAGCGUGUCCGUACAACUGGUCUACUCUUGUUUCGCUUCGAUGAGUAGGUUUGUUUGUUGAGCUCAUCGUAGUACCUCAAAUGGACACGUUCCGGAUCAAAUUUUAGCACCGACUCUGAUUUGGCCGGAUUGUCCGUCCUAGGGAGGGACCAUGCCUAGCGAGUCCGUACAAGUGGUCAAGUCUUGUUUCGCUUCGAUGAGUACGUUUGUGUUGUGUGCUCAUCCUCGUAGCUCAAAUGGACACGUUCCGGAUCAAAGUUUAGCACCGACUCCGAUUUACCCGGAUUGUCCGUCCUACGGAGGGACCAUGCCUAUCGAGUCCAUACAAGUGGUCUAGUCUUGUUUCGCUUCGAUGAGUAGGUUUGUUUGGUGUGCUCAUCCUAGUACCUCAAAUGGACACGUUCCGGAACAAAGUUUAGCACCGAGUCCGAUUUACCCUGAUUGUCCGUCCUAGCGAGGGACCAUGCCUAGCGAGUCCGUACAACUGGUCUACUCUUGUUUCGCUUCGAUGAGUAGGUUUGUUUCGUGUGCUCAUCCUAGUACCUCAAAUCCACACGUUCCGGAUCAAAUUUUAGCACCGACUCGGAUUUGGCCGGAAUGUCCGUCCUUGGGAGGGACCAUGCCUAGCGAGUCCGUACAACUAGUCUACUCUUGUUUCGCUUCGAUGAGUAGGUUUGUUUCGUGUGCUCAUCCUAGUACCUCAAAUGGACACGUUCCGGAUCAAAGUUUAGCACCGACUCCGAUUCACCCGGAUUGUCCGUCCUAGUGAGGGACCAUGCCUAGCGAGUCCGUACAAGUGGUCUAGUCUUGUUUCGCUUCGAUCAAUUGGUUUGUUAGGUGUGCUCAUCGUAGUACCUCAGAUAGACACGUUCCGGAACAAAGUUUAGCACCGACUCCGAUUUUGCCGGAUUGUCUGUCCUAGUGAGGGACCAUGCCUAGCGAGUCCGUACAAGUGGUCUAUUCUUGUUUCGCUUCAAUAAGUAGGUUUGUUUGGUGUCCUCAUCCUAAUACCUCAAAUGGACACGUUCGGGAUCAAAGUUUAGCACCGACUCCGAUUUGGCCGGAUUGUCCGUCGUAGUGAGGGACCGUGCCUAGCGGGUCCGUAUAAGUGGUCUAGUCUUGUUUCGCUUCAAUAAGUAGGUUUGUUUGGUGUGCUCAUCCUCGUAGCUCAAAUGGACACGUUCCGGAUCAAAGUUUAGCACCGACUCCGAUUUACCCGGAUUGUCCGUCCUAGUGAGGGACCAUGCCUAGCGAGUCCGUACAAGUGGUCUAGUCUUGUUUCGCUUCGAUGAGUAGGUUUGUUUGGUGUGCUCAUCCUAGUACCUCAAAUGGACACGUUCCGGAACAAAGUUUAGCACCGACUCCGAUUUAGCCGGAUUGUCCGACCUACGGAGGGACCAUGCCUAUCGAGUCCGUACAAGUGGUCUAGUCUUGUUUCGCUUCGAUGAGUAGGUUUGUUUGGUGUGCUCAUCCUAGUACCUCAAAUGGACACGUUCCGGAACAAAGUUUAGCACCGACUCCGUAUUACCCGGAUUGUCCGUCCUAGGAACGGACCAUGCCUAGCGAGUCCGUACAAGUGGUCUAGUCUUGUUUCGCUUCGAUGUGUACGUUUGUUUUGUGUGCUCAUCCUCGUAGCUCAAAUGGACACGUUCCGGAUCAAAGUUUAGCACCGACUCCGAUUUACCCGGAUUGUCCGUCCUACGGAGGGACCAUGCCUAUCGAGUCCGUACAAGUGGUCUAGUCUUGUUUCGCUUCGAUGAGUAGGUUUGUUUGGUGUGCUCAUCCUAGUACCUCAAAUGGACACGUUCCGGAACAAAGUUUAGCACCGAGUCCGAUUUACCCUGAUUGUCCGUCCUAGCGAGGGACCAUGCCUAGCGAGUCCGUACAACUGGUCUACUCUUGUUUCGCUUCGAUGAGUAGGUUUGUUUCGUGUGCUCAUCCUAGUACCUCAAAUGCACAUGUUCCGGAUCAAAUUUUAGCACCGACUCGGAUUUGGCCGGAAUGUCCGUCCUUGGGAGGGACCAUGCCUAGCGAGUCCGUACAACUGGUCUACUCUUGUUUCGCUUCGAUGAGUAGGUUUGUUUCGUGUGCUCAUCCUAGUACCUCAAAUGGACACGUUCCGGAUCAAAGUUUAGCACCGACUCCGAUUCACCCGGAUUGUCCGUCCUAGUGAGGGACCAUGCCUAGCGAGUCCGUACAAGUGGUCUAGUCUUGUUUCGCUUCGAUCAAUUGGUUUGUUAGGUGUGCUCAUCGUAGUACCUCAGAUAGACACGUUCCGGAACAAAGUUUAGCACCGACUCCGAUUUUGCCGGAUUGUCCGUCCUAGUGUGGGACCAUGCCUAGCGAGUCCGUACAAGUGGUCUAUUCUUGUUUCGCUUCAAUAAGUAGGUUUGUUUGGUGUGCUCAUCCUAAUACCUCAAAUGGACACGUUCGGGAUCAAAGUUUAGCACUGACUCCGAUUUGGCCGGAUUGUCCGUCGUAGUGAGGGACCGUGCCUAGCGGGUCCGUAUAAGUGGUCUAGUCUUGUUUCGCUUCAAUAAGUAGGUUUGUUUGGUGUGCUCAUCCUCGUAGCUCAAAUGGACACGUUCCGGAUCAAAGUUUAGCACCGACUCCGAUUUACCCGGAUUGUCCGUCCUAGUGAGGGACCAUGCCUAGCGAGUCCGUACAAGUGGUCUAGUCUUGUUUCGCUUCGAUGAGUAGGUUUGUUUGGUGUGCUCAUCCUAGUACCUCAAAUGGACACGUUCCGGAACAAAGUUUAGCACCGACUCCGUAUUACCCGGAUUGUCCGUCCUAGGGACGGACCAUGCCUAGCGAGUCCGUACAAUUGGUCUAGUCUUUUUUCGCGUCGAUGAGUACGUUUGUUUGGUGUGCUCAUCCUAGUAGCUCAAAUGGACACGUUCCGGAUCAAAGUUUAGCACCGACUCUGAUUUGGCCGGAUUGUCCGUCCUAGCGAGGGACCAUGCCUAGCGAGUCCGUACAAGUGGUCUAGUCUUGUUUCGCAUCGAUGAGUAGGUUUGUUUGGUGUGCUCAUCCUAGUACCUCAAAUGGACACGUUCCGGAUCAAAGUUUAGCACCGACUCUGAUUUGGCCGGCUUGUCCGUCCUAUCGAGGGACCAAGCGUAGCGAGUCCGUACAACUGGUCUACUCUUGUUUUGCUUCGAUGAGUAGGUUUGUUUGUUGAGCUCAUCGUAGUACCUCAAAUGGACACGUUCCGGAUCAAAUUUUAGCACCGACUCGGAUUUGGCCGGAUUGUCCGUCCUAGGGAGGGACCAUGCCUAGCGAGUCCGUACAAGUGGUCUAGUCUUGUUUCGCUUCGAUGUGUACGUUUGUUUUGUGUGCUCAUCCUCGUAGCUCAAAUGGACACGUUCCGGAUCAAAGUUUAGCACCGACUCCGAUUUACUCGGAUUGUCCGUCCUACGGAGCGACCAUGCCUAUCGAGUCCGUACAAGUGGUCUAGUCUUGUUUCGCUGCGAUGAGUAGGUUUGUUUGGUGUGCUCAUCCUAGUACCUCAAAUGGACACGUUCCGGAUCAAAGUUUAGCACCGACUCUGAUUUGGCCGGAUUGUCCGUCCUAGCGAGAGACAAUGCCUAGCGAGUCCGUACAAGUGGUCUAGUCUUGUUUCGCUUGGAUGAGUACGUUUGUUUUGUGUGCUCAUCCUCGUAGCUCAAAUGGACACGUUCCGGAUCAAAGUUUAGCGCCGACUCCGAUUUACCCGGAUUGUCCGUCCUACGGAGGGACCAUGCCUAUCGAGUCCGUACAAGUGGUCUAGUCUUGUUUCGCUUCGAUGAGUAGGUUUGUUUGGUGUGCUAAUCCUAGGACCUCAAAUGGACACGUUCCGGAUCAAAGUUUAGCACCGAGUCCGAUUUACCCUGAUUGUCCGUCCUAGCGAGGGACCAUGCCUAGCGAGUCCGUACAACUGGUCUGCUCUUGUUUCGCUUCGAUGAGUAUGUUUGUUUCGUGUGCUCAUCCUAGUACCUCAAAUGCACACGUUCCGGAUCAAAUUUUACCACCGACUCGGAUUUGGCCAGAAUGUCCGUCCUUGGGAGGGACCAUGCCUAGCGAGUCCGUACAACUUGUCUACUCUUGUUUCGCUUCGAUGAGUAGGUUUGUUUGGUGUGCUCAUCCUAGUACCUCAAAUGGACACGUUCCGGAUAAAAGUUUAGCACCGACUCCGAUUUGGCCGGAUUGUCCGUCGUAGUGAGGGACCGUGCCUAGCGGGUCCGUAUAAGUGGUCUAGUCUUGUUUCGCUUCAAUAAGUAGGUUUGUUUGGUGUGCUCAUCCUCGUAGCUCAAAUGGACACGUUCCGGAUCAAAGUUUAGCACCGACUCCGAUUUACCCGGAUUGUCCGUCCUACGGAGGGACCAUGUCUAUCGAGUCCGUACAAGUGGUCUAGUCUUGUUUCGCUUCGAUGAGUAGGUUUGUUUGGUGUGCUCAUCCUAGUACCUCAAAAGGACACGUUCCGGAACAAAGUUUAGCACCGACUCCGUAUUACCCGGAGUGUCCGUCCUAGGGACGGACCAUGCCUAGCGAGUCCGUACAAGUGGUCUAGUCUUGUUUCGCUUCGAUGAGUACGUUUGUUUGGUGUGCUCAUCCUAGUAGCUCAAAUGGACACGUUCCGGAUCAAAGUUUAGCACCGACUCUGAUUUGGCCGGAUUGUCCGUCCUAGCGAGGGACCAUGCCUAGCGAGUCCGUACAAGUGGUCUAGUCUUGUUUCGCUUCGAUGAGUAGGUUUGUUUGUUGUGCUCAUCCUAGUACCUCAAAUGGACACGUUCCGGAUCAAAGUUUAGCACCGACUCUGAUUUGGCCGGCUUGUCCGUCCUAGCGAGGGACCAUGCGUAGCGUGUCCGUACACCUGGUCUACUCUUGUUUCGCUUCGAUGAGUAGGUUUGUUUGGUGUGCUCAUCCUAGCACCUCAAAUGGACACGUUCCGGAUCAAAUUUUAGCACCGACUCGGAUUUGGCCGGAUUGUCCGUCCUAGGGAGGGACCAUGCCUAGCGAGUCCGUACAAGUGGUCUAGUCUUGUUUCGCUUCGAUGAGUACGUUUGUCUUGUGUGCUCAUCCUAGUACCUCAAAUGGACACGUUCCGGAACAAAGUUUAGCACCGACUCCGAUUUACCCGGAUUGUCCGUCCUACGGAGAGACCAUGCCUAUCGAGUCCGUACAAGUGGUCUAGUCUUGUUUCGUUCGAUGAGUAGGUUUGUUUGGUGUGCUCAUCCUAGUACCUCAAAUGGACACGUUCCGGAACAAAGUUUAGCACCGACUCCGUAUUACCCGGAUUGUCCGUCCUAGGGACGGACCAUGCCUAGCGAGUCCGUACAACAGGUCUAGUCUUGUUUCGCUUCGAUGAGUACGUUUGUUUGGUGUGCUCAUCCUAGUACCUCAAAUGCACACGUUCCGGAUCAAAUUUUACCACCGACUCGGAUUUGGCCAGAAUGUCCGUCCUUGGGAGGGACCAUGCCUAGCGAGUCCGUACAACUUGUCUACUCUUGUUUCGCUUCGAUGAGUAGGUUUGUUUGGUGUGCUCAUCCUAGUACCUCAAAUGGACACGUUCCGGAUAAAAGUUUAGCACCGACUCCGAUUUGGCCGGAUUGUCCGUCGUAGUGAGGGACCGUGCCUAGCGGGUCCGUAUAAGUGGUCUAGUCUUGUUUCGCUUCAAUAAGUAGGUUUGUUUGGUGUGCUCAUCCUCGUAGCUCAAAUGGACACGUUCCGGAUCAAAGUUUAGCACCGACUCCGAUUUACCCGGAUUGUCCGUCCUACGGAGGGACCAUGUCUAUCGAGUCCGUACAAGUGGUCUAGUCUUGUUUCGCUUCGAUGAGUAGGUUUGUUUGGUGUGCUCAUCCUAGUACCUCAAAUGGACACGUUCCGGAACAAAGUUUAGCACCGACUCCGUAUUACCCGGAUUGUCCGUCCUAGGGACGGACCAUGCCUAGCGAGUCCGUACAAGUGGUCUAGUCUUGUUUCGCUUCGAUGAGUACGUUUGUUUGGUGUGCUCAUCCUAGUACCUCAAAUGGACACGUUCCGGAUCAAAUUUUAGCACCGACUCGGAUUUGGCCGGAUUGUCCGUCCUAGGGAGGGACCAUGCCUAGCGAGUCCGUACAAGUGGUCUAGUCUUGUUUCGCUUCGAUGAGUACGUUUGUCUUGUGUGCUCAUCCUCGUAGCUCAAAUGGACACGUUCCGGAUCAAAGUUUAGCACCGACUCCGAUUUACCCGGAUUGUCCGUCCUACGGAGAGAUCAUGCCUAUCGAGUCCGUACAAGUGGUCUAGUCUUGUUUCGCUUCGAUGAGUAGGUUUGUUUGGUGUGCUCAUCCUAGGACCUCAAAUGGACACGUUCCGGAUCAAAGUUUAGCACCGAGUCCGAUUUACCCUGAUUGUCCGUCCUAGCGAGGGACCAUGCCUAGCGAGUCCGUACAACUGGUCUGCUCUUGUUUCGCUUCGAUGAGUAGGUUUGUUUCGUGUGCUCAUCCUAGUACCUCAAAUGCACACGUUCCGGAUCAAAUUUUAGCACCGACUCGGAUUUGGCCGGAAUGUCCGUCCUUGGGAGGGACCAUGCCUAGCGAGUCCGUACAACUGGUCUACUCUUGUUUCGCUUCGAUGAGUAGGUCUGUUUCGUGUGCUCAUCCUAGUACCUCAAAUGGACACGUUCCGGAUCAAAGUUUAGCACCGACUCCGAUUCACCCGGAUUGUCCGUCCUAGUGAGGGACCCUGCCUAGCGAGUCCGUACAAGUGGUCUAGUCUUGUUUCGCUUCGAUCAAUUGGUUUGUUAGGUGUGCUCAUCGUAGUACCUCAGAUAGACACGUUCCGGAACAAAGUUUAGCACCGACUCCGAUUUUGACGGAUUGUCCGUCCUAGUGAGGGACCAUGCCUAGCGAGUCCGUACAAGUGGUCUAGUCUUGUUUCGCUUCGAUGUGUACGUUUGUUUUGUGUGCUCAUCCUCGUAGCUCAAAUGGACACGUUCCGGAUCAAAGUUUAGCACCGACUCCGAUUUACCCGGAUUGUCCGUCCUACGGAGCGACCAUGCCUAUCGAGUCCGUACAAGUGGUCUAGUCUUGUUUCGCUUCGAUGAGUAGGUUUGUUUGGUGUGCUCAUCCUAGUACCUCAAAUGGACACGUUCCGGAUCAAAGUUUAGCACCGACUCUGAUUUGGCCGGAUUGUCCGUCCUAGCGAGGGACCAUGCCUAGCGAGUCCGUACAAGUGGUCUAGUCUUGUUUCGCUUGGAUUAGUACGUUUGUUUUGUGUGCUCAUCCUCGUAGCUCAAAUGGACACGUUCCGGAUCAAAGUUUAGCGCCGACUCCGAUUUAUCCGGAUUGUCCGUCCUACGGAGGGACCAUGCCUAUCGAGUCCGUACAAGUGGUCUAGUCUUGUUUCGCUUUGAUGAGUAGGUUUGUUUGGUGUGCUCAUCCUAGGACCUCAAAUGGACACGUUCCGGAUCAAAGUUUAGCACCGAGUCCGAUUUACCCUGAUUGUCCGUCCUAGCGAGGGACCAUGCCUAGCGAGUCCGUACAACUGGUCUGCUCUUGUUUCGCUUCGAUGAGUAGGUUUGUUUCGUGUGCUCAUCCUAGUACCUCAAAUGCACACGUUCCGGAUCAAAUUUUACCACCGACUCGGAUUUGGCCAGAAUGUCCGUCCUUGGGAGGGACCAUGCCUAGCGAGUCCGUACAACUUGUCUACUCUUGUUUCGCUUCGAUGAGUAGGUUUGUUUGGUGUGCUCAUCCUAGUACCUCAAAUGGACACGUUCCGGAUAAAAGUUUAGCACCGACUCCGAUUUGGCCGGAUUGUCCGUCGUAGUGAGGGACCGUGCCUAGCGGGUCCGUAUAAGUGGUCUAGUCUUGUUUCGCUUCAAUAAGUAGGUUUGUUUGGUGUGCUCAUCCUCGUAGCUCAAAUGGACACGUUCCGGAUCAAAGUUUAGCACCGACUCCGAUUUACCCGGAUUGUCCGUCCUACGGAGGGACCAUGUCUAUCGAGUCCGUACAAGUGGUCUAGUCUUGUUUCGCUUCGAUGAGUAGGUUUGUUUGGUGUGCUCAUCCUAGUACCUCAAAUGGACACGUUCCGGAACAAAGUUUAGCACCGACUCCGAUUUACCCGGAUUGUCCGUCCUACGGAGGGACCAUGCCUAUCGAGUCCGUACAAGUGGUCUAGUCUUGUUUCGUUCGAUGAGUAGGUUUGUUUGGUGUGCUCAUCCUAGUACCUCAAAUGGACACGUUCCGGAACAAAGUUUAGCACCGACUCCGUAUUACCCGGAUUGUCCGUCCUAGGGACGGACCAUGCCUAGCGAGUCCGUACAAGUGGUCUAGUCUUGUUUCGCUUCGAUGAGUACGUUUGUUUGGUGUGCUCAUCCUAGUACCUCAAAUGGACACGUUCCGGAUCAAAUUUUAGCACCGACUCGGAUUUGGCCGGAUUGUCCGUCCUAGGGAGGGACCAUGCCUAGCGAGUCCGUACAAGUGGUCUAGUCUUGUUUCGCUUCGAUGAGUACGUUUGUCUUGUGUGCUCAUCCUCGUAGCUCAAAUGGACACGUUCCGGAUCAAAGUUUAGCACCGACUCCGAUUUACCCGGAUUGUCCGUCCUACGGAGAGAUCAUGCCUAUCGAGUCCGUACAAGUGGUCUAGUCUUGUUUCGCUUCGAUGAGUAGGUUUGUUUGGUGUGCUCAUCCUAGGACCUCAAAUGGACACGUUCCGGAUCAAAGUUUAGCACCGAGUCCGAUUUACCCUGAUUGUCCGUCCUAGCGAGGGACCAUGCCUAGCGAGUCCGUACAACUGGUCUGCUCUUGUUUCGCUUCGAUGAGUAGGUUUGUUUCGUGUGCUCAUCCUAGUACCUCAAAUGCACACGUUCCGGAUCAAAUUUUAGCACCGACUCGGAUUUGGCCGGAAUGUCCGUCCUUGGGAGGGACCAUGCCUAGCGAGUCCGUACAACUGGUCUACUCUUGUUUCGCUUCGAUGAGUAGGUCUGUUUCGUGUGCUCAUCCUAGUACCUCAAAUGGACACGUUCCGGAUCAAAGUUUAGCACCGACUCCGAUUCACCCGGAUUGUCCGUCCUAGUGAGGGACCCUGCCUAGCGAGUCCGUACAAGUGGUCUAGUCUUGUUUCGCUUCGAUCAAUUGGUUUGUUAGGUGUGCUCAUCGUAGUACCUCAGAUAGACACGUUCCGGAACAAAGUUUAGCACCGACUCCGAUUUUGACGGAUUGUCCGUCCUAGUGAGGGACCAUGCCUAGCGAGUCCGUACAAGUGGUCUAGUCUUGUUUCGCUUCGAUGUGUACGUUUGUUUUGUGUGCUCAUCCUCGUAGCUCAAAUGGACACGUUCCGGAUCAAAGUUUAGCACCGACUCCGAUUUACCCGGAUUGUCCGUCCUACGGAGCGACCAUGCCUAUCGAGUCCGUACAAGUGGUCUAGUCUUGUUUCGCUUCGAUGAGUAGGUUUGUUUGGUGUGCUCAUCCUAGUACCUCAAAUGGACACGUUCCGGAUCAAAGUUUAGCACCGACUCUGAUUUGGCCGGAUUGUCCGUCCUAGCGAGGGACCAUGCCUAGCGAGUCCGUACAAGUGGUCUAGUCUUGUUUCGCUUGGAUUAGUACGUUUGUUUUGUGUGCUCAUCCUCGUAGCUCAAAUGGACACGUUCCGGAUCAAAGUUUAGCGCCGACUCCGAUUUACCCGGAUUGUCCGUCCUACGGAGGGACCAUGCCUAUCGAGUCCGUACAAGUGGUCUAGUCUUGUUUCGCUUUGAUGAGUAGGUUUGUUUGGUGUGCUCAUCCUAGGACCUCAAAUGGACACGUUCCGGAUCAAAGUUUAGCACCGAGUCCGAUUUACCCUGAUUGUCCGUCCUAGCGAGGGACCAUGCCUAGCGAGUCCGUACAACUGGUCUGCUCUUGUUUCGCUUCGAUGAGUAGGUUUGUUUCGUGUGCACAUCCUAGUACCUCAAAUGCACUCGUUCCGGAUCAAAUUUUACCACCGACUCGGAUUUGGCCAGAAUGUCCGUCCUUGGGAGGGACCAUGCCUAGCGAGUCCGUACAACUUGUCUACUCUUGUUUCGCUUCGAUGAGUAGGUUUGUUUGGUGUGCUCAUCCUAGUACCUCAAAUGGACACGUUCCGGAUGAAAGUUUAGCACCGACUCCGAUUUGGCCGGAUUGUCCGUCGUAGUGAGGGACCGUGCCUAGCGGGUCCGUAGAAGUGGUCUAGUCUUGUUUCGCUUCAAUAAGUAGGUUUGUUUGGUGUGCUCAUCCUCGUAGCUCAAAUGGACACGUUCCGGAUCAAAGUUUAGCACCGACUCCGAUUUACCCGGAUUGUCCGUCCUACGGAGGGACCAUGUCUAUCGAGUCCGUACAAGUGGUCUAGUCUUGUUUCGCUUCGAUGAGUAGGUUUGUUUGGUGUGCUCAUCGUAGUACCUCAAAUGGACACGUUCCGGAACAAAGUUUAGCACCGACUCCGAUUUACCCGGAUUGUCCGUCCUACGGAGGGACCAUGCCUAUCGAGUCCGUACAAGUGGUCUAGUCUUGUUUCGCUUCGAUGAGUAGGUUUGUUUGGUGUGCUCAUCCUAGUACCUCAAAAGGACACGUUCCGGAACAAAGUUUAGCACGGACUCCGUAUUACCCGGAUUGUCCGUCCUAGGGACGGACCAUGCCUAGCGAGUCCGUAUAAGUGGUCUAGUCUUGUUUCGCUUCGAUGAGUACGUUUGUUUGGUGUGCUCAUCCUAGUAGCUCAAAUGGACACGUUCCGGAUCAAAGUUUAGCACCGACUCUGAUUUGGCCGGAUUGUCCGUCCUAGCGAGGGACCAUGCCUAGCGAGUCCGUACAAGUGGUCUAGUCUUGUUUCGCUUCGAUGAGUAGGUUUGUUUGUUGUGCUCAUCCUAGUACCUCAAAUGGACACGUUCCGGAUCAAAGUUUAGCACCGACUCUGAUUUGGCCGGCUUGUCCGUCCUAGCGAGGGACCAUGCGUAGCGUGUCCGUACAACUGGUCUACUCUUGUUUCGCUUCGAUGAGUAGGUUUGUUUGUUGAGCUCAUCGUAGUACCUCAAAUGGACACGUUCCGGAUCAAAUUUUAGCACCGACUCGGAUUUGGCCGGAUUGUCCGUCCUAGGGAGGGACCAUGCCUAGCGAGUCCGUACAAGUGGUCUAGUCUUGUUUGGCUUCGAUGAGUACGUUUGUCUUGUGUGCUCAUCCUCGUAGCUCAAAUGGACACGUUCCGGAUCAAAGUUUAGCACCGACUCCGAUUUACCCGGAUUGUCCGUCCUACGGAGAGACCUUGCCUAUCGAGUCCGUACAAGUGGUCUAGUCUUGUUUCGCUUCGAUGAGUAGGUUUGUGUGGUGUGCUCAUCCUAGGACCUCAAAUGGACACGUUCCGGAUCAAAGUUUAGCACCGAGUCCGAUUUACCCUGAUUGUCCGUCCUAGCGAGGGACCAUGCCUAGCGAGUCCGUACAACUGGUCUGCUCUUGUUUCGCUUCGAUGAGUAGGUUUGUUUCGUGUGCUCAUCCUAGUACCUCAAAUGCACACGUUCCGGAUCAAAUUUUACCACCGACUCGGAUUUGGCCAGAAUGUCCGUCCUUGGGAGGGACCAUGCCUAGCGAGUCCGUACAACUUGUCUACUCUUGUUUCGCUUCGAUGAGUAGGUUUGUUUGGUGUGCUCAUCCUAGUGCCUCAAAUGGACACGUUCCGGAUAAAAGUUUAGCACCGACUCCGAUUUGGCCGGAUUGUCCGUCGUAGUGAGGGACCGUGCCUAGCGGGUCGGUAUAAGUGGUCUAGUCUUGUUUCGCUUCAAUAAGUAGGUUUGUUUGGUGUGCUCAUCCUCGUAGCUCAAAUGGACACGUUCCGGAUCAAAGUUUAGCACCGACUCCGAUUUACCCGGAUUGUCCGUCCUACGGAGGGACCAUGUCUAUCGAGUCCGUACAAGUGCUCUAGUCUUGUUUCGCUUCGAUGAGUAGGUUUGUUUGGUGUGCUCAUCCUAGUACCUGAAAUGGACACGUUCCGGAACAAAGUUUAGCACCGACUCCGAUUUACCCGGAUUGUCCGUCCUACGGAGGGACCAUGCCUAUCGAGUCCGUACAAGUGGUCUAGUCUUGUUUCGCUUCGAUGAGUAGGUUUGUUUGGUGUGCUCAUCCUAGUACCUCAAAUGGACACGUUCCGGAACAAAGUUUAGCACCGACUCCGUAUUACCCGGAUUGUCCGUCCUAGGGAGGGACCAUGCCUAUCGAGUCCGUACAAGUGGUCUAGUCUUGUUUCGCUUCGAUGAGUAGGUUUGUUUGGUGUGCUCAUCCUAGUACCUCAAAUGGACACGUUCCGGAACAAAGUUUAGCACCGACUCCGAUUUACCCGGAUUGUCCGUCCUACGGAGGGACCAUGCCUAUCGAGUCCGUACAAGUGGUCUAGUCUUGUUUCGUUCGAUGAGUAGGUUUGUUUUGUGUGCUCAUCCUAGUACCUCAAAUGGACACGUUCCGGAACAAAGUUUAGCACCGACUCCGUAUUACCCGGAUUGUCCGUCCUAGGGACGGACCAUGCCUAGCGAGUCCGUACAAGUGGUCUAGUCUUGUUUCGCUUCGAUGAGUACGUUUGUUUGGUGUGCUCAUCCUAGUAGCUCAAAUGGACACGUUCCGGAUCAAAGUUUAGCACCGACUCUGAUUUGGCCGGCUUGUGCGUCCUAUCGAGGGACCAAGCGUAGCGAGUCCGUACAACUGGUCUACUCUUGUUUCGCUUCGAUGAGUAGGUUUGUUUGUUGAGCUCAUCGUAGUACCUCAAAUGGACACGUUCCGGAUCAAAGUUUAGCACCGACUCGGAUUUGGCCGGAUUGUCCGUCCUAGGGAGGGACCAUGCCUAGCGAGUCCGUACAAGUGGUCUAGUCUUGUUUCGCUUCGAUGUGUACGUUUGUUUUGUGUGCUCAUACUCGUAGCUCAAAUGGACACGUUCCGGAUCAAAGUUUAGCACCGACUCCGAUUUACCCGGAUUGUCCGUCCUACGGAGCGACCAUGCCUAUCGAGUCCGUACAAGUGGUCUAGUCUUGUUUCGCUUCGAUGAGUAGGUUUGUUUGGUGUGCUCAUCCUAGGACCUCAAAUGGACACGUUCCGGAUCAAAGUUUAGCACCGAGUCCGAUUUACCCUGAUUGUCCGUCCUAGCGAGGGACCAUGCCUAGCGAGUCCGUACAACUGGUCUGCUCUUGUUUCGCUUCGAUGAGUAGGUUUGUUUCGUGUGCUCAUCCUAGUACCUCAAAUGCACUCGUUCCGGAUCAAAUUUUACCACCGACUCGGAUUUGGCCAGAAUGUCCGUCCUUGGGAGGGACCAUGCCUAGCGAGUCCGUACAACUUGUCUCCUCUUGUUUCGCUUCGAUGAGUAGGGUUGUUUGGUGUGCUCAUCCUAGUACCUCAAAUGGACACGUUCCGGAUAAAAGUUUAGCACCGACUCCGAUUUGGCCGGAUUGUCCGUCGUAGUGAGGGACCGUGCCUAGCGGGUCCGUAUAAGUGGUCUAGUCUUGUUUCGCUUCAAUAAGUAGGUUUGUUUGGUGUGCUCAUCCUCGUAGCUCAAAUGGACACGUUCCGGAUCAAAGUUUAGCACCGACUCCGAUUUACCCGGAUUGUCCGUCCUACGGAGGGACCAUGUCUAUCGAGUCCGUACAAGUGGUCUAGUCUUGUUUCGCUUCGAUGAGUAGGUUUGUUUGGUGUGCUCAUCGUAGUACCUCAAAUGGACACGUUCCGGAACAAAGUUUAGCACCGACUCCGAUUUACCCGGAUUGUCCGUCCUACGGAGGGACCAUGCCUAUCGAGUCCGUACAAGUGGUCUAGUCUUGUUUCGCUUCGAUGAGUAGGUUUGUUUGGUGUGCUCAUCCUAGUACCUCAAAAGGACACGUUCCGGAACAAAGUUUAGCACUGACUCCGUAUUACCCGGAUUGUCCGUCCUAGGGACGGACCAUGCCUAGCGAGUCCGUACAAGUGGUCUAGUCUUGUUUCGCUUCGAUGAGUACGUUUGUUUGGUGUGCUCAUCCUAGUAGCUCAAAUGGACACGUUCCGGAUCAAAGUUUAGCACCGACUCUGAUUUGGCCGGAUUGUCCGUCCUAGCGAGGGACCAUGCCUAGCGAGUCCGUACAAGUGGUCUAGUCUUGUUUCGCUUCGAUGAGUAGGUUUGUUUGUUGUGCUCAUCCUAGUACCUCAAAUGGACACGUUCCGGAUCAAAGUUUAGCACCGACUCUGAUUUGGCCGGCUUGUCCGUCCUAGCGAGGGACCAUGCGUAGCGUGUCCGUACAACUGGUCUACUCUUGUUUCGCUUCGAUGAGUAGGUUUGUUUGUUGAGCUCAUCGUAGUACCUCAAAUGGACACGUUCCGGAUCAAAUUUUAGCACCGACUCGGAUUUGGCCGGAUUGUCCGUCCUAGGGAGGGACCAUGCCUAGCGAGUCCGUACAAGUGGUCUAGUCUUGUUUCCCUUCGAUGAGUACGUUUGUCUUGUGUGCUCAUCCUCGUAGCUCAAAUGGACACGUUCCGGAUCAAAGUUUAGCACGGACUCCGAUUUACCCGGAUUGUCCGUCCUACGGAGAGACCAUGCCUAUCGAGUCCGUACAAGUGGUCUAGUCUUGUUUCGCUUCGAUGAGUAGGUUUGUUUGGUGUGCUCAUCCUAGGACCUCAAAUGGACACGUUCCGGAUCAAAGUUUAGCACCGAGUCCGAUUUACCCUGAUUGUCCGUCCUAGCGAGGGACCAUGCCUAGCGAGUCCGUACAACUGGUCUGCUCUUGUUUCGCUUCGAUGAGUAGGUUUGUUUCGUGUGCUCAUCCUAGUACCUCAAAUGGACACGUUCCGGAUAAAAGUUUAGCACCGACUCCGAUUUGGCCGGAUUGUCCGUCGUAGUGAGGGACCGUGCCUAGCGGGUCCGUAUAAGUGGUCUAGUCUUGUUUCGCUUCAAUAAGUAGGUUUGUUUGGUGUGCUCAUCCUCGUAGCUCAAAUGGACACGUUCCGGAUCAAAGUUUAGCACCGACUCCGAUUUACCCGGAUUGUCCGUCCUACGGAGGGACCAUGUCUAUCGAGUCCGUACAAGUGGUCUAGUCUUGUUUCGCUUCGAUGAGUAGGUUUGUUUGGUGUGCUCAUCGUAGUACCUCAAAUGGACACGUUCCGGAACAAAGUUUAGCACCGACUCCGAUUUACCCGGAUUGUCCGUCCUACGGAGGGACCAUGCCUAUCGAGUCCGUACAAGUGGUCUAGUCUUGUUUCGCUUCGAUGAGUAGGUUUGUUUGGUGUGCUCAUCCUAGUACCUCAAAUGGACACGUUCCGGAACAAAGUUUAGCACCGACUCCGUAUUACCCGGAUUGUCCGUCCUAGGGACGGACCAUGCAUAGCGAGUCCGUACAAGUGGUCUAGUCUUGUUUCGCUUCGAUGAGUACGUUUGUUUGGUGUGCUCAUCCUAGUAGCUCAAAUGGACACGUUCCGGAACAAAGUUUAGCACCGACUCUGAUUUGGCCGGAUUGUCCGUCCUAGCGAGGGACCAUGCCUAGCGAGUCCGUACAAGUGGUCUAGUCUUGUUUCGCUUCGAUGAGUAGGUUUGUUUGGUGUGCUCAUCCUAGUACCUCAAAUGGACACGUUCCGGAUCAAAGUUUAGCACCGACUCCGAUUUGGCCGGCUUGUCCGUCCUUGCGAGGGACCAUGCGUAGCGUGUCCGUACAACUGGUCUACUCUUGUUUCGCUUCGAUGAGUAGGUUUGUUUGUUGAGCUCAUCGUAGUACCUCAAAUGGACACGUUCCGGAUCAAAUUUUAGCACCGACUCGGAUUUGGCCGGAUUGUCCGUCCUAGGGAGGGACCAUGCCUAGCGAGUCCGUACAAGUGGUCUAGUCUUGUUUCGCUUCGAUGAGUACGUUUGUCUUGUGUGCUCAUCCUCGUAGCUCAAAUGGACACGUUCCGUAUCAAAGUUUAGCACCGACUCCGAUUUACCCGGAUUGUCCGUCCUACGGAGAGACCAUGCCUAUCGAGUCCGUACAAUUGGUCUAGUCUUGUUUCGCUUCGAUGAGUGGGUUUGUUUGGUGUGCUCAUCCUAGGACCUCAAAUGGACACGUUCCGGAUCAAAGUUUAGCACCGAGUCCGAUUUACCCUGAUUGUCCGUCCUAGCGAGGGACCAUGCCUAGCGAGUCCGUACAACUGGUCUGCUCUUGUUUCGCUUCGAUGAGUAGGUUUGUUUCGUGUGCUCAUCCUAGUACCUCAAAUGCACACGUUCCGGAUCAAAUUUUACCACCGACUCGGAUUUGGCCAGAAUGUCCGUCCUUGGGAGGGACCAUGCCUAGCGAGUCCGUACAACUUGUCUACUCUUGUUUCGCUUCGAUGAGUAGGCUUGUUUGGUGUGCUCAUCCUAGUACCUCAAAUGGACACGUUCCGGAUAAAAGUUUAGCACCGACUCCGAUUUGGCCGGAUUGUCCGUCGUAGUGAGGGACCGUGCCUAGCGGGUCCGUACAAGUGGUCUAGUCUUGUUUCGCUUCGAUGAGUACGUUUGUUUGGUGUGAUCAUCCUAGUAGCUCAAAUGGACACGUUCCGGAUCAAAGUUUAGCACCGACUCUGAUUUGGCCGGAUUGUCCGUCCUACGGAGGGACCAUGUCUAUCGAGUCCGUACAAGUGCUCUAGUCUUGUUUCGCUUCGAUGAGUAGGUUUGUUUGGUGUGCUCAUCCUAGUAGCUCAAAUGGACACGUUCCGGAACAAAGUUUAGCACCGACUCCGAUUUACCCGGAUUGUCCGUCCUACGGAGGGACCAUGCCUAUCGAGUCCGUACAAGUGGUCUAGUCUUGUUUCGCUUCAAUAAGUAGGUUUGUUCUGUGUGCUCAUCCUCGUAGCUCAAAUGGACACGUUCCGGAUCAAAGUUUAGCACCGACUCCGAUUUACUCGGAUUGUCCGUCCUACGGAGGGACCAUGUCUAUCAAGUCCGUACAAGUGCUCUAGUCUUGUUUCGCUUCGAUGAGUAGGUUUGUUUGGUGUGCUCAUCCUAGUACCUCAAAUGGACACGUUCCGGAACAAAGUUUAGCACCGACUGCGAUUUACCCGGAUUGUCCGUCCUACGGAGGGACCAUGCCUAUCGAGUCCGUACAAGUGGUCUAGUCUUGUUUCGCUUCGAUGAGUAGGUUUGUUUGGUGUGCUCAUCCUAGUACCUCAAAUGGACACGUUCCGGAACAAAGUUUAGCACCGACUCCGUAUUACCCGGAUUGUCCGUCCUAGGGACGGACCAUGCCUAGCGAGUCCGUACAAGUGGUCUAGUCUUGUUUCGCUUCGAUGAGUACGUUUGUUUGGUGUGAUCAUCCUAGUAGCUCAAAUGGACACGUUCCGGAUCAAAGUUUAGCACCGACUCUGAUUUGGCCGGAUUGUCCGUCCUAGCGAGGGACCAUGCCUAGCGAGUCCGUACAAGUGGUCUAGUCUUGUUUCGCUUCGAUGAGUAGGUUUGUUUGGUGUGCUCAUCCUAGUACCUCAAAUGGACACGUUCCGGAACAAAGUUUAGCACCGACUCCGUAUUACCCGGAUUGUCCGUCCUAGGGACGGACCAUGCCUAGCGAGUCCGUACAAGUGGUCUAGUCUUGUUUCGCUUCGAUGAGUACGUUUGUCUUGUGUGCUCAUCCUCGUAGCUCAAAUGGACACGUUCCGGAUCAAAGUUUAGCACCGACUCCGAUUUACCCGGAUUGUCCGUCCUACGGAGAGACCAUGCCUAUCGAGUCCGUACAAUUGGUCUAGUCUUGUUUCGCUUCGAUGAGUGGGUUUGUUUGGUGUGCUCAUCCUAGGACCUCAAAUGGACACGUUCCGGAUCAAAGUUUAGCACCGACUCCGAUUUACCCGGAUUGUCCGUCCUACGGAGGGACCAUGUCUAUCGAGUCCGUACAAGUGCUCUAGUCUUGUUUCGCUUCGAUGAGUAGGUUUGUUUGGUGUGCUCAUCCUAGUACCUCAAAUGGACACGUUCCGGAACAAAGUUUAGCACCGACUCCGAUUUACCCGGAUUGUCCGUCCUACGGAGGGACCAUGCCUAUCGAGUCCGUACAAGUGGUCUAGUCUUGUUUCGCUUCGAUGAGUAGGUUUGUUUGGUGUGCUCAUCGUAGUACCUCAAAUGGACACGUUCCGGAACAAAGUUUAGCACCGACUCCGAUUUACCCGGAUUGUCCGUCCUACGGAGGGACCAUGCCUAUCGAGUCCGUACAAGUGGUCUAGUCUUGUUUCGCUUCGAUGAGUAGGUUUGUUUGGUGUGCUCAUCCUAGUACCUCAAAUGGACACGUUCCGGAACAAAGUUUAGCACCGACUCCGUAUUACCCGGAUUGUCCGUCCUAGGGACGGACCAUGCAUAGCGAGUCCGUACAAGUGGUCUAGUCUUGUUUCGCUUCGAUGAGUACGUUUGUUUGGUGUGCUCAUCCUAGUAGCUCAAAUGGACACGUUCCGGAACAAAGUUUAGCACCGACUCUGAUUUGGCCGGAUUGUCCGUCCUAGCGAGGGACCAUGCCUAGCGAGUCCGUACAAGUGGUCUAGUCUUGUUUCGCUUCGAUGAGUAGGUUUGUUUGGUGUGCUCAUUCUAGUACCUCAAAUGGACACGUUCCGGAUAAAAGUUUAGCACCGACUCCGAUUUGGCCGGAUUGUCCGUCGUAGUGAGGGACCGUGCCUAGCGGGUCCGUAUAAGUGGUCUAGUCUUGUUUCGCUUCAAUAAGUAGGUUUGUUUGGUGUGCUCAUCCUCGUAGCUCAAAUGGACACGUUCCGGAUCAAAGUUUAGCACCGACUCCGAUUUACCCGGAUUGUCCGUCCUACGGAGGGACCAUGUCUAUCGAGUCCGUACAAGUGGUCUAGUCUUGUUUCGCUUCGAUGAGUAGGUUUGUUUGGUGUGCUCAUCGUAGUACCUCAAAUGGACACGUUCCGGAACAAAGUUUAGCACCGACUCCGAUUUACCCGGAUUGUCCGUCCUACGGAGGGACCAUGCCUAUCGAGUCCGUACAAGUGGUCUAGUCUUGUUUCGCUUCGAUGAGUAGGUUUGUUUGGUGUGCUCAUCCUAGUACCUCAAAAGGACACGUUCCGGAACAAAGUUUAGCACUGACUCCGUAUUACCCGGAUUGUCCGUCCUAGGGACGGACCAUGCCUAGCGAGUCCGUACAAGUGGUCUAGUCUUGUUUCGCUUCGAUGAGUACGUUUGUUUGGUGUGCUCAUCCUAGUAGCUCAAAUGGACACGUUCCGGAUCAAAGUUUAGCACCGACUCUGAUUUGGCCGGAUUGUCCGUCCUAGCGAGGGACCAUGCCUAGCGAGUCCGUACAAGUGGUCUAGUCUUGUUUCGCUUCGAUGAGUAGGUUUGUUUGUUGUGCUCAUCCUAGUACCUCAAAUGGACACGUUCCGGAUCAAAGUUUAGCACCGACUCUGAUUUGGCCGGCUUGUCCGUCCUAGCGAGGGACCAUGCGUAGCGUGUCCGUACAACUGGUCUACUCUUGUUUCGCUUCGAUGAGUAGGUUUGUUUGUUGAGCUCAUCGUAGUACCUCAAAUGGACACGUUCCGGAUCAAAUUUUAGCACCGACUCGGAUUUGGCCGGAUUGUCCGUCCUAGGGAGGGACCAUGCCUAGCGAGUCCGUACAAGUGGUCUAGUCUUGUUUCGCUUCGAUGAGUACGUUUGUCUUGUGUGCUCAUCCUCGUAGCUCAAAUGGACACGUUCCGGAUCAAAGUUUAGCACCGACUCCGAUUUACCCGGAUUGUCCGUCCUACGGAGAGACCAUGCCUAUCGAGUCCGUACAAGUGGUCUAGUCUUGUUUCGCUUCGAUGAGUAGGUUUGUUUGGUGUGCUCAUCCUAGGACCUCAAAUGGACACGUUCCGGAUCAAAGUUUAGCACCGACUCCGAUUUACCCGGAUUGUCCGUCCUACGGAGAGACCAUGCCUAUCGAGUCCGUACAAUUGGUCUAGUCUUGUUUCGCUUCGAUGAGUGGGUUUGUUUGGUGUGCUCAUCCUAGGACCUCAAAUGGACACGUUCCGGAUCAAAGUUUAGCACCGAGUCCGAUUUACCCUGAUUGUCCGUCCUAGCGAGGGACCAUGCCUAGCGAGUCCGUACAACUGGUCUGCUCUUGUUUCGCUUCGAUGAGUAGGUUUGUUUCGUGUGCUCAUCCUAGUACCUCAAAUGCACACGUUCCGGAUCAAAUUUUACCACCGACUCGGAUUUGGCCAGAAUGUCCGUCCUUGGGAGGGACCAUGCCUAGCGAGUCCGUACAACUUGUCUACUCUUGUUUCGCUUCGAUGAGUAGGCUUGUUUGGUGUGCUCAUCCUAGUACCUCAAAUGGACACGUUCCGGAUAAAAGUUUAGCACCGACUCCGAUUUGGCCGGAUUGUCCGUCGUAGUGAGGGACCGUGCCUAGCGGGUCCGUACAAGUGGUCUAGUCUUGUUUCGCUUCGAUGAGUACGUUUGUUUGGUGUGAUCAUCCUAGUAGCUCAAAUGGACACGUUCCGGAUCAAAGUUUAGCACCGACUCUGAUUUGGCCGGAUUGUCCGUCCUACGGAGGGACCAUGUCUAUCGAGUCCGUACAAGUGCUCUAGUCUUGUUUCGCUUCGAUGAGUAGGUUUGUUUGGUGUGCUCAUCCUAGUAGCUCAAAUGGACACGUUCCGGAACAAAGUUUAGCACCGACUCCGAUUUACCCGGAUUGUCCGUCCUACGGAGGGACCAUGCCUAUCGAGUCCGUACAAGUGGUCUAGUCUUGUUUCGCUUCAAUAAGUAGGUUUGUUCUGUGUGCUCAUCCUCGUAGCUCAAAUGGACACGUUCCGGAUCAAAGUUUAGCACCGACUCCGAUUUACUCGGAUUGUCCGUCCUACGGAGGGACCAUGUCUAUCAAGUCCGUACAAGUGCUCUAGUCUUGUUUCGCUUCGAUGAGUAGGUUUGUUUGGUGUGCUCAUCCUAGUACCUCAAAUGGACACGUUCCGGAACAAAGUUUAGCACCGACUGCGAUUUACCCGGAUUGUCCGUCCUACGGAGGGACCAUGCCUAUCGAGUCCGUACAAGUGGUCUAGUCUUGUUUCGCUUCGAUGAGUAGGUUUGUUUGGUGUGCUCAUCCUAGUACCUCAAAUGGACACGUUCCGGAACAAAGUUUAGCACCGACUCCGAUUUACCCGGAUUGUCCGUCCUACGGAGGGACCAUGCCUAUCGAGUCCGUACAAGUGGUCUAGUCUUGUUUCGCUUCGAUGAGUAGGUUUGUUUGGUGUGCUCAUCCUAGUACCUCAAAUGGACACGUUCCGGAACAAAGUUUAGCACCGACUCCGAUUUACCCGGAUUGUCCGUCCUACGGAGGGACCAUGCCUAUCGAGUCCGUACAAGUGGUCUAGUCUUGUUUCGCUUCGAUGAGUAGGUUUGUUUGGUGUGCUCAUCCUAGUACCUCAUAUGGACACGUUCCGGAUCAAAGUUUAGCACCGACUCUGAUUUGGCCGGAUUGUCCGUCCUAGCGAGGGACCAUGCCUAGCGAGUCCGUACAAGUGGUCUAGUCUUGUUUCGCUUCGAUGAGUAGGUUUGUUUGGUGUGCUCAUCCUAGUACCUCAAAUGGACACGUUCCGGAACAAAGUUUAGCACCGACUCCGUAUUACCCGGAUUGUCCGUCCUAGGGACGGACCAUGCCUAGCGAGUCCGUACAAGUGGUCUAGUCUUGUUUCGCUUCGAUGAGUAGGUUUGUUUGGUGUGCUCAUCCUAGUACCUCAAAUGGACACGUUCCGGAUCAAAGUUUAGCACCGACUCUGAUUUGGCCGGCUUGUCCGUCGUUGCGAGGGACCAUGCGUAGCGUGUCCGUACAACUGGUCUACUCUUGUUUCGCUUCGAUGAGUAGGUUUGUUUGUUGAGCUCAUCGUAGUACCUCAUAUGGACACGUACCGGAUCAAAUUUUAGCACCGACUCGGAUUUGGCCGGAUUGUCCGUCCUAGGGAGGGACCAUGCCUAGCGAGUCCGUACAAGUGGUCUAGUCUUGUUUCGCUUCGAUGAGUACGUUUGUCUUGUGUGCUCAUCCUCGUAGCUCAAAUGGACACGUUCCGGAUCAAAGUUUAGCACCGACUCCGAUUUACCCGGAUUGUCCGUCCUACGGAGAGACCAUGCCUAUCGAGUCCGUACAAUUGGUCUAGUCUUGUUUCGCUUCGAUGAGUGGGUUUGUUUGGUGUGCUCAUCCUAGGACCUCAAAUGGACACGUUCCGGAUCAAAGUUUAGCACCGACUCCGAUUUACUCGGAUUGUCCGUCCUACGGAGGGACCAUGUCUAUCAAGUCCGUACAAGUGCUCUAGUCUUGUUUCGCUUCGAUGAGUAGGUUUGUUUGGUGUGCUCAUCCUAGUACCUCAAAUGGACACGUUCCGGAACAAAGUUUAGCACCGACUGCGAUUUACCCGGAUUGUCCGUCCUACGGAGGGACCAUGCCUAUCGAGUCCGUACAAGUGGUCUAGUCUUGUUUCGCUUCGAUGAGUAGGUUUGUUUGGUGUGCUCAUCCUAGUACCUCAAAUGGACACGUUCCGGAACAAAGUUUAGCACCGACUCCGUAUUACCCGGAUUGUCCGUCCUAGGGACGGACCAUGCCUAGCGAGUCCGUACAAGUGGUCUAGUCUUGUUUCGCUUCGAUGAGUACGUUUGUUUGGUGUGAUCAUCCUAGUAGCUCAAAUGGACACGUUCCGGAUCAAAGUUUAGCACCGACUCUGAUUUGGCCGGAUUGUCCGUCCUAGCGAGGGACCAUGCCUAGCGAGUCCGUACAAGUGGUCUAGUCUUGUUUCGCUUCGAUGAGUAGGUUUGUUUGGUGUGCUCAUCCUAGUACCUCAAAUGGACACGUUCCGGAACAAAGUUUAGCACCGACUCCGUAUUACCCGGAUUGUCCGUCCUAGGGACGGACCAUGCCUAGCGAGUCCGUACAAGUGGUCUAGUCUUGUUUCGCUUCGAUGAGUAGGUUUGUUUGGUGUGCUCAUCCUAGUACCUCAAAUGGACACGUUCCGGAUCAAAGUUUAGCACCGACUCUGAUUUGGCCGGCUUGUCCGUCGUUGCGAGGGACCAUGCGUAGCUUGUCCGUACAACUGGUCUACUCUUGUUUCGCUUCGAUGAGUAGGUUUGUUUGUUGAGCUCAUCGUAGUACCUCAUAUGGACACGUACCGGAUCAAAUUUUAGCACCGACUCGGAUUUGGCCGGAUUGUCCGUCCUAGGGAGGGACCAUGCCUAGCGAGUCCGUACAAGUGGUCUAGUCUUGUUUCGCUUCGAUGAGUACGUUUGUCUUGUGUGCUCAUCCUCGUAGCUCAAAUGGACACGUUCCGGAUCAAAGUUUAGCACCGACUCCGAUUUACCCGGAUUGUCCGUCCUACGGAGAGACCAUGCCUAUCGAGUCCGUACAAUUGGUCUAGUCUUGUUUCGCUUCGAUGAGUGGGUUUGUUUGGUGUGCUCAUCCUAGGACCUCAAAUGGACACGUUCCGGAUCAAAGUUUAGCACCGAGUCCGAUUUACCCUGAUUGUCCGUCCUAGCGAGGGACCAUGCCUAGCGAGUCCGUACAACUGGUCUGCUCUUGUUUCGCUUCGAUGAGUAGGUUUUUUUCGUGAGCUCAUCCUAGUACCUCAAAUGCACACGUUCCGGAUCAAAUUUUACCACCGACUCGGAUUUGGCCACAAUGUCCGUCCUUGGGAGGGACCAUGCCUAGCGAGUCCGUACAACUUGUCUCCUCUUGUUUCGCUUCGAUGAGUAGGUUUGUUUGGUGUGCUCAUCCUAGUACCUCAAAUGGACACGUUCCGGAUAAAAGUUUAGCACCGACUCCGAUUUGGCCGGAUUGUCCGUCGUAGUGAGGGACCGUGCCUAGCGGGUCUGUACAAGUGGUCUAGUCUUGUUUCGCUUCAAUAAGUAGGUUUGUUUGGUGUGCUCAUCCUCGUAGCUCAAAUGGACACGUUCCGGAUCAAAGUUUAGCACCGACUCCGAUUUACCCGGAUUGUCCGUCCUACGGAGGGACCAUGUCUAUCGAGUCCGUACAAGUGCUCUAGUCUUGUUUCGCUUCGAUGAGUAGGUUUGUUUGGUGUGCUCAUCCUAGUACCUCAAAUGGACACGUUCCGGAACAAAGUUUAGCACCGACUCCGAUUUACCCGGAUUGUCCGUCCUACGGAGGGACCAUGCCUAUCGAGUCCGUACAAGUGGUCUAGUCUUGUUUCGCUUCGAUGAGUAGGUUUGUUUGGUGUGCUCAUCCUAGUACCUCAAAUGGACACGUUCCGGAAGAAAGUUUAGCACCGACUCCGUAUUACCCGGAUUGUCCGUCCUAGGGACGGACCAUGCAUAGCGAGUCCGUACAAGUGGUCUAGUCUUGUUUCGCUUCGAUGAGUACGUUUGUUUGGUGUGCUCAUCCUAGUAGCUCAAAUGGACACGUUCCGGAACAAAGUUUAGCACCGACUCUGAUUUGGCCGGAUUGUCCGUCCUAGUGAGGGACCAUGCCUAGCGAGUCCGUACAAGUGGUCUAUUCUUGUUUCGCUUCAAUAAGUAGGUUUGUUUGGUGUGCUCAUCCUAGUACCUCAAAUGGACACGUUCCGGAUCAAAGUUUAGCACCGACUCCGAUUCACCCGGAUUGUCCGUCCUAGGGAGGGACCAUGCCUAGCGAGUCCGUACAAGUGGUCUAGUCUUGUUUCGCUUCGAUGAGUAGGUUUGUUUGCUGUGCUCCUCCUAGUACCACAAAUGGACACGUUCCGGAACAAAGUUUAGCACCGAGUCCGAUUUACCCUGAUUGUCCGUCCUAGCGAGGGACCAUGCCUAGCGAGUCCGUAAAACUGGUCUACUCUUGUUUCGCUUCGAUGAGUAGGUUUGUUUGGUGUGCUCAUCCUAGUACCUCAAAGGGACACGUUCGGGAUCAAACUUUAGCACCGACUCGGAUUUGGCCGGAAUGUCCGUCCUUGGGAGGGACCAUGCCUAGCGAGUCCGUACAACUGGUCUACUCUUGUUUCGCUUCGAUGAGUAGGUUUGUUUCGUGUGCUCAUCCUAGUACCUCAAAUGGACACGUUCCGGAUCAAAGUUUAGCACCGACUCCGAUUCACCCGGAUUGUCCGUCGUAGUGAGGGACCAUGCGUAGCGAGUCCGUACAAGUGGUCUAGUCUUGUUUCGCUUCGAUCAAUUGGUUUGUUAGGUGUGCUCAUCGUAGUACCUCAGAUAGACACGUUCCGGAACAAAGUUUAGCACCGACUCCGAUUUUGCCGGAUUGUCCGUCCUAGUGAGGGACCAAUCCUACCGAGUCCGUACAAGUGGUCUAUUCUUGUUUCGCUUCAAUAAGUAGGUUUGUUUGGUGUGCUCAUCCUAAUACCUCAAAUGGACACGUUCGGGAUCAAACUUUAGCACCGACUCCGAUUUGGCUGGAUUGUCCGUCGUAGUGAGGGACCAUGCCUAGCGGGUCCGUAUAAGUGCUCUAGUCUUGUUUCGCUUCAAUAAGUAGGUUUGUUUGGUGUGCUCAUCCUAGUACCACAAAUGGACACGUUCCGGAACAAAGUUUAGCACCGAGUCCAAUUUACCCUGAUUGUCCGUCCUAGCGAGGGACCAUGCCUAGCGAGUCCGUACAACUGGUCUACUCUUGUUUCGCUUCGAUGAGUAGGUUUGUUUCGUGUGCUCAUCCUAAUACCUCAAAUGCACACGUUCCGGAUCAAAUUUUAGCACCGACUCGGAUUUGGCCGGAAUGUCCGUCCUAGUGAGGGACCAUGCCUAGCGAGUCCGUACAAGUGGUCCAGUCUUGUUUCGCUUCGAUGAGUAGGUUUGUUUGGUGUGCUCAUCCUACUACCUCAAAUGGACACAUUCGGGAUCAAAGUUUAGCACCGACUCUGAUUUGGACGGCUUGUCCGUCCUAGCGAGGGACCAUGCCUAGCGAGUCCGUACAACUGGUCUACUCUUGUUUCGCUUCGAUGAGUAGGUUUGUUUGGUGUGCUCAUCCUAGUACCUCAAAUGGACACGUUCCGGAUCAAAGUUUAGCACCGACUCCGAUUUACCCGGAUUGUCCGUCCUAGUGAGGGACCAUGCCUAGCGAGUCCGUACGAUUGGUCUAGUCUUGUUUCGCUUCGAUGAGUAGGUUUGUUUGUUGAGCUCAUCGUAGUACCUCAAAUGGACACGUUCCGGAUCAAAUUUUAGCACCGACUCGGGUUUGGCCGGAUUGUCCGUCCUAGGGAGGGACCAUGCCUAGCGAGUCCGUACAAGUGGUCUAGUCUUGUUUCGCUUCGAUGAGUACGUUUGUUUGGUGUGCUCAUCCUAGUAGAUCAAAGGGACACGUUCCGGAUCAAAGUCAGCACCGACUCUGAUUUGGCCGGAUUGUCCGUCCUAGCGAGUCUGUAUAAGUGGUCUAGUCUUGUUUCGCUUGCAUCAGUAGGUUUGUUUGUUGUGCUCAUCCCAGUAGCUCAAAUGGACACGUUCCGGAUCAAAGUUUAGCACCGACUCUGAUUUUGCCGGAUUGUCCGUCCUAGUGAGGGACCAUGCCUAGCGAGUCCGUACAAGUGGUCUAGUCUUGUUUUGCUUCGAUGAGUAGGUUUGUUUGGUGUGCUCAUCCUAGUUCCUCAAAUGGACACGUUCCGGAUCAAAGUUUUGAACAGACUCGGAUUUGGCCGACUUGGCCGUCCUAGCGAGGGACCAUGCCUAGCAAGUCCGUACAAGUGGUCUACUCAUGUUUCGCUUCGAUGAGUAGGUUUGUUUGGUGUGCUCAUCCUAGUACCACAAAUGGACACGUUCCGGAACAAAGUUUAGCACCGAGUCCGAUUUACCCUGAUUGUUCGUCCUAGCGAGGGACCAUGCCUACCGAGUCCGUACAACUGGUCUACUCUUGUUUCGCUUCGAUGAGUAGUUUUGUUUGGUGUGCUCAUCCUAGUACCUCAAAGGGACACGUUCCGGAUCAAAGUUUAGCACCGACUCCGAUUCACCCGGAUUGUCCGUCCUAGUGAGGGACCAUGCCUAGCGAGUCCGUACAAGUGGUCUAGUCUUGUUUCGCUUCGAUCAAUUGGUUUGUUAGGUGUGCUCAUCGUAGUACCUCAGAUAGACACGUUCCGGAACAAACUUUAGCACCGACUCCGAUUUUGCCGGAUUGUCCGUCCUAGUGAGGGACCAUGCCUAGCGAGUCCGUACAAGUGGUCUAUUCUUGUUUCGCUUCAAUAAGUAGGUUUGUUUGGUGUGCUCAUCCUAAUACCUCAAAUGGACACGUUCGGGAUCAAAGUUUAGCACCGACUCCGAUUUGGCCGGAUUGUCCGUCGUAGUGAGGGACCGUGCCUAGCGGGUCCUUAUAAGUGGUCUAGUCUUGUUUCGCUUCAAUAAGUAGGUUUGUUAGGUGUGCUCAUCCUCGUAGCUCAAAUGGACACGUUCCGGAUCAAAGUUUAGCACCGACUCCGAUUUACCCGGAUUGUCCGUCCUACGGUGGGACCAUGCCUAUCGAGUCCGUACAAGUGGUCUAGUCUUGUUUCGCUUCGAUGAAUAGGUUUGUUUGGUGUCCUCAUCCUACUACCUCAAAUGGACACGUUCCGGAUCAAAGUUUAGCACCGACUCUGAUUUGGCCGGAUUGUCCGUCCUAGCGAGGGACCCUGCCUAGCGAGUCCGUACAAGUGGUCUAGUCUUGUUUCGCUUCGAUGAGUACGUUUGUUUGGUGUGCUCACCUAGUAGCUCAAAUGGAAACGUUCCGGAUCACAGUUUAGCACCGACUCCGAUUUUGCCGGAUUGUCCGUCCUAGUGAGGGACCAUGCCUAGCGAGUCCGUACAAGUGGUCUAAUCUUGUUUCGCUUCGAUAAGUAGGUUUGUUUGGUGUGCUCAUUCUAGUACCUCAAAUGCAGACGUUCCGGAUCAAAGUUUAGCACCGACUCUGAUUUGGCCGGAUUGUGCGUCCUAGUGAGGGACCAUGCCUAGCGAGUCCGUACAAGUGGUCUAGUCUUGUUUCCCUUCGAUGAGUAGGUUUGUUUGGUGUGCUCAUCCUAGUUCCUCAAAUGGACAGGUUCCGGAUCAAAGUUUAGCACCGACUCCGAUUUACACUGAUUGUCUGUCCUAGCGAGGGACCAAGCCUAGCGAGUCCGUACAACUGGUCUACUCUUGUUUCGCUUCGAUGAGUAGGUUUGUUUGGUGUGCUCAUCCUAGUUCCUCAAAUGGACAGGUUCCGGAUCAAAGUUUAGCACCGACUCCGAUUUACACUGAUUGUCUGUCCUAGCGAGGGACCAAGCCUAGCGAGUCCGUACAACUGGUCUACUCUUGUUUCGCUUCGAUGAGUAGGUUUGUUUGGUGUGCUCAUCCUAGUACCUCAAAUGGACACGUUCCGGAUCAAAGUUUAGCACCGACUCUGAUUUGGCCGGAUUGUCCGUCGUAGAAAGGGACCAUGCCUAGCGAGUCCGUACAAGUGGUCUAGUCUUGUUUCACUUCGAUGAGUAGGUUUGUUUGGUGUGCUCAUUCCAGUACCUGAAAUGGACACGUUGCGGAUCAAAGUUUAGCACCAACUCUGAUUUGGCCGGCUUGUCCAUCCUAGCGAGGGACCAUGCCUAGCGAGUCCGUACAACUGGUCUACUCUUGUUUCGCUUCGAUGAGUAGGUUUGUUUGGUGUGCUCAUCCUAGUACCUCAAAUGGACACGUUCCGGAUCAAAGUUUAGCACCGACUCCGAUUCACCCGGCUUGUCCGUCCUAGUGAGGGACCAUGCCUAGCGAGUCCGUACAAGUGGUCUAGUCUUGUUUCGCUUCGAUGAGUAGUUUUGUUUGGUGUGCUCAUCCUAGUACCACAAAUGGACACGUUCCGGAACAAAGUUUAGCACCGAGUCCGAUUUACCCUGAUUGUCCGUCAUAGCGAGGGACCAUGCCUAGCGAGUCCGUACAACUGGUCUACUCUUGUUUCGCUUCGAUGAGUAGGUUUGUUUGGUGUGCUCAUCCUAGUACCUCAAAUGGACACGUUCCGGAUCAAAGUUUAGCACCGACUCCGAUUCACCCGGAUUGUCCGUCCUAGUGAGGGACCAUGCCUAGCGAGUCCGUACAAGUUGUCUAGUCUUCUUUCGCUUCGAUCAAUUGGUUUGUUAGGUGUGCUCAUCGUAGUACCUCAGAUAGACACGUUCCGGAACAAAGUUUAGCACCGACUCCGAUUUUGCCGGAUUGUCCGUCCUAGUGAGGGACCAUGCCUAGCGAGUCCGUACAAGUGGUCUAUUCUUGUUUCGCUUCAAUAAGUAGGUUUGUUUGGUGUGCUCAUCCUAGUACCUCAAAUGGACACGUUCCGGAUCAAAGUUUAGCACCGACUCCGAUUCACCCGGAUUGUCCGUCCUAGGGAGGGACCAUGCCUAGCGAGUCCGUACAAGUGGUCUAGUCUUGUUUCGCUUCGAUGAGUAGGUUUGUUUGCUGUGCUCCUCCUAGUACCACAAAUGGACACGUUCCGGAACAAAGUUUAGCACCGAGUCCGAUUUACCCUGAUUGUCCGUCCUAGCGAGGGACCAUGCCUAGCGAGUCCGUAAAACUGGUCUACUCUUGUUUCGCUUCGAUGAGUAGGUUUGUUUGGUGUGCUCAUCCUAGUACCUCAAAGGGACACGUUCGGGAUCAAACUUUAGCACCGACUCGGAUUUGGCCGGAAUGUCCGUCCUUGGGAGGGACCAUGCCUAGCGAGUCCGUACAACUGGUCUACUCUUGUUUCGCUUCGAUGAGUAGGUUUGUUUCGUGUGCUCAUCCUAGUACCUCAAAUGGACACGUUCCGGAUCAAAGUUUAGCACCGACUCCGAUUCACCCGGAUUGUCCGUCGUAGUGAGGGACCAUGCGUAGCGAGUCCGUACAAGUGGUCUAGUCUUGUUUCGCUUCGAUCAAUUGGUUUGUUAGGUGUGCUCAUCGUAGUACCUCAGAUAGACACGUUCCGGAACAAAGUUUAGCACCGACUCCGAUUUUGCCGGAUUGUCCGUCCUAGUGAGGGACCAAUCCUACCGAGUCCGUACAAGUGGUCUAUUCUUGUUUCGCUUCAAUAAGUAGGUUUGUUUGGUGUGCUCAUCCUAAUACCUCAAAUGGACACGUUCGGGAUCAAACUUUAGCACCGACUCCGAUUUGGCUGGAUUGUCCGUCGUAGUGAGGGACCAUGCCUAGCGGGUCCGUAUAAGUGCUCUAGUCUUGUUUCGCUUCAAUAAGUAGGUUUGUUUGGUGUGCUCAUCCUAGUACCACAAAUGGACACGUUCCGGAACAAAGUUUAGCACCGAGUCCAAUUUACCCUGAUUGUCCGUCCUAGCGAGGGACCAUGCCUAGCGAGUCCGUACAACUGGUCUACUCUUGUUUCGCUUCGAUGAGUAGGUUUGUUUCGUGUGCUCAUCCUAAUACCUCAAAUGCACACGUUCCGGAUCAAAUUUUAGCACCGACUCGGAUUUGGCCGGAAUGUCCGUCCUAGUGAGGGACCAUGCCUAGCGAGUCCGUACAAGUGGUCCAGUCUUGUUUCGCUUCGAUGAGUAGGUUUGUUUGGUGUGCUCAUCCUACUACCUCAAAUGGACACAUUCGGGAUCAAAGUUUAGCACCGACUCUGAUUUGGACGGCUUGUCCGUCCUAGCGAGGGACCAUGCCUAGCGAGUCCGUACAACUGGUCUACUCUUGUUUCGCUUCGAUGAGUAGGUUUGUUUGGUGUGCUCAUCCUAGUACCUAAAAUGGACACGUUCCGGAUCAAAGUUUAGCACCGACUCCGAUUUACCCGGAUUGUCCGUCCUAGUGAGGGACCAUGCCUAGCGAGUCCGUACGAUUGGUCUAGUCUUGUUUCGCUUCGAUGAGUAGGUUUGUUUGUUGAGCUCAUCGUAGUACCUCAAAUGGACACGUUCCGGAUCAAAUUUUAGCACCGACUCGGGUUUGGCCGGAUUGUCCGUCCUAGGGAGGGACCAUGCCUAGCGAGUCCGUACAAGUGGUCUAGUCUUGUUUCGCUUCGAUGAGUACGUUUGUUUGGUGUGCUCAUCCUAGUAGAUCAAAGGGACACGUUCCGGAUCAAAGUCAGCACCGACUCUGAUUUGGCCGGAUUGUCCGUCCUAGCGAGUCUGUAUAAGUGGUCUAGUCUUGUUUCGCUUGCAUCAGUAGGUUUGUUUGUUGUGCUCAUCCCAGUAGCUCAAAUGGACACGUUCCGGAUCAAAGUUUAGCACCGACUCUGAUUUUGCCGGAUUGUCCGUCCUAGUGAGGGACCAUGCCUAGCGAGUCCGUACAAGUGGUCUAGUCUUGUUUUGCUUCGAUGAGUAGGUUUGUUUGGUGUGCUCAUCCUAGUUCCUCAAAUGGACACGUUCCGGAUCAAAGUUUUGAACAGACUCGGAUUUGGCCGACUUGGCCGUCCUAGCGAGGGACCAUGCCUAGCAAGUCCGUACAAGUGGUCUACUCAUGUUUCGCUUCGAUGUGUAGCUUUGUUUUGUGUGCUCAUCCUAGUAUCUCAAAUGGACACGUUCCGUAUCGAAGUUUAGCACCGACUCCGAUUUAGCCGGAUUGUCCAUCCUAGGGAGGGACCAUGCCUAGCGAGUCCGUACAAGUGGUCUACUCUUGUUUCGCUUCGAUGAGUAGCUUUGUUUUGUGUGCUCAUCCGAGGACCUCAAAUGGACACGUUCCGGAUCAAAGUUUAGCACCGACUCCGAUUUACCCGGAUUGUCCGUCCUAGCGAGGCACCAUGCCUAGCGAGUCCGUACAACUGGUCUACUCUUGUUUCGCUUCGAUGAGUUGGUUUGCUUGGUGUGCUCAUCCUAGUACCUCAAAUGGACACGUUCCGGAACAAAGUUUAGCGCCGACUCCGAUUUUGCCGGAUUGUCCGUCUUAGGGAGGGACCAUGCCUAGCGAGUCCGUACAAGUGGUCUAAUCUUGUUUCGCAUCGAUAGGUAGGUUUGUUUGGUGUGCUCAUCCUAGUUCCUCAAAUGGACAGGUUCCAGAUCAAAGUUUAGCACCGACUCCGAUUUACACUGAUUGUCUGUCCUAGCGAGGGACCAUGCCUAGCGAGUCCGUACAACUGGUCUACUCUUGUUUCGCUUCGAUGAGUAGGUUUGUUUGGUGUGCUCAUCCUAGUACCUCAAAUGGACACGUUCCGGAUCAAAGUUUAGCACCGAGUCCGAUUUACCCUGAUUGUCCGUCCUAGCGAGGGACCAUGCCUAGCGAGUCCGUACAACUGGUCUACUCUUGUUUCGCUUCGAUGAGUAGGUUUGUUUCGUGUGCUCAUCCUAGUACCUCAAAUGCACACGUUCCGGAUCAAAUUUUAGCACCGACUCGGAUUUGGCCGGAAUGUCCGUCCUAGUGAGGGACCAUGCCUAGCGAGUCCGUACAAGUGGUCCAGUCUUGUUUCGCUUCGAUGAGUAGGUUUGUUUGGUGUGCUCAUCCUACUACCUCAAAUGGACACAUUCGGGAUCAAAGUUUAGCACCGACUCUGAUUUGGACGGCUUGUCCGUCCUAGCGAGGGACCAUGCCUAGCGAGUCCGUACAACUGGUCUACUCUUGUUUCGCUUCGAUGAGUAGGUUUGUUUGGUGUGCUCAUCCUAGUACCUCAAAUGGACACGUUCCGGAUCAAAGUUUAGCACUGACUCCGAUUUGGCCGGAUUGUCCGUCGUAGGGAGGGACCAUGCCUAGCGAGUCCGUACAAGUGGUCUACUCUUGUUUCGCUUCGAUAAGUAGGUUUGUUUGGUGUGCUCAUUCCAGUACCUGAAAUGGACACGUUCCCGAUCAAAGUUUAGCACCGACUCCGAUUUACCCCGAUUGUCCGUCCUAGCGAGGGACCUUGCCUAGCGAGUCCGUACAACUGGUCUACUCUUGUUUCGCUUCGAUGAGUUGGUUUGCUUGGUGUGCUCAUCCUAGUACCUCAAAUGGACACAUUCCGGAACAAAGUUUAGCACCGACUCCGAUUUUGCCGGAUUGUCCGUCUUAGUGAGGGACCAUGCCCAGUGAGUCCGUACAAGUGGUCUAAUCUUGUUUCGCUUCGAUAAGUAGGUUUGUUUGGUGUGCUCAUCCUUGUGCCUCAAAUGGACAGGUUCCGGAUCAAAGUUUAGCAGCGACCCCGAUUUACCCGGAUUUUCCGUCCUAGUGAGGGACCAUGGGUAGCGAGUCCGUACAAGUGGUCUCCUCUUGUUUCGCUUCGAUGAGGAGCUUUGUUUGGUGUGCUCAUCCUAGUACCUCAAAUGGACACGUUUCGGAACAAAGUUUAGCACCGACUUCGAUUUUGCCAGAUUGUCCGUCUUAGGGAGGGACCAUGCCUAGCGAGUCCGUACAAGUGGUCUAGUCUUGUUUCGCUUCGAUAAGUAGGUUUUUUUGGUGUGCUCAUCCUAGUACCUCAAAGGGACACGUUCCGGAUAAAAGUUUAGCACCGACUCCGAUUUACCCGGAUUGUCCGUCCUAGUGAGGGACCAUGCCUAGCGAGUCCGUACAAGUGGUCUUGUCUUGUUUCGCUUCGAUGAGUAGGUUUGCUUGGUGUGCUCAUCCUAGUACCUCAAAUGGGCACGUUCCGGAACAAAGUUUAGCACCCACUCCGAUUUUGCCGGAUUGUCCGUCCUAGGGAGGGACCAUGCCUAGCGAGUCCGUACAAGUGGUCUAGUCUUGUUUCGCUUCGAUGAGUAGGUUUGCUUGGUGUGCUCAUCCUAGUACCUCAAAUGGACACGUUCCGGAACAAAGUUUAGCACCGACUCCGAUUUGGCCGGAUUGUCUGUCGUAGGGAGGGACCAUGCCUAGCGAGUACGUACAACUGGUCUACUCUUGUUUCGCUUUGAUGAGUAAGUUUGUUUGGUGUGCUCAUCCUAGUACCUCAAAUGGACACGUUCCGGAUAAAAGUUUAGCACCGACUCCGAUUUGGCCGGAUUGUCUGUCGUAGGGAGGGACCAUGCCUAGCGAGUACGUACAACUGGUCUAUUCUUGUUUCGCUUUGAUGAGUAAGUUUGUUUGGUGUGCUCAUCAUAGUACCUCAAAUGGACACGUUCCGGAUAAAAGUUUAGCACCGACUCGGAUUUGGCCGAAUUGUCCGUCCUAGUGAGGGUCCAUGCCUAGCGAGUCCACCUUCUUAUUCUUUUCUUCUUCUUUUUUUUCUUUUUUUUAACCCCAGAAACUCACGGAAAAGAAGGACCGGAAAACUGUACGUCGGUCUGUCGAAGAACAGCAAAGGCUGCAGUAAGAAAACUUCAAAAAAAUAUGGAAAAAUAUGGGUUAGAAGCGUAUCGACACAAGCUUUCCAGCAAGGGCAAGAUCACUCAAAACGGAUGUCGGACGGUGGAGAAAACUGAGAAACACCGGGCUGCAGAAACUUGGAAACUCCCAAAGUCCACCUUACAAACCGAAUUUGAGGGUCAAAGUGCAGGGCAACGCCCUGGAUAUUUCAAGAUGCGCCUCGUCGUGAGCUUUCUAGAAAGUCCAAGAACGUCCAAAUCCGAGUUAUUACGCAAAAGAUAUGCCCAUUUUACUGAACACGGGUCAAACCCACCCGAAACUAAAAUUCUACUCGGACUCGGGUCUGAAACUGACUCGAACUCUUUCUCUUUUUUUUUUGUUUUUUUUAUUUCUUUGUUUCCUUUUUUUUUCUUUCCUUUCUUUUUUUUUCAACAUUCGAAACAACUUGAUCUCUAAAAAAAAUUCGAUCUAUGAUGAAACACUUUCCAAAAGCACUCCUUAUUGGACUCGGACUCGAACUCGCGGCUGAAAACUAUAACUUGCCGACUCGAUGUAGGACUCGAAGAGGGACACGGCGUAGGACUCGACGAGGGACUCGGUGUAGGACUCGAAGAGGGACUCGGUGUAGGACUCGAAGAGGGACUCGGUGUAGGACUCGAAGAGGGACUCGGUGGAAGAUAUGGUGGCGGCGGGAAAUUAUGGCGGUGGUGUGGCAGGAAGUUUGGCGGCGGAAGAUUGAUGAAGGAAACCUGCGUCACACGAAGAACAAGAAAACCAAAAGCAAGUUCGAUCUAGUAGAAAAAAUCUGAAAAACGAUCCAAUCUAAUCCAGCAACUCGACACGAUUAAUGCAGCAAAGAUUCAACAAUGCAAAUACUAAUGUGAAAAUUGCAAGGCUCAGAUUGGUUCUAGGACAAGGUAACUAAUUCUAAUUUUUGUUUGGAUUUUUCUGGACGAUAGGUAAAAACAGAUCUAAACUACGGAUAAACUGGAAAAAUCUCACCGAGCAACCUUAAGCUCUGAUACCACGUGAUACUGGUGCGGGUGGCCCGAUCUUUAGAUGAGAUUGAUAACUCUCGAUUUGGGUAGGAGGUGACGUUGACGAUCCGACUACGGCCUAGAAGGCAGCGCCUUAGCAAUCGAUACACCAACUCUAGAGGGUUAUUGAUCCCGCGGGGGCACGAUCAACCUGACCACGAAGGUCUUUGUUCCUGCAAGCAAUCGAACAACAAGCAAGAACAAGAUAAAUAGCGGAUGCAAUCUAAAAUUGCAAAUAUACUAUAUCAAACCAAUGUCUCAACGAGACGAUAAGUUGGGCUUCCGAAAGCGGUAAAACAGGUGGUCUAACCGACACACGCGAUUACACGAAGUAGUAGCGAUGGCUAACUUUUAACUAAACAAAACCCAAGCCUCCUUAGGGGGGCUCAUGGGGUAUAUAAAGGAGGAGGGAGAGAUAUUUUCGUGCACCUUGAGUAAGGAGGCCGAAAUCCAACUCUAUCUCUAACUUUCCUAACAAACUACAACUCUUUAGGAAACAGAAAAACAGAUCCGUCAGAUUUUUUUGUCAUUCACGGUCAGCACGAGUCGAAUCACUUGAUGGGGCCAGAUCCGUUGGAAAGGUCUUGUAAUUACCUUUCCAACAAGUACUUGUUUGCUUGAUUUGGACUCCGGAAGCGGCCUGGGUGAUUAAAACAAAUUCGGGUCUGCUGGCAGCUCAGACCCGAAUCGGAUUCAACUUUAAUUCGUGAUAUCUUUCCCUCUCAGCUGUAUGAAUGCUUGAUUCUUGUUGGCCCUCCCGUUCGCCUCCAUCGUAUCUCAUCUUGACCGUGGACUUGAAAAGCUCGACAAAAUGCCUACGUAAUAAAACGAGACAAGAUAAUAGUAGCUCCGCCUCUUCAUAAAUAUGACAAUGAAAACAAUUACUACUUGAAUUCACCUGAUUAUAAAUCUUGUCAAAUAUUAUUGAAUUGAGGGUACCAAAGGUCGUAUCCAAGGUUAGCAUGUCCAUAUCACCUAGUACCUCAAAUGGACACGUUCCGGAUCAAAGUUAAGCACCGACUCUGAUUUGGCCGGAUUGUCCGACCAAGUAAGGGACCAUGCUUAGCGAGUCCAUAAAAGUGGCCUAUUGUUGUUUCGCUUUGAUGAGUAGCUUUGUUUGGUGUGCUCAUCCUAGUACCUCAAAUGGACACGUUCCGGAUCAAAGUUUAGCACCCACUCCGAUUUGGCCCGAUUGUCCGUCCUAGCGAGAGACCAUGCCUAGCGAGUCCGUACAAGUGGUCUAGUCUUGUUCGCCUCGAUGAGGAGGUUUGUUUGGUGUGCUCAUCCUAGUACCUCAAAUGCACACGUUCCGGAUGGAAGUUUAGCACCGACUCCGAUUUACCUGGAUUGUCCGUCCUAGUGAGGGACCAUGCCUAACGAGUACGUACAACUGGUCUACUCUUGUUCGCUUCGAUGACGAGGUUUGUUUGGUGUGCUCAUCCUAGUACCUCAAAUGGACACGUUCCGGAUGGAAGUUUAGCACCGACUCUGAUUUGGCCGAAUUGUCCGUCGUAGUGAGGGACCAUGCCUAGCGAGUCCAUACGAGUGGUCUAGUCUUGUUUCGCUUCGAUGAAUAGGUUUGUUUGGUGUGCUCAUCCUAGUACCUCAAAUGGACACGUUCCGGAACAAAGUUUAGCACCGACUCCGAUUUAGCCGGAUUGUCCGUCCUAGUGAGGGACCAUGCCUAGCGAGACCGUACAAGUGGUCUAGACUUGUUUCGCUUCCAUCAGUAGGUUUGUUUGGUGUGCUCAUCCUAAUACCUCAAAUGGACACGUUCGGGAUCAAAGUUUAGCACCGACUCGGAUUUGGCCGGAUUGUCCGUCCUAGUGGGGGACCAUGCCUAGCGAGUCCGUACAAGUGGUCUAGUCUUUUUUCGCUUUGAUGAGUAGGUCUGUUUGGUGUGCCCAUCCUAGUACCUCAAAUGGACACGUUCCGGAUCAAAUUUAGCACUGACACCGAUUUCGCCGAAUUAUCUGUCCUAGCGAGGGACCAUGCAGGCAGAAUUGUCCAUCCAAGUGAGGAACCAGCUCUAGCGUGACCGUACAAGUGGUCUAGUCUAGUUUCGCUUCGAUGAGUAGCUUUGUUUGGUGUGCUGAUCCUAGUAUCUCAAACGGACACGUUCCGUAUCAAAGUUUCGCACCGGCUCCGAUUUAGCCGGAUUGUCGGUCCUAGUGAGGGACUAUGCCUAGCGAGGCCCUACAAGUGGUCUAGUCUUCGUUUCGCUUCGAUGAGAAGGUUUGUUUGGUGUGCUCAUCCUAGAACCUCAAAUGGACACGUUCCGGAUCAAAGUUUGGCACCGACUCUGAUAUGGCCGGAUUGUCCGUUCUAGUGAUGGACCAUGCCUAGCGAGACCGUACAAGUGGUCUAGUCUGGUUUCGCUUCGAUGAGUUGCUUUGUCUGGUGUGCUCAUCCUAGUACCUCAAAUGGACACGUUCCGUAUCAAAGUUUCGCACCGACUCCGAUUUAGCCGAAUUGUCCGUCCUGGUGAGCGACAAUGCCUAGCGAGGCCCUACAUGUGGUCUAGUGUUGUUUCGCUUCGAUGAGUAGCUUUGUUUGGUGUGGUACCCUGCCGGCAGAAUUGUCCGUCCUAGUGAAGCACCACCCCUAGCGAGUCCGUACAAGUGGUCUAGUCUGGUUUGGCCUCGAUGAGUUGCUUUGUUUGGUAUGCUCAUCCUAGUAGCUCAAAUGGACAUGUUCCGUAUCAAAGUUUCUCACCGACUCCGAUUUAGCCGGAUGGUCCGUCCUUGUGAGGGACGAUGCCUAGCGAGGCCCUACAAGUGGUCUAGUGUUGUUUCGCUUCGAUGAGUAGCUUUGUUUGGUGUGCUCAUCCUAGUACCUCAAAUGGACACGUUCCGGAUCAAAGUUUAGCACAGACUCCGAUUUAGCCGGAUUGUCCGUCCUUGUGAGGGACCAAGCCUAUCGAGUCCGUAAAAGUGGUCUAGUUUUCUUUCGCUUCGAUGAGUAGGUUUGUUGAAGCGACCGCCCCCAUACAAGGGUUCGAUCUCUGUGCUUUAGUGCUAGUCCCUGGAUCAACUCACUAGCACACACAGUUUCAAGAUGUAAUAUCAUAGAACAAAGGUCUCAAUAUUACAACGUUUCAUCCAGAAUAUAAGAGGGUACUUACAACUCGCAUAACCUCACGGGUUAGCUGGAAAUAAAACAACUGUUUAGCAGCGGAAAACGGAAGAUACAAGGGCACAUCAACACCACGGUGAGAGCGUGUUGGAAUGUUGGCCCGUAACCCAAACAAGUAGAACGUACAUCUUACUCGUCGUCGGAGCUUCCUGCAUCAUUAAACGAUGCAGCCACUAGGGUCAAUACAUUGAAUGUAUUGGCAAGAUUCACUAUGAGUUAUAUCAAAACCUACCAAGUAUAUGCAGUAUUUGGCAAGGUGGAGUUCAGGCUGUUUGCGUGGAAGCAGAACAUAAAUUACCCUACUACAAAGGAAUGUUAUAAUAAUGUUAACUAAUGGACACGGGGUAGACACACCCAUGCUCCUAUUAACCUAGAGUACAUUGAAGUGGAUUCUUCAAGUGCUCCUACCCUGUUCAAACCAUUCAUUUUAUUUAAGAAAUUGGAAUGAGUGAGACUUUUCUUACAGCUCCACAUCUAGUUGCUCAAAUUGUCCGUUGCCGGGGACACGGCUAAGUACUUAGUUUUGACGCUCUCGAGAGUUUGUACACAUUCCCCACAAGAAACCGACGUGUUAAUCCCUUGCUGUCCUCAGGGUAGAGUAGCAACGGCAUCGAUUACGAGAUUUUCAGAGGUAAUUCCCUAAACCACGAGAGAAUCACGCUCCCCCUACACGGCUACCUCAGUACAAUUCUUCGGGUCUAGGUUCAUACAACUUACUCUUGUCUCGCCAAAGCCCAUAUAGCAUUGUGGUUGUACUAGAAGCUUCUAAAUAGGAAACUAGUCCAGUCUCGGUUACCCCAGGUGGCAUUCCACAUUUGCAACGUAGGCGCUCCCCGAAUCCACGGGAGAGACGUCCAUGGACGAUCCAUUCUUGAAUCCACAGGAACUCGACUCAGAGGGACCCAUAGAAAUGGACCUGACGCCGCUAAUCCUCAAAAUCCUCAAAGCAGCCCACCCAGGAUGGUUCAUUGAAUUAGUUGUUUUGCCUUACAUCUAACAAAACAUUUCAUAUAGCCAAAGGCAUAACAAUAUCAUAAUGUAGUUAUUUCCCCCACGAUACUACCAUAGCUUAGCAUUCAAACUACAAUCGAUGGCAAUUUGGUAGCAAGGUAAUGGCGAGGGUAAACUAUACUACCUGGGAUUUAUAGCUAGCAUAGAGGUACGAGUAAUAGUCCUAUCAAUGCAUCUCUACCAACAACACUAAUGCAUAAGUAUUUUAAAACAACAAUAAUAAUGGGAUAUGAUCAAAGUGAACUUGCCUUGUCCAAGGUUGUGGUAGUUCUCGCACUCUUCGCAACCACAAGAAAUACACUCCACACAAUCUAAAAUAAAAGAAACACACACAAUAAACACAACAUUCAAUACAAAAACCAUGUCAUGAUGCAUAUGCCAAGAUGAUGCACACAAAGGUUACUUCUAACGUACAAAGUUUCGUUUCUGUUUUGAAAAGGCUCUCAAAAGAUUUGGACAGAUUAUACAACAUCAAAGUGGUAAUUAAUAUGCAUGAUACAUGAAUAGGGUUUAAAACAAAAGAUUGUGUGGCUUUUGCAACAUAGAGCAUUAUUUAACUUGUAUGCCAUGAUUAUACACAAAAUAAUUUCUUCUCUGGUCCUAAUGGAUAGAGAACAACUUUAAAUAAUUAUACUGCAAGAUAACAUGCUCAAAACUAUUUUGAAACAAUUCAUUUGAAAUUUAAACUCUAUUCAACCAAUCUGUAAAUUGCUUCUGACUAAUUUGUUCAAAACUGAAAUUAAAUAGUGCCAAAAUAUUCUAAACGUUGUGACGAUUCUAGAAAGGUGUGGAUCGUAAAUUUUGGACAAACGGUUUAAAAGAUAUGGGGUUUUGAAGUUGUAGGGGCUUUUCUGCAAAAUUGCAUUAUCCAAUUCGGCCGAAUUAAAAUAAAAAGAAAAACCUGCCACGUGGCAUGGCGGGACUGGCCGGUUUCUAGGGUUCCGGCCGGCGGCUAGCUCGCCGGCGGUGGCGCGGGGCGGCGUGGCGCGGGCAGAGGCGGCGCAGGCGAGCGGCAGGGGCGGCGCGCGCACGGCGGCGGCGGGCGGCGCGGGGCAGCGGGUCGCGCGGGCAGCGCGGGCGGCGCGGAGGCGGCGCGGGGCGCAGGACGCGACGGGCGGCGCGCGAGCGGAGCAGGGCGGCGCAGGCGGCCGCGCGGGCAUGGACAGCGCGCGGAGGGCGGCGGGCGGCGCGGCGCACGGGCGCGGCACACGGGGCGGCGCGGGGGUGCGGCCAGGCGGAGCGGGAGGCGGAGGCGGCGUGUGGACGGCGGAGCACGGGCGGCGGGGGGCGGCCGGCGCCGAGGAAGACGGCGGACGGAGGCGCAGAGCUCCAAAUCGCGGCCGGCUCGCGUCACAGCGUGCGCAAGGAAGAGAGGAGGAAGAUAGGGGGUCGGCGCGGGCGGAGACUCACCGGAAUGGCAACGAAAACGCGAAGAAUGGCGGUGGCAGCAACGAACUCCGGCGACCAAUUAGUUUCUAACCGGUGCGAAUUGGACGUGGGGUUUGGCGGAAGUGGAGGAGAUAAGCGAGGGCUUCGGGAUGACGCGCAAGGAUUUGGAGAAAACGGCCCGAGCGCGGAGAAAUCGGAGGUGGAGUCGUGGGCAGUUCGCGGGCGUGCGUGGCCGGAUUUUUCGGACGGAGGUUGAAGAUGACGCGUGGGUCCCACCGGUCAGUGAGAGCGGGCGGCUCGGGCGGGGCAGAGCCGGUCCGGUUCGGUCCGGUCCGGUUUGACCGGUUCGGCCGGUUUUCCCCGGUUUUCCUUUUCUUUUAUUUAUUUUCUGUUUUUGAACCUCAAAAUUGAUUCGGAGCUCCAAAUCACUCCAAAUAAAAUGCAACAAAAUUUGUAAAAUCAUAUUUUCAUAUGAUCUAACUUUUGGAGCAAGAAUUUUCUUAAAAUAAAAUAUUUCAAAAUACAUUUGCCUAUAAAAUGGAUUUUAGGCCCCUUAGGCUAUCGAAACAAAUUAUCUUUCAAAAUACUUUCAAAAGCCAAUCUAUGGGAUAGAUUAUAUAUGCAUUAAAUCCCAUUUUACCACAAUACCCUCAUGGGUUAAAAAUGCAAAUAGUCAAGAGCAAGAUCAAAGCCCAAAGUCAAAUAAAGGCAUUUUUGCAAAAGUGUUUUCUGGGCAAACUUUAGGGUUUUGAAAGUGAUCAAAUGCAAGGGUGACAUGAUGCUUAUGAUAUGCAAUGCAUAUGAAGAAUUUUGAAAAUUGGGAUGUUACAUUUGUUUGGUGUGCUCAUCCUAGUACCUCAAAUGGACACGUUCCGGAUCAAAGUUUGGCACCGACUCUGAUAUGGCCGGAUUGUCCGUUCUAGUGAUGGACCAUGCCUAGCGAGUCCGUACAAGUGGUCUAGUCUUGUUUCGCUUCCAUAAGUAGGUUUGUUUGGUGUGCUCAUCCUAAUACCUCAAUGUGACACGUUCCGGAUCAAAAUUUAGCACCGACUCCGAUUUGGCCCGAUAGUCCGUCGUAUUGAGGGACCAUGCCUAGCGAUUCCGUACAAGUGGUCUAGUCUGGUUUUCCUUCGAUUAGUAGCUUUGUUUGGUGUGCUCAUCCUAAUAUCUCAAAUGGACAUGUUCCGUAUCAAAGUUUCGCACCGACUCCGAUUUAUGCGCAUUGUCCGUCCUUGUAAGGGACUACGCCUAGCGAGGUCCUACAAGUGGUCUAGUGUUGUUUCGCUUCGAUGAGUAUCUUUGUUUGGUGUGCUCAGCCUAGUACCUCAAAUGGACACGUUCCGGAUCAAAGUUUAACACCAACUCGGAUUUGGCCGAAUUGUCCGUCCAAGUGAGAGACCAUGCCUAGCGAGUCCCUAAAAGUGGUCUAGUCUUCUUUCGCUUCGAUGAGUAGGUUUGUAUGGUGUGCACAUCCUUGUACCUCAAAUGGACACGUUCCGGAUCAAAGUUUAGCAUAGACUCCGAUUUAGCCGGAUUGUCCGUCCUUGUGAGGGACCAAGCCUAUCGAGUCCGUAAAAAUGGUCUAGUCUUGUUUCGCUUCGAUGAGUAGGUUUGUUUGGUGUGCUCAUCGUAGUACCUCAAAUGGACACGUUUUGGAUGAAAGUUUUGCACCGACUCGGAUUUGGCCGGAUUGUCCGUCCUAGUGAGGGACCAUGCCUAGCAAGUCCGUACAAGUGGUCUAGUCUUGUUUCGCUUCGAUGAGUAGGUCUGAGUGGUGUGCCCAUCCUACUACCUCAAAUGGACACGUUCCGGAUCAAAUUUAGCACUGACACCGAUUUGGCCGAAUUAUCUGUCCUAGCGAGGGACCAUGCAGGCAGAAUUUUCCAUCCAAGUGAGGAACCUGGCCUAGCGUGACCGUACAAGUGGUCUAGUCUGGUUUCGCUUCGAUGAGUAGCUUUGUUUGGUGUGCUGAUCCUUGUAUCUCAAACGGACACGUUCCGUAUCAAAGUUUCGCACCGACUCCGAUUUAGCCGGAUUGUCCGUCCUAGUGAGCGACUAUGCCUAGCAAGGCCCUACAAGUGGUCUAGAGUUGCUUUGUUUGGUAUGCUCAUCCUAGCAGCUCAAAUGGACAUGUUCCGUAUCAAAGUUUCUCACCGACUCCGAUUUAGCCGGAUGGUCCGUCCUUGUGAGGGACGAUGCCUAGCGAGGCCCUACAAGUGGUCUAGUGUUGUUUCGCUUCGAUGAGUAACUUUGUUUGGUGUGCUCAUCCUAGUAACUCAAAUGGACACGUUCCGGAUCAAAGUUUAGCACAGACUCCGAUUUAGCCGGAUUGUCCGUCCUUGCGAGGGACCAAGCCUAUCGAGUCCGUAAAAGUGGUCUAGUCUUGUUUCGCUUCGAUGAGAAGGUUUGUUUGGUGUGCUCAUCCUAGUACCUCAAAUGGACACGUUCCGGAUCAAAGUUUGGCACCGACUCUGAUAUGGCCGGAUUGUCCGUUCUAGUGAUGGACCAUGCCUAGCGAGACCGUACAAGUGGUCUAGUCUGGUUUCGCUUCGAUGAGUUGCUUUGUCUGGUGUGCUCAUCCUAGUACCUCAAAUGGACACGUUCCGUAUCAAAGUUUCGCACCGACUCCGAUUUAGCCGAAUUGUCCGUCCUCGUGAGCGACAAUGCCUAGCGAGGCCCUACAUGUGGUCUAGUGUUGUUUCGCUUCGAUGAGUAGCUUUGUUUGGUGUGGUACCCUGCCGGCAGAAUUGUCCGUCCUAGUGAAGCACCACCCCUAGCGAGUCCGUACAAGUGGUCUAGUCUGGUUUGGCCUCGAUGAGUUGCUUUGUUUGGUAUGCUCAUCCUAGUAGCUCAAAUGGACAUGUUCCGUAUCAAAGUUUCUCACCGACUCCGAUUUAGCCGGAUGGUCCGUCCUUGUGAGGGACGAUGCCUAGCGAGGCCCUACAAGUGGUCUAGUGUUGUUUCGCUUCGAUGAGUAGCUUUGUUUGGUGUGCUCAUCCUAGUACCUCAAAUGGACACGUUCCUGAUCAAAGUUUAGCACAGACUCCGAUUUAGCCGGAUUGUCCGUCCUUGUGAGGGACCAAGCCUAUCGAGUCCGUAAAAGUGGUCUAGUCUUGUUUCGCUUCGAUGAGUAGGUUUGUUUGGUGUGCUCAUCCUAGUACCUCAAAUGGACACGUUCCGGAUCAAAGUUUGGCACCGACUCUUAUAUGGCCGGAUUGUCCGUUCUAGUGAUGGACCAUGCCUAGCGAGUCCGUACAAGUGGUCUAGUCUUGUUUCGCUUCCAUAAGUAGGUUUGUUUGGUGUGCUCAUCCUAAUACCUCAAUGUGACACGUUCCGGAUCAAAGUUUAGCACCGACUCCGAUUUGGCCCGAUAGUCCGUCGUAUUGAUGGACCAUGCCUAGCGAUUCCGUACAAGUGGUCUAGUCUGGUUUUCCUUCGAUUAGUAGCUUUGUUUGGUGUGCUCAUCCUAAUAUCUCAAAUGGACAUGUUCCGUAUCAAAGUUUCGCACCGACUCCGAUUUAUGCGCAUUGUCCGUCCUUGUAAGGGACUACGCCUAGCGAGGCCCUACAAGUGGUCUAGUGUUGUUUCGCUUCGAUGAGUAGCUUUGUUUGGUGUGCUCAGCCUAGUACCUCAAAUGGACACGUUCCGGAUCAAAGUUUAACACCAACUCGGAUUUGGCCGAAUUGUCCGUCCAAGUGAGAGACCAUGCCUAGCGAGUCCCCACGAGCGGUCUACUCUUGUACCGGAGAUACAACCACAGCCCCUACAGCACAUACACCUCAAGUACCGGAGAUACACGGACCAAUUACUAGAGCUCGUGCACGACAACUAAAUUAUCUGGUACUUUCGUUCCUCGGUACUUCAUUUAAUAUUAAUGAGAAUAUGCUGCUGCCUAAGAUGGGUUCUUUUAUGUGUUUUAGGAAUGAAGGACCUAGCUUGCACCUCAAGGAUCAGCGUUGGACAGCAAACCAUGGAGGUGGCAGCAAGGUGGCGGGAGCUAACUCAAGUGAUGAUUUCAGAACAUUGAAACCGCCAUAACGAGAGAUGGGAAGAAGGCCGCAUCCUCUUCAUCAAUGGGAUUUCGGCCAAGUGGAGGAUUCUCCCUCCAAUGGGUAUCUAUGGGCCAAAGAUGAGGGUUAUAAUCUUGCUUUAUUGGGCCUAAGGCCAUAGAAUAGGGUCCAGCCAAUUUUUAGAUGUUUUCGUUGUGUUUUAGGAGGAUUCCUAGGCCGUUUCGGAGUCCCUCAAGGGCCUGUCCGAAAACCACCUAGUUCCCCUCCUGUUUAUACCCCAUGAGCCCCCCCGUGGAGCCUUGGGUUUUGAUUAGAUAAAGUUUAGCCUUUGCUACUUUCGUGUAAUCGCGUGUGUCGGUUAGACCACCUGUUUUACCGUCAUCAAGACUCCAACCAUAUUGAGUAUUCAGAUUCGUGAACUUUCAUAUCUCCUAUUCGCAAUUUCAGAUUGCUUUUCAUCUUGUUCUUGCUUGUUCUUCGAUUGCUUGCAGGAACAAAGACCUUCGUGGUCAGGUUGAUCGUGCCCCCGCGGGAUCAAUAACCUUCUGGAGUUGGUGUAUCGAUCGCUAAGGCGCUGCCUCCUAGGUUGUAGUCGGAUCGUCAACGCCACCUCCUACCAAAUCGAUAAUUAGGUAUCUCAUCGAAAGAUCGGGACACCCUCGAGGCUAUCACGUGGUAUCAGAGCUUAAGGUUGCUCGGUGAGAUUUUUCCAGUUUAUCCGUAGUUUAGAUCUGUUUUUACCUAUCGUCCAGAAAAAGCCAAACAAAAAUUAGAAUUAGUUACCUUGUCUUAGAACCAAUCUGAGCCUUGCAAUUUUCACAUUAGUAUUUGCAUUGUUGAAUCUUUGCUGCAUUAAUCGUGUCGAGUUGCUGGAUUAGAUUGGAUCAUUUUUCAGAUUUUUUCUACUAGAUCGAACUUGCUUUUGGUUUUCUUGUUCUUCGUGUGACGCAGGUUUCCUUCAUCAAUCUUCCGCCGCCAAACUUCCUGCCACACCACCGCCAUAAUCUUCCGCCGCCACCAUAUCUUCCACCGAGUCCCUCUUCGAGUCCUACACCGAGUCCCUCUUCAAGUCCUACACCGAGUCCUUCUUCCAGUCCUACACCGAGUCCCUCUUCGAGUCCUACAUCGAGUCGGGAAGUUAUAGUUUUCAGCCGCGAGUUCGAGUCCGAGUCCAAUCAAGAGUGCUUUUGGAAAGUGUUUCAUAAUAGAUCGAAUUUUGUUUAAAGAUCAUGUUGUUCGGAAAGUUGUGAAAAAAAAAGAAGGGAAAGAAAAAAAAAGGAAGAAAGAAAGAAAAAAAAAGGAAAAAAAAAAGAGAAAGAGUUCGAGUCAGUUUCGGACCCGAGUCCGAGUAGAAUUUUAGUUUCGGGUGGGUUUGACCCAUGUUCAGUAAAACGGACGUAUCUUUUGCAUACCAACUCGGAUUUGGACAUUCUUGGACUUUUUGGAAAGCCCACGACGAAGCGCAUCAGGAAAUAUCCAGGGCUCUGCUUGACCCUAAAAUUCGGCCUCUAAGGUGGACUUUUCGAUCUCCAAAGUUUCUGCACCCAUUUUACGGCACCGGGGCAGCGCAGUAUAUCUCAGUUUUCUCCACCGUCCGACCUCCGUUUCGAGUGAUCUUGCACUUGUUGGAAAGCUUGUUUUGAUACGCUUCUAACCCAUAUUUUCUCAUAUUUUUCUGAGUUUUCCUUAGUACAGCCUUUGCUAUUCUCCUACAGACCGACGUGCAGCUUUCCGGUCUUAACUUCUUUUGCGUGAGUUUCUGGGGAUAAAAAAAAACGAAUAAAAAAUAGAAAAGAAUAAGAAGCCAAACAAAAGGCCAAAAAAAAAAGAAAAAAAAAGAGAAAAAAUAUUCCCCAGAGAUUUACUUGUUUUACCUUUCAUUUGAUCUUUCCUUUGUACCUUUUUCAGUAUCUAGGCUUAGUUAAUUUCUGUAAUUCGUUCUUGUCAACUCCAGCAACUAGGACUAGCAUUUUUGAGCAUAUUUUCAACUUUGCAUUGCUGAUUUGAUUAUUCGCUUUUCCUUGCUACUCACAUAAGCGUCCAAGCUCCACAGAUUCUACACCUAGGUUGGUUUGCCUCGAGGCAUCGAUACACUAAUCUUCGGAGGGCUUGUUCUCGCCGCUGGCCAUCACCUUCCUGUUUGCUGGGUAAGAACGAGUAAGAACUUGAUUAAAAGUUGAGUGGAGUGAUCUUUGGAACCCCACAUCCUAGUAGUGCAUAGGGACUUUUCCUUGUGAUUUGUUUCUUGUUUUCUCCUAACGAUGGCAGGUUCUGACGAUGAUUUACAAGGCCACUCUCCACGCACAAAGGGCAUUAUUUCACAUUUUGAUCGCAAGCUUAGGCUCCGUAACGAGGAGCUGGAUGAGGACGUUCGGGUUGCGAAUGAGAGACUUGGAACCUUGGAGAGCGCGCACAUUGAAACAAAUACCAAGCUAACAUCUUUACAGAAUUCUGUUGCUACCAUUAGUACUUCUCUGGCAGAAAUCACGACGCAACUGGCGGCAAUUGCUGCAACGACCAUCGCUACAUCGGGAGGAAACAAUACACACAACCAGCGGACCGCUAAUAACGGUACCUUCGCAAGCGAGGUUGAGGAGAACGACGACGACUACUCCGCGGAUACGGAACACGACGGGACCGUAAACCAUCACAACUACCGUGAUCAUCGCCGAACUCGUUUCAACCGCCGAGGUAUGGGACCGACACGACCUCACAGAGAGGAACAUGACUUGCUGCAUUCUAUUAAAUUUAAGGUUCCUCCUUUUGAUGGAAAAUAUGACCCUGAUGCUUACCUUACAUGGGAAUUAGAAUUGAGUCAAAAAUUUACUUGCCAUGAUUUUCCUGCUAAUAAGAGGGUUAGGGCUGCUACUAGUGAGUUUACUGAUUUUGCUUCUGUUUGGUGGCAUGAGUAUUGUAUUGCACAUCCUAACGCUAUACCACCAACAUGGGAUGAUUUGAAAAGAAUUAUGCGUGCUAGAUAUGUUCCUUCAUACUAUUCGCGUGACUUGUUAAAGAAACUACAACAAUUAAGGCAAGGUAGUAAUUCUGUCCAAGAUUAUUAUCAAGAAAUGCAAAAGAAGAUGUUACGUUGUGGUUUAGUUGAGAAUGAGGAAGCUGCUAUGGCUAGAUUCUUUGGUGGUUUAAAUCGUGAAAUUGCUGACAUUGUUGAUUAUAAGGAGUAUAAUUCUAUCAAUCGAUUGUUUCACAUUGCUUGCAAAGCUGAAAGGGAAGUGCAGGGACGACACGCGAACGCGCGGACUAACUUUUCUGCAGGUCGUACUUCCUCAUGGGCAGCACGCAGCCCUGCUGCCCCUUCCACACGCCCAGCUGCACCCCCUACACGUCCGGCUGUUCUGACUACUUCCACCAACAAGCAAAGUACCUCUACACCUACAUCCGCAAAGGUUGGACCAGCAGCAACAAGAAAUACACCCGCUGCCUCUGCACAAAGUUCAGCAGCGUCCGUUGCUUCCACCGGGUUAGGGCUGCUACUAGUGAGUUUACUGAUUUUGCUUCUGUUUGAUGGCAUGAGUAUUGUAUUGCACAUCCUAACGCUAUACCACCAACAUGGGAUGAUUUGAAAAGAAUUGAUAUGGAAACCAUGGAUACGACCAUUAGAACCCUAAUUGUUGGUGUCUCUAAUAAUUAUAAUCAGGUGAAUUCAAUUACAAAAUGUUUUCAAUAUGUUACUUGCAAAGAGGCGGAGCUACUAUCUUGUGUAAUCUUAUUAUGUAGGCAUCUUAUUGAACUUUACAAGUCCAAAGUGAAGAUGAAGUGUUAUAGCCUGCAAAGGGAGAUUCAAAGUGAAGCCUAUCAAGUCUACUUUCCAACAAAUCAAACGGCACAUGAUUCGGAGCUUGCUACAGAAAGAUAUCACGAAUUAAAGUUGAAUCCGAUUCGGGUCCGAGCUGUCAGGAGACCCGAAUUUGUUUUAAUCACCCAGGCCGCAUCCGGAGUCCAAAUCAAGCAAACAAGUACUUGUUGGAAAGGUAAUUACAAGACCUUUCCAACGGAUCUGGCCCCAUCAAGAGAUUCGACUCGUGCUGACCGUGGCGGACAAAACAAGCAGACGGAUCUGUUUUUCUGUUUCCUAAAGAGUUGUAGUUUGUUAGGAAAGUUAGAGAUAGAGUUGGAUUUCGGACUCCUUAUUCAAGGUGGACGAAAAUAUCUCUCCCUCCUCCUUUAUAUACCCCAUGAGCCCCCCUAAGGAGCCUUGGGUUUUGAUUAGAUAAAGUUUAGCCUUUGCUACUUUCGUGUAAUCGCGUGUGUCGGUUAGACCACCUGUUUUACCGUCAUCAAGACUCCAACCAUAUUGAGUAUUCAGAUUCGUGAACCUUCAUAUCUCCUAUUCGCAAUUUCAGAUUGCUUUUCAUCUUGUUCUUGCUUGUUCUUCGAUUGCUUACAGGAACAAAGACCUUCGUGGUCAGGUUGAUCGUGCCCCCGCGGGAUCAAUAACCUUCUAGAGUUGGUGUAUCGAUCUCUAAGGCGCUGCCUCCUAGGUUGUAGUCGGAUCGUCAACGUCACCUCCUACCAAAUCGAUAAUUAGGUAUCUCAUCGAAAGAUCGGGACACCCUCGAGGCUAUCACGGAAGAUGAAGUGUUAUAGCCUGCAAAGUUAUUAUAAGUUCAGCACGUUCCUUAGCAUCAAAGUUAACUUUUUCAGAAGUUGGCAAAGGUAACAAAUCAAUUGGUGCACGAGGCAUAAAACCAUAAACAAUUUCAAAAGGGCACAAUUUUGUGGUUGAAUGCAGUGAACGAUUAUAAGCAAAUUCAGUAUGAGGUAAACAUUCUUCCCACAUUUUCAAGUUCUUCUUUAAAACAGCCCUAAGCAUAGUAGAUAAUGUUCUAUUAACAACUUCAGUUUGUCCAUCUAUUUGGGGAUGACAUGUAGUACUAAAAAUCAAUUUAGUCCCCAACUUAGCCCAUAAACAUCUCCAAAAGUGGCUAAGAAAUUUUGUGUCACGAUUUGAAACUAUAGUAUUGGCACACCAUGCAAGCGAACAAUUUCACGAAAGAAUAAAUCAGCAACAUUUGUAGGAUCAUCGCUCUUAUGACAAGGUAUAAAAUGUGCCAUCUUAGAAAAUCUAUCAACAACAACAAAUAUGCUAUCCCUCCCCUUCUUAGUUCGAGGCAAUCCCAAAACAAAAUCCAUUGAUAUAUCUUUCCAAGGAACAUUAGGAACAGGGAGAGGCAUAUAUAAACCAUGAGGAUUGAGUCGUGACUUAGCUUUUUGACAUGUAGUGCAGCGAGCGAUAAAUCUCUCAACAUCCCGUCUCAUCCGAGGCCAAAAGAAAUGAUCAGCGAGCACAUCUUCGGUCUUCUUCACGCCGAAGUGACCCAUCAACCCUCCUCCAUGUGCCUCCUGUAACAACAAAAGACGAACGGAGCUAUCUGGGAUGCAUAGCUUGUUAGCACGGAACACAAAUCCAUCAUUAAUGACGAACUUGUUCCAUGUUCUGCCCUCUUUACAAUGCUGCAAAACAUCCUUAAAAUCGGCAUCAUGUUCAUAUUAUUCUUUUAUAGUCUCCAAUCCAAAUAUCCGAAAAUCAAGCUGAGAUAACAAGGUAUAACGACGUGAUAACACAUCAGCAAUAACAUUAUCUUUACCUUUCUUGUGUUUAAUAACAUACGGAAAAGACUCAAUAAAUUCAACCCAUUUAGCAUGACGACGGUUCAGCUUUGCUUGACUACGAAUAUGCUUCAAAGAUUCAUGAUGAGAAUGUAUAAAAAAUUCUUUGGGCCAUAAAUAAUGUUGCCAUGUUUCUAAAGUCCGAACGAGAGCAUAUAAUUCCUUAUCAUAAGUAGAAUAAUUCAGACUAGGCCCACUCAAUUUUUCACUAAAGUAUGCAACAGGUUUUCCAUCUUGUAACAACACACCUCCUAAACCGAUUCCACUAGCAUCACACUCCAACUGAAAAGUCUUAUUAAAAUCAGGAAGUUGGAGUAAAGGAGCAUGUGUCAACUUAUCUUUCAAUAUGAGAAAAGCUUCUUCUUGUGCAGCGCCCCAUACAUAUGGAACGUCGUUCUUUGUGAGCUCAUUAAGCGGUGCAGCAAGGGUGCUGAAAUCCUUUACAAAACAGCGAUAAAACCCAGCGAGUCCAAGAAAGCUCCUCACUUGGGUGACCGUUGUUGGAGUUGGCCAGCUUUGAAUAGCGUCGAUCUUGGCCUUAUCAACUUCUAUGCCCUGUGGAGUGACAACAUAGCCAAGAAACGAAACUCGAUCGGUGCAAAAGGUGCACUUCUCAAGGUUACCAAACAAACGUGCAUCUCUCAAAGCAUCAAAAACAGCACGUAAAUUAUUCAAGUGGUUUUCUAAAGAGCUGCUGUAAAUCAAUAUAUCAUCAAAAUAAACCACCACAAAUCGUCCUAUGAAAGCACGUAAAACUUCGUUCAUUAACCGCAUGAAAGUGCUAGGUGCGUUAGUAAGACCGAAAGGCAUGACUAACCACUCAUAUAGUCCAAACUUAGUUUUAAAUGUUGUUUUCCAUUCAUCGCCUAAUACAUUUGAAUUUGGUGGUAACCACUACGUAAAUCAACUUUAGAGAACUCGGUAGAGCCACUUAAUUCAUCUAACAUAUCAUCAAGUCUAGGAAUUGGGUGACGAUAGCGAAUAGUAAUGUUAUUAAUAGCUCUACAAUCUACACACAUACGCAAAGAACCAUCUUUCUUUCGUACCAAAAUAACAGGAACAGCACAAGGACUAAGGGAUUCACGAACAUAACCUUUGUCGAGCAAUUCUUAAACUUGUCGUUGAAUCUCUUUCGUCUCCUCUGGAUUGGUACGGUAGGGCGCACGGUUGGGCAGCGAAGCACCAGGAAUUAAAUCAAUUUGAUGUUCAAUCCCUCGAAUAGGUGGUAAUCCUGGUGGUACGUCUUGUGGAAAGACGUCGGAAUACUCCUGCAAAACGUGAGUAACAGCAGGGGGCAAAGAGGGAGGCAUAUUCUCAAAUGAAAACAAAGCCUCUUUGCAAAUGAAUGCAUAGCAAACAGAAUUAUUCGUAUCUAACUCAGAAAUAUCAGAUUUACUUGCAAGCAAGCAUGCACCUCUCAAUUUUAUUUCAUUAACAUGUUUCGGUUCAGAUUUGCUAGUAGACGCUUGGUGCUUAAAUUCUUUAGCGACAUUCUGGUUCUCACUCUUAUCCUUCUCUUUGCUCUUUGCUCUACUAGCUCUAGCAAGAUCAUCUUUCACAAUUUGUUCAGGAGUCAUAGGUUUCAAACCAAUUUUCUUACCAGCAAGCAUAAAAGAACAAUGAUUAGUUCUACCAUGAUGAACAGAAUCUGUAUCAUAUUGCCAUGGACGACCGAGUAACAUAGAACAUGCUUGCAUAGGUACCACAUCACAAUCCACAAAAUCAGACUAUGUACCGAUAGUAAAGUGUGCACGGACUAUUCUAGUUACCUUGAGCUUACCGCUGUUGUUAAACCAUUGAAUGUAGUAAGGGUGGGGGUGCGGCCUGGUGGUAAGAACAAGUUUUUCCACCAUCUCCGUGCUGGCCAAAUUAUUGCAACUUCCCCCAUCUAUGAUGAUACGAACAGCGCCCUCCUUGAUGACCCCUUUUGUUUGGAACAAGUUAUGCCGCUGAUUUUGUUCGGCGUGGCUCAUUUGGACGCUCAAGGUGCGUUGUGCAAUCAAACUCAAGUACUGAUCAGCGGUUUCAGCUCCCAUUAUCUCCUCGUCAUGGUGGGCAGCGGGGUCUUCUUGCUCUUCCUCGGCAAUGAGAGCAUAGGUAGCGUCGUCAAAAUCACUGGCUGAAUCAUAUACUCCAUCUUCACGUAUGAUCAUAACGCGUUUGCUUGGACAGUCCCGCUGAAAAUGCCCGUAUCCUUUGCACCUACGACAUUGGUUAUCUCCGGUCCGUCCGGUGGAUGCAACGGACGCUGCUGAACUUUGUGCAGAGGCAGCGGGUGUAUUUCUUGUUGCUGCUGGUCCAACCUUUGCGGAUGUAGGUGUAGAGGUACUUUGCUUGUUGGUGGAAGUAGUCGAAACAGCCGGACGUGUAGGGGGUGCAGCUGGGCAUGUGGAAGGGGCAGCGCGGCUGCGUGUUGCCCAUGAGGAAGUGCGACCUGCAGAAAAGUUAGGCCGCGCGUUCGCGUGUCGUCCCUGCACUUCCCUUUCAGCUUUGCAAGCAAUGUGAAACAAUCGAUUGAUAGAAUUAUACUCCUUAUAAUCAACAAUGUCAGCAAUUUCACGAUUUAAACCACCAAAGAAUCUUGCCAUAGCAGCUUCUUCAUUCUCAACUAAACCACAACGUAACAUGUUCUUUGCAUUUCUAGAUAAUAAUCUUGGACAGAAUUACUACCUUGCCUUAAUUGUUGGAGUUUCUUUAACAAGUCACGUGAAUAGUAUGAAGGAACAUAUCUAGCGCGCAUAAUUCUUUUCAAAUCAUCCCAUGUUGGUGGUAUAGCGUUAGGAUGUGCAAUACAAUAUUCAUGCUACCAAACAGAAGCAAAAUCAGUAAACUCACUAGUAGCAGCCCUAACCCUCUUAUUAGCAGGAAAAUCAUGGCAAGUAAAUUUUUGACUCAAUUCUAGUUCCCAUGUAAGGUAAGCAUCAAGGUCAUAUUUUCCAUCAAAAGGAGGAACCUUAAGUUUAAUAGAAUGCAGCGAGUCAUGUUCCUCUCUUUGAGGUCAUGUCGGUCCCAUACCUCAGCGGUUGAAACGAGUUCGGCAAUGAUCACGGUCGUUGUGAUGGUUUACGGCCCCGUUGUGUUCCGUAUCCGCGGAGUAGUCGUCAUCGUUCUCCUCAACCUCGCUUGCGAAGGUACCGUUAUUAGCGGUCCACUCGUUGUGUGUAUUGUUUCCUCCCGGUGUAGCGAUGGUCGUUGCAGCAUGUGCCGCCAGUUGCGUCGUGAUUUCUGCCAGAGAAGUACUAAUGGUAGCAACAGAAUUCUGUAAAGAUGUUAGCUUGGUAUUUGUUUCAAUGGGCGUGCUCUCCAAGGUUCCAAGUCUCCCAUUCGCAACCUGAACGUCCUCAUCCAGCUCCUCGUUACGGAGCCUAAGCUUGCGAUCAAAAUAUGAAAUAAUGCCCUUUGUGCGUGGAGAGUGGCCUUGUAAAUUAUCGUCAGAACCUGCCAUCGUCAGGAGAAAACAAGAAACAAAUCACAAGGAAAAGUCCCUAUGCACUGUUAGGAUGUGGGGUUCCAAAGAUCACUCCACUCAACUUUUAAUCAAGUUCUUACUCGUUCUUACCCAGCAAACAGGAAGGUGAUGGCCAGCGGCGAGAACAAGCCCUCCGAAGAUUAGUGUAUCGAUGCCUCGAGGCAAACCAACCUAGGUGUAGAAUCUGUGAAGCUUGGAGGCUUAUGUGAGUUGCAAGGAAAAAUGAAUAAUCAAAUCAGCAAUGCAAAGUUGAAAAUAUGCUCAAAAACGGGUGCAGAAACUUCGUAGCUCGAAAAGUCCACCUUAGAGGCCGAAUUUGAGGGUCAAAGUGCAGGGCAACGCCCUGGAUAUUUCCUGAUGCGCCUCGUCGUGAGCUUUCCAAAAAGUCCAAGAAUGGCCUAAUCUGAGUUGGUACGCAAAAGAUACGCCCGUUUUACUGAACACGGGUCAAACCCACCCGAAACUAAAAUUCCACUCGGAUUCGGGUCCGAAACUUACUCGAACUCCUUCUCUUUUUUUUUCCGUAUCACAACUUUCCGAACAACUUGAUUUCCAAGAUUUUUUUUUUAUAUCUUUCCUCUUUCUGAAACUCUUUUCCAACUCUCUCCCGGUUGGACUCGAACUCGGAUUCGCGGUUGAAAACUAAAACUUGCCGACUCGGUGUAGGACUCGACGAGGGACUCGAUGGAAGAUAUGGUGGUAGCAAAAGAUUACAGCGUGGCGGUGGUGUGGCAGGGAGUUUGGCGGCGGAAGAUUGAUGAAGAAACCUGUGCCACACGAAGAACAAAAAACCAAAAACAAGUUCGAUCUAGUAGAAAAAAAUCUGAAAAACGAUCCAAUCUAAUCCAUCAACUCGACAUGAUUAAUGCAGCAAAGAUUCAACAAUGCAAAACUAAUGUGAAAAUUGCAAGGCUCAGAUUGGUUCUGGGACAAGGUAACUAAUCUAAUUUUUGUUUGGCUUUUUCUGGACGAUAGGUAAAAGCAGAUCUAAACUACGGAUAAACUAGAAAAAUCUCACCGAGCAACCUUAAGCUCUGAUACCACGUGAUAGCCUUGAGGGUGUCCCGAUCUUUCGAUGAGAUACCUAAUUAUCGAUUUGGUAGGAGGUGACGUUGACGAUCCGACUACAACCUAGGAGGCAGCGCCUUAGCAAUCGAUACACCAACUCCAGAAGGUUAUUGAUCCCGCGGGGGCACGAUCAACCUGACCACGAAUCUGAAAUUGCGAAUAGGAGAUAUGAAGGUUCACGAAUCUGAAUACUCAAUAUAGUUGGAGUCUUGAUGAUGGUAAAACAGGUGGUCUAACCGACACACGCGAUUACACGAAAGUAGCAAAGUCUAAACUUUAUCUAAUCAAAACCCAAGGCUCCACAGGGGGGCUCAUGGGGUAUAAAUAGGAGGGGAACUAGGUGGUUUUCGGCCAGGCCCUUGAGGGACUCCGAAACGGCCUAGGAAUCCUCCUAAAACACAACGAAAACAUCUAAAAAUUGGCUGGACCCUAUUACAUGGCCUUAGGCCCAAUUGAAGCGACCGCCCCCGUAUACGGGUUCGAUCUCUGUGCUUUAGUGCUAGUCCCUGGAUCGACUCAUUAGCACACACAGUUUCAAGAUGUAAUAUCAUAGAACAAAGGUCUCAAUAUUACAACGUAUCAUCCAGAAUUUAAAAGUACUUACAACUCGCAUAACCUCACAGGUUAGCUAGAAGUAAAACAACUGUUUAGUAGCGGAAAGUGAAAGAUACAAGGGCACAUCAACACCACGGUGAGAGCGUGUUGGAAUGUAAGCCCGUAACCCAAACAAGCAGAACGUACAUCUUACUCGUCGUCGGAGCUUCCUGCAUCAUUAAACGAGGCAGCCACUAGGGUCAAUACAUUGAAUGUAUUGGCAAGAUUCACUAGGAGUUAUAUUAGAGCCUACCAAGUAUAUGCAUAAUGUGGCAAAGUGGGGUUCAAGGCUAUUUGCGUGGAAGCAGAACAUAAAUUACCCUACUACAAAGAAAUGUUAGAAUAAUGUUAACUAUUGGACACGGGGUAGACACACCCAUGCUCCUAUUAACCUAGAGCACAUUGAAGUGGAUUCAUCAAGUGCCCCUACCCUGUUCAAACCAUUCAUUUUAUUUAAGAAAUUGGAAUGAGUGAGACUUUCCUUACAGCUCCACAUCUAGUCGCUCAAAAUGUCCGUUGCCGGGGACACGGCUAAGUACUUAGUUUUGACGUUCUCAAGAGUUUGUACACAUUCCCCACAAGAAACCAACGUGCUAAUCCCUUGCUGUCCUCAGGGUAGAGUAGCAACGGCAUCGAUUACGAGAUUUUCAGAGGUAAUUCCCUAAACCACGAGAGAAUCACGCUCCCCCUACACGGCUACCUCAGUACAAUUCCUCGGGUCUAGGUUCAUACAACUUACUCUUGUCUCGCCAGAGCCCAUAUAGCAUUGUGGUUGUACUAGAAGCUUCUAAAUAGGAAACUAGUCCAGUCUCAGUUACCCCAGGUGGCAUUCCACAUUUGCAGCGUAGGCGCUCCCCGAAUCCACGGGAGAGACGUCCAUGGACGAUCCAUUCCUGAAUCCACAGGAACUCAACUCAGAGGGACCCAUAGAAAUGGACCUGACGCCGCUAAUCCUCAAAAUCCUCAAAGCAGCCCACCCAGGAUGGUUCAUUGAAUUAGUUGUUUUGCCUUACAUCUAAUAAAAAUAUUUCAUAUAGCCAACGGCAUAACAAUAUCAUAAUGUAGUUAUUUCCCCCACGAUACUACCAUAGAGGUACGAGUAAUAGUCCUAUCAAUGCAUUUCUACCAACAACACUAAUGCAUAAGUAUUUUAAAACAACAAAAAUAAUGGGAUAUGAUCAAAGUGAACUUGCCUUGUCCAAGGUUGUGAUAGUUCUCGCACUCUUGGCAACAACAAGGAAUACACCCCACACAAUCUAAAAUAAAAGAAACAUGCACACAAUAAACACAACAUUCAAUGCAAAAAUCAUGCCAUGAUGCAUAUGCUAUGUUAAUGCACACUUGGUUACUUUUAAUGUAACAAGUUUUGUUUCUGUUUUGAAAGGUUUUUCAAAUGAUUUGGACAGGUUAUACAACAUCAAAGAGGUAAUUACUAUGCAUGAAACAAGGGUAGGGUUUAAAUUAAAAGAUUGUGUGGUUUUUGCAACAUAGAACAAGAUUUAAACUUGUAUGCCAUUUUUAUUCACAAAACAAUUUCUUUUCUAGUCCUAAUGGACAGAGAACAAGUUUAAAUAAUUUUAUAGCAAGCUAACAUGCUCAAAACUAUUUUGAAACAAUUCAUUUGAAAUUUAAACCAUAAACCACCAUUCUGUAAAUUGCUUCUGACUAAGUUAUUCAAAACUGAAAUUAGACAGUGCCAAAAUAUUCUACAAGUUGUGACGAUUUCAGAAAGGUGCGGAACACAAAUUUUGGACAAACGGUUUGAAAGAUAUGAUGCUUUGAAGUUGUAGGGGCCUUUCUGUAAAAGUGAAAUAUUUAAUUCGGCCGAAAAUAAAAUAUAUAAAAAAAAAGCUCUGCCACGUGGCAGCGCACGGUUGGCCGGGAUCUAGGGGUCCGGCCGGCGGCACGGACGGCACGGGCAGGCGAUGGGCGGCGCGGGCGGCAGGGGCGCGGCGGACGGGCACGGCGGCGGGCAAGAGGCGGAGCGGCGCGGGCGGCAAGGGGCGGCGCCGGCAGCGGGGCGGACGGGCGCGGCGGCGGGCGGCGCCGGAGCUGGGGAAGACGACGGCGCGGCGGGAGAACAGCGCGGGCGGAGCUUCAAAAAAAUAAAGCACGCGUGUCACGGUGUUCGGGACGAGGAGAGGAGAGAGGCUAGGGGGUCGGCGCGGGGAGAACCUCACCGGAACGGCGGCGAAUCGCGAAGAACGGCGACGGCAGCAACGAACUCCGGCGAGCAAUUAAUCUCUAACCGGUGCGAAAUUGGACGUGGGGUUUGGGGGAAGUGGAAGAGGAGUUCGGGGGCUUCGGAGUGACGCGGACGGACUCGGGGAUAGGGGCUCGUGUGCGAAGGAAUCGGAGUGGAGGCGUGCAGUGGUUUCGCGAACGUGCGCAGCAUGGACUGGCCCGCCUGGCAGUGGGGCGUCCAGGCGGCUCGGGCUGGGCCGGUCCGGUCUGGUCCGGUCCGACCGGUUUUCUCGGUUUUUCCUUUUCUUUUAACAAUUUUCUGUUUUUGAACCUCAAAAUUGAUUCGAAGCUCCAAAUCACUCCAAAUAAAAUGCAACAAAAUUUGUAAAAUCAUAUUUUCAUAUGAUCUAACUUUUGGAACAAGAAUUUCCUCAAAAUAAAUAUUCAAAAAUACAUUUGCCUAUAAAAUGGCUUUUUUCAAAAUAAAUUAUUUUUCAAAAUAAUUUCAAAAGCCAACUUAUGGGAUGGCUUUAUAUAUGCACUAAAUCCCUUUUUAUCACAAUACCCUAAUGGGUUAAAAUGCAAAUACUCAAAAGCAAGAUCAAAGCCCAAAAUCAAAUAAAGGCAUUUUUGCACAAGGGUUUUCUGGGCAAAUUUUUAGGGUUUUGAAAGUGAUCAAAUGCAAGGGUGACAUGAUGCUCGUGAUACGCCAUGCAUAUGAAGGGUUUUGAAAUUUUGGGAUGUUACAGACCUAACCCCCUUAAGAUGGAUCUCGUCCUCGAGAUUCCUGUUGGUUAGCAAAAAGGUGUGGGUGGUCUUCUCGAAGAUCAUCCUCGCGUUCCCACGUCGCUUCUUCUUCGGUGUGGUGAUUCCACUGAACCUUGCACAACUUGAUUGUCUUGGAACGGGUAUGUCUUUCCGCUGUUUCCAAGAUCCUGGUUGGUUUCUCUUGAUAUGUGAGAUCGCUUUGAAUCUCAACUUCGUCAAGUGAAACUGUAUCCCUUAGUGGCGUAUCGGACAUUUCCGGGUGGCACUUCUUUAAUUGUCACACAUGGAACACGUCAUGGACACUUGUCAACUUUUCAGGUAACUCUAACUUGUACGCGACCUCUCCUUGGCGUGCUAAAACCUUGUAGGGUCCAAUAAAGCGUGGCGCUAGUUUUCCCUUAAUCCCAAAUCUCUUAACUCCGCGUAUCGGAGAAACUCUGAGACACGCUCUGUCACCAACCUCAUAGGUGACCUCCCUUCGUUUGGAAUCUGCAUAACUCUUUUGCCUGGAUUGAGCUAUCUUAAGUCUGUCUUGAAUCAGUUUGACCUUCUCUUCAGCAUCCUUUAUCAUGUCGAGUCCAAAUAGACUACGGUCUCCUACACCAUCCCAUAGCAAAGGUGUCCUGCACUUCUUGCCGUACAACGCUUCGAACGGUGCCAUUCCAAUGCUCGCUUGAAAACUGUUGUUGUAUGAGAACUCUGCAUAUGGUAGAUUCUCAUCCCAGCUAGAUCCAUAGUCCAGAGCGCAAGCUCUUAACAUAUCCUCGAGAAUUUGGUUCACUCUUUCUGUUUGUCCAUCUGUUUGUGGAUGAAACGCUGUGCUAAACUCUAGUCUCGUGCCUAGAGACUCGUGCAAUUGUCCCCAAAAUCUUGAGGUAAAUUGGGUACCUCUGUCUGAAACGAUCUCCUUGGGAAUUCCAUGUAGGCAUACAAUCUUAGACAUGUAUCGUUUGGCCAACUGUGCACUUGUAUAAGUAAUCUUCACAGGUAUGAAAUGGGCAACUUUGGUCAAACGGUCAACUACUAUCCAUAUUGAAUCAUAACCAGAUCUCGUCCUUGGCAAGCCAGUGAUGAAAUCCAUGCCCACCUUAUCCCAUUUCCAGUCUGGCACUGGCAAUGGUCGUAGUAACCCAGCUGGUUUCUGAUGUUCAGCCUUGACUCUGCUUCAAACAUCACACAGAGCGAUACACUCAGCGAUGUCUCGCUUCAAUCCUGUCCACCAAAACUUUUCUUUCAAGUCCAUGUACAUCUUUGUAUUACCAGGGUGGAUUGAUUACGGUGAACAUGAGCUUCUUGUAGUAUUAGUUUUCUGAUCUCGGGGUCUUGUGGUACACAAAUACGCUUCUCAAACCAUACGGUACCUUGAUCAUCUUCAACGAAUCCUUUUGCCUUCUCAAUCGCCAUAUUAUCCUUUAUCGUUCUAAUUUCUGAGUCUUCUUUCUGGGCUUCUCUACUUCUGUCUAGUAGAGUGGGUUGUACUUCCAUGUUGGCUAAGUAACCUUCCUGAACUUUCUCCAAUCUGAGAUCCUUGAACUGCUCACACAAUUCAGCAGGUAAUUCUUCAGCUGUAAGUCCAUUAAUAUAGCCCUUGCGGCUCAAAGCGUCAGCAACUACGUUAGCCUUGACUGGAUGAUAUUGAAGAUUCAGAUUAUAAUCCUUGAUUAACUCUAACCAUCUUCUUUGUCUCAAGUUCAAUUCCUUCUGCGUGAAUAUGUACUUCAAGCUUUUAUGAUCGGUGAAUAACUCACAUUGCUUUCCCAUGAGAUAGUGCCUCCAAGUCUUGAGUGCGUGCACUACCGAUGCUAGUUUCAAAUCAUGAGUGGGGUAAUUUCUCUCAUGAUUCCUAAGUUGUCUUGAGGCGUAUGCUACGACUCUUCCUCCUUGCAUCAAAACACAUCCCAAUCCUAGACGCGAACCGUCACAGUACACUUGGAAACCUUCCAGUAAGUCGGGCAAAACAAGGAUGGGUGCUGAUACUAGCCUCUUCUUCAAAUCCUGAAAACUUUCUUCACACUUAUCAGUCCAUUCAAAUUUCUUUUCUUUUUUCAAAAGAUCAGUCAUAGGUUUGGCAAUAUUGGAGAAAUUCUCUAUGAACCUCCUGUAAUAUCCAGCAAGUCUUAGGAAGCUGCGAACAUCUUCGACGUUCUUAGGGACUUCCCAUUCAGUCACUGCUGCUACUUUAGCGGGGUCAACGGUAACUCCAUUUCCUGACACAAUUUGUCCCAAGAAACCAACUUCAGACAACCAAAAUUCACACUUGCUGAAUUUUGCAUAAAGCUUGUGCUCUCUAAGCUUUUCCAUGAUCAGACGCAAAUGUUCUUUAUGUUCUUCUUUGCUCUUUGAGUAGAUCAAAAUGUCGUCGAUGAAUACUACGACAAACUUAUCCAAAUAUUCCAUGAAUACCUUGUUCAUCAUAUUCAUGAAGUAUGCCGGGGCAUUGGUUAAUCCAAAGGCAUCACUGUGUACUCAUAUAGGCCAUACCUAAUGGUAAAUGCUGUCUUGGGUAUAUCCACUUCUCGGAUCUUUAACUGAAAACAACCUGAUCGAAGAUCGAUCUUUGAGAAAACACAAGCUCCUUUCAAUUGAUCGAAUAGAUCAUUGAUUAUGGGUAGUGGGUACUUGUUCUUUAUCGUCACCUCAUUUAGUGAGCGAUAGUCUAUGCACAUCCUUUGGCUCUUGUCUUUCUUUUCCACAAAUAGAACAGGUGCUCCCCAUGGUGAUGAGCUAAGGCGAAUAAAUCCUUUGGCCAACUGUUCUGCAAGUUGCUUCUUCAGCUCUUUCAAUUCAUCUACGGCCAUCUUAUACGGUCUCUUGGCUAUAGGUCCACUUCCUGGCAAUAAUAACUCAAUAAGAAAAUCCACAUCUCGGUCCGGUGGCAUGCCUGGUAAUUCCUCUGGAAACACGUCUGGAUACUCUUUCACUAUCGGUACAUCCUCUAGGCUAACCCCCUUAAGAGAAUUUACCUUGGGUUUUCUGGGCAAAUUUUUAGGGUUUUGAAAGUGAUCAAAUGCAAGGGUGACAUGAUGCUCGUGAUAUGCAAUGCAUAUGAAGGGUUUUGAAAAUUUGGGAUGCUACACCAAUAAAGCAAGGUUAUAACCCUCAUCUUUGGCCCAUAGAUACCCAUUGGAGGGGGAAUCCUCCACUUGGCCGAAAUCACAUUGAUGAAGAGGAUGCGGCCUUCUUCUCAUCUCUCGUUAUGGUGGUUUCAAUGUCCAUUUGAGGUACUAGGAUGAGCACACCAAAUAAACCUACUCAUCGAAGUGAAACAAGACUAGACCACUUGUAUGGACUCGCUAGGCAUGGUCCCUCACUAGGACGGACAAUUCGGCCAAAUCGGUGUCGGUGCUAAACUUUGAUCCGGAACGUGUCCAUUUGAGGUACUAGGAUGAGCCCACCAAACAAAGCUACUCAUCGAAGCGAAACAAGACUAGACCACUUGUACGGACUCGCUAGGCAUGGUCCAUCACUAGGACGGAUAAUUUGGCCAAAUCGGUGUCGGUGCUAAACUUUGAUCCAGAACGUGUCCAUUUGUGGUACAAGGAUGAGCACACCAAACAAAGCUACUCAUCGAAGCGAAACAACAUUAGACCACUUAGAGGGCCUCGCUAGGCAUGGUCCCUCACUAGGACGGACAAUCCGGCUAAAUCGGAGUCGGUACUAAACAUUGAUCCGGAACGUGUCCAUUUGAGGUACUAGGAUGAGCACACCAAACAUAGCUACUCAUCGAAGCGAAAAAAGACUAGACCACUUGUACGGACUCGCUAGGCAUGGUCCCUCACUAGGACGGACAAUUCUGCCAAAUCGGAGACGGUGCUAAACUUUGAUCCGGAACGUUUCCAUUUGAGGUACUAGGAUGAGCACACCAAAGAAACCUACUCAUCGAAGCGAAAAUGGACUAGACCACUUGUACGGACUCCCUAGGCAUGGUCCCUCACUAGGACGGACAAUCCGGCGAAAUCAGAGUCGGUGCUAAACUUUGAUCCGGAACGUGUCCAUUUGAGGUACUAGGAUGAGCACACCAAAUAAACCUACUCAUCAAAGCGAAACAAGACUAGAGCACUUGUACGGACUAGCUAGGCAUGGUCCCUGACUAGGACGGACAAUUCUGCCAAAUCGGAGUCGGUGCUAAACUUUGAUCCGGAACCUGUCCAUUUGAGGUCCUAGGAUGAGCACACCAAAUAAACCUACUCAUUGAAGCGAAACAAGACUAGACCACUUGUACGGACUCGCUAGGCAUGGUCCCUCACUAGGACGGAUAAUUCAGCCAAAUCGGUGUUGGUGCUAAAUUUUGAUCCGGAAUGUGUCCAUUUGAGGUACUAGGAUGAGCACACCAAACAAAGCUACUCAUCAAAGCGAAACAAGACUAGACCACUUGUACGGACUCGCUAGGCAUGGUCCAUCACAAGGACGGAUAAUUCGGCCAAAUCGGUGUCGGUGCUAAACUUUGAUCCGGAACGUGUCCAUUCGUGGUACUAGGAUGAGCACACCAUUUAAUGAACCAUCCUGGGUGGGCGGCUUUGAGGAUUUUGAUGUAUUCGGCGUCAGGUCCAUUUCUAUGGGUCCAUUUCUAUGAGUCGUCUCUCCAUAUCUAUGGGAGUGCCUGCGUCGCAAAUGUGGAAUGCCACCUAGGGUAACCGAGACUGGACUAGUUUCCUAUGUAGUAGCUUCCAGUACAACCACAAUGCUAAAUGGGCUUUGGCGAGAAUAGAGUAUGUUGUAUGAACCUAGACCCGAGGAAUUGUACUGAGGUAGCCUGUGUAGGGGGAGCGUGAUUCUCUCGUGGUUUAGGGAAUUACCUCUGAAAAUCUCGUAAUCGAUGCCGUUGCUACUCUACCCUGAGGACAGCAAGGGAUUAACCCGUCGGUUUCUUGUGGGGAAUGUGUACAAACUCUCGAGAGUGUCAAAACUAAGUACUUAGCCGUGUCCCCGGUUAUGGACAAUUAUGAGCAACUGGAUAGUGGAGCUGUAAGGAAAGUCUCGCUCAUUCUAAUUUCUUAAUAAUAUAAAUGGUUUGAACUUGGAUUUAGGAGCAUUGAUGUGUCUACUCAAUGUCCAAUAGUGACAAAAUUAUUUGAUUAAAAUGAUAGGAUUAAACAAUUAAACUUUUAUGCAAAUAGCAUGAACCCCACCUUGCCAGAUUAUGCUUAUACUUGGUAGGUUCUGAUAUAACUCCUAGUGAUCUUGCCAAUACAUUCAAUGUAUUGACCUUAGUGGCUGCAUCGUUUAAUGAUGCAGGAAGCUCCGACGAAGAGUAAGGGUAUGCUCUGGUCUUUGGGUUACGGGCCUACAUUCCAACACGCUCUCACCGUGGUGUUGCCAUUGUAUCUUUCGCAUUCCGCUGUUGAACUAUUGUUUUAAUUCCAUCCAACCCAUGGGGUUAUGCGAGUUUGUAAGUACUCUUAAAUUCGAGAUGAUGCGUUGUAAUACUUGAGACCUUUGUUCUAUGAUAUUACAUCUUGAAACUGUGUGUGCUAGUGAAUCGAUCCAGGGACUAGCACUAAAAGCACAGAGAUCGAACCCAUGUACGGGGGCGGUCGCUUCACUUUCUUGCAAUAGAGAGGAUUCUCGCAAAAGUAAUCAUCCACUAGAUGCUGAUGGAAUAGUUCACGAGCCCUGUUCACCUACCUCUUCGGACCACUCGUCUUCAUAGAUCCUGCUUGCAUAGUAUCAACGUUUCUCUUCAGAUUCACGGCGAGCUCCUCAGCGAAGGAGUCCAACAUGUCCUCCUCGGCCAAAAAAUCACCUAGUGUGUACAGGUCAGCUGGGUCCAUGGCUUCCUCCUCGGCAUCUUCUUCCUUGGCAUCUUCUUGAUGUGUGUCAUCAGGAUGAUCAGGGGAAUGAGACAUGUUGUGUGGAAGAGAGAGAUGUGCCAGACUUGCCUCUGUGCGCGCGAGCGCGCACACACACACAUAUGCUUGCUAACAUGAGUGCAUGCAUCCAUUCCACCUUUAAACUUCUGAAAUCUGGCAUCCAUUCACACACACGUAUGUGUACAUCAGUUCGCAUUCACACUGAUGCAUGCAUACAGUCCAUUCACACUGAUGCAUAGGCUUGGCAACGGUACAUAGCAAUUAUCUGAAAUCAAUUUCUAAACCACGGUACGUUUGAACCCAUGCAUUUCUGAAAUCACUUCAGUAUAAUAAUAGCAUUACAGAAUAGUUUUCUGAUAGCGGGAUAGUAUUACAGUAGCAGCACAACCAUAAUAUUGAAUUCUACAAGACCAACUCGAUCAGCAUUGAGCAUAACUGUAUUCAGCAAAACCAUUAGAGCUCCACCACCCUUUUAUGCAUGUUUCUUCAAAAGUGCUUGUUUCCUAAUCUUUUGGUCCCUGAAAGUAGUAACACCUGUUCAUCAUUAGGUCUGAACGCUAAGCAAUAAGGAUGCAAGUAUACCUAUUUUUUGUGUUGUACAGGUUGAUUUUAUACCUCAGUCUCCUUUAGGAAAUAAUAUCGACUCCAUACUUGCCAAUGCCCUCACACGUGCAGCCUUUGAUUCCUCAUCGAGCAAACUUGUGUCAGCUAAUAUCAGUUUUUCGUAAACAACAAGCAUCUUUGUCUCUUUGGCAAGCCUUGCGGCGUCAACCUUGUCGCUGGACAUCCUCUGCUGGCUCUCUAUGACCUUUUGGCGCUCCUGCCUAGAUGUGGCCUGAACCUCAAUGAACUUGUCCAAUUUUUCCCCUAGCACAAUCACACCCUCCGGUGCCUCUCUUGCUUUGCUUUUACCAGCGCGUUCAGCCUUAGCUUUAUGGCGACCAAUCGGGCGCUCCUCUUUUUCCAGGUCGAUCACAUGCGAUGUGACAUUGAUGCCCACCGACGGACUCUUUUCUUCCUCUCCAUUUAAUUUUCUCACUACGGCCAGCCAUUUUCCAUGGUCCUUGAGUAUUCUCCACAUAAGCAAUGUGGGAAAGUUGCGCCUUUGUUACUUCAUACUUCUCCAUGGCCAUGUCAGUUAGUUGGUCAUCAGAAUAACCACUUUUGUACACUUUAUUGAGACUGCACCACUCGCCAUGGAAAGCAUUGAUCUUUGUCUUCACACGAUGAAAAUGUUGCUUGAGUUGCUUAGCAUCUCUCUUCCGGUUGCUUGGCGUGGUACUGUUGUAGCAAGCGGCAAUGUCAUCCCAAUACUUUUUGAUCUUCUUGUUAUUCCCGUCGAUGGGAUCAUUCGAAUUUUCCAACCAAGCACUUGCCUACAUUUGGGAACAACUAAGUCAGUAAUUCCCAGCAUGCAACUAAAUUCAAACGAAUAUAAUCAGAAUUUAAACUUUGAGACAAGACAUAUCAUUACCAAUCUCCUCUCUUCCUCUGGUGUCCAAGCCAUAUGUUGUGCCGUCCUGCUGGUUCCUCUUCAUGAUUAACAGGGGGUAUUUUCUUUCUCUUAGAAGCUCUAACCGAUGGAGCCACUUCGGCCGAAGCAGACCCGGAUUUGUUGUGGGGAGGUGGUGGUGGUGUUGAAAAUGAGCCAAUUUGUGGGGAAACACCAACAAAAUGGAAAUUCUCCAUACUAGGCUGUCCUUGUUGGGGAGAUUGGAAAUUGGAUGGAUGAGUGGGGCCAAAUGGUGUGGUUUGUUGAUUCUGUAACAAACUUAGCAAAGCAUCAGGAGAAUGGGUAUACAUUGGCCUGAAAUUUAUAACAAAGUAGUGAGGCAACUACUGAUACGGGUCGGGGUGGCCCGAUCUUUCGAUGAGAUUGAUAACUCUCGAUUUGGGUAGGAGGUGACGUUGACGAUCCGACUACGGCCUAGGAGGCAGCGCCUUAGCAAUCGAUACACCAACUCCAGAAGGUUAUUGAUCACGUAGGGGCACGAUCAAUCUGACCACGAAGGUCUUUGUUCCUGCAAGCAAUCGAAGAACAAGCAAGAACAAGAUAAAUAGCGGAUGCAAUCUAAAAUUGCGAAUAUACUAUAUCAAACAAAUGUCUCAACGAGACGAUAAGUUGGAAUCUUGAUGACGGUAAAACAGGUGGUCUAACCGACACACGCGAUUACACGAAAGUAGCAAAGAUGGCUAAACUUUAUCUAAUCAAAACCCAAAGCUCCUUAGGGGGGCUCAUGGGGUAUAUAAAGGAGGAGGGAGAGAUAUUUUCGUCCACCUUGAGUAAGGAGGCCGAAAUCCAACUCUAUCUCUAACUUUCCUAACAAAGUACAACUCUUUAAGAAACAGAAAAACAGAUCCGUCAGCUUGUUUUGUCCAUCACGCUUAGCACGAGUCGAAUCUCUUGAUGGGGCCAGAUCCGUUGGAAAGGUCUUGUAAUUACCUUUCCAACAAGUACUUGUUUGCUUAAUUUGGACUCCGGAUGCGGCCUGGGUGAUUAAAACAAAUUUGGGUCUCCUGACGGCUCGGACCCGAAUCGGAUUCAACUUUAAUUCGUGAUAUCUUUCUCUAACAAGCUCCGAAUCAUGUGCCGUUUGAUUUGUUGGAAAGUAGACUUGAUAGGCGUCACUUUGAAUCUUCCUUUGCAGGCUAUCACAUUUCAUCUUCACUUUGGACUUGUAAAGUUCAAUAAGAUGCCUACAUAAUAAGAUUACACAAGAUAGUAGCUCCGCCUCUUUGCAAGUAACAUAUAGAAAACAUUUUGUAAUUGAAUUCACCUGAUUAUAAUUGUUAUUAGAUACACCAACAAUUAGGGUUCUAAUGGUCGUAUCCAUGGUUAGCAUGUCCAUAUCAACUACAGAAGGUACGAUUAAAAUGAGGUAAAUUAUGACUAACUGCACUUGUCUCCAAAGAUAGCAACAUACAAAGCAAUUCACUUGUCUCCAAAGAUUACUGUACAUAAAUUACUUAUAAGUUCACCAUUUUCUUAAUUCGUCUUGUGCAUUGCCAUCAAUUUAUUCAAGUAAGGUAAAUCAAGACAACACUAAACUCAUAUACGAUUUGAUUAUUUGUAAGGAAUUAACUUUCAUUCACUGGAUUAGAAACUUACGAACUGAAAUUGUAACUGAACCCAAAUCUGAAUUCCCUUCUGAGUUCAGUUUUGGCAAUAACAAAUAUAGUAUCCAAAGACAAAACAGAAUAUAUAUUUACCAUGAUACCCCCUGAUUUUAGAUGCUUCUUCUAGACCACACAAGCAUGGUAUUAACACACAAACAGGGCCAAAUAUGGAGAUUUUGCUUACCAUUGAUUUAGAGAUCUGUUGGUGGAGGAGUUGCUGCCAUCGGUCGAAUUGAAGUGCCUGAGGUAGGAAUGGCGCUCCGGGUGCCUUCUCCCUACUGCGGUCCAUUCCCAUGGAUUAGUCGGCGGUGGAGAUGAUGGUUGUGGGCGGCGGCAGAGAGGGCCAGCGGAGCAGGAGAUUUCGACGGCGGCGGCAACGAAGAUGGGGUGCGCUGGCCGUUGGGAGCAGAGGCGGCCAGGGUGCUGCAGCAGGUGGAGGGCAAGCGGAGGCAGCCGGAGUGUGCUGGCCGCUGGGAGCAGAGGCGGCCGGGGUGUGCUGGCCGCUGGCCGGGGUGCUGCAGCAGGUGGAGGGCGAGCGGAGGCAGCCGCCCUUUGCCCAGAUUGCAUGGGGGAGAAAGGGGAUGAGAGAAAAUCGGGAGCGGCCGCACGGGAUCGAGGGAAAUCAAUUUGCGUCUAGGCGCACGAGACAAGAAUUGUUCUCUACACAAGAAUCGUUUCUUCCUCGUUUUACAAUAACUGCAGUGCCACUUAGACUUUUUUCCUAAAAAACGGUGCCAUGGGACGAGGGCUGGGACUGCUCUAACGAUCUCAUCAACAGUUUCCUCCUUCAACCAUCUCGCUUCAAAAAAAUUCGACCCCGGGACAUGCGGCAUGGUCGGUGCCUCCCCAUCUUCUGUUUUCAGCACUAACGGUCGAUGCUCAGAUUUGAUAUGCAUGUUCCGAGUGCACAACUACAGCUCCUGCAAAAAUUCCUGCCCAGUCGGCAUUAUAGACACUGCGAUCCAAGCGUUCACGAAUUCUUCCUCUCCUCCAAGUAAAUGGAUCUCCUUGGAAGCCCAUAUCCUCGAGCCCGCGCUCAGCUAGACCAUUUCGGAAGUUUUCCAUCAUGCUUGUUCUUCUAGGAUUUCCACCCUCUUUCUCUGAAGAAUAUAAGAUCUCAUUAAAAUCACCAAUCAUCACCCAGGGCAUCUGAACUCUAGCAUGCAGAUCAGGAAUAUAUCCCAGGUCAGGUGUCUAUCCUCCCAGCUUGGUUCUCCAUACAAUCCUAUCAAUCGACAAUCUGGAUCGGUUGGGCUCUGAACCACCACAUCCAGAAAAUUGGAGUGAAUCGAUCGGAUCUGGAUGUCUAUCGAUCUCUUCCAAAAGAACAGGAGACCACCGCUAGCUCCAUUGCUCUCAUGAAUUGCCAUCUGUUCCAUACCAACUAACUUUUUUGCCUUCGCUUCGUUCAGAUGAGUCUCGGACAAGAAGAACCCAUCUGGAUUCCAUUGCUGCUGCACAUCCAGGAGAGCUCGAGUCGCCGGGCGACUAGCCAGGCCCCGGCAAUUCCAGCUUACAAGUUUCAUAGUGGGGCACGAAUAAAACGCACGAAAGAUUAUGACAAAGUGCCGGCGACAAACGACCGACGAAACUCAGGAAACGACGCCCAAGUGAACAAGGACUCAAACGCCGAAGAAAUCCGGCGCGAGUAAAAAAAAACCUAGAUGGGUUGGUAGCCGUCCGGUGCCGGAGUGGCACCGGCGGGAGGUGGACGCCGGCGCCGGAAGAGAAACAAAAACGCAAGCGUUUGGUUAAAAGUGCAACGAUCUAAACAACACCACUGACUUGCCGUUAGCAGCUACCCCGAGGAGUUUUAUGUUUAGUUUUCCCCUUUCACUAUACAUAAUCAUCAGGUUCAGCAGUCAGCUUGUUGCAGCAGUUUUAGGCGUCCUUUUCCAUCUGCAUCAGAUUGCCACCACCUCGAGCUCGAUUUAUCAUCUCAUAUGAUUCCCCUCACACCCAACACAUUCUGUUGUGGGCUAGCAAGAGCAGACUUGUGGGCUUUAUAUGGGCCACAAAGGGUGACACAUCGCCUGUCUGUCUACUUGUGCUAGGCUAGCUACAGCGUUCUUCCCUGAGGAAAAGAAAUGGGCUACAGUCGAGAACCAAUUGUUGUGUGGAGCUCGGCGAAUGUUCGAACACUGCCUGCUCGAAAUUAAUGCAUCAAGAACCAUAAACAUUAGAAGUAGGCAGGAACGACUCCACUAUUUUAGAGCAUCUCUAGAAGGUUUUUUAAAACUAGUAAGAAAAUAAAAAAAUAUGAAAUUUUGGCUCUUCCCCGGCAGGUUUUUCAAACUUGUUUUCUAAAAAAAAAUUCCAUCUACCAGCUGAAAUGCCCGUGCGUUGCAACGGAACAACAAAAUAAAAUGAUACAUUCAAAAACAUGUAUCAGAAUCUCUCUUUGCUCUUCUUUAACGAUCACCAAAUAUCCCUUUAAAAAAGGUUUCUUCUGAAGCUAUUUUUUUUUAAAUAAUACGAUUUUUUUAAUCAUUUUCAAAAAUAAUACACGUUUUCCAAAAAUUUCAAAAAUAAUACAGCCUCGGCCUCACCCAGGCCGAAUGGACCCAGUCAGCCUGGCCCAAGCCGAUUAGGCCCAGUCGGCCUCGGCCAGGCCAACUGGAGGCAGGCUGCUCAGCUCGCGGGGCCCCCACGAGACAGUCGGCCUGGCCCAGGCCGACUAAAGCCCAGUUCGCUUCGCCCAGGCCGACUGGUGCAGUCGGUUUCGGCCAGGCCGACUGGAUGCAGUUUCGGCUAAUUAGGCCCAUUUUUUGUUUCGGAUCCUUGCGGUCUUUUGAACUGAAAGACUCGACAACUUGGAUAAAAGUAACACGCCAAAUCCGAUUGGAAGUAAUUAGGCUUCGCAGCUAGUUCGUUGCAUGAUCAACGCAUACACGGCCGAGGCCCACUUUUUGUCUCGAAUCCUUGCGGUUUUUUGAACUAAAAGACUUGACAACUUGGAUAAAGAGUAACAUACAUCGAUAAUGUGCUGGACAAUUUUUGCGUCGAUUCUUUGCGGUUUGUUUGAACUGAAAGACUUGACAUUUGGAUAAAUUUGGAUAAAUUAACAUACAUCGAUAAUGUGCUGGUUACGGAACCAAGGCACGACUAAAUUAACAUACACAUAAUUAAAGAUAGCAAAUACAUUUGAAACACAAGCACUACUGAGUCCACUUAGGCCAUUUUCCGCUCGUAUCGCCACGUUCUUCUGCUGCCUUUGCCACGGCGGCCAUUUCUCUUUGCCUCUCCCUUUCUGCCUCACGAGCAUCCUUGCGCCUUCGUUCCUCCUCUUGCAUCUCAAGCGCUUUCUCCCUGUUUUUCCUUAGUGCUUCGUCAAUCCAACGACGUUGUUCCUCCCUAUGCUCUUUCAGCUCUCUCUCUUGCUCCUCUUUCUCCUGGGCUGCAGCUUUCCGCACGCUCCUCGGGUGGAAACGCUGCCAUGCAUUUCGGGACCUUGUUUUGAUCUCUUCCACCGCCCAAUCCAGCAUCUCCGUGUCAAUCCAACGAUACCACAUGCAUAAGGACGGAGGAGACUACAAAAAAGACUACUGUUACAAAUCUAAUAUGACACAGAAAACAUGUUUUAGAACACCUAAAUGUGCUUACCGGAGGCUUGUCGUACGGCGAAACCGGGACAAGUGGUUCAUACUCAUAGUUCGCGCACAUGCAAAACCUCAUGCCCAGCUUAUCUGAAAAAUCUGUCACCUCCUUCACCUUGCAUAGAUUGCCGCACCAACACUUGAGAUGUUCCACCCCCCGAGGCAACAUCGCAUCUUUCAUCCUCCUCGGCCUCUCGCCCUGGUCGGUGCAAGGCAAACUCAUUGGGGGACACUGGAAUAUUGGAAAAAAUAGUAGUGGGAAGGAUGCUUGGAUGACUACCGGAGAUGAGGUAUUUAUAGGCUCUCAAACUCAUUCUCCCACCACCCGCCACCGUUUCCCGUCUAUUUGUAUCUUCUGUAACUAUAAAAGACCGUCCAUGGUAUUGAAGUGUAGUCUCACCAUUUCGUCUGGGAAUAUGUCGUCCGGCUUCCCAGAUGAUCGUAGAUUUUGGUCAGGUAUGUCCCGUGAGCUAUUGUGGUUAGCCGGUGAUUUCAAGGUAGAUAAUAGGAUAGUUCCAUGGGACGAACUCAUUAGUAGUGACACCCUACUAACUGAGUUGGGCCACCAAUUAUAUAGGUGCAAUUUCCCAUUGAGGACUUCUACAGAGAUACGACAAGAACUGUUAAGGUUGCACGAAAGGUGGAAGAAGCACAUUGAAGGUAAGAGUGAGUCAUACCUACAAUGGGCUAGAAAACAUCCAUUGUUAUGGGUUGAAGAGGAGGAAUCCGAUGAAGAUAUCUUCAUGCCAAGCAAAACGGGUAAGAGUUCUUCAUCGUCCAAGGGGAAGAGUACUGCACCGUCGAAGCGAAAGAGCACAUCAUCGUCCAAGGGGAAGAGUACAUCAUCGUCCGAUGAAGAUAUCUUCAUGCCAAGCAAAACGGGUAAGAGUUCUUCAUCGUCCAAGGGGAAGAGUACUGCACCGUCGAAGGGAAAGAGCACAUCAUCGUCUAAGGGCAAGAGCACUUCAUCUUUGUAGUGCUAGAGUUAGGUUAUCUUAUUUUAAGUUGUCGGUUUUAAUUUCAGUCUUUCUAUUGCAUAUGUAUUUUAGUCCUGCCGUUUUUUAUUUGCAAAUGUAACUUGAAUAAGAAUGCGAAAAAUAGUAACAUGUCUCUCUCAUACAUAGGUAGAAAUAUGUCUCAUACAUAGGUAGAAAUAUGUCUCAUACAUAGGUCCUACAUGCAAAUAUCAGGCACGGUGUCUGGGACGGCGUUCCGUGGGUGCCUGUGGCAUGGUCCAGCCAUACCUAUGAGGUGGCACAACGUUGCGCGGAGGAAUCACGGACCCAUCCUCACGAUACUGUGUAUCCUCCUGUGUGGGAUCUGGUGGCGGAGUAUUGAACAUCCAGCUGUGUUGGACAUAAUAGUCCUCUCCUUGAGCGUGAUCCUGGUCACUACCCCACGAGGGUUCGGACAACGACGACUGAUACCCGUAGGCUCCUGCAUGUCAGAAAGUACUUAGCAUUAGAAUUGUGUAGCAGUCAUGGUCAUGAACACAAUACAUAGAAAUAUACAUACCCUGUGGCUGGGUCUGUGGACCAAACUCAAAGUUCAUCCUGGGACUCUGCUGGUGCUGCCACACCGAACCUCCAGCCUCAAAAGAGGGGGGUUGCUGGUGCCAAUAGUUGAAAGAAGACUACGGCUGGUGCCACGACGAACCUCCAGCCUGCUCAGGAGGUGGUGGCCUGGGCGUCGACUGCUCUAGUAGACGUGGACGCGGGUGGUGUCGGAGGUGCGGUGCUUCCUGCUGACGCGGCAGCUGCUGGUGCGUGGAGGGACGAGGGGGCCGUACGGAUGCCUGGUGGUGAACGACGUCCGAAGUGCGGGUGCACGUGAUAGCCGCGUAAACAGAGCGUAGCUUCUCCUCCAUUAGUCUAAGCCAGGACUGGUGCGGCUCUCGUGGUAGUAGAAGUGGACCGGUCGAAAGCGAACGUCCAUACGCAGCGAACUCGGCCUGUAAAUCCCGUGUCAACUAAGCCUGCAAUUGGCACGAAGAGUAUUAUAUAUAUAUGGUAAAGUACGUAACAAACACAUGCAUUAUGCGAAGAGAAAAUACUUACCGCGUGCUGUCUAGAGCCUGAAGUAGACUGGCUAGGGUACAUAUCUUGCAAACUCGGCUCGGCUAUCUCCUGGGGGUGAGAGUGCUGAAUGAUGCUCAAUCGGGUAGCUGUCAUGUACCUCUGCAAAUAGCCGUUGAAUAGAUCGAGAUCAAAGGCCUCCAAUGGCCAAACCCGUGUCGUCGCAGUCUCCCACUCUGUGACGUACGACUGAACCCUCUGCAGCCACUGAGUCUGGGUCCUAGUACUUCCCUUCCUGGUAAACCUGAGAUCGCAAUAGAAAGUUGAACAAUUAAAUUAUGGACAAUUCUGGACGACAAUCAUAAAUUGUAGAACUGCACAUACCUGUGGACGAUCUGUGGAAGUGGAUCCUCCGUCGGUGGAGGAACGACCAACUGGCGUGCCCCAAACUGCCUCAUGACCCUCUGCUGAGCCAUCUCCUCCACGCUAACAUCAAAGAUGAUCUUUGAUUUUGUCAUCCAAUAAGCGUAAUCUCUCGUGCAGACCAUGGACAUCCCGCCAGGGUAUCUAUCAUCGAUGACGUCCUGUGUGUACGGCUCCCAGACAACCGCCUCAGAGUGCAACACGUCGAACUGCUCGUUGAAUGAUGGGUAGCAAUUCCUGACCUGAUCGUGUGCAAAGCGUCUCUGUAAAAAAGAAGAAGUUAGCUUCAUUCAUGGUUUAUGUAAACUAAUGUAUAAAUUUCACAUUCGACAUACCUUGUUACGUGUCCAAAUUGUCGCGAAAGUAGGCAGGUCGAUGUGUUCUAAGUCAAACAACUCCUGCUCAGGGUUAGGGUGAUCACCCGUAACGUCUGGUCGGCCGAUAGAAAACCUCUCCCACGACCAGAGCUGCAACAAUAAAGGACAUCCAAGCAGGGCUGACUUGGGCGACGCAAGCUGGCAAGCGUUGCACAUACCUCGGUAUGUAGCCGCUAAGACAGUCGAACCCCAACUACUCUGUGUGAUGUCGUCACCACAAGUUGCAUUCGCGAUCUCCACUGCAAUAGGGAUGUAGCGUGCGCUAAUGGUGGUGACGUGGUUCUCGGUGAACAUCACCUUCCCGAGAAGCCACAUUAUAUAUGCCUCAAGGCUCCGAGUGAUCUGAGGCUCAGUCAUUUGGGUCUCUGGAUACCCAAACUUCUGAAUCUGCAUGCAACAAAAACCAAGUGUUAGUAAAUCCAUGCAAGUAUAUGCGGUAUGCUCUUAGAUAUAUUAACUUAAAACACAUCGAUCUAACCUGGUAAUUGAGCAACCAAUCUAGCUUAGGUCCGUGAGCCUCCGAGGUGAGUGGCCCAGCUCCGGCAAGAAUACCUUGAAAACGUAGGGCACAAAUUAACACAUAGUUUCACAUAGAGUAGAAAUUAAAACAUAGGACACAAAUUAACACAUACUUUAAAAAUGUAGUGCCAUACCCUCCUGCCAAUCGGCUGGUGCCUGCAACGGUCCUAUGGGAUCACCCACCAAUGGUAGUCCUAGCAGCAUGGACACAUCCUGGAGAGUAGGAGCCAUCUCUCCCCAGCGAAAGUGAAACGUGUGUGUCUCGGGCCUCCAUCUAUCCACUAAGCAGCUCAGCAGCGAGUGGUCAAUUUGUAGCCGUGUAGAGUUGAAGCCUCGACGCUCGCCCUCUACCAUUUCCGCACGAGUUGCCUCAACAAGUCGUGCGAAAGGUAAAAGGCCAGCCCACUUCAAACUGCAUAAAUAAAAUGGACAGUGCAAGGGAUGAAUAAAUAAAAUGAACAUGCAAGGGAUUAAUAAAUAAAAUGGACAUAUAAGGGAUGAAUGAAUAAAUACCGCUGAAUCCAGGCAGGAUGUAUCAUCCAAUUUUCCUUAGGAGUGCGCGUGACAAGGGGCUCGACACUCCCAGGAUGCGCCACCAAUCGAGCAGCCUGAUGCUUACUCUCAAUCUCCAGAGAUAGCAAUGAUACUCUCUCCAUUUUAUACCUGCAACAUUUAUAAACAUAGUUAGACGUACAAUACAAAGUUAAGCAUAGUUAAACCGAGAGUACAUAUUAAAACACAGUUGAACAAAGCGUACAAAUGAACACAUAAUUUCACACAGAGUACAAAUUAAAACAUAGGGCACAAAUUAACACAUAGUUUCACAAAAUACAAAAUAAAACUUAGUUCCACAUAGAGUAUAAAUUAACACAUAGUUUCACAUAUAGUACAAAUUAAAACAUAGUCCACAUAGAGUACAAAUUAUAACAUAGUUCUACAUAGAGUACAAAUUAACACAUAGUUUCACAUAGAGUACAUGUUAAAGCCAUAGUCUAGUUUCUUUCUCUCCCUCGUCGUCCACGUCUCCCUCUUCCACGGGCAGUAGCUCCACCAGUACCGAAAGUUGGACAAUAAGUGUCCCUAUGGCCAAAAUGGUUGCAUAGAAAACAUUGUCGUGACAGACCUCCGGCUUCAGAUUCAUCCAUAUCAUUUUGGAUCCAUAUCAUUUCGGAUGCGCCUGGACGGGCGUCUGCCUAUGCCUGUCCGCAGUAGCCCGGGGUCAGGGAUGUACCGCCUUUCACCAAGGGUUACCUUGUUGAAAUUGCCCAUUGCACGAAACCCUAGCAUCUCACCCGUCCAUGUGCUAAGCACAGACUCUUUCAGGUAAUAGGAAGACUCAAAUGAGAUUGCGUCCAUCCCUAGCUGCCUGCAAGCAGCAAGUACAUGUGAGCAAGGAAGGUGAAGCAACUUUGGUUUGUUGCAGGUGCACUCACACGUUGGCCACGCUUCAUUUCCAAUCUUCACCUCCUGUGUCCUCAAUUCAUUUCCAAUGCCGAACUUGUCUGUUGGCAAGCGCACCUCAAACUUGUGUUCUUGAUUACCGAUGGCGACGACAGUAUGAGACCUAGCUUUUUCCAUCUUCUCAUCCAUGUACUUCAUAAUCUUUUCACAGUACGGUGUAUUUGGGUUGUUCAUGAUAUGCAUUUCAGCUCUCUGGCGUCUAUCUCUGAAAUACUUCACCGUGCCAUGGAAAAUACCCUCGACAAUGGCUAUAAGUGGUAAAGCCCUAUUUUCUCUUAGGACAAAGUUGUAUGUUUCUGCCAGGUUAGUAGUCAUGACGCCGUACCUAGCGCCAUGUGUGUCGUGCAGCAAAGACCACCGCUCCAGAGGCUCGUGCUCUAUCCACUGCUGAAAGUUUUUAAUCUGCUUCCCAACCCUUCUCCUAGUGCCAGGUGGGUCAAACCCUGGCAAGUCACAAAGCCCAACAGGUUCUUCCUCAGAUGGUCCUGUUCCAACUGCUAUCUGUGCAGCCACUGUUGCUACAUGUGCUGCUACCGCUGCGUUUCGUGCCGUUGUCCUCUCUUUAACAUGUUUCUUCGUGAACUCAUCAACAUAAUCACGUAUCCUAGUGUGCUUCCAUCGUUGGUUCUGUUUGCAGAGUUUCUUGAAUAGAUUCAUAAGUGACUUGUUCCUGAACUGCGAGAAGAAGUUGGCCCCCAAAUGCCGCAUGCACCAACGACUCUGCAUAUCCUGCCAUGGAGUCUGUUCAUCUGGCCCAGGGUUUGUUAGUGUCCUUAUCGCACUGAGUAUGCCUGCAUGUUUGUCAUGAAGGAUGCACACAUUCGGCUUAUCAUGCACAACUGCUCUCUUGAGCUGCCUGAAAAACCAUAACCAACUUUCAUUGUUCUCACUCUCCACGAAAGCAAAUGCGAGCGGAACGAUUUGAUUGUUGCCGUCUUGACCAAUGGCGGUCAAGAUCUGCCCCCUGUAUUUGCCAGUGAGAAAAGUGCCAUCUACGCAUAUCACCGUUCGACAAUGAUGGAAAGCUUGGACGCAUACACCGAAAGUGAAGAACAGUCGUUGCAGCACCCUCACAGUUGGAUACUCUGGGUGCAGGAAGUGUUGGAUGUUGACAUAGGUGCCUGGAUUACGGGCUUGCAGUGUAUGGAGGAGGCGGACAACAGAGUCGUACGAGUUAAAAAACGAACCAAAUCUUUCCUCAAGAGCCCUCUGCUUAGCCCUCCAAGCCUUGCCAUAUGAAAUGUUGUACUUAAACCUUACCCUGACCUUAUGCAUGAUGGCCUUCACUUUCAUUGCUUUGCUCUCCACUAUCUCCGUGUAAAGCAACCGAGCAAGAAACGUCGAUGAGAGUGUGUGCAACACCAAGUCACUCACAACCCAAUCUGUGUCAUACUUAGGAACAUAGCCAUGCACCCUCCCGGGACAAUCUUGUUCGCACACCAUUGUCAGAUAUUUUUUGAAGAGACUGUUGUUUUGAAAACCCUUUGCGUGGACAUUGCCCAAGCAAUUAUGACAUCCUGCAGAUGUUUCUUGUCAGGAAAUCUGGCACCCUUCGCAAUGUUGUUCAGGUGAUAUUGCCAUUCAGAGUCGUGCCCAUCGUUCACGGUCAUAGCUGAAGAGAAGUCCUGAUUCCAUGAUGUAGGAAUUGGCACCUCCUCUUCGUCCGACUCAUGAGAUUCAUCGUCAUAAGAACUACGACCAUCUGUAUCUUCAUCCUCCAUCUGGUCCCGCAAGUGACCAUAUUCUUCGUCCGCAUCUGCCUUGCCAGUGUACUCAUCCUCUCCUACUGCCCCGGAGCCCUGGCCUGAUUCAUAACCACCACCUCCAGCAUUCGACACAGAGUAUGCAUUGGACAAGUCAUGACUUGAUUCGCCCUCGCCUUCAGCUGGAUUGGUCUCAUGAGCGACAACCUGGAUUAAGACGACAGGUGUAGUUCCCCUUUUCUCGCAACUUUCUAACCAGCGCACCCACUUUGAUGUCCGGUCUAUCGGCCUCAAAACUCAGAAAAUAUUUAAACUUGACUUGCUCCACAAUGCUUGCACAAGGACGGGGUAUGUUUCAGGAUUGAGCGCUAACCAUCCUACCAACCAUUCCUGCAACUCACUAAACGUUCAUGUUGGAGGGGCCAUUAGAUCCAACUCCACAUACUUAAACUGACUCAGAUCAGUUCCGUGCUCAGUUGUUAAGACAGUACCGGAACCGUAGUAAAAAACAAACUUCACUACACCGAACAUCUCUGAUGCCUAAAAAAAUGUUUAGACGCGUCAAAUACUAAGCAGUACGGCAUAUAAAAAAUAUUAGGACCCAUCAAAUACUAAGCAGUACGGCAUAUAAAAAAUAUUAGGACGCGUCAAAUACUAAGCAGUACGGCAUAUAAAAAAUGUUUGGACGCGUCAAAUACUAAGCAGUACGGCAUAUAAAAAUAUUAGGACGCGUCAAAUACUAAGAAGUACGGCAUAUAAAUAAUAUUAGGACGCGUCAAAUACUAAGCAGUACGGCAUAUAAAAAAUAUUAGGACGCGUCAAAUACUAAGCAGUACGGCAUAUAGAAAAUAUUAGGACGCAUCAAAUACUAAGCAGUACGGCAUAUAAAAAAUAUUAGGACGCGUCAAAUACUAAGCAAUAGCCUCGAGGGUGUCCCGAUCUUUCGAUGAAGAUACCUAAUUAUCGAUUUGGUACGAGGUGACGUUGACGAUCCGACUACAACCUAGGAGGCAGCGCCUUAGCGAUCGAUACACCAACUCCAGAAGGUUAUUGAUCCCGCGGGGCACGAUCAACCUGACCACGAAGGUCUUUGUUCCUGCAAGCAAUCGAAGAACAAGCAAGAACAAGAUGAAAAGCAAUCUGAAAUUGCGAAUAGGAGAUAUGAAGGUUCACGAAUCUGAAUACUCAAUAUAGUUGGAGUCUUGAUGACGGUAAAACAGGUGGUCUAACCGACACACGCGAUUACACGAAAGUAGCAAGGCUAAACUUUAUCUAAUCAAAACCCAAGGCUCCAUGGGGGGGAUCAUGGGGUAUAAAUAGGAGGGGAACUAGGUGGUUUUCGGACAGGCCCUUGAGGGACUCCGAAACGGCCUAGGAAUCCUCCUAAAACAGAACGAAAACAUCUAAAAAUUGGCUGGACCCUAUUAUAUGGCCUUAGGCCCAAUAAAGCAAAGUUAUAACCCUCAUCUUUGGCCCAUAGAUACCCAUUGGAGGGAGAAUCCUCCACUUGGCCGAAAUCCCAUUGAUGAAGAGGAUGCGGCCUUCUUCUCAUCUCUCGUUAUGGCGGUUUCAAUGUUCUGAAAUCAUCACUUGAGCUAGCUCCCGCCACCUUGCUGCCACCUCCAUGGUUUGCUGUCCAACGCUGAUCCUUGAGGUGCAAGCUAGGUCCUUCAUUCCUAAAACACAUAAAAGAACCCAUCUUAGGCAGCAGCAUAUUCUCAUUAAUAUUAAAUGAAGUACCGAGGAACGAAAGUACCUGAUAAUUUAGUUGUCGUGCACGAGCUCUAGUAAUUGGUCCGUGUAUCUCUGGUACUUGAGGUGUAUGUGCUGUAGGGGCUGUGGUUGUAUCAUUAGUUGGGAUGUCCUCAUCAUCCUCCCCUUCUUGAAUCGAAGUCGUCCUCGACGGUAGUUCAUCUUCUUCUCCCAAAUAAGGCUUCAAAUCUGCAAUAUUAAACGUGGGACUAACCCCAAAAUUUGCAGGUAGCUCAAGUUUAUAUGCAUUAUCAUUAAUUUUUGCUAACACCUUAAAGGGACCAUCAGCUCGUGGCAUUAACUUAGACUUGCGCAAAUCAGGGAAACGAUCUUUGCGCAAAUGCAACCAAACAAGAUCUCCAGGUUCAAACACAAUUUGUUUUCUGCCCCUAUCUCCCGCAAGUUUAUACUUAGAAUUCAUGCGCUCAAUGUUCUCUUUAGUCGUCUCAUGCAUUUUUAUUAUAAGUUCUGCACGUUCCUUAGCAUGAAAGUUAACUUUUUCAGAAGUUGGCAAAGGUAACAAAUCAAUUGGUGCACGAGGCAUAAAACCAUAAACAAUUUCAAAAGGGCACAAUUUUGUGGUUGAAUGCAGUGAACGAUUAUAAGCAAAUUCAGUAUGAGGUAAACAUUCUUCCCACAUUUUCAAGUUCUUCUUUAAAACAGCCCUAAGCAUAGUAGAUAAUGUUCUAUUAACAACUUCAGUUUGUCCAUCCGUUUGGGGAUGACAUGUAGUACUAAAAAGCAGUUUAGUCCCCAACUUAGCCCAUAAACAUCUCCAAAAGUGGCUAAGAAAUUUUGUGUCACGAUCUGAAACUAUAGUAUUGGGCACACCAUGCAAGCGAACAAUUUCACGAAAGAAUAAAUCAGCAACAUUUGUAGCAUCAUCGCUCUUAUGACAAGGUAUAAAAUGUGCCAUCUUAGAAAAUCUAUCAACAACAACAAAUAUGCUAUCCCUCCCCUUCUUAGUUCGAGGCAAUCCCAAAACAAAAUCCAUUGAUAUAUCUUCCCAAGGAACAUUAGGAACAGGGAGAGGCAUAUAUAAACCAUGAGGAUUGAGUCGUGACUUAGCUUUUUGACAUGUAGUGCAGCGAGCGAUAAAUCUCUCAACAUCCCGUCUCAUCCGAGGCCAAAAGAAAUGAUCAGCGAGCACAUCUUCGGUCUUCUUCACGCCGAAGUGACCCAUCAACCCUCCUCCAUGUGCCUCCUGUAACAACAAAAGACGAACGGAGCUAUCUGGGAUGCAUAGCUUGUUAGCACGGAACACAAAUCCAUCAUUAAUGACGAACUUGUUCCAUGUUCUGCCCUCUUUACAAUGCUGCAAAACAUCCUUAAAAUCUGCAUCAUGUUCAUAUUGUUCUUUUAUAGUCUCCAAUCCAAAUAUCCGAAAAUCAAGCUGAGAUAACAAGGUAUAACGACGUGAUAACGCAUCAGCAAUAACAUUAUCUUUACCCUUCUUAUGUUUAAUAACAUACGGAAAAGACUCAAUAAAUUCAACCCAUUUAGCAUGACGACGGUUCAGCUUUGCUUGACUACGAAUAUGCUUCAAAGAUUCAUGAUCAGAAUGUAUAACAAAUUCUUUGGGCCAUAAAUAAUGUUGCCAUGUUUCUAAAGUCCGAACGAGAGCAUAUAAUUCCUUAUCAUAAGUAGAAUAAUUCAGACUAGGCCCACUCAAUUUUUCACUAAAGUAUGCAACAGGUUUUCCGUCUUGUAACAACACACCUCCUAAACCGAUUCCACUAGCAUCACACUCCAACUCAAAAGUCUUAUUAAAAUCAGGAAGUUGGAGUAAAGGAGCAUGUGUCAACUUAUCUUUCAAUAUGAGAAAAGCUUCUUCUUGUGCAGCGCCCCAUACAUAUGGAACGUCCUUCUUUGUGAGCUCAUUAAGCAGUGCAGCAAGGGUGCUGAAAUCCUUUACAAAACGGCGAUAAAACCCAGCGAGUCCAAGAAAGCUCCUCACUUGGGUGACCGUUGUUGGAGUUGGCCAGCUUUGAAUAGCGUCGAUCUUGGCCUUAUCAACUUCUAUGCCCUGUGGAGUGACAACAUAGCCAAGAAACGAAACUCGAUCGGUGCAAAAGGUGCACUUCUCAAGGUUACCAAACAAACGUGCAUCUCUCAAAGCAUCAAAAACAGCACGUAAAUGAUUCAAGUGGUCUUCUAAAGAGCUGCUGUAAAUCAAUAUAUCAUCAAAAUAAACCACCACAAAUCGUCCUAUGAAAGCACGUAAAACUUCGUUCAUUAACCGCAUUAAAGUGCUAGGUGCGUUAGUAAGACCGAAAGGCAUGACUAACCACUCAUAUAGUCCAAACUUAGUUUUAAAUGCUGUUUUCCAUUCAUCGCCUAAUUUCAUUCGAAUUUGGUGGUAACCACUACGUAAAUCAACUUUAGAGAACACGGUAGAGCCACUUAAUUCAUCUAACAUAUCAUCAAGUCUAGGAAUUGGGUGACGAUAGCGAAUAGUAAUGUUAUUAAUAGCUCUACAAUCUACACACAUACGCCAAGAACCAUCUUUCUUUGGUACCAAAAUAACAGGAACAGCACAAGGACUAAGGGAUUCACGAAGAUAACCUUUGUCGAGCAAUUCUUGAACUUGUCGUUGAAUCUCCUUCGUCUCCUCUGGAUUGGUACGGUAGGGCGCACGGUUGGGCAGCGAAGCACCAGGAAUUAAAUCAAUUUGAUGUUCAAUCCCUCGAAUAGGUGGUAAUCCUGGUGGUACGUCUUGUGGAAAGAUGUCGGAAUACUCCUGCAAAACGUGAGUAACAGCAGGGGGCAAAGAGGGAGGCAUAUCCUCAAAUGAAAACAAAGCCUCUUUGCAAAUGAAUGCAUAGCAAACAGAAUUAUUCGUAUCUAACUCAAAAAUAUCGGAUUUACUUGCAAGCAAGCAUGCACCUUUCAAUUUAAUUUCAUUAACAUGUUUCGGUUCAGAUUUGCUAGUAGACCCUUGGUGCUUAAAUUCUUUAGUGACAUUAUGGUUCUCACUCUUAUUCUUCUCUUUGCUCUUUGCUCUACUAGCUCUAGCAAGAUCAUCUUUCACAAUUUGUUCAGGAGUCAUAGGUUUCAAACCAAUUUUCUUACCAGCAUGCAUAAAAGAAUAAUGAUUAGUUCUACCAUGAUGAACAGAAUCUGUAUCAUAUUGCCAUGGACGACCGAGUAACAUAGAACAUGCUUGCAUAGGUACCACAUCACAAUCCACAAAAUCAGAAUAUGUACCAAUAGUAAAGUGUGCACGGACUGUUCUAGUUACCUUGAGCUUACCGCUGUUGUUAAACCAUUGAAUAUAGUAAGGGUGGGGGUGCGGCCUGGUGGUAAGAACAAGUUUUUCCACCAUCUCCGUGCUGGCCAAAUUAUUGCAACUUCCCCCAUCUAUGAUGAUACGAACAGCGCGCUCCUUGAUGACCCCAUUUGUUUGGAACAAGUUAUGCCGCUGAUUUUGUUCGGCAUGGCUCAUUUGGACGCUCAAGGUGCGUUGUGCAAUCAAACCCAAGUACUGAUCAGCGGCUUCAGCUCCCAUUAACUCCUCGUCAUGGUGGGCAGCGGGGUCUUCUUGCUCUUCCUCGGCAAUGAGAGCAUAGGUAGCUUCGUCAAAAUCAUUGGCUGAAUCAUAUACGCCGUCUUCACGUAUGAUCAUAAUGCGUUUGGUUGGACAGUCCCGCUGAAAAUGCCCGUAUCCUUUGCACCUACGACAUUGGUAAUCUCCGGUCCAUCCGGUGGAAGCAACGGACGCUGCUGAACUUUGUGCAGAGGCAGCGGGUGUAUUUCUUGUUGCUGCUGGUCCAACCUUUGCGGAUGUAGGUGUAGAGGUACUUUGCUUGUUGGUGGAAGGAGUCGGAACAGCCGGACGUGUAGGGGGUGCAGCUGGGCGUGUGGAAGGGGCAGCGGGGCUGCGUGCUGCCCAUGAGGAAGUACGACCUGCAGAAAAGUUAGUCCGCGCGUUCGCGUGUCGUCCCUGCACUUCCCUUUCAGCUUUGCAAGCAAUGUGAAACAAUCGAUUGAUAGAAUUAUACUCCUUAUAAUCAACAAUGUCAGCAAUUUCACGAUUUAAACCACCAAAGAAUCUAGCCAUAGCAGCUUCCUCAUUCUCAACUAAACCACAACGUAACAUCUUCUUUUGCAUUUCUUGAUAAUAAUCUUGGACAGAAUUACUACCUUGCCUUAAUUGUUGUAGUUUCUUUAACAAGUCACGCGAAUAGUAUGAAGGAACAUAUCUAGCACGCAUAAUUCUUUUCAAAUCAUCCCAUGUUGGUGGUAUAGCGUUAGGAUGUGCAAUACAAUACACAUGCCACCAAACAGAAGCAAAAUCAGUAAACUCACUAGUAGCAGCCCUAACCCUCUUAUUAGCAGGAAAAUCAUGGCAAGUAAAUUUUUGACUCAAUUCUAAUUCCCAUGUAAGGUAAGCAUCAGGGUCAUAUUUUCCAUCAAAAGGAGGAACCUUAAAUUUAAUAGAAUGCAGCAAGUCAUGUUCCUCUCUGUGAGGUCGUGUCGGUCCCAUACCUCGGCAGUUGAAACGAGUUCGGCGAUGAUCACGGUAGUUGUGAUGGUUUACGGUCCCGUCGUGUUCCGUAUCCGCGGAGUAGUCGUCGUCGUUCUCCUCAACCUCGCUUGCGAAGGUACCGUUAUUAGCGGUCCGCUGGUUGUGUGUAUUGUUUCCUCCUGAUGUAGCGAUGGUCGUUGCAGCAAUUGCCGCCAGUUACGUCGUGAUUUCUGCCAGAGAAGUACUAAUGGUAGCAACAGAAUUCUGUAAAGAUGUUAGCUUGGUAUUUGUUUCAAUGUGCGCGCUCUCCAAGGUUCCAAGUCUCUCAUUCGCAACCCGAACGUCCUCAUCCAGCUCCUCGUUACGGAGCCUAAGCUUGCGAUCAAAAUGUGAAAUAAUGCCCUUUGUGCGUGGAGAGUGGCCUUGUAAAUCAUCGUCAGAACCUGCCAUCGUUAGGAGAAAACAAGAAACAAAUCACAAGAAAAAGUCCCUAUGCACUACUAGGAUGUGGGGUUCCAAAGAUCACUCCACUCAACUUUUAAUCAAGUUUUUACUCGUUCUUACCCAGCAAACAGGAAGGUGAUGGCCAGCGGCGAGAACAAGCCCUCCGAAGAUUAGUGUAUUGAUGCCUCGAGGCAAACCAACCUAGGUGUAGAAUCUGUGGAGCUUGGAGGCUUAUGUGAGUAGCAAGGAAAAGCGAAUAAUCAAAUCAGCAAUGCAAAGUUGAAAAUAUGCUCAAAAAUGCUAGUCCUAGUUGCUGGAGUCGACAAGAACGAAUUACAGAAAUUAACUAAGCCUAGAUACUGAAAAAGGUAGAAAGGAAAGAUCAAAUGAAAGGUAAAACAAGUAAAUCUCUGGGGAAUAUUUUUUCUCUUUUUUUUUCUUUUUUUCUUGGCCUUCCGUUUGGCUUCUUAUUCUUUUCUAUUUUUUUUUCUUUUUUUUUAAUCCCCAGAAACUCACGCAAAAGAAGUUAAGACCGGAAAGCUGCACGUCGGUCUGUAGGAGAAUAGCAAAGGCUGUAGUAAGGAAAACUCAGAAAAAUAUGAGAAAACAUGGGUUAGAAGCGUAUCAAAACAAGCUUUCCAACAAGUGCAAGAUCACUCGAAACGGAGGUCGGACGGUGGAGAAAACUGAGAUAUACUGCGCUGCCCCGGUGCCGUAAAACGGGUGCAGAAACUUUGGAGCUCGAAAAGUCCACCUUAGAGGCCGAAUUUUAGGGUCAAAGUGCAGGGCAACCCCCUGGAUAUUUCCUGAUGCGCUUCGUUGUGAGCUUUCCAAAAAGUCAAAAAACUUCCAAAUCCGAGUUGGUAUGCAAAAGAUAUGUCCGUUUUACUGAACACGGGUCAAACCCACCCGAAACUAAAAUUCUACUCGGACUCGGGUCCGAAACUGACUCGAACUCUUUCUCUUUUUUUUUUCGUUUUUUUUCUUUCUUUCUUCCUUUUUUUUCUUUCCCUUCUUUUUUUUUUCACAACUUUCCGAACAACUUGAUCUCUAAACAAAAUUCGAUCUAUUAUGAAACACUUUCCAAAAGCACUCUUGAUUGGACUCGGACUCGAACUCGCUGCUGAAAACUAUAACUUCCCGACUCGAUGUAGGACUCGAAGAGGGACUCGGUGUAAGACUGGAAGAAGGACUCGGUGUAGGACUUGAAGAGGGACUCGGUGUAGGACUCGAAGAGGGACUCGGUGGAAGAUAUGGUGGCGGCAAAAGAUUAUGGCGGUGGUGUGGCAGGAAGUUUGGCGGCGGAAGAUUGAUGAAGGAAACCUGCGUCACACGAAGAACAAGAAAACCAAAAGCAAGUUCGAUCUAGUAGAAAAAAUCUGAAAAACGAUCCAAUCUAAUCCAGCAACUCGACACGAUUAAUGCAGCAAAGAUUCAACAAUGCAAAUACUAAUGUGAAAAUUGCAAGGCUCAGAUUGGUUCACUAUUAGGGUUAGGGUUUCAUUUUUCAUUUUUCUUUUCUUCUUUUGUUUUUUCUACCGAAGCCAAUCUAGUCCCUUAGAUGGCUCUGAUACCAUUGAUAGAAUACUAUGAUCAACUAGGUGUAGAUCUGCCUGGUAGAAUGCUAUUUCUGUGAUUCAACUUGGGAUUGGUAUGGAAUAGAGAGAGAGAGGGAGAAGGGGAAUGUACCUUCCCCUUGGUUGCUUGAGGCCGAGGUGGACGACAUCGUCACGACGAGGAAGAGCGACGGCGAGCGGCGAUGCAGGCGGCGGAGCUUCCCGUUACUCCUGCACGGAACCCUAGAUCGGUAGGCUUUGUUCGGUGGGGUGUGCGGCACAGCGACGAACCUUGUGUUGCGUGCCGCCGGCCCCCACCUCUUUAUAUUGCGCAGUGUAACAGGGGCCCGCCAACCAUAUUGAGUUGGGCGCCCCCGAUCAGGGCGCUGUAGAUCUAAGGGCUCGGUGGGCCAGUGGGCCCACUCGGGAGGAGAUCAUCCUAACACCUCCGUCCGACAAAAGAUGUCUCAGCUUUGACUAAAUUUGAAUGCAUCUAUACACUAAUUCAUGUCUAGAUGCAUUCAAAUUUUGACAAACUUGAGACAUCUUUUGUUGGACAAAUGGAUUAUUAGGAUUUCUAAAAACCUGGAGUUCCUAUGACAAAAAUCUCUCAGCAAAGGGACUGUAUAGUUUUUUGUACACCUCCUAUACAUAAAGUUCAUUACCGACGAACAUUACUCUCCCAAUUAAUAAAAUCUACCAUAGAUACACAGUCCAAUAACGAUUGUUUAAAGAAAAAGGGAGAAACGUGCAUGAUUUUAGUGAAAUCAAAAUCCCUUGUUGACAGCUAAAUGAAUUGCUGGCCGCAAAGGCCUACGGGGCAUCAGGGUCUCAUUGAAAAGACAGAUUAAGAAGUUCAAUGCUAAAGGGAAACAAACCGUUGAAUGUUCACAAUAUGUGUAUUUGUAACAACUUCAGAUCUCACACCAGCUGUUUAGAUAUACCAACACCACCAAUUAAUUAGUAAGCAAAUCUAGCCUCUGGAUUGCACAAAUAGCAUUGUGUUAUUGAUCAGAUCUCACAAGCAAAUCACAGUAGUAAGUAGAUUUUUAUCAUAAAGAAAGAAGAAUAAAGAGCUCUCAUGGGAGAUGGCUGCAGGUCUGGGUGAAGAUUACCUCGGAUGGGAGACAAAGACCAUCGUGUGAAUUAGUGAGCAAUGCUACCCUCUGCAGCCACGUCAUUCUGUGCCUACCCGGUGCUCGUGCAGGUGCCGGCGCCGCUGCCCAGGAGCUACGCCUGCGGCUGGGAUGAGGAACUCUGGGAGCUCAUCUGUGCCGUGUCGCAGGCCGUCGUCCUCCAAGUCGCGGGCGGCGCGCCGGCGACCAGUAGCCAGAAGACGGCGGGCCGGCUGUCAGUCGUCGUCCGUGGCGCAGAUCGACGAGGACACGCCACACGAGUUCGGCGGCGGUGAUGGGAUGUACUCCCUCCGUUCCUUGAAGAAGCAUGUUAGCUUUCAUUAAGACAUGGUUUUGACCACAAAUUUUUAUAUUAAAAUGUGGUUUAUAUGUCAUGAAACCACAGGUAUCAUGAAGUAUUUUUGAUAACGAAUCUAGCGAUACUAAUUUGAUGUCAUAUAAAACACAUUUUAAUAUAGUAAUUUGUGGUCAAAGAUUUGUCUUAAGAAAGAUAAUAUGCCAUUCUUUAAAGAACGGAGGAGUACUCUAGGAGUCGUGGCGUUGAUUGCCUGCCGGUUGAUUGAUCUGUUGUUUUGGUAAGGGAAUCGCUAUUGUUUGCCUGCCGGUCCAAAGGGUUGGAUGACGGACGAGGGACGCCGGAAGCGCGCACAUACUUAAGUGUGGCUUAAAGAGUAGUAAAGAAAUCCACAUCAUUUAUUUUAGCUUGGUAGUUAGGUGCUCGUGGGUUGCUACGAUGCAACAAUAGAUUGUAGAGACAUCAAAAUUAUUGCUGCUAAUGAAAAAACAAAUAUCAUGCCGCAUUUGCUUCUAGUUCAUGAAUACAUGCGCUGCUUCUAGUUCAUGAAUACAUGCGCUGCUUCUAGUUCAUGAAUACAUGCGCUGGGUGCAAUGGCCGUGUGAUUUUCGAUUGUAUGUCUCCAACGAGCCUCAUGCACCCUCCGGCGUUCUAUAACAUACCUCAAACCUUUUUUGAAAAACUACAACACACACCCAACUUACAAUAUAGCACCGACUUCAACUGAAAUGUCUCCAGCUUUACGCACUGAUGAUUUCCUCCUCUGGUUUGUCUUUCACUCUUCUUGAGACCUCCCCUCUUGACUGCACAUGUCCAAGCAUUUCAUCUGAACUAUAAUGUCAGUGUAUCACCUCAUGCUUCCAAAAGAAUUUUGAACCAAAGUUGUUCACAAGAUUAAACAAGUGAUAGUUCAAACCAUUUUAACACACAAUAAUAACAAACAUUAUUAUAAAUUAAAGCAUACUAAGUGGCAAUCUUCGGUUAUUAAAUAGACACAAGGAAGUUUACAAAUAUAAGCACCAUGCUUAGAUGCAAACCCCAUUUUGUUAGUUCAAGGCUUAUAGCAAGUAGGCAUAUUAGAAGAUUUUCUAUAUUCAAGCAGCCGACAGAGCUCACUAAUUUAAAGUCAUGCCCAAAUGGUACAGGACACAUAAGUACUUCUUAUUGGACUGAUCUCCAAAGAGCAUAAACAAAAAUUUCGAGGACUUCUGAACUUCUAUUUGUACACUACUAUCGAAGGCAAUGUUGCCUUGUGUGCAGUAAAUUUUGAAAUCAAAACCGCACUUCGUUAUUACCCAUGGAUCUCCCAAACCAAGUAACAGGACUAACCAUCCAUAUUGAGUUUAGGCUAGAAGCACACAUCAUCUCUUGGUUGUAGCAUGCACGUUGAUAGCCUCGAGGGUGUCCCGAUCUUUCGAUGAUAUACCUAAUUAUCGAUUUGGUAGGAGGUGACGUUGACGACCCGAUUACAACCUAGGAGACAGCGCCUUAGCGAUCGAUACACCAAGUCAAGAAGGUUAUUGAUCCCGUGGGGGCAUGAUCAACCUGACCACGAAGUUCUUUGUUCAUGCAAGCAAUCGAAGAACAAGCAAAAACAAGAUGAAAAGCAAUCUGAAAUUGCGAAUAGGAGAUAUGAAGGUUCAUGAAUCUGAAUACUCAAUAUAGUUGGAGUCUUGAUGACAGUAAAACAGGUGGUCUAACCGACAUACGCGAUUACACGAAAGUAGCAAAGGCUAAACUUUAUCUAAUCAAAACCCAAGGCUCCAUAGGGGGGCUCAUGGGGUAUAAAUAGGAGGGGAACUAGGUGGUUUUCAGCCAGGCCUUUGAGGGACUCCGAAACGGCCUAGGAAUCCUCCUAAACACCACGAAAACAUCUAAAAAUUGGCUGGACCCUAUUACAUGGCCUUAGGCCCAAUAAAGUAAGAUUAUAACUCUCAUCUUUGGCCCAUAGAUACCCAUUGGAGGGAGAAUCCUCCACUUGGCUGAAAUCCCAUUAAUGAAAAGGAUGCGACCUUCUUCUCAUCUCUCAUUAUGGCGGUUUCAAUGUUCUGAAAUCAUCACUUGAGCUAGCUCCCGUCAUCUUGCUGCCACCUCCAUGGUUUGCUGUCCAACGCUGAUCCUUGAGAUCCAAGUUAGGUCCUUCAUUCCUAAAACACAUAAAAGAACCCAUCUUAGGCAGCAACAUAUUCUCAUUAAUAUUAAAUGAAAUACCGAGGAACGAAAAUACCUGAUAAUUUAGUUGUCAUGCACGAGCUUUAGUAAUUGGUCCAUGUAUCUCCGGUACUUGAGGUGCAGGUGCUGUAGGGGCUGUGGUUGUAUCAUUAGUUGGGAUGUCCUCAUCACACGUCCAAGCUAUUUUGUGGCUACUAUAUGUAGUUAUGUACUAUCAAUUGUUUUCCGGAUGUUUAACACCUAUUCAUGUGUAACUCAUUUUUACAGUUCACCGACACACACGUAUUUAUUAUUCAAAAGGAUUUUUGCCUUCCACUAAAAUAUUGAUUAUAUACAUACAUACAUACAUAUAUAUAUAUAUAAUAUCAUCAUCAAUAUUAUCUUAACUAUGAUGCGAUAAUAUUUUGUAGGGUUGCUAAAUAUUCGCACUGUCCUGGACUGCGCGAUCUAAGUCACCAUCCGAACCCCGCCGCUGGUGGCGGCAUAUGUGUUUUAUAUUUGCUCAUUUAAUUGGCCGAUACACAUAAUUAUUUGUCGAUAUUUUAUUUUGUAUAAAAAUAUUUUACAUAUAAUUAUCAUAUUAUUUAGAAUGCGACGCUGAAAUCGGUGUCAACAUUUAUAUUAAUUGGACUGCUAACUGCUGUAUGAAUUUUCAGAGAACAGCAAACACGAUUAAGGGAACAAAAUCAUUCUGGCACUGGUCAAUAGUAUAGUAUUGAGAUAAUAACUAAAUAAGGGGAUGGUAAAACUUGUCCUGAAUUUCCUAUGAAUUUUCAGCUAAUGACAAGUCAAAUGCAGACCGCAAGGGCCGCGAUGCUCACCUGGCAUACAAGUCACAGAGCUUUGCUUUGAACUUUGAAGGCUGCAUCUUGUGUACUGAGUCCAUACCUAAGAUAAAAUAAAAGGAUACCGCCACCUUCCGUGCCGAGGAGGGCAUCACCUCCACUGCUCAAGGUUGCUGCCGUUGUCGCUGGCUGCUCGACCCGCCGCUGCCCAUUACCUGGUCUGGUUUCGGGUCGGCGCCGGAGCGCUGGAGGAGGGAUAUGGGGCGAGCGUCGCGGGUAGGAGGAGGGGCUGGAGGGUGGGGCGCGAGCAGAGGGAAGAGGGGCGGCGGCGCACACAGAGGAGGAGCAUGUGGGCGGAGGAAGGGAGACUGGAGGAGACGGGAGCGGAUCGAAGGGAGACGGGAGGAGACGAGAACAGCAAGGAGGAGAUGGGGCGGCGGCGCUGAUCUGGAGGGCUGCGGGGAGGAGCCCGGAUCGGGACACUGGAUCAGGGCGCAGGAGGAGGGAUUCUCGUAAUUGAUUUGGGGAAUCGGUGAUCUUGUGGGCCUGGAUCGGGGGAUCGCUGGAGGACGACGCACGGUCGAAGGACGUACCAGCGACCAACGCACGUAACUGCAAAUGCAAAUUAUGGAAUAGUAAAGAUAAUUGUGAGCAUCAAGAUUUGAGUCCUGGUGUGCGUUUGGUUUUCGGUUCGGUUUAUACGGUUUUUCGGUUAAUAUGGUUUGUAUAUUUUAGUUAAUACGGUUUCGUAUAAAAAUACAGUUCGGAUUCGGUUAUAACCAUUUAAUUUUGGUUUGGUUUCGAUUAUAACCAAAGUUGACGCGAAUUUUUAAAUUCUUUUUCUUGGUACUAUUUUUCAACACAAAACUACCGAAAGAUAUUGGAUGUUCGAGUGUGUAGUGUGCGUUAAGAUUACGUGUAUUAGGGGACACACAAAUAGCAAGGUGCACCGACUCUGCUGCUACUCAAUCGAAGCAAUCAAGCAAGACGCUAGACUAUGUGUAGUACUAGUCACAUCACGCAAUACCAAAUGCACCAAAUUAAGCAAGCAAAACGCUAGACCUGCAGGUGAAGCAGAUAGCAAGCUGCAUCGACACCGGCCGCGUGCUCCUGUGGGUGCAGUUUCGUCACGUUUGAAUUUUUUUUUGAGAGACGUCACGUUUGAUUGAAGUACCGGACGUCAAAAACUGUUAUGGGCCAGAAAAGCUCAGAGCAACUGUACUGGGCCAUCAUAUGGGCAAAAAUUCGCACACGGUGCUGCUCAGAGCCACAGAACGCAUGCAGGCAAGUAGCUUUAGAAUUUAGUCCCACAUCGGUUGAAGGCAGGGAGGGGCGUGGAACGUAACGUGGAGGCCGUGUUACCUCUCGUGUCUAGCCCCACCGUGUUAGCCGUUCCAUCUGGGCUUGGGAUCUGUGAAAGGCAGCUGUUUCAAAUAACGUAAACUCUAAUAAGUGAAUUAAUGUGUCCCAUCGUAGGCAUGUCAGGGCAGAGGUGCUGUAUUGAACUGACCGGCCCUGCUUUGAUCAGACAGCAUGCACGGUGCUCUCCCCUUUUGAGGCACCGAAGAGGUAAGAGAAAAAAAAGGAACGUAGUUAAGUGAAAAUAUCUUCGAGUGAAUAGGGUUCUUCCUUGCCGGGUUCCUUCUUCCUUCCUUCGGCAUCGAUGGAACCUCGAGAUGAGUCUUCUUUCGAAGUUAGGGUAGCAUUCGGUGACGACAACUUCGGAGGAGGUUCUAAUGGUGGAAACCAUGGAUCACAGUUCGCCAAAGAAUAGGUACAUUCAUAUAUGAAUGACUGCUUGGUUAAGCAUAAGAACAGAUUUCUUCAUGGCAGUUUUACUUGGUAGUAGUUAAUAUACUUGAGAAUUAUUUGUUAAAUCUUUAGGAUGCAUUUGACUUCCAAUGUACAUGUGCGUACUUGAGAAGUAUUGUAGUCCUCUUGGGUACAAUAGAAGCAGAGUGAGUUGUUAUGACUACUUGUUUAAGCGUAAGAAUAUAUUCUUUAUCUUCUCGUGGUACAAAAUAUUAGUAUGGCACGGUUUUAUGUGUAGUUUCAACAGACAGUGUUAUUUGAUAGUACCCUACUGUACUUUAGAAUGAUUUGGUACAGUCUUCGGAAGGAUAUUCAAUGCACACUGCAUUUGAUCUGUCAUGCACAUUUUCUUAGAUGAGAUGUACUGUACUACUCUUGGGUACUCAUAUAUGAAUGACUGCUUGAUUCAGCAUAAGAACAGAUUUCUUCAUGGCAGUUUUACUUGGUAGUAGUUAAUAUACUUGAGAAUUAUUUGUUAAAUCUUGAGGAUGCAUUUGAUUUGCGAUGUACAUGUGCGUACUUGAGAAGUAUUGUAGUCCUCUUGGGUACAAUAGAAGCAGAGUGAGUUGUUAUGACUACUUAUUUCAGCAUAAGAAUAUAUUCUUUCUCUUCUCGUGGUACAAAAUAUUAGUAUGAAGAUAGAGAUGGAAUGAACUGUCCUGUUAUUAAAUUGAAUACUAUGAAGUGUGCUAAGUGGAUGACUGAUUUGUAGUUAAUGCACUUCGAAAUAAUUUGGUUCAACUGUUGGAGGUGUUAUUUAACAGGCAGUUUUUAUUUGACUAUAUUAAAUGUGUUUCAAAAUUAGAUCUUUAAUGUAGAUGUACAAUAUUAAAUGUACUUCAAAAUUAUGCAUUAUUACCUACAAUGCAUUAUUACCUACAAUGUACAUUAACUUUCAUCUGUUGGAGGUAUAUUUGUAGCUUCAUGUUAGUCUGAAUGUACAAAAUGGACUGAGACGUCAUCUUAGUAAGUAGAACACUGUGAAGAAGAAAUUUAAAGAUUGUUAGUGUGAAUGUAACGGUCAGGCAUUUUGUGACUUAUGUUAAUGAGAUCUCGCAGGAAAAAGUUUGAAGGUGGUCCAGCUGCACGUAUGCCGGUACCUGGUCGAGCUGGUCCCCUUGAGAGUGCACACAGAGGGUUUGCACAGAGGACAAGUGAGAAUAUAUUAAGUGUGCAAAGUGGACUUUGUUUCGAUUGUUUACCGGAGGCUUAUGAGUACUUUAAUCUAUACUCUUGGGAAGUUGGCUUUGGUAUUCGGUACAAAAAAGCAAAUGUUACAAACGUAAAUCUGGCCCUAGAAAGGAUGUUGUCUAUCAAACAAUGCAGCGGAUUGUAUGUGGUUGUCAGGUAACUUCAUAUUUCUUGCAUACAUAGUGAAUUCAUAUCUGGUUUCCAUGUUAAGUAACUAAUGUACUUUGUACUAUAGGGUUUCCCAAAUAAGAAGAAUGCAUCCUCUAUCAGAUGUGGCUGUAAAACAAUGAUUAGGUUGCUGAGAACUAAGGACCAUGGAUGGUAUAUUACAGAUUUCAUCCUACAUCAUAAUCAUCCACUUUCGCGCAAUAACGGAGAGAAGCUCUGUUGGUCUUCACACAAACAUAUAGAUCGGUACACAAGGGAGCUUGUCCGUAAUCUUCGUGAGAAGGAUGUACCUCUAACUAAAGUUUAUAGCAUACUUGGUAACUAUUUUGGGUCCGUUGAGGACAUUCCAAACAAGCGUUCGCUUGAGAAUCUUUGCAAACAGAUAUCUAAAGAAGAAGCGAAUGAUGAUGUACGGAAAACAAUGGAUUUAUUCAUGAAGAUGAGAAACGAGGAUCCCUCGUUUUGUUUAUGAAUGGCAAAAGUAAAUUGGAUUAUCAGUACUUUGGGGAUGCAAUCACAUUUGACACCACCUAUAAAACGAAACUCUAUGGUAUGCCCUUUGGACUAUCUGUUGGUGUUAACAAUCAUUUCCAAAGCAUCAUUUUUAGUGGAGUACUGAUGAGGCAAGAAACAAUUGAAAGUUUUGAAUGGAUUUUCCGUGAAUUUACUUCCCUGGUGGGUGGCAAACCUCAUGUAACUAUACUGACAGGUAUACGGUUUACAUUUUUUGGUUUCUGUCAUUAUUCAUUAAAUUCGAUACGACACAUAAUUGAAUAUAUGAUUUAACAUAUCAAUGUAGAGCCAUGGAGGUUGCAAUCAAACGGGUCCUUAAAAGUACAACUCACAGGUGGUGCAAGUGGCAUGUUUUCAAGAUGGCAAAAGAGAGACUUGGUUCAGUGUACACCAAGAACAACAACUUUAAAGCUGAGUUUCACAAAUUAAUCAACUGCAACAUAACAGUCCCAGAAUUUGAGGCUGCAUGGAAAGAGCUCAUGGAGAAGUACGAUCUUAAGGAACAUCAUUUUCUCACUUCGAUCUAUGAGUCACGGCACCGUUGGGAAAAACCGUUUUUUAGCGGCAUAUUUUGUGCAAAGAUGACUAGUACGCAACGAAGUGAAAGUGCAAAUCAUAUGUUAAAAGGUUAUGUACCUCCUGGUGCUUCCAUGCAUUUAUUCGUCAAACAAUACAACACACUUAUUGCUGAUCUUAUAUCAAAGGAAGAUUCUGAGAACCAACGUACCAGAAUGGUACGUACAAGCUCAAUAAGUAUUUCUUUAUAAUCUUGUCAUGAAUUUCGGCUUAUAAUUAUCUUACAGGUUGGUGUUGUGCUGAAAACCAGGUGGCCUAUCGAGAAACAUGCGGCAAGUAUAUACACGAGCAAAAUGCUUGAGAUGUUCAGCGAUCAUAGUUUUGAUAGUGCAGCGUAUAAUGUGGUUGAGAUCGUGCCGAACUUAAAAUAUUAGACUGUUCAUUCUGAUGCUACCAGGAGGGAGAAGUGGUCGAAAGUUCAGUACGAGGUAACUAUUAGCGAUGACAGAGGCCUGUACACUUGUGAGUGUGGCCUUGCUGAACACAUGGGCAUGCUAUGUUGUCACUCUAUUCAGGUAUGAGCACUAUCACUUAUGUUCUAUAAUGUAUCACUUAUGUUCUCAAUAAUAGAUUUAAUGUGUGCUGACAUAGUGUAUCACUUAUGUUCUAUAAUGUACAUAUAUCAUUCUAUUCAGGUCAUGCUGAGGCUUGGAGUAGAUAAAGUACCAGAUGCACAUAUUUUGAAGAGAUGGACUAAGAAUGCAAGUGAUGUACUUCCACAUCAUUUAGCACAUCUACAAAACACACAGAGGUUCACUAAGGUCAGAGUUUUAUCGCCAUGCGUCACUCCAUGUGGCAGCCCUUUAAAUUGCUAAUAUUGGUGACAAGAACAUUGAUUGUUACCAUGAGGUGCAGAAGUAUUUGAAAGAUGGGAAGGAAAAAUUUGGUCAGAUGUACCAACACACUGAUGGCCGUAGUCUGUAGGAAAUACUUGCCAGCACGGUGGUACAUGCAGACGAAGAAGCUGAUGGUACCAUCAUUGUUCCUGGUCAGCUUCAUGGCGGUGUGAUACCACUAGUACGCAACCGUCCAGAAGGAAGACCAACUAAUACAAGGGACAAAACAUCCAACGAAUUAAAGAGGAAGAGGACGAAGUUUUGUACCGUUUGUAAGUUGACGGGACAUAACCGUUCUGCCUACAAAGCUAACCCAGAUAAGCCACAUGUGAAAAGAAGUGAUCCUAAGUGUGGGAAAUGUGGGGUACUUGGUCAUCGUAGGAAUGUUUGUGUCGGAGCACGGAACUCCGGCACCGGGGAUGUUGGACACCCCCCUUUUGGUUCGGUGGAGGGCGAGGAGAUCGCUUUGGCGAUCGCCGGCGUGACUAAAGACACGAAGUGUCGACAGCUAGAUUUACCCAGAUCCGGGCCACCUGGAGGUGUAACACCCUACAUCCUGCUUUGAGUUGUAUUCAUGAAUUAGAGUGCUUACAGAUCGCCCGGGGGCUUCCCGGGUUGGCUACUUAGGUGAAUGCUACGCUAUUUGCUAUUGACUACAAGUUGGAACCCUUUGACCGGUCGCAUUGGCCCUCCUUUUAUAGACAAGGGGAUACCACAGGUGCACAUGCAUGCAGCGUGACACGUUCCCAUCCGCGUGUCCUCGCCACAAGCUUUACAUUACUGUUGAUCCACGCUGGGCGUCAUGCAGCGCCCAGGCCACUGUACACGGUAAAUAAAAGGAAUUGUAGGGUAGCCGCUCUAGCCUUGCUGAGCAAGCCUAGUCCUGCUGAUGUGACCCCUGUUGGUGCAUUAAAUGCACUGUGUCCGCUAUCUCGUCCUGUCUUCGCUGUUCCGCGGGCCCCAUUUGCGGGCCUGGGCGUAGGUUGCGGGGAGCCCCUUCCCGGUGAGGGUGCCCAGUCCGUUGCCAGGGCAGUAUGCUUUCCACUUCCAGGGACCAGGGUUCCCGGGUACCCGCCGAAGCGGGUGUUUCUCUUGUUCUGGUUCUCAACUUUGACUUCGCCAAUGAUUGCCUCUUCAGGGGUGAGCUUCCCGGGUUUAUCCUUCCCGAGAGGCCACUUGGAGCGCAUGCGCUCCAUGCCGGGAAGGAGCCAGCUGCUGAGUCGGGGGAGGGUGACCAGGACCGGGGCUCCGCCAGGCCAGAGGACUCAGACUCCGACGAUUCCUCGAUGGGGGCGCAGGCUCCCGCCACAAAGGUGGGGCCCAGCGGACAGAGCAACAGCGUCACGCGGGCGCGUGGCGGGCGUCGGGUGCGCAGUCUCACCAGGGCGAGGAGUGAGGCGCACGACGCAUUAAAUGAGCCGACAGGAGGGGCGUUAACCAUCCAAAUCAGGUGAACAGUGGCUGUCCAAUCCUACCUUUAGGGUUUUAGACCCCUAGCAGCGGAGGUGGCGUCCAUGCACGCCACCAGCUCACCGAGGAGGAGUUACAUGUCUCCCUGAUCGACGCAUGUAAUGCAUGCACCGCGGCACCUGUGGUAUCCCCUUCAGUAUAAAAGGAGGACCCCCGCCGACGGUCAAAGGGUUCCACGGUUCCACAAUCUGACGGGUAAACGGACUCACACUUAGCCAUUAGCAGUGUCCUAAAGCAGUGAAGAGCACUUAGCCAGAAAGAGAACGCCCGGGGACCCUCCCACCGGCAACGUGUAAACACUUGAUCUAUAGUCAAUACCAGUUCAGACAGGCAGGACGUAGGGUUUUACACCUCUGGGUGGCCCGAACCUGGGUAAAAACGUGUGUGCAUGUGUUCUUAGCUUGCAUGCAUCCGGUGUACAUUACUUUGCAGGUUGCGUAGGCCCAUCAGCCACGCCGGCGAUCGCCGGAGUGAUCCCCGACGCCCCUGCCGAACCUAAAAAGCGGGCGUGACCGCACAACCCCGGUGUCGGAGCCCCGUGCGACGACAUCUGGCGCGCCAGGUAGGGGGCGCGAGAGGAGAGCUCGCCGGCGACCGCCAGCAGCGGUGUUUGCAUCGACGUCGGCUUUGUCUUCUUCGCCGACGGGACCGGCCACCAUGCCCCCCAAGCGGGCUGGUGACCCUCGGAUAGACUCGCGUGAGGCCCCAGCGGCGCACACGCGGCCGCAUGAUGUGCGACCCGCGUCGGGGGCUCAGGAGAACCCGGAGCCCUUGAGAGUGCAGCAAUCACAGCUGCCUCCUCCGCCCCCUCGGCCGUCUGCAGACAAUCGGCUGAGAGGACCAGCGGCCCCCAGCGUCGAGGCCAGCCGCGCGAGCGGGCAUGGUGUCGCCCGCACCGGCCAGCGAGUCGAGUCGCGGGCCAAGGAUAUGUAGCGACAACGGCACCAUGAGCAUCCCGCGUCACGGGUGACGCCCGGGGGCUCACACCCCGCGCACCGAGAGGCGUCCGGGGCCAGAGCGGAUAGCAGCCGCUUGGGAAAUCGGCUGCCUCCCGCACGAACCCCGGCGGAAGCCAUCAUCGCCGUGCGGGUCAUGGUGCGGUAUGAACAGCAGCAAGGCACGCCGGCGCACGAGAUGUGGGGCGAGGAGUUGGACGCGCUCCUCGCUCUGGCCGCCCAGCAGCCGCAAGGUGAGGGUGUCCCGGUAGGCUCCGGCCACGGGCAGAACCCGGAGCGCAGAGACGCGCCCCGCGCCUCGCGACAUGGGGAGAACCCUCCUCCGCAGGGAGGCCAGGGAAACGGGGCCCCGGAGGGGUCCUCGGAUCAUCAACCACCGUCACGUGGGGUGACGCGCGCGGCAUCUUGAAUGCCCACCAGCAAGAGGAUCUACAUGAGCGCUUAGAGCGCCGGCGCUCGGUACGAGAUAGAGCGCUAGCGCCCGCAGGAGCAGGAGGACGCUCCCAUGGGCCUCGAGACGGCUGCACCGCGUUCACGCGCGAGCUGCGGCGAGUGACAUGGCCCCGUAAGUUCCGAGCGCCAGCGCUCGGUACGUACGACGGGACCGUGAAUCCCAAGGAUUUCCUCCUGACUUACACGUUGGGGAUGCAUGCCAUCGGCGUCGACGACAAGGUCAGAGCCAACUGGUUCCCAAUGGUCCUGAAAGGAUCAGCGAGAACCUGGCUGCUCCACCUGCCCGCCGGGUCCAUCGCCACUUGGGCGGGCUUGCGCGAGCAGUUUGUGAGCGCAUUCCAGGGCGGCUACAAGCGCCCGGGAACCAUGGCGGAACUGCACACCAUCGUGCAGAAGCCGGGAGAGACGUUGCGGAGCUUCAUCAACCGCUUCUCCAAUCUCUCCUAUUCUAUUCCGGAGGCGGAGGCGGCUGCCAUCAUCAACACCUUCGCCAUCAACGUCCGCGACCCCAAGAUGCGCGAGAAGCUAAGCACGCAUCGGAUCCGGACGACGCAGGAUCUAUACGCCCUGGCGGACAAGUGCGUCAUGGCCGAGGAAGGGCGUCUAGCGCCUGAGCUGGCAGCCUUGGCUGCCGCGAGCCCAGGCGAGGGUUCGCAGAAGAAGGGUUCCCGCAAGCGCAGCGGGAAGCAAGUUCUCGCUGCGGACUCGGGGGCUCCUGCCGCGAGGCCUGCGAAGAAGGCCUCGCCGGGUGGCGGGUCUGGCGACAAGCAGGGUGACGCACCCCGCUGCCCCAUCCACAACAACUCCACCCACGACGCACAGGACUGCCGCAUCCUGCAGGGGAUCAAGCAGCGGCGCGAGCAGCGCCAUGAGGAGCGCCGCGCUGCUGGCGCCUGCUUCAACGGUGGCGACAUCGGGCAUCUCUCCUGAGAUCGCCCGAACGACCCCAGAGCGGGGCCGAGGCCUGCCGGCAGGGAGGAACCCCAAGGGGGACGCGGCCAGCCUCGCGCAGGACGGGAGCGCCCUCUCCGGGGACGCGACAGGGCUCGCGCUGAGGAACAGCGCAAGUCUGGUUGCAUUGGUAGCGACGAGCCGGGCUUCCAGGAGCCUCGCGGCGUCGCCUGCAUCCAUGGGGGAGCCUAUGCCCUCCCAUCCCAUGCCGCAGUGAAGUGCCUCACCCGCGACGUGUGCGCGUUGUUGCCGGACGCGGAGCCGCAACAGCCGGUGAGGUGGUCGUAUGUGCCGAUCACCUUCAGCGUUGACGAUCACCCAACGCAGCAGCUGGGUUCAGGGGUAAUACCCCUCGUCGUCUCACCGAUCAUCAGCAAUAUGACAGUGACCAAGGUACUGGUGGACAACGGAGCGGGGCUUAACCUCCUGUCCGCCAGGCUGGUGGAGAAACUCUAGUUCCCGGUGGAGCAGCUGAAGCCCACCGACCCGUUCCGGGGGGUGAACCCCGGGAUCGUGCGCCCGCUGGGGCGCAUCACGCUGCCGGUCACCUUCGGGUCCCAGGAAGUGUUCAGGACCGAACACAUAGUGUUCGACGUGGCACACCCCGUUGCCCUACAACGGGAUCCUUGGUCGGCUAGUGCUGAUCAAGUUCAUGGCGGCUACGCAUUGCGCUUAUGGCGUGAUAAAGAUGCCGUCUGUAUAUGGAGUUCUCUCCAUCAGGUGUGACCUCAAGGAGGCGGCCUGGUGCGUUGGCGAGGUCGUCAGGGCCGCCGCCGCGGCUGACGCCGGCGAUGAAGACGUUGUCGGAGACGACAGCUCACUGGGCGAUGCCCCAACAACGAAGAAGGCACGUGCUACCCCACAAGAGCUUGCCGGGGGAAGCGUAGGCUCGAGCUGCGGCAAGGGGCAGAAGCUCCGGGAGGAGGCCGCCAAGGUAAAGAAGCUACCCCUCCAAGCUGGCAACAAGGAACGCACCGUCAUCGUCGGUGCGAACCUCGCUGCCGAAUAGGAAAGCGCCCUCAUCACUUUCCUCCGGGAGAACGCCGAAGCGUUCGCUUGGGAACCAUCGGAUCUUCCCGGAGUUCCUAGGGAGGUGACGAGGAAAAAACAGCGUUCAUUACCUCGGUUGGCUGCUAUUGUUAUACAUGCAUGCCUUUCGGGUUGAAGAACGUGGGCUCCACAUUUUAGCGCACGCUGCGCGAAUGUUUGGGACCCUAGCUAGGCCGCAACGCGGAGGCCUACAUGGAUGACAUCGUCAUCAAAUCAAAGCGCGGGGACUCACUGAUUGAUGACCUGCAGGAAACGUUUGAUAACCUCCGCAAGAUCAAGCUCAAGUUGAACCCCGAGAAGUGCACCUUCGGUGUGAACUCAGGUCAGCUUUUGGGUUUCUUGGUUUCACACAGGGGGAUACAAGCCAAUCCGAGCAAGAUAGAUGCCAUCGAGAAGAUUGAGGCUCCCCGCAAGGUGAAAGAUGUCCAGCGCCUCAACGGCUGCGUUGCCGCAUUGGGACGCUUCAUCUCAAGGCUGGGCGAACGCGCCCUCCCUUUCUUCAAGGUGAUGAAGAAGAAGGGUCCUGUUGACUGGACUCCCGAGGCCGAGGCGGCGUUCCGGGAACUCAAACAGUACCUGAGGUCGCCACCCGUCCUCGUCGCCCCCAAGCCGGGUGAGCCGCUGCUACUCUACCUAGCAGCGACUGACCAGGUGGUAAGCUCGGUGCUGGUUGCCGAGAGGGAGGAAGAUGUUCCAGGGAGUGAGGCUGUGGGGCAGGGGGCUGAGCGGCCCCCAGCAACCGCCUCGGACCUAGGGAUCGGCCCCGAGUCAGCAGCUUCUGCAUCGCGUAAGCGAUUAGUGCAGCACCCGGUGUACUUCGUCAGCACGGUGCUGCACGACGUGCGAACAAGGUACCCUUAAGUACAGAAGCUCCUCUUGGGGAUUCUCCUUGCGUCUCGCAAGCUGCGCCACUACUUUCAGGCGCACCGCGUCACGGUGGUGUCGGGAUUCUGCCUUGAGCGAGCCCUCACCAACCGUGAAGCCACCGGGAGGGUGGCCGAAUGGAGGAUGGAGCUGUCGGAGUUCGACCUCCACUUCACCAACUCCAAGAGCAUCAAGAGUACGGCCUUGGCGGAUUUCGUCGCGGAGUGGACAUCGACGAGCGUGAGUGAGAAUGAGCCGGAGACCAGCCUGCCCGGCAAGCUGGACAAGGUCCACAGGGUCUUCUACUUCGAUGGGGGGUUUAGUCUCCAAGGAGCAGGCGCCGGGGUCGUCAUCGAGUCACCGACGGGGGACCAGUUGAGGUUCGCUGUCCAGCUCGAUUUCCCGAACUCCACCAAUAACACGGCGGAGCACGAGGGCUUGCUCUUUGGGUUGCGGGCGGCGAUCGCCCUCGACAUCAAGCGCCUGGUUGUUCACGGGGACUCCCAGCUCGUGAUCAACCAGGUGAACAAGGACUACGACUGCCCGCAGAUGGCGCCGUAUGUGGAAGAAGUCCGCAAGCUAGAACGUAAGUUCAAAGGUUUGCGAUUCGAGCACGUCAAGCGGAAGGAUAACUUUGCUGCGGACGAGCUGGCCAAGAUGGUAGCAGAGCGCCGGAAGCCUCCGGCGGGGGUGUUCUGCCAGAAGCAAGAGGCUCCUUCAGUCGCCCCCGAGCCGGUUGCCGGGGACGCCCCUCCGGCAACCGAAGGAACCCCCGCAGCAGCAAGGGUCCAUGCCGCUGAUAUAGCGGCAUGCGUUGGCAGGGAGAUCCCUCCCUGGGCGGCGGAAAUUGCCCGUUACUUGAAAGGGGAGGCUCUCCCGGAAGAUGACGUUGCCACGGAGCGAGUAGCAUGGCAAGCCAAAAUGUACACUGUGGUGGAUGGGAACCUCUACCGCAUGCGAGCAAACGGGUCAAGCUCAUCCGCCUGCCGCAAGUUGAAGGCCGCGCAUUGCUAAGGGAGAUACACCAAGGCACAUGUUCACACCAUGUGGCCUCCCGGGCCUUAGCCGGCAAGGCGUUUCGGCACGGUUUCUACUGGCCCACGGCCUUGGCCGACGCAGAGCGGCUGGUGAAGACGUGCGAAGCGUGCCAGUUCCACUCGAAGAAGAGCAACCAGCCGGCGCAGGCCCUACAUGUCAUCCCUUCCUCGUGGCCAUUCGCGGUCUGGGGGCUCGAUAUCGUCGGCAAGUUACCGAGAGCGGUUGGUGGGUACGAAUAUUUGUUCGUGCCCAUCGACAAGUUCUCCAAGUGGGUAGAAGUGGAACCAGUGCGGAAGGUGACCGCCCAGGUGUCGUCGCUCGGUGCUCCGACACCAGGGGCGUGCGGCCACGUCCCCCUUUUAGGUUCGGUAGGGGCGUCUGGGGCGGAGACCCGGUGGUCGCCGGCACGGCCGAUGAGGCCCUACCGGGCCGGUGAGACCAAGUGCUAAGGGUGCGCUCUAGUACAAGAACAAGUGCAUACACGUUUUUUACCCAGGUUCGGGCCACCCGGAGGUGUAAAACCCUACGUCCUGCCUGUCUGAACUGAUAUUGAUUGCGGAUGAAACAUUUACAAACCACCGGGGCAGUUCCCGGGCUUCCUCUCAAUGUCUAAGUACUCCUCACUACCCUCUGUUGGCUGUCUACUGGAACCAACUGACCCCUGAUCUAGUGAGCCAGCCGAGGGAACUUUUGAACUGAACGACUGUCCAACUGACCAACUCACUAACCUACCAACUGUCCAACUCCCUAACCAACAGAGAGCCUAGAGCCCUAACCCAAGCCGAACAGAACCGAACCCCUUGACCGCUGGCAUGGGUCCUCCUUUAAUACACAAGGGGAUGCCACAUGUGCCGCGGUGCAUGAGCUACAAGUGUCCAACGGGGAGGCAUGCAACUCCCCCCGGUGAGCUGGUGGCAUGCAUGGGUGCCACCUCCGCUGCUAGGGCCCUAAGACCCUAGGGUAGGAUUAGACAACCACUGUUCCUUGGAUCGGACGGGUAACUACCCGUUGGUCGGCUUGUUUACGGAGCCGCGCGCCUUACUCCUUGCCUUGGUGGGACCGUGCGUCCCGCGCUCGCCACGCGCCCGCAUGGCGCUGUCCACCGGGCCCCACGUGCGAGGCGGGGGCACGCGCCCGGGAACCUCCAGUCCCCGCAAGUCGACCCCGGGAAGCACCCGGGCCCAGCGCACCCGGGAACCUCCUCCCGGGAUGCAGCUUCCCGGGAGGUGCCCAAGCGGGAAUAUUCCCCGAAGCCCCGCUAGCCCCUUUCGGGCUGGUAGCUUGCCGGGGGGCUCACAGACGCUCCCCGGGAUGAGACCUUCCCGGGAACCCGGGAGAGGGGCCCACGCGACGCGCAGCGGUGGUAACCCGGGUGCCACUGGUGCGACACCAAGCGGCCAUCAAGUUCUUCAAAAGCAUUGUGUGCCGGUUUGGUGUGCCUAACGGCAUCAUCACCGACCACGGCACGCAGUUCACGAGCGCAGUGUUCCAGGCCUAUUGUGAGGGCAUGGGCACCAAGUUGCACUUCGCGUCCGUUGCUCAUCCGAGGAGGAACGGGCAGGCGGAGCGAGCCAACACAGAAGUGCUGCGAGGGCUCAAGACGAGAACCUUUGACAACCUCAAGGGCCAUGGGAAACACUGGGUUGAAGAACUCCAGCCCGUGCUGUGGUCAAUCAGGACCACACCUAGUCGGGCGACGGGCGAAACUCCUUUCGCCCUUGUCUACGGGGCAGAAGCGGUGCUGCCCCUCGAGCUCAAGCCCGGCGCCGCGGCGGUGCCAAACUUGGAUGUGAGCAUUUUCUUUCCCAGGCGCAGCGACUGUGCGGUGCAAGCUGCGGGAGGCCCGGCAACUGCACGUCCAGUGAUGCACGUUGCGGGAAGCCCGCCAACAACGGCAUGUCCAGUGAUGCACGUUGCGGGAAGCCCGCCAACGGCAUGACCCGUGCCGGAACGAUCCGGCAACGGGUUUUCGUUUCAGGGCCACGGCAGCCCCUUGCUCACAACCAAGUAUAGAAAGACACCUCUGUGCACUUAAAGCAGGAGGCAAAAGAGGGGAAAAGAGGCGAAUGAACAAGGCAAAUCCAAAGCUCGGGGGCGAAACACUUAUCUUUAUUCACGAUUAACUAGCGGUUUACACACGGGGGCUGCCCGGUUACACUAGUUCAAGAGGUAUGCAUCGGAGGCAUCACCUGAGGGUCGGACUCCGCCGCUUCACAGGUAGAACUUACGCAAGUGCUCAAUAUUCCAGCUAUUGGGCACCGGCAAGCCGUCUUCGGUUUCCAGGCGGACAGCCCCCGGCCUGGUCACCUGCACUACCCGGAAGGGCCCCUCGCAUUUCGGAGUCAACUUGUUCCCGGCCCUCGUUCCUUGUAUCCGGCGCAGGACAAGGUCCCCAUUCUCGAGCCCCCGGGGACGGACUCGCCUGUCGUGAUAACGACGGAGUCCAUGCUGGUAGCACACGGCUCGCACAGCAGCCCGGCAUCUAAACUCUUCGAUGAAGUUUAGAUCAUCGACCCUUUGCUCGUGUUGGCUGGCGUCGCCGUAUGCGCGUACUCGGGGAGAUCCGUACUUGAGCUCGAGGGGCAGCACCGCUUCUGCCCCGUAGACAAGGGCGAAAGGAGUUUCGCCUGUUGCCCAACUAGGUGUGGUCCGGAUGGACCACAGCACGGGCUGGAGUUCUUCGAUCCAGUGCUUCCCGUGGCCUUUGAGCUUGUCAAAGGUUCUCGUCUUGAGCCCCCGCAGCACCUCUGCGUUGGCUCGCUCCGCCUGUUCGUUGCUCCUCGGGUGAGCGACGGACGCGAAGUGCAGCUUAGUGCCCAUGUCUUCGCAGUAGGCUUGAAACGCCGUGCUCGUGAAUUGCGUGCCGUUAUCGGUGAUGAUGCUGUUCGGAACACCAGACCGGCACACAAUGCCCUUGAAGAACUUGAUGGCCGCCUGGGCGGUCACCUUCCGCACUGGUUCCACCUCCACCCAUUUGGAGAACUUGUCGAUGGCCACAAACAAAUAUUCGUAACCGCCAACCGCCCUUGGUAGCUUGCCGACGAUGUCGAGCCCCCAGACCGCGAACGGCCACGAGGACGGGAUGGCAUGCAGGGCCUGGGCUGGUUAGUUGCUCUUCUUUGAGUGGAACUGGCACGCCUCGCACGUCUUCACCAGCCGCUCUGCGUCGGCAAGGGCCGUGGGCCAGUAGAAGCCAUGCCGGAAAGCCUUGCCGGCUAGAGCCUGGGAGGCCACAUGGUGUGAACAUGUGCCUCGGUGUAUGUCCUCCAACAGUGCGCACCCUUCUUUCCGCGGCACGCAGAUGAGUUUGACACCAUUCGCACGCCUGCGGUAGAUGUUACCAUCUACCCCAGGGUACAUCUUGGCUUGCCGCGCUAUACGCUCCGCGGCGACGUCAUCUCCCGAGAGAGCCUCCCCUUUCAAAUAGCGGGCAAUUUCUUCCGCCCAGGGGGGAAUUCCCUGCCAACGCAUGCCGCCAUAUCAGCGGCAUGGACCCCUGCUGCUGCAGGGGUUCCUUCGGUUGCCGGAGGGGCAUCCCCGGCAGCCGGCUGGGGGGCGACUGAAGGAACCACUUGCUUCUGACAGAAUACCCCCGCCGGAGGCUUCCGGUGCUCUGCUGCCAUCUUGGCCAGCUCGUCAGCAGCGAAGUUAUCCUUCCGCUUGACGUGCUCGAAGCGCAAACCCUUGAACUUUCGUUCCAGCUUGCGGACCUCCUCCACGUAUGGCGCCAUUUGAGGGCAGUCGUAGUUCUUGUUCACCUGGUUGAUCACGAGCUGGGAAUCGCCGCGAACAACCAGGCGCUUGAUGUCGAGGGCGACCGCUGCCCGCAACCCGGCAAGCAAGCCCUCGUACUCCGCCGUGUUGUUGGUGGAGUUGGCGAAGUCGAGUUGAACAGCGAACCUCAACUGGUCCCCUGUUGGUGACUCGAUGACGACUCCGGCGCCCGCUCCCUGAAGACUGAACGCACCGUCGAAGUAGAGGACCCGGUGGUCCUCAUCCAGCUUGCCGGGAAGGCUGGUCCCAGCUCACUUUCUUCUACACCCGUGGACGUCCAUUCCGCGACGAAGUUCGCCAGGGCCGUGCUCUUAAUGCUUUUGGAGUUGGCGAAGCAGAGGUCGAACUCCGACAGCUCCAUCCUCCAUUCGGCCACCCUUCCGGUGGCUUCACCGGUUGGUGAGGGCCCGCUCAAGGCAGAACCCGGACACCACCGUGACACGGUGCGCUUGGAAGUAUUGGCGCAGCUUGCGGGACGCAAGGAGAAUCCCCAGAAGGAGCUUCUGUACUUGCGGGUACCUUGUUCGCGCGUCGCACAGCACCGUACUAACGAAGUACACCGGGCGCUGCACCGACCGCGGAAGCUUUCUGUGUUUUCAUGGAUUUCGAAAAAAAAAUUACAGCACCUCGGGCCUGGUAAGAAUCUAAUCUGCAGGAAAGAGUGGAAUCUUGCGCACUGUAAUACUCGUGGGCUGCCCACGGGUUGCCGCAUGCAGCAGCGCCUUGAGGUGCGGAACGACCGCACCCCGAGAGACUCGCCGCACUCCGAGGCUCCUGACUCGGGAGGGCGCCGCCACGUGUGCCACAGCAACUUCAAAGGAAGGGAUGCCACGGGUGCUGCGCUAAUCCGUUGCGCGCGGAGGCAAGCCCGUCCCCCGCGCCUAUAAAACGCGCGCCCCAGCCAUGGAACGGCUCAGAGCGAAGCCGAGAAAGGGGCUGUUAAGGCGGGCGGUGCCGUGGAGGCGCGAUGGGGGUGCAUACCAUCAGCGCCUAGCACCGACAGGUGCACGGCCAUCACGCCCUUGCCGCAUCGCCCCAUCGAGCCCGCUCUGAGGGGCGUCACAGAGACACGGUGGUGGUGCAUGCCAUCAGCGCUCCGCGCCGUCGGGUGCACUACCACCGUGCCCUUGCCGCUCCUCCUCAAGCGAGCGGCUCCUAGGCGAGGGCUGCCGCGGAGGCACUGGGGUGGUGCAUUCCAUCGGCGCCCGGCGCAGACGGGUGCACUACCGCAGUGCCCCUGCCGCAUCCCUCCAGAGGACACCUCUGCAAGGAGCAGGGGCUGCCGCGGAGAUACUAUGGUGGUGCAUGCCAUCGGCGCCUGCCGCCGACGGGUGCACCAUCAUAGUGUCCCUCCGCAUUCCCCUAAGAGAGCCCCACUAUAGGCGCGGUUCGUUGCGAGGAUGCUGUGAGGGCGCCGGUGCUGGCAUUCGCCGUCCGUUUCGGCCCAUCACCGCGUCCCUGCCACGGCCCUUGAGCAGUUUUGCUCCCAGGCAGCAAGGGCUGCUGCGGGAACAUCGUGGCAUCCUUGCCGCCCGCUUUCGGCGGGGGUGGCGAGGAAGCCACGAUGUCCCUGCUGCGGCCCUCAGACGGGUUUUUUCCAAGCAGCGAGGGCUGCUGUGGGGACGCCGGACGUCCUCGUCGCACGCAGUCAGCGGUAGUCCCGAGGAAGUCACGGCGUCCCUACCGCACCCCUCGGAGAAGGCUUUUCCAAGGGCAAGGGUUGCCGUGGCGUCCCUGCUGCUUCCCUUUGCCAGGCACUUUGCAGGGAUAACGAGCCAGGAGUGCGCCUCCGGUGAACGCUUCGGGCGCAAGACAGAACGAAAAGCUAAGUACUAACACCUAAAUGGCGAACCCACUAAGAACUGAACGUAAUUGAGCACUGUCUCGCCAGGUGUGGCCCCAGACCCUGCGCGUAGCUGGAGUGUUAGAAGGACACUUGCGGGGGUAGUGCGCUCCCCGUGUGGCUUCCCGGGUCUGUCCCGGAAGGGCACGGCUUGGAGUAGCUACCCCGCAAGUGGAGUGGCUCCCCGCUACCGCUUGACGCCAGGUCGGCACUGCGGGUCCGUCCCGAGUCCCUGGUCUGGUCAAGGGUGAGGCGCGCGAGUCCUCGGUAACACAAGGCAAAACACGCAAAGGCUAGGGUAGUCACCCCGCGAGGCGGCACCGGGAACAAGGAACAAGAAUUUAAGCAAAUUAAAAAGCUUGAUUGUCUAAGUGUUGAACGGUUACAUAAGCUAAUUGAAAAAUAAUUGUUCAAACGGUGCCAAGCACCACACUUGCAGGAAAAAACAAACAAAAGGAGGUACAUUGGAAAGCAGCAAGAACGGCUGGAGGCUGCGGCAACUAGUUGUUGUCGUCUUCUGCCGGGGGCUCCGGGGACGGCUCGGGCUCCGGCUUCCUCUGCAUCCGCUCGACCACUUCGUCGACGAACCCACGCACUGCUUGGGUGUGCGUGGGCUCGUCCUCGCUAUCCGAACAGGCGUCCAGCAGGGACUUGAAGGGAAACUCCGGGUGCCGGAGAUGUAUCCUUCGGAGGAUUGUCCCGGUAACCUCCCGGGCGCAGUUGGCGACCUCAUUGGUGCCGUACUGAGCGAUCCAGACGUCGAGUGCCCCAAGCUUUCCUACCAGGUCGGAGAAGAAGGGGAUCAAGGUGGAGACGUCUGUGCCGUCCACCGCCGCGGCCUGCAGCUCAAACCGGGGCAGCACGUCGCGCAGCGCCUGGGCAAUCUUUAGCAGCUUCUCGGUUUCUAAUUGCUGCUACCCGAUCAGCGUGCCGUGGUGGAGCCGGGCAUCGUGCGCGGCCUUCUUGGCCUUGCUGAGGCUGCCUUCCAGCGCCGCAAGCUCCGCGAUCUUGACCGCGACGUCGUUGCCGGCCUUGGCGAGCUCCUCCCGAACGGCGGCCAGUUCGGUCUCAAGCCUGGCCGCUCUGUCCUUGCGGAGCCAAGCUGGAUCUCGUGCCGGGCCGCUGCUCCCACCGCGUCCUCGGUGGCCUUGACCCGCACCACCAGCUUAACGCGAAGGCCCUGAAUCUCGCCACCGUAAUUAGCGGUAGGUCGCUCUUCUCGUCCAGCCGGGCCUGGGCCGCCGCGAGCACCCCGGUGUGCUCCUUCUUGGUCGCCUCGAGGGUUGCCGCCAGCGAGUCCAGCUCCCCUUGAAGCUUCGUGCGCUGAGCCUCCAGCUGCUGGUGGAGUUCGGCCUCCAGGACGACCGGUUCCUCGGCGUCCUCCAGGGCUUGCUGGGCAAGACGCGCCUCCUCCCUACCGAGGCGCGUCUCCUCGCGCAGCCGGGAGAGCUCUUGCCGUUCCCUCUCCAUGGCUUCCCGCACCUCGCCGAGUUGGCUCUUGGCAACAGCGUGGUGCUCCCUCACCUCGUUGAAAGAGGUGACGAAGGCAUGCUGUUGGUCCCUGACGGUGUCCAGGAACCGGUGCCCCCGCUCGAAGAUGCUCGGAUCCCAGGUGAUAGGAUUCCAAGCUAGCCCGGCGAGGGUGCCGAGGUCAUUGUUGGGGAGGGCAGCCGAGGACGACGAAGCCCCCGCUGCCGUUGUAGGGCUGUGCGGGGGGUCGCCCGCCUGCUCCGAGGGAUCCUGUCGUCCUUCCCCGGCAGCUUCCCCUUCACCCGCGCUCAGGGACCUCGGGGCUGGAGAAGCCUCCUUGCCCCCGGCAAGGGCCAUUACCUGCUGGGCGGCAGGUGAGUCCGCGCCAGCUGCAUCCGCAACUCCUGGCACGUCGCCAAGCCCCGUCUCGAUGGUGACGGUGGCCACCACUGCCGUUGCCGCCGGCGCGACAGGGCCUGGUGCGGGAGCUGACGCUGGAUCCUCUACUGCCCUCGUGAUCUCGACAUCAGGGUCGAAAUCAACCAUGGUUGCGUCUGCUCUCGAUACGGGCGCGUUUGGGCUUGCAGCAACAAAGAAUGUGAGGAUGGACAAGUAGAAGAGUUAUCGGAAGCGGACAAGCGUAGCCAGAGCGAUUACCUUGCAGGGCAAGUGGACUUGUGAGGGGGGGCUUCCGCCGCCUCCCCCCGUGCCGGCGGGAGCUUUGGAGAGGCCUGCCGCGGGCGAGUUGCCGCUUGCUGAAAGAGAAGGUAUGUUUGUAUGGUUAACUAACAACUAAAAAGUGCAGCAGAGGAGGAGCGAAGGAGCCGUACCAGUCGCAGGCCCCGCCCCCGUUGGGGUUGGGUCAUCGGCGGGCAUGAUGAGGGCGCCACGGGCCCCCGUGUCGGUCGGGUCGGCGGGCGGAGACACGCUCCUACCCCUCUUGCUGGUGCUCGCCGGCGAGUUGCCCUCGGGGGGUUGCGCCGGAGCGCGAUGCCCCGGAAGACCCCCCAUGCGGGCGGCACCGUAGGCACCCGCGGGGUCGCCCUGACCCGGAGUGUCGCGGGUGUCGACGGCGAAGCCCCCACGGUGUCAGGAGCCACGUCCUGAGAGUUUCCAAAUCCAUGUCGUCCUGAUGGAGGCGUGUCCUGUCCCCGGGACCCAUGUACAUCCACGCGGGCCGGGAGCGCAGUUGGAGCAGCGCGAUGCGCCGGUGGACGAAGGUACGCGCCACGUCCACAUCGGUGAGCCCUGCUAGCCGCAGCGCCUUGAUCUUCUCCACGAUGGGAAGGAGAUAGGCGUCGCGGUGGUACCUGUCUUGCCAGCCGUUGUGGGGUUGCGGCAACUCUGUGGGUGAGAAGAUGAACUCUUGGGGGUCUUCCAAUCGGACCCAGCACCAGUCGCCCCGCCACUCCUUCUCAAUCUUCUUCCCCAACCGGAUGAUGAACUCGGACUUCACCUGGUGUUGUCAAUUCGGGGGUAGAAAUAGUGGCGGAAGAGCGCCACCGACGGCAUCACCCCCACGAACACUUCGCAAAGGAAUUGGAAGGUGGCGAGGAGGAACAACGAUGUGGGGUGGAGCUGCGCCACCUACAGCUGUACGACUCCAUCAAUGCGUGGAGGAACAGCGAGAACGGCGGCACCAGCCCGGUGAGGAUGAAGCGCCCGAACAGCCGGAAGUCCUUCUCCUGGUGCUCGACGCCUGCAGGGAAGAUCAGGGUCUCCCCGUGCUCAUUGAACUUGGAGACAACGGCAUGCCGGAUCUUGUCCGGCGCCUCGCCGUUAUUGCCAGGCCGGUAGAAGGCGAGCGUGGCCCGCAUCUCCCAUUUCUUCCGGUCUUUGUCAGCGGCUGCCUUGGUUGCCGCCUCGCUCCUGCUGGCCGCCGCUUUCUUCGAAACCUGCACCUCCUUUCCGUUCCUGGUGGUGGGGGCGCCAUGGGGAACAAAGGUGGAAGCUAGCAGGAACACUUAGAUGCAAGAUGCAAAAGGAGGGUGAAAACGAAGGCUGUGGGGAAUAGAGCGCUUUCCCCUUUUGGCAGCAGUAAAAUCUUUAUAGCACCCGGCCGUUUGGUAACGGCCGGUUCCGUACCCUACGGGUGCGCGGGGAGUGGCCUUAACUUCCCUGUUUAAGGGGGAGUUUAGGGCGGAAAUCACGCACCCACUACUCCGUCUGUAACGGCGUGGCACCAGGGGCAACGGAGGGAAGCGGGCCCGAGGCGAAUCGGGGCCCACGAGUCGGUUGUGGGCGUAGCCCGGCAACCGACCUGGGGAAGGCUCGUCCGGGAACAGGUGAUGCCGGCCCAUGCCCGGGGGCUACUGUCGCACCAGUGGCACCCGGUGUACCACUGUUGCGCGACGCGUGGUCCCCGUCUCCGAGUUCCCGGGAGGAUUUCGUCCCGGGCAGCAGCCCGGCAAGCUACCAGCCAGGAAGGGCUAGUGGGACUUCGGGGAAUAUUCCCGCCUAGACACCUCCCGGGAAGCCGCUUCCCGAGAGGGGGUUCCCGGGUGUGUUUGGCCUGGGCGCUUCCCAGGGAGCGACUGGCCGGGAGGACGAGUUCCCGGGCGCAGGCUCCCGCCACAAAGGUGGGGCCCAGCGGACAGAGCAACAGCGCCACGCGGGCGCGUGGCAGGCGUCGGGUGCGCAGUCUCAGCAGGACGAGGAGUGAGGCGCACGGUGCAUUAAAUGAGCCGACAGGAGGGCCGUUACCCGUCCAAAUCAGGUGAACAGUGGCUGUCCAAUCCUACCUUUAAGGUUUUAGACCCCUAGCAGCGGAGGUGGCGUCCAUGCACGCCACCAACUCACCGAGGGGGAGUUGCAUGUCUCCCUGAUCGACACUUGUAAUGCAUGCACCGCGGCACCUGUGAUAUCCCCUUCAGUAUAAAAGGAGGAGCCCCGCCGAUGGUCAAAGGGUUCCACGGUUCCACAAUCUGACGGGUAAAUGGACUCACACUUAGCCAUUAGCAGUACCCUAAAGCAGUGAAGAGCACUUAGCCAGAAAGAGAACGCCCGGGGUCGCUCCCCCCCGCAACGUGUAAACACUUGAUCUAUAGUCAAUCCCAGUUCAGACAGGCAGGACGUAGGGUUUUACACCUCUGGGUGGCCCGAACCUGGGUAAAAACGUGUGUGCAUGUGUUCUUAGCUUGCAUACAUCCGGUGUACAUUACUUUGCAGGUUGCGUAGGCCCAUCAUCCACGCCGGUGAUCGCCGAAGCGAUCCCCGACGCCCCUGCCGAACCUAAAAAGGGGGCAUGACCGCACGCCCCCGGUGUCGGAGCCCCGUGCGACGACACCAGCACCUCGCCGGUAGCCCCGGCCAAGAAACCCCGCCCGACAUUGAGCGGCGGUGACAAGGACGCCGCAGACGUGGCGGAUAUACGGCGGCACCUGCUGCUGGGGACACACAAGUCCCCGACCCAAACCUGCUGGGCACCAACCUGGCAGCAGGUAUCCCGGAGACCGAGCACCACUCAUUCUAAUUUAUUUUCACUACUACUUCCUAACGCGGGAUCAAUGGUAGCCGGCGGGAGCAUCCGGGCAACUGGCGGGGAAGCGGCUGAUGGAGCCGCACACCAGGCCAGUGACGGGACACGGCAAGGUAUUACUUCAUUCUUUGUAAUGGUUCUUACGCCAAUCUGAAUCACUUCCUGGGCUGAAGCAAGUGUCCAUGUGCAGUCGCCGGGGAUGCUCCAACUGCACCUGCGCCCACCGAGGUGCGGGUGAUCGACCUCAUCGGCGAGGCCGUUGACGACGCUCCGGAGGAGGUUGCCUCUGCCAGAGCCCUUCAACAAACCGCCCCGGAGCUUGCCGGGGACACAACGGCCCACCGCAGGUGACACCGCGUAGAUGGAGCUGCCCACGGUGGGUAACGUGGGACAGCCUAUGCCUGUCGAGGCAAGCAGUGGCGCCUUGGAGAAGCCCCCGAGCACCCGGCCUCCUCCUUUGGGCGGACAGGGAGCUUUGGGGCUCGAACAAGUCGGAGGUGCGUCGCUGAGCCCUGACGCAGCCUCGGGGUCGCAGACGGUCGCGGCGGGGUCCUCCUCCACCGGAGCUGCCUUCAGCUUGGGAGCAGGGUAGCUCGCCCGGUGAUCAUGGGGUUGAAUCACCUUCGACCCCAGCGUGUUCCUGCAAGGACACCAGGUGAUCAACAACAUCCAGCAGUAGCAGCGGAUGUUCAUCGACUUCUUCAACGACGCGGAGCAGCACCACGCUCGCGUGGUGGCGGAGCUGGGCACCGGAAGCCGGGAGGUGGAGGAGCAGCGCGCAGAGCUGCAACGGCUCCGGGAGGAGCUCCAGCAGCCGCAGCAAGCAAGGGCAGCGCCCACCGUGCAUGGAGUUCCGGAGGCCGAGGUCCUCCGGCAACUGUAGGACCUGCAGCAAGAGCACGAGCGGGAGCUCGAGCUGCUGAAGGCUACGCAUGCCAAGGGUGAGGAAGAGCACCAGGCGGCCCUGCAUUCGUUCCAGGAGCGUCUCCGAGAGAAGUCGGACUUGCUGUCCAACUACUCCCUGGAGAUCCAGCACCUCCGGCGCGAAGUCAGAGAGCUGGAGACAGCGGCUACGACAUCAGCCGAAGCCUCGGCGCGCCGGGAGAAGGAGUUGCAGGAGCAGGCUCGCUAUGGCGCGGGCAGCUCAAGGCUGCCCAGGAGGCGGGCUCAUCCCUUCAGGGCGAGCUCAAUAUGGCGUGGCAAGAGCUUCGCUUUAUCGAUGAGGACAAUACCAUGAAAGCGUACGAGAUCGGUAGGCUGAAAUCGGAAUGCCGCGAGCACAAGCUGCAGGCCUAGGAGGCUCGUGAUGCAUGCACCGAGCUGCGGGCCCGCAGGACGGAGGAGGCAGCCAGGCUGAAGAGGCUGGCGGACUCAGCGGUGGAGGCGCUGCAAGGGCCCCGUGACUUCCUUCGACGGGGCAAACAUCGGCAGCUUCACCUCGUUCUUCGCAGAUUUCGUUGGCCGACUACACGGCCCGGAGAAGUGCGUCACGGCUUUAGGGGAUCGGCAAGUCGGCUUUGCAGCCGAGCCCGUCACCGGGCAAAUCCUCACCCAGUUCGACGCCUGGUCAGAAGAAGAAGAGGCCAAGACCCACCGGGAAGCGGUACAAGGCGUCGUGGAUGAGAUGGUGGCGCGGAUGUAGAACAAGGCUGAUGAAGCUGAAGCUGCUGACGAAGAAGCCGCCAGAGGGGGUCCCGACGUCCAGGAGGCACCUGCCGCCAAGACUGCUGCUCCAGGAGCACCUCCUACAUAGUUAUACCGCUUGUUCCUUUUUAUUUAUUUUCCUGCAAGUGGCGCGAGGCGCCUAACAACUUAUUUUGUGUUAGCCCCAAUCGUUUUAUAUGUCCAACUCACGAACUCGUUUGUUACAUCUUCGUUUUUAUCCAAUGACAAUUUACUUGCCGGGGAGGGCCUCUGUCCUUCACAUGCUAUACCUUGUGUACCCGGGGACUUGCCAACUGCGUGCCUAGCUAGACCAAGGACCCGGGACGGACCCGCAGUGCCGACCUGGGGCCAGACAGCAGCGGUCCGUCACUCCACCUGCGGGUUGACUACCCCAGCGCACACACCUCCGGGACGGACCCAUAAGCCAUGUGUGGGGAGCGUCCUCCCCCCGCAAAUGUCCUUCUUAAACUCCGGCUACACAGGAACUGAGCUCACCCCGGUUAACCAAUGCUAUCAAAGAAAGAACUAAGGACUCGAAGUGAAGUACUAAGCUUUUUGUUCUCUCAACGUUAAGCACCCAUUAGAGAGUCGCGGCAAGGACGCGGUGACAAUGCAUUCUACAGCGGUACACGUCGUGGGAUGCAUCACCACCGCGUCUUCGCUACGCCUCUCACCUCUGGUGUUUCCAUCUCUGGUGUUCUCUUCUAAGUGAUGUGGCAGGGCAGCGAUGGUGGGAUUCCCACCCUCUGCGCUUGUCGCAGAGGGAUGCACCACCAUCGCCUCUCUGUGGCAUCCCUUGCCUUCUUGCAUGUUGUUGGUAUCGCGCUUGCCCCGGUCUUUAAAUAGACGAAGCGCUGCCUUUGCCGCCACGCACGCGGAACCACCAGUGGACGCGUGGAGGCACUGGCCCUGUCUUAGUUUCCUGCAUCAAACCUUGAAGUAAUUGCCAUAUAUGCACAACUUACUCGCAAGAUGAUCACAGUGUGCCUUCGUCCCCAUCUUUAUCCUGUAUGUCAGAUUCUCACAGUGCCCAAGGUGCAUAACAAAAAAAAUUCGAAACGCACGAAAAACAGCACAAACUGGAUAACCUCCUGCCUCCCAGCCCCCGGGCACAAAAGAGUCGAUCUCAGACUUGGGUGAGAACUUUCAUACAUCCAUGGUGCCUUGCUAGCACGUAUCACAUUGCGGACGAGAACGGCAACUGCUAGGCCUCGUUCCGGGUUAACCCGGCAACGAGCUUGCUUUUCAGGGUUCCGGCAGCACCCUGCUCACAGCCAAGGAUGAGGAGACAAUUCUGUGCACCUAGAGCAGGUGACAGAAGCAAACAUUAACACUAAACACAAUAUCAAUUGAAAUAACACUUAUCUUUAUUCAUCUUUGUGCUAGACGAUUACAAUCGGGCCUUGCCCGGCUACACUAGCUUAAAGAGGCACGCUGCCGCAGCGUCAUUUGUGGGUAAGGCGCCACCGUUUCACGGAUAGAACUUGCGCAAGUGCACAGUGUUCCAACUAUUGGGCCACGACAAGCCUUUUUCGCUUUCUAGCCGGACAGCCCCCGGUCUGGUCACCAGCACUACCCGGAAAGGGCCUUCCUAGUUUGGAGUCAACUUGUUUCUGGCUUUCAUUCCUUGUAUCCUGUGCCAUGACAGCUCGCACAGGCUCCACCUCGACCCAUCUCGAGAACUUGUCGAUGGCCACGAGAAGAUAAUUAUAGCCGCCGACAGCUCUCGGCAUCUUACCGACGAUAUCCAGUUCCCAGAAUGCAAACGGCCACGAGGACGGGAUGACUUGCAGGGCUUGAGUGGGCGACUCGAUCACUACUCCAGCACCAGCACCCUGCAAGCUGAAGGUGCCGUCGAAGUACAUGACCCAGUACCCUUCAUCUAGCUUGUCGGGAAGGCUUGCUUCCGGCUCUUCUUCUUCUAUUCCCAUGGAGGUCCACUCUGCGACAAGUAGGGUACAAUGCUUCCCUGAUUGCCCCUGCGUUCUUGAGCUUCUUCACUUUGUGCUGGAUGAAGUCCUUGCGUUCCUGUGCUUGCCGGUGAACCUUUUGCUUGGCACGGCACGCGUCUGGUCGCACCACCAACCGAUGCUCGAUCACCUCCCUGGGGACUCCGGGAAGAUCCGACGGGUCCCAAGCGAACACGUCUGAAUUUCCCCGGAGGAAGGCGAUGAGGGUGCUUUCCUAUUUGUCGCUGAGACUCGCACCGAUGGAAACGGUGCGCGCCUCGUCGCCAGCUUGCAGGGGUACCUUCUUGACCUUGGCACCCCCCUCCUUCAGCUUCACACCUUUGCUGACGCGCGGGCCAGAGCUGGUACUGCCCCCGGCACCAACCCGGGGGUAGCUCGCGCCUUCUUCUGUGCGGGCUGCUCACCCGCAAGUGGAUCCUCGUUCCUGGCCACGUCGAAGUCGCCGGAAUCCGCCACUGCGGAGGUCUUCAUGACCUCACCCACGCACCAAGCAGCGUCCUUCAGGUCGCACUUGAUGGAGAGUACACCGUAUGUUGACGGCAUCUUCAUUACGCCAUAGGCGGAAUGAGUCGCCGCCUUGAACUUGAUCAGCGCUGCCCGACCAACGAUCUCCCGUUGUACGGCAACGGGGUGUGAGCCACGUCGAAGACAACGUGCUUAGUCUGGAACGCUUCCCGGGACCCGAAAGUCACAGGGAGCGUGAUUCGCCCCAUGGGAUGCACCACUCCGGGGUUAAUCCACCGGAACGGGUCGGUGGGCUUCAUCUACUCCAGGGGCAGUUGAAGCUUUUCCACCAACUUGGCGGACAGGAGGUUGAGGCUCGCUCCAUUGUCCACUAGAACCUUGGUCACCGUCACAUUCUUGAUGAUCGGUGACGCCACGAGGGGCAGAACCCCUGACCCCAAGAGACGAAUCGGAUGAUCGUCCGAGUUGAAGGUGAUCGGCACGUGCGACCACCUCAAUGGCUGUUGUGCCUCCACACUGGGGUGGAGGGUGCACACCUCACGGGUGAGCCGCUUCACGGCGGAGUGAGACGUGAGAGCGUACACUCCCCCGUGGAUGCAGGAAACAUCGCAGGGCUCCUGGCCAGCCGGACUCGUCAACAUCGUCGCUAAAGUCGUCCUUGCACUGGUCAGCGCGAGGCUUGUCGCGUCCCCGGGGAGGCCGGUCCUUGCCGCCACGGCCUUGACCGCGACCGCCCGCAGGCUCCCCCUUGUCGCCGUUGUUGGCCGCGCCGUGGCCCACUCUGUUGCGUGGGUUAUUUGAGCAGUCGCGGGAGAGGUGCCCGAUGUCCCCGCAGUUGAAGACGGCUUCGGUAGCACGACAUUCCUCAUGGCGCUGCUCCCGCUUCUCCUUGAUGGUCUGGAGAUUGCGGCAGUCCUGCGCGUCGUGGGUGGCGUUGGCGUGGAUGGGGCAGCGUGCGGCCGUUGCCAGCUUAGUACCCGAUGCACCUACCGAUGCCGCCUUCUUGGUUGGCCUCUUGGGAGCACCCGGUUCCGCAGCAAGCACUUGCUUCCUGCCGCAUUUCCGGAACCCUUCUUCCCGGAGCCCUCUGGUGGAUUUGCCGCCGCUUUGGCGGCACGCUCAGGCGCUAAGCGCCCUUCCUCGGCCAUCGCGCACUUGUGCACGAGGGCGUGCAGAUCCCUGGUAGUCUGGAUCCGGUCCGUGUUCAAUUUCUCACGCAUGUUCGGGUCACGGACGUUGAUGGCGUACGUGUUGAUGAUGGCGGCCGCUUCCGCCUCUGGGAUGGAGUAGGAGAUAAUGGAGAACCUGUUGUUCAAGUCCCGCAACGUCUCCCCCGGCUUCUGCACCACCGUGUGUAGCUCUGCCAUGGUUUCCGGGCACUUGUAGCCGCCUUGGAACGCGUUCAUGAACUGCUCCCGCAGGUCCGCCCAGGAGGCAAUGGACCCGGCGGGCAGGUUCAGCAACCAAGUUCUCGUUGAUCCUUUCAGGACCAUCGGGAACCAGUUGGCCCUGACCUUGUCGUCGGCACCGAUAGCAUCCAUGCCGAACGUGUAGGUCCGGAGGAAAUCCUGGGGAUUCACGGUCCCAUCGUACGUCCCGAGCGCUUCGACGCUCGGAACUUGCGGGGCCAUGUCACCCGGCACAGCUCGCAGGUGAAUGCGGCGCAGCCAUCAUCGGCGCCCAUGGGAGCAUCUUCCUGCUCCCCGGGACGCUGGCGCUCUCUCUCGCCCCGGCGCCGGCGCUGCAAGCGCUGUCGGAGAUCUUCCUGCUGGCGGGCGUUCAGGACGCCUCGCGCGUCACCUAGCGUGAUGGUUAGUGAUGAUUCCGAGUAAUCCUCGGGAUUCUCACCAUCUUGUCCUGCCGCGGGUGGAGGACGCUCUCCUUGUUCCGAGGCGCGGAGAGCAUCCCCACGUCCCGGGUUCUGGCCCCGACCGGAACUGACCGGGCCACUCUCACCUUGUGGUUGUUGGGCGGCGAGCGCGAGGAGCGCCUCCAGCUCCACACUCCACACGUUGUGUGCCGGGCUCGUAGCGCACCAUGACACGCGCUCUGAUAAUGGCUUCUGCCGGCGUCUGGACGGGAGGCUGCCGGUUCUCAGACCUGCUGCCGUCCCCCCGUCUCACACCUCGGUUAAGAGGGCCAAGAACCAACUAGCGUCGUACGCGACGUGCUCUGGUCGUGACGCGGCUGUUGUUGCACGUCCUCAGCCCGCGAGGGACCUCGCUGGCUGGCACGUGCGACGCUUAGGUCACCGGUGCAGCUGGCUCCGGCGCUAGGCGUCGGAGGUCCCCUCGGACGGUUGUCCGUCGACGCUCAAGGGGGUGGCGGUGUCAGCUGUGGUUGCGGCUGAUGUUGUUGACCGGGGGGGGGGGGGGCGGGGACCCCUGGUCCCCGUGACCUUGCGACGCACGCGCGGCGUCGUGGGAUCGAGUGCGCAUGGCGAGUGUGUCAUGCAAGUUGACCCAGGGCUCGUCUGCCUUCUUGGGCGGCAUGGUGAGUUGAUGAAGACGUUGUUGAUGGUGACAAAGCCAAUGAUGCCGGCGGUCACUGAAGUUUUCUACACGCCCCCGUACCUGGCACGCCAGAUGUCGGAGCACGGGACUCCGGCACCGGGGAUGGUGGACACCCCAUUUUUGGUUCGGUGGAGGGCGAGGAGAUCGCUUCGGCGAUCGCCGUCGUGACUAAAGACACGAAGUGUCGACAGCUAGAUUUACCCAGGUUCGGGCCACCCGGAGGUGUAACACACUACGUCCUGCUGUGAGUUGUAUUCACGAAUUAGAGUGCUUACAGAUCGCCCGAGGGGUUCUCGAGUUGGCUACUUAGGUGAAUGCUACGCUAUUUUCUUUUGACUAAAAGUUGGAACCCUUUGACCGGUGCCAUUGGCCCUCCUUUUAUGGACAAGGGGAUACCACAGGUGCCCAUGCAUGCAGUGUGACACGUUCCCAUCCGCGUGUCCUCGCCACAAGCUUUACAUUAUUGUUUAUCCACGCUGGGCGUCAUGCAGCGCCCAGGCCACUGUACACGGUAAAUAAAAGGAAUUGUAGGGUAGCCGCUCUAGCCUUGCUGAGCAAGACUAGCGCUGCCGAUGUGACCCCUGUCGGUGCAUUAAAUGCACUGCGUCCGAUGUCUCGUCCUGUCUUCACUGCUCCGCGGCCCCAUUUGCGGGCCCGGGCGUAAGUUGCGGGGAGCCCCUUCCCGGUGAGGGCGCCCAGUCCGUUGCCGGGGCAGUAUGCUUUCCACUUUCCGGGACCAGGGUUCCCGGGUACCCGCCGAAGUAGGUGUUUCUCUUAUUCUGGUUCUCGACUUUGACUUCGCCAAUGUGAUGAGGACAUCCCAACUAAUGAUACAACCACAGCCCCUACAGCACCUACACCUCAAGUACCAGAGAUACAUGGACCAAUUACUAGAGCUCGUGCACGACAACUAAAUUAUCAGGUACUUUUGUUCCUCAGUACUUCAUUUAAUAUUAAUGAGAAUAUUGUGCUACCUAAGAUGGGUUCUUUUAUGUGUUUUAGGAAUGAAGGACCUAGCCUGGACCUCAAGGAUCAGCGUGGACAGCAAACCAUGGAGGUGGCAGCAAGGUGGCGGGAGCUAGCUCAAGUGAUGAUUUCAAAACAUUGAAACCGCCGUAACGAGAGAUGAGAAGAAGGCGGCAUCUUCUUCAUCAAUGGGAUUUCGGCCAAGUGGAGGAUUCCCCCUCCAAUGGGUAUCUAUGGGCCAAAGAUGAGAGUUAUAACCUUGCUUUAUUGGGCCUAAGGCCAUGUAAUAGGGUCCAGCCAAUUUUUAGAUAUUUUCGUUGUGUUUUAGAAGGAUUCCUAGGCCGUUUCGGAGUCCCUCAAGGGCCUGUCCGAAAACCACCUAGUUCCUCUCCUAUUUAUACCCCAUGAGCCCCCCCAUGGAGCCUUGGGUUUUGAUUAGAUAAAGUUUAGCCUUUGCUACUUUCGUGUAAUCGUGUGUGUCGGUUAGACCACCUGUUUUACCGUCAUCAAGACUCCAACAAUAUUGAGUAUUCAGAUUCGUGAACCUUCAUAUCUCCUAUUCGCAAUUUCAGAUUGCUUUUCAUCUUGUUCUUGCUUGUUCUUCGAUUGCUUGGAGGAACAAAGACCUUCGUGGUCAGGUUGAUCGUGCCCCCGCGGGAUGAAUAACCUUCUGGAGUUGGUGUAUCGAUCGCUAAGGCGCUGCCUCCUAGGUUGUAGUCGGAUCGUCAACGUCACCUCCUACCAAAUCGAUAAUUAGGUAUCUCAUCGAAAGAUCGGGACACCCUCGAGGCUAUCACGUGGUAUCAGAGCUUAAGGUUGCUCGGUGAGAUCUUUCAAUUUAUCCCUAGUUUAGAUCUGUUUUUACCUAUCGUCCAGAAAAAGCCAAAAAUAGUUAGAUUAGUUACCUUGUCCUAGAACCAAUCCGAGCCUUGCAAUUUUCACAUUAGUUUUGCAUUGUUGAAUCUUUGCUGCAUUAAUCGUGUCGAGUUGCAGGAUUAGAUUGGAUCGUUUUUCAGAUUUUUUCUACUAGAUCGAAUUUGUUUUUGUCUUUUGAUUUCGUGUGACGCAGGCUUUCCAUCAAUCUUCUGCCGCCAAACUUCCUGCCACACCGCCGCCAUAAUCUUCCGCCGCCACCAUAUCUUCCACCGAGUCCCUCUUCGAGUCCUACACCGAGUCCCUCUUCGAGUCCUACACCGAGUCCCUCUUCGAGUCCUACAUCGAGUCGGCAAGUUAUAGUUUUCAGCCGCGAGUUCGAGUCCGAGUCCAAUCAAUAGUGCUUUUGGAAAGUGUUUCAUAAUAGAUCAAAUUUUGUUUAGAGAUCAAGUUGUUCGGAAAGUUGUGAAAAAAAAAGAAAGGAAGGAAAGAAAGAAAGAAAGAAAAAACGAAAAAAAAGAGAGAAAGAGUUCGAGUCAGUUUCGGACCCGAGUCCAAGUAGAAUUAGAGUUUCGGGUGGGUUUGACCCGUGUUCACUAAAACAGACGUAUCUUUUGCAUACGAAGUCGGAUUUGGACGUUCCAGGACUUUUCGGAAAGCUCUCGACGAGGCGCAUCCUCUAAAAUAAACGGCUCCUUGACCCUCAAAUUCGGCCUCUAAGGUGGACUUUUCGAGCUCCGAAGUUUCUGCACCCGUUUUUCGGCACCGGGGCAGCGCAGUAUAUCUCAGUUUUCUCCAUCGUCCGACCUCCGUUUCAAGUGAUCUUGCACUUGUUGGAAAGCUUCUUUUGAUACGCUUCUAACCCAUAUCUUCUCAUAUUUUUCUGAGUUUUCCUUACUACAGCCUUUGCUAUUCUCCUACAGACCGACGUGCAGCUUUCCGGUCUUAACUUCUUUUGCGUGAGUUUCUAGGGAUAAAAAAAAAUAGAAAAGAAUAAGAAGCCAAACAGAAUGCCACAAAAAGAAAAUAAAAGUGAAAAGAAAUAUUCCCCAGAGAUUUACUUGUUUUACCUUUCCUUUGAUCUUUUCUUUCUACCUUUUUCAGUAUCUAGGUUUAGUUAAUUUCUGUAAUUCGUUCUUAUCGACUCCAGCAGCUAGGACUAGCAUUUUUGAGCAUAUUUUCAACUUUGCAUUGCUGAUUUGAUUAUUCGCUUUUCCUUGAUACUCACAUAAGCCUCAAAGCUCCACAGAUUCUACACCUAGGUUGGUUUGCCUUGAGGCAUCGAUACAUUAAUCUUCGGAGGGCUUGUUCUCGCCGCUGGCCAUCACCUUCCUGUUUGCUGGGUAAGAACGAGUAAGAACUUGAUUAAAAGUUGAGUGGAGUGAUCUUUGGAACCCCACAUCCUAGUAGUGCAUAGGGACUUUUCCUUGUGAUUUGUUUCUUGUUUUCUCCUAACGAUGGCAGGUUCUUAUGAUGAUUUACAAGGCCACUCUCCACGCACAAAGGGCAUUAUUCACAUUUUGAUCGCAAGCUUAGGCUCCGUAAGGAGGAGCUGGAUGAGGACGUUCGGGUUGCGAAUGAGAGACUUGGAACCUUGGAGAGCGCGCACAUUGAAACAACUACCAAGCUAACAUCUUUACAGAAUUCUGUUGCUACCAUUAGUACUUCUCUGGCAGAAAUCACGACGCAACUAGUGGCACUUGCUGCAACGACCAUCGCUACACCCGGAGGAAACAAUACACACAACCAGCGGACCGCUAAUAGCGGUACCUUCGCAAGCGAGGUUGAGGAGAACGACGACGACUACUCCGCGGAUACGGAACACGACGGGGCCGUAAACCAUCACAACGACCGUGAUCAUCGCCGAACUCGUUUCAACCGCCGAGGUAUGGGACCGGCACGACCUCGAAGAGAGGAACAUGACUCGCUGCAUUCCAUUAAACUUAAGGUUCCUCCUUUUGAUGGAAAAUAUGACCCUGAUCCUUACCUUACAUGGGAAUUAGAAUUGAGUCAAAAAUUUACUUGCCGUGAUUUUCCUGCUAAUAAGAGGGUUAGGGCUGCUACUAGUGAGUUUACUGAUUUUGCUUCUGUUUGGUGGCAUGAGUAUUGUAUUGCACAUCCUAACGCUAUACCACCAACAUGGGAUGAUUUGAAAAGAAUUAUGCGCGCUAGAUAUGUUCCUUCAUACUAUUCGCGUGACUUGUUAAAGAAACUACAACAAUUAAGGCAAGGUAGUAAUUCUGUCCAAGAUUAUUAUCAAGAAAUGCAAAAGAACAUGUUACGUUGUAAUUUAGUUGAGAAUGAUGAAGCUGCUAUGGCUAGAUUCUUUGGUGGUUUAAAUCAUGAAAUUGCUGACAUUGUUGAUUAUAAGGAGUAUAAUUCUAUCAAUUGAUUGUUUCACAUUGCUUGCAAAGCUGAAAGGAAAGUGCAGGGACGACACGCAAACGCGCAGACUAACUUUUCUGCAGGUCGUACUUCCUCAUGGGCAGCACGCAGCCCCGCUGCCCCUUCCACACGCCCAGCUGCACCCCCUACACGUCCGGCUGUUCCGACUACUUCCACCAACAAGCAAAGUACCUCUACACCUACAUCCGCAAAGGUUGGACCAGCAGCAACAAGAAAUACACCCGCUGCCUCUGCACAAAGUUCAGCAGCGUCCGUUGCUUCCACCGGACGGACCGGAGAUAACCAAUGUCGUAGGUGCAAAGGAUACGGGCAUUUUCAGCGGGACUGUCCAACCAAACGCGUUAUGAUCAUACGUGAAGAUGGAGUAUAUGAUUCAGCCAGUGAUUUUGACGAAGCUACCUAUGCUCUCAUUGCCGAGGAAGAGCAAGAAGACCCCGCUGCCCACCAUGAUGAGGAGUUAAUGGGAGCUGAAGCCGCUGAUCAGUACUUGAGUUUGAUUGCACAACGCACCUUAAGCGUCCAAAUGAGCCACGCCGAACAAAAUCAGCGGCAUAACUUGUUCCAAACAAAAGGGGUCAUCAAGGAGCGCGUUGUUCGUAUCAUCAUAGAUGGGGGAAGUUGCAAUAAUUUGGCCAGCACGGAGAUGGUGGAAAAACUUGUUCUUACCACCAGGCCGCACCCCCACCCUUACUACAUUCAAUGGUUUAACAACAGCGGUAAGCUCAAGGUAACUAGAACAGUCCGUGCACACUUUACUAUUGGUACAUAUUCUGAUUUUGUGGAUUGUGAUGUGGUACCUAUGCAAGCAUGUUCUAUGUUACUCGGUCGUCCAUGGCAAUAUGAUACAGAUUCUGUUCAUCAUGGUAGAACUAAUCAUUAUUCUUUUAUGCAUGCUAGUAAGAAAAUUGGUUUGAAACCUAUGACUCCUGAACAAAUUGUGAAAGAUGAUCUUGCUAGAGCUAGUAGAGCAAAGAGCAAAGAGAAGGAUAAGAGUGAGAACCAGAAUGUCGCUAAAGAAUUUAAGCACCAAGCGUCUACUAGCAAAUCUAAACCGAAACAUGUUAAUGAAAUUAAAUUGAAAGGUGCAUGCUUGCUUGCAAGUAAAUCUGAUAUUUCUGAGUUAGAUACGAAUAAUUCUGUUUGCUAUGCAUUCAUUUGCAAAGAGGCUUUGUUUUCAUUUGAGGAUAUGCCUCCCUCUUUGCCCCAUGCUAUUACUCAUGUUUUGCAGGAGUAUUCCGACGUCUUUCCACAAGACGUACCACCAGGAUUACCACCUAUUCGAGGGAUUGAACAUCAAAAUGAUUUAAUUCCUCGUGCUUCGCUGCCCAACCGUGCGCCCUACCGUACCAAUCCAGAGGAGACGAAGGAGAUUCAAUGACAAGUUCAAGAAUUGCUCAACAAAGGUUAUGUCCGUGAAUCCCUUAGUCCUUGUGCUGUUCCUAUUAUUUUGGUACCAAAGAAAGAUGGUUCUUGGCGUAUGUGUGUAGAUUGUAGAGCUAUUAAUAACAUUACUAUUCGCUAUCGUCACCCAAUUCCUAGACUUGAUGAUAUGUUAGAUGAAUUAAGUGGCUCUACCGUGUUCUCUAAAGUUGAUUUACGUAGUGGUUACCACCAAAUUCGAAUGAAAUUAGGCGAUGAAUGGAAAACAGCAUUUAAAACUAAGUUUGGACUAUAUGAGUGGUUAGUCAUGCCUUUCGGUCUUACUAACGCACCUAGAACUUUCAUGCGGUUAAUGAACGAAGUUUUGCGUGCUUUCAUAGGACGAUUUGUGGUGGUUUAUUUUGACGAUAUAUUGAUUUACACCAGCUCUUUAGAAGACCACUUGAAUCAUUUACGUGCUGUUUUUGAUGCUUUGAGAGAUGCACGUUUGUUUGGUAACCUUGAGAAGUGCACCUUUUGCACUGAUCGAGUUUCGUUUCUUGGCUAUGUUGUCACUCCACAGGGCAUAGAAGUUGAUAAGGCCAAGAUCGAUGCUAUUCAAAGCUGGCCAACUCCAACAACGGUCACCCAAGUGAGGAGCUUUCUUGGACUCGCUGGGUUUUAUCGCCGCUUUGUAAAGGAUUUCAGCACCCCUGCUGCACCGCUUAAUGAGCUCACAAAGAAGGACGUUCCAUAUGUAUGGGGUCCUGCACAAGAAGAAGCUUUUCUCAUAUUGAAAGAUAAGUUGACACAUGCUCCUUUACUCCAACUUCCUGAUUUCGAUAAGACUUUUGAGUUGGAGUGUGAUGCUAGUGGAAUCGGUUUAGGAGGUGUGUUGUUAUAAGAUGGAAAACCUGCUGCAUACUUUAGUGAAAAAUUGAGUGGGCCUAGUCUGAAUUAUUCUACUUAUGAUAAGGAAUUAUAUGCUCUCGUUCGGACUUUAGAAACAUGGCAACAUUAUUUAUGACCCAAAGAAUUUGUUAUACAUUCUGAUCCUGAAUCUUUGAAGCAUAUUCGUAGUCAAGCAAAGCUGAACCGUCGUCAUGCUAAAUGGGUUGAAUUUAUUGAGUCUUUUCCAUAUGUUAUUAAACAUAAGAAGGGUAAACAUAAUGUUAUUGCUGAUGCGUUAUCACGUCGUUAUACCUUGUUAUCUCAGCUUGAUUUUCGGAUAUUUGGAUUGAAGACUAUAAAAGAACAAUAUGAACAUGAUGCAGAUUUUAAGGAUGUUUUGCAGCAUUGUAAAGAGGGCAGAACAUGGAACAAGUUCGUCAUUAAUGAUGGAUUUGUGUUCUAUGCUAACAAGCUAUGCAUCCCAGAUAGCUCCGUUCGUCUUUUGUUGUUACAAGAGGCACGUGGAGGAGGGUUGAUGGGUCACUUCGGCGUGAAGAAGACCGAAGAUGUGCUCGCUGAUCAUUUCUUUUGGCCUCGGAUGAGACGGGAUGUUGAGAGAUUUAUUGCUCGCUGCACUACAUGUCAAAAAGCUAAGUCACGACUCAAUCCUCAUGGUUUAUAUAUGCCUCUCCCUGUUCCUAAUGUUCCUUGGGAAAAUAUAUUAAUGGAUUUUGUUUUGGGAUUGCCUCGAACUAAGAAGGGGAGGGAUAGCAUAUUUAUUGUUGUUGAUAGAUUUUCUAAGAUGGCACAUUUUAUACCUUAUCAUAAGAGCGAUGAUGCUACAAAUGUUGCUGAUUUAUUCUUUUGUGAAAUUGUUCGCUUGCAUGGUGUGCCCAAUACUAUAGUUUCAGAUCGUGACACCAAAUUUCUUAGCCAAUUUUGGAGAUGUUUAUGGGCUAAGUUGGGGACUAAAUUGCUUUUUAGUACUACAUGUCAUCCCCAAACAGAUGGACAAACUGAAUUUGUUAAUAGAACAUUAUCUACUAUGCUUAGGGCUGUUUUAACGAAGAACUUGAAAAUGUGGGAAGAAUGUUUACCUCAUAUUGAAUUUGCUUAUAAUCGUUCCCUGCAUUCAACCACAAAAUUGUGCCCUUUUGAAAUUGUUUAUGGUUUUAUACCUCGUGCACCAAUUGAUUUGUUACCUUUGCCAACUUCUGAAAAAGUUAACUUUGAUGCUAAGGAACGUGCUGAACUUAUAAUAAAAUGCAUCGGUCUAGUUGUCAUGCUUCGUGUAAGUCCUGUCAUGGUUAGUAGAAAACAAGAAACAAAUCACAGUAAUAUGUUCCUAUCAACUACUAGGAUGUGGCUACAAGUCGCUCAACUCUCAAGCUAAAAAUCAAGUUCUUACGAGUUCUUACCAUGCAAAACAGGAAGGUGAUGGCCAGCGGCGUGAGCAAGCCCUCCGAAUAUUAAAUGUAUCGAUGCCUCGGUAACAAACCAACCUAGGUGUAGAAUCUGUGGAGCUUGGAGGCUUUUGUGAGUAGCAAGGAAUAGCAAAUAAUCAAAUCAGCAAUGCAAAGUUGAAAAUAUGCUCAAUAAUGCUAGUCCUAGCUGCUGGAGUCGAUAAGAACGAAUUACAGAAAUAAUCUAAGCCUAGAUACUGAAGAACGUAGGAUAGAAAGAUGGCACAACAAGUAAAUCCCUGGGAUUUUUUUUCUUUUUUUCUUUCUUUUUGUGGCCUUCUGUUUGGCUUCUUAUUCUUUUCUUCUUUUUUUCUUUUUUAACCCCAGAAACUCACGCAAAAGAAAGACCGGAAAACUGUACGUCCGUCUGUCGAAGAACAGCAAAGGCUGCAGUAAGAAAAAUUCAGAAAAAUAUGAAAAAAUAUAGGUUAGAAGGGUAUCGACGCAAGCUUUCCAGCAAGGGCAAGAUCACUCAAAACGGAUGUCGGACGGUGGAGAAAACUGAGAAACACCGGGCUGCAGCGACGCCGGAAAACGGAUGCAGAAACUUGGAAGCUCCAAAAGUCCACCUUACAAACCGAAUUUGAGGGUCAAAGUGCAGGGCAAAGCCCUGGAUAUUUCCUGAUGCGCCUCGUCGUGAGCUUUCCAAAAAGUCCCAGAACGUCCAAAUCCGAGUUGGUACGCAAAAGAUACGCCCGUUUUACUGAACACGGGUCAAACCCACCCGAAACUAAAAUUCUACUCGGACUCGGGUCCGAAACUGACUCGAACUCUUUCUCUUUUUUUUUUCGUUUUUUUUUCUUUCUUUCCUUUUUUUUUCUUUCCUUUCUUUUUUUUUGACAACUUUCCGAACAACUUGAUCUCUAAACAAAAUUCGAUCUAUUAUGAAAACUUUCCAAAAGCACUCUUGAUUGGACUCGGACUCGAACUUGCGGCUGAAAACUAUAACUUGCUGACUCAAUGUAGAACUCGAUGUAGGACACGGUUUAGGACUCGACGAGAGACUCGGUGUAGGACUCGAAGAGGGACUUGGUGUAGGACUCGAUGAGGGACUCGGUGUAGGACUCCAAGAGGGACUCGGUGUAGGACUCGAAGAGAGACUCGGUGGAAGAUAUGGUGGCGGCGGGAGAUUAUGGCGGUGGUGUGGCAGGAAGUUUGGCGGCGGAAGAUUGAUGAAGGAAACCUGCGUCACACAAAGAACAAGAAAACCAAAAGCAAGUUCGAUCUAGUAGAAAAAAUCUGAAAAAUGAUCCAAUCUAAUUCAGCAACUCGACACGAUUAAUGCAGCAAAGAUUCAACAAUGCAAAUACUAAAGUGAAAAUUACAAGGCUCAGAUUGGUUCUAGGACAAGGUAACUAAUUCUAAUUUUUGUUUGGCUUUUUCUAGACGAUAGGUAAAAACAGAUCUAAACUAGGGAUAAACUGGAAAAAUCUCACCGAGCAACCUUAAGCUCUGAUACCACUUGAUACGGGUCGGGGUGGCCCAAUCUUUCGAUGAGAUUGAUAACUCUCGAUUUGGGUAGGAGGUGACGUUGACGAUCCGACUACGGCCUAGCAGGCAGCGCCUUAGCAAUCGAUACACCAAUCGGAUUCAACUUUAAUUCGUGAUAUCUUUCUCUAACAAGCUCCGAAUCAUGUGCCGUUUGAUUUGUUGGAAAGUAGACUUGAUAGGCUUCACUUUGAAUCUCCCUUUGCAGGCUAUAACACUUCAUCUUCACUUUGGACUUGUAAAGUUCAAUAAGAUGCCUACAUAAUAAGAUUACACAAGAUAGUAGCUCCGCCUCUUUGCAAGUAACAUAUUGAAAACAUUUUGUAAUUGAAUUCACCUGAUUAUAAUUAUUAGAGACACCAACAAUUAGGGUUCUAAUGGUCGUAUCCAUGGUUAGCAUGUCCAUAUCAUAUACUAACUGCCGGAUCAUUGUUUCAGUUCAUGUGUACUGGUACAUGAAGUUCAGUUUCAUAUUAUUGAUUUCUAAUAUUGUGACAACAUAACUCAUUUAGUCCAUAACGGUUGUUUCAAGGUAUUAUUGAUUCUCAUUAAUCGGCAGCUUCUCUUUGACCCGUGACUUGUUAUUUCCAAUAAAAUAUUGGGUCCCAGAUGCGGUAACUCUAUAAUAUCUUUCACCUCCUCUUCCUUUCGAACCCCGCAGUACAUUAGGUUUCGGCGGAAGAAAAGCGAUCGUCGCUUGGUGGACUGGCCGAAGACAGAUUGGGGGGACGAAAAAUCCGCCUCAUCUUCUCCGCCAGAUUUACAUCUGUUGCUGGGCGAAGAUCAAUACCUGCGACGAGAAUCAAGGUCUCCUAAGGUAAUGUCUCUGUUUUUCUCCGUACCUUUGUGGUUAUACUCUAGUAUGCUGCUCCGCUGCGAGGUACCAGAGAUGUACUUCCUGUUUGCAGCACUCAAGAUCUGUUGUUGCAUCAGUGAUUAAAUCAAUUUCUGUUAUUUUUGUUUUCUUCAAUCUUUGAGCACCUCGACAUUUGGUUGCCGAGUUUGUGCGGAUUUGUGUGUGUUUCCAUGUUGUACCAUGAUGUACAUCUGUCUGUUGGAAUGUACUGAAUGUAGUGUCUAUCCCUGUGGACCGAUGUUUAGUUACGUAACAUCUAUAUUACUCUGGCGAAGAAACGUAGAACCAUGCUAUAUUAUAUGAAUCGGUUGCUACAUUAGUAUCUCUGCAUGACCAGAUGGUAGAAUACUUUUUUUACUUUCCAAAUAAUUUGUCUUACAGUUUUGUGCACAAUUUUAUUUCGCACUGUAUAUGCCAGUGGUGAAGGAAAAUAGUAAUUUGUUAUAUCAGAUCUGUACUUCAUUUAUUUAGGUAUAUCAGGAUUUUAAAUGUAUGACAAUAUAUAGUUCAAUUAUGUAAUGACUGGUGCUUAUAGGUUCUUAAUUUUAUUUUCAAAUGUCUUGUCUACAGAUGGUUACUUCGCCGUUGAGAGGACGUACCAGUGGGUCUGCAAGUAAAAGUGUACAAGCAGGUACAUUCUGUACUUUCAUAUUUCUAGGAAAGUACAAAUUGUAAUCAUCCGAAAUAAAGUAUGAAAAUGUUAUAUAUGGAGUGUUACGUAAUUACUUCGUGGUCACCUUAAGUUUAACUCCAAUUUUGUGUUAGAUAUGGAGUCAUCUUCAACAAUUAGAAGAGGCACAGGAGGUACUUCUACCAUGAGAGGUUGAGGUCGUGGAGGACGCAGCAUUCCACCACCUCCUCCAAAGCUGUUUUCUUCUCAGAAACCAAACAUCUUGCAUGAGGUCUUCUCAAAAUUCACCCCAUUCAAGUUACAUUUGUUGGAAGAUAUCAUUUUCCAUGGGAUGGUUGACAUUCCAAAGCAAUCAUGCAACCGGCAAUUCUCCUUUUGGACGCUCAACCAAACAAAAGCAGAUGAGGAGCCCAUUGAAUUUGAGUACUCUGACAGUACAAGAGCACCAAUUUAUCCAUCGCACGUACAACAAAUAUUAGGAGUCAAAGAUGAGGGUAAACAUAUUUGUGUACUGGAUGAAGAUGUCCCAGAAGCGAUAGAGGAAGAAGUAAGCAGGGCUUUACGCGUGAAGCAACUGAAUCUCAGCAAUGUCAUUAAUGUUGUAGAAAGUUAUAUUGAUGAACACAGGCCUAAGAAAGACCAAGACGCUUUCCAUAUUGGAGUUGUGAUUAUUUCAUUUGCAUUCAUGCUGGACUGUAGAGAACGGGAUCCCAAGAUGCAAACAUAUCUACUGCCACAUCUGAUUAAAGUUGAGAAGCUGAAAGAAGUGAACUUUGCAAAGUGUGUGCUUGAUUGUAUUGGUAUUGCUGCUAGAAAGGUUGCAGAUGUGAAGAGAAGUGGUUAUUCAACUUGCACAGUCGGUGGAUGUGCCCUCAUACCCCAGGUACUUUGAAGUAGUAUUAUGUACCUUGUAGUACAUUUUUACAUCAAGUAUAACCGUCAAAUUCAUUUUCUACAUUUUUGGCAGGCCUGAUGAUAAUCUUUUAAAAUGUUGUACAGCAUGUAUUGACUGUGUUACUUUUGAUGUACAGAUUUUUAAUUUAGACUCAGUAGAUUUUGGGGUAUACAAUGCGCCAAACAAUGUAUUUCCCCGGAUCAAGUGCUAUGGAAAGGAGAAAUUAGAUUCUCUCGUAAAUUUGGAUAGGAAUCCACAUAGUAGAAAUCUUAGCCAGUGGUAUGGUAAUCAUAAGGUAACUGUUGUACCAUAUUUCCGUUUAUAUUUAUUUUGUACACAUCUUUGUUCUCACCUGUCAAUUAAAUUUUAUAGAGGCAUGAUCAGGUUAAGGUUGAGCACAUAGGCCUAGGUCAAGCAACAGGAUCUAGAAGGACUAAGAACAAGAAGUAUAGAAAUGACAUGCAAUCUAGGAAACAAGCCCGUUUCAGUAAGAUUUUGAAAAUUGUUGAAGAUCAUCAGAAUAGAGAUGUGUUCCUUCUGGAAGAUUUGAGAAAACAGAUUCAAAAGCGGAAGAACUUUCUUCUCCAUCUGAUAGCAAAUCAUAUGGAAAAUGAGAGCUCUAACCAGAGGAACAUACGACAAGUGAUGUACAUGGGAUGGAAGGUACGUACAGAACUGUUUCCCAACUUUUUUAUUAGUUCAUAUGUGUGAUUCACAAGAACUCAAUGCAUAUAUUAUAUUUUUGACAGGUCAGCACGGUCAACAUCAGUCGGUUAAUGAAGAUGCGUUGUUAGGUUAUUUUAGUUACCGAAAAAAUGUUUUUGUAUUCAAUGAAGUGUGGUACCUAAAAUAAUAAUUGCUUCAUACAUUUGUUUAGGUAGUCCAUCUUUUAGAAUGCCGAGUCAUGUACCCCGAAGUCCUGCUGUCUGGCAAAGGGAAAAAGAAGUUGCAAACAACUGUUCUGAAGGUACUAAUUAUAUGUGUGUGUGUAUGUUCCUUACUUAUGUUUAAUUUGGUAUUAGAAAUAAAUUUGCUACUGAUUAUAUGAGUGUUAAUGUUUGAACAGUACCAGUGUCACAACACGACGACAAUGUUCGUGAGGACAGCAACAUGAGUCAGGUAGGAGAUAAACGAGGAUCAGAAGGUAAUUCCUGCUGCGAAGUAUAUGAUAUGCGUCAACUUGUUUGAUGUGGGUCGGGGUGGCCCGAUCUUUCGAUGAGAUUGAUAACUCUCGAUUUGGGUAGGAGGUGACGUUGACGAUCCAACUACGGCCUAGGAGGCAGCACCUUAGCAAUCGAUACACCAACUCCAGAGGGUUAUUGAUCACGCGGGGGCACGAUCAACCUGACCACGAAGGUCUUUGUUCCUGCAAGCAAUCAAAGAACAAGCAAGAAUAAGAUAAAUAGCGGAUGCAAUCUAAAAUUGCGAGUAUACUAUAUCAAACCAAUGUCUCAACGAGACGAUAAGUUGGGGUUCCGAAAGCGGUAAGACAGGUGGUCUAACCGACACACGCGAUUACACGAAGUAGUAGCGAUGGCUAACUUUUAACUAAACAAAACCCCAGGCUCCUUAGGGGGGCUCAUGGGGUAUAUAAAGGAGGAGGGAGAGAUAUUUUCGUCCACCUUGAGUAAGGAGGCCGAAAUUCAACUCUAUCUCUAACUUUCCUAACAAACUACAACUCUUUAGGAAACAGAAAAACAGAUCCGUCAGCUUGUUUUGUCCGUCACGGUCAGCACGAGUCGAAUAUCUUGAUGGGACUAGAUCCAUUGGAAAGUUCUUGUAAUUACCUUUCCAACAAGUAUUUGUUUGCUUGAUUUGGACUCCAGAUGCGGCCUGGGUGAUUAAAACAAAUUCAGGUCUUCUGACAGCUCGGACCCGAAUCGGAUUCAACUUUAAUUCGUGAUAUCUUUCUCUAGCAAGCUCCGAAUCAUAUGCCGUUUGAUUUGUUGGAAAGUACACUUGAAAUCCUUCCUUCUCAGCUGUAUGGAUGCUUGAUUCUUGUUGGCCCUCCCGUUCGCCUCCAUCGUGUCUCAUCUUGACCUUGGACUUGAAAAGCUCGACAAGAUGCCUACAUAAUAAAACGAGACAGAAUAGUAGUAGCUCCGCCUCUUCAUAAAUAUGAAAAUGAAAACAAUUACUACUUAAAUUCACCUGAUUAUAAAUCUUGUCAAAUAUUAUAGAAUUGAGGGUACCAAAAGUCGUAUCCAUGGUUAGCAUGUCCAUAUCAUUGUUCUUCUUUGUGUUCAAAUGAACAAUUUAUGUUUUCUGUAGGUGCAAUGAAUUCAGGCAGCUCUAAAAGGUCCUUUAAUUUCCGAGCAUUGUCUUCUAUUCAAUUAUUUUAUAGUUAGGUAAGUUAUGUACAUUAUUUUGGAUGAUAUGCAGGUGUAAACUGUAUGGGAAGGAAGGUGACGUAGCAGUAAAUUUUGUCAACACUCGGGCCGAAGGUUAGUCUGUUAAGAAAAGGACAUGUACUUGAAGGUACAUAAUACUAAUUGGGUUGUACAUUAUUCUUGCAGGAGCUGAAGGACCUUCUCUUCUUCUAGAGAUGGACCAAAGAGACAAUAGAAUUCAUGAAACAACAGGUUCCUAAUUUGGAAUUUCAGGUAAUUUCAUUUUGACUUGACGUAAAAAAAUAUCUGACUGUUGUUGAAUUGUAUUUUGCAGUUGCAGAUGAAGUACCUCAGCAGGUAAAAUUUAGAUUUACACAAUGAAAUAUAUAUUAUUGUUAUAAAAUAAAUUGGGUUGCUCAAUGACUCAUGGGUUGCACCUCCAAGGAGUGCACCUCAAGCUGGAUUUAAGCGACCAAAAAAGAGACUCGCUGGGAGGUAAGUUUCAUAUAUGUUGGUCCACUUACUUCCUUAUCGUUACAUCUACCUUAGAACUUAGUGUAUUAUAUUUUAGGUUUAGACGGACGCCACUAGUGGUGGAGGAGACGAACAAACAAGUACAUGGUGGUACGGAUGUGGUUGGAUCAGCUUCCAACAAUGAUGUUCCAGUUGAAUCAAGUGAGUAGUAACUGUACAUGAUUACGUGCGUAUAUGUUGGAUUAAAUAGAAUUAUUUUUGACAUAAUAUUCAUUUUCAUUAGAUAAUCUGGAUUGCAGCAAGGAUGAACGCAAUUCAGGUACAAUUGAAAGUACCGUAGCGCUACAAUGAUAUUCCUGUACAAUGCAAGUACCAUGUACCUGAACUAUGUUUUCAUAAUUGAAAUAUAGGUGACAGUGGAAAUGAAGAUGAAAUAAUAAAGGAGGUGUUUGUAGAUAUUCAGAGUUGUGAAUAUACCAUUCCUGAAGGAGAUGAACCUUAUUCCGAAGGUACAUUCUUUGUUGAAACAAAAAUUGUGUAUGGAUAUGAACAAAUGUGUUAAACUUGUUCCUGCAGGACUAGCUAGCGAAGUACCUCGGAAAAUGAGUCAUCGAUGAGAGGUAUUUGUCCUAUCCUGCCAUUUGGUUAUGGUGACAUGUAAUACUUAAUGUAGUCUGGGUUAUUUAUAUAAUUCGAUUGUACAGGAGAUGUAGGUGACGAAAUAUUGGAUGUCAGGCAGGGUGUGACUGCAGGUUCAGAGAGUACACAUUAUGGCAAUCUGAUUGACCUAGUUAAUAGUUUUUUGAUGACACCAACGAAGGAGCACAAUGUGGCAGGUAAUUCUGUUUUUCAAGGUAAUUUCAAAAUUAAUUUGCAAUUUCUGAUGUUGUGCGUGAACAUUUUUUCCUUCUAUGCAGAUGAGGUGAGCAGGAUGGAUGGCGUAGAUGGUACUGAACUUCCUCUAUUCGACGGGACUCCCCAAUGUGAGUUCUUGUUUUCCCAAGUACUUUCAUGGAUGACUAAUACCUAUGUUCUGUACAAUUAAUAUUUGAAUUUUACAGGUCACAACAUAGAUGCAAUGGAUUACGCUGAGAACACGACCGAUAAGAAAACCACACAGGGAGAUGCUGAUGGAUCUAUGGAAGAGAAUGCUGGAUCAGGUUAGAAGAGACGGAAUAUAUAUGAUGUUAUAUGGUUUCAAUCUGUAUCCAUAUGUCUGACAAUUUGUUUUAUGGUACAUCUGGGCUGCAGAUGGUUCAGUGGAUAUGAAAGUGUACAAAAGAAGAAUCACGGGUAACCGAACUUUGGUCAAGAUGAUGCAAGAUGAAGCUUUGAAGGGAUCGGUUGUCAGCAAUGAAGAACCAAAGACUUUGUAGGACCUGCAAGGCCUCGAUAAGAAUAUUUAUGUUAACUGUGUGCUUAAGUAUGGGUGAAAACUUGUGUUGUAUUUAAGUACUUGAUGCUGGUGUGCGUGAAAACGUUGUUUUGCAAAAUGGACUACUCUGUUAUGCAGACAAGGGGUCAGCUGGUCGUACUUUAUGUUACAUAUGUCAUGCCAACUUUCUACUAAUGUGGUCAUGAGGUCCGUCUAAUUAGGUAUUUUUUGUACUCGUUGUUACAUCAAUUGUCAGAUUUGUCAUGCCGACUUAUGAUUCCUCGCUGAGUAUGAAAUGUGUGGCCGUCUGAUUAUGUACAUAUUGUUACACUGUUGAACAACUUUUCUGCAUUCACAACAAAGAAUUAUAGUUAAUGACCGAUCAGAUUAGUACAUUGUACAAAAAUGUGUGUUGCAUCCUUCAAUAACAUUUGUGCAUUGACAAGAAACAAAGUACUCAUGGUACCAAAAUGGAAUAAGUUAUGUACCCGCUUGACCCAUCAGAUUAGUACAUUGUACAAAAAUGUGUGUUGCAUCCUUCAAUAACAUUUGUGCAUUGGGAAAAAACAAAGUACUCAUGGUACUGGGGUGGAAUAAGUAAUGUAGACGCUAUUAGUUAUACAGAAUAAUUGACGAACAUUUAUAUUGUUUGGUCGUACAAGUUCGCACAUAGUGCUCCUUACUUGAGUGGGUCCUAUCCAUUCGAAAAAACUGUUUUGGGGGGAAACCGAAAAUAUAGACAACAUUAUCUCUCCUUUGAAUUUGAAUAGGUGGGAGGGUAAACAACAUCCUUAUAUAUAUAGUACUGUGUCUGUUGUGUCACUUUAUCUCCUCUCAUUUGCACUGAAAAAGCUGGCCUCUUCCAUUACCUCCCAUGUCAUCUCAAGAAUUAUUUCUUCUUAGUGCUUCUUCAUCAUCCUCUGUCAAUGGACGUUCCCCUGCUCAUUCGGAGGUACAUCUUUCCAUUUCCACUCGUGAUAUCAGUUUCCUGCUCACAUUUCGCUUCUAGGUUAUUUCGUCCUCGUUGAACUCGGAGGAUGAAGCUGGGUAUAAUGGUGAUUUGGAGGAGGUGAAUGGAGCAACAGAUGAUGAGAUCGAAUUUCAACCCGACUUGGAUGAGGAAUCAAAUUUUGUAAGUCCCCGUACCUUCUGUACUUCAUUUGUUUUUGUGUUUGUACAAUGCUCAUACCUAAUUUCAUAUUUAGGAGCACGAAUUUCAGGUAGAUUUGGUUCAUCCGGUGGAUGCACCAUACUUUGUAGACCUACAGGAAGAAGUUGCUGAAAAUGAGAUGUAGACCUAGUGGAAAUCAACAACAAGAAGGUACUGGAAGGAAAGAUGGGAAUGUUGGGCAUCUGUCCGAUGAAGGUUCAACCACCGAAAGUACUAAGAAAGUUGGAGUUCAGGGGAAAGCAGUCGGUACUGAUGGUGGAGACAUGAAGAGGCGGAAGAUGGAGUAGCUGGAGUAGCUUAUGGAGUGAGUUAGAUUUGGGUGAACUCUGUUUUGUUAGUGUACUACGUUGUGUACUUGGAAGUACCUGAAUGUACAAAGUUCUUAGGAACGUUCAGUACGUAGGUGAUCGAUCUGGAAUUGUUUAAAUUUUGGAUCAAUGGUUGUCAAGGUGAUGGUAGUAUAUGUACGGUGAAUUUUGGAUCAAAGGUUGUGAAGAUUAUUAUUCCAAAAAUUAAUAUGAAAUCGAUCUUUCAUCUCCAUUAAUGGAUCAAUGCUCUUCGUUGACUCAGUUUGAAUCAAGUAUUUCAAUUUAUUGUUUUGCCAUAUUAAUUUAUAGAUUAGGGGGAAUCCGUCUUCCAGCUUUACUUGUCAAUUUUUUUCCCAUUAUAACCUGAAUUUGUGGGGACCACCAGAGAUACAUGUUUUAUUAGUCCCCCCGUGUUGUGUUGUCAGUACAUUAGAAUCCAUUUUACUUCGUGGACUUGGCAAGGACUGGCAGCGAGGACCGUCUGGGCGACGUGGAAACCCUAGCUGGAUUUCCGGUCGACUUGCAGCGUUGCCGCCGCCGUAAUUUCUGUGCGGCUGCUAAUCUCGGCGGCGAAUCAUCAGGUAGGUAAAGACCGUACAUCGAUUCCCCAUCCACAUUUGAAUCUUGUCCGUAUUCCUCUAUCAUUUGAUCUCUCACUUUCAAUGCAGAUGCUCCCUGCACCUAAGCCUUUUGAUUCUCGGUUUACGGACAACGGUUAUAUCCAUCGAUUUCUUUAGGUACCUAGGGAGAACGCAUUUGUUCAUACAGGGGUUAGAUCCAUUAAUUGGUGCUUUCUUGUACUCGUAAAUUCUAUUAUCUGGUUUCUGUUCAUAGGUUUAUUUCUAUGAAGUAUGGGAAAUUUAUUAUUUCUUCCCUUCGGGAAAGCUAGCGAAGGAAAUCCUGAGUACACAGUCCAAUGGUUAUGUACCUGCAUGUACGUAUGGUUAUGUACCUUUCGUGAGUUGAAAGGAUUAAAUAUUUUGUACAGAUGUUUAUGUACAUAAAUUGUUCCAGGUUCACAACGAAGGACUAAAUCAAUUUUUUAUCGUACUUGUGCAGUAACGAUUGUUAUUUAAUGGACUACUUUAUAUCUAUUUAAGUUAGUUUUGUACACUAAUGCUUACUAAUAAGAAGUACCGUGUAAUACUUCCAUUCUUAAGUACUAAUUGCUGUACUUAUGGUUUCAGUACUUGGGACAAGGUUUUCCUUCAGAUAUUUGUCUUCUUUCCUUAUUCUUACUAACUACAUCUGACAUUUUUGUUAGAUAUGGAAUCAUGUUCAGUGAUCCGAAGAGGAAGAACCGCUGGUCCUUUUCGUAGAGGGCGUGGCCGAAGAGGACGCAGCGUUCCUUUACUUGAUAAUGAGUUAUGGAACCCGAAGCUGUUUGGUUGCCAGAAACCAAACAUCCUAUAUGAGAUGUUUGCAAAAUUCAAUAGCCACAAGCUAUCUUUGAUGAAAGAGAUCAGUUUCCAUGGGUUGUCAAAAAUGCCGAAAUAUCGAUCAUGGAACCGACAAUUCUCUCUGUACUGUCUGAAUCAGUCAAAUACAGAUGGAGAUCCCAUUGAGUUUGAGACCUGUAAUUGUACUAGACUACCCAUGUACCCCUCACACGUACAUCAUAUAUUAGGCGUCCCAGCUGAGGGGAAACAUAUAUCUGUAGAGGAUGAGGAUGUUCCAGAUGCGGUAGUGGAUGAAGUUUGCAGGGCACUGCGGGUUCGUGAGUUAAGUAUUUCCAGUGUGUCUGAUGUUGUUGAAGGUGUUAUUGAUCAGCACAGCACGAAGAAGGAAAAAGAUGCUUUCCAAAUCGCUGUUGUCAUAGUAGCAUUUGCAUAUAUGCUUGACUGCCGAGAUCGGGACCCCAAGAUACCAAAUUUUCUGCUUCCGUACCUUACAAGUGUCAGUAAACUGAAGGAAGUUAACUAUUCAAGGUGUGUGCUUGACAUCCUUUCAAUUGCCGCUCGAAAGGUUCGGGAGGUGAAGAGAGGUGGUUAUUCCACUUGCAUAGUUGGUGGCUGCAUCAUUGUACCUCAGGUUAGAAUUAGUACCCCUUAUUUUAAUAUGAGAAUAUCUGAUGGAGCACAUUGUGUAUUAUGUGUUUAAUUUUGACAGAUCUUUUAUUUGGAUUCCAUCGAUUUUGGCAUUCACAAAGCACCGUCAGGCCUGUUUCCACGAAUCAGGGUUUAUGGAAAGGCAAAAUUAGAUUUGCUUAUUAGUAUGGAUAAGAACUUUCAUACUGUUAAUGUUAGCCAGUGGUACGGUUACUACGAGGUAAUUCUUAUAAUAUUUGAAAGUACAAUUUAAUGGUCCGAUACUUGUAAGAAGAAAUCCGUGUUCUGACGUGUCUUACCUGCUGUAGGUACUCAAGAGUGAAGCUUCCCAAGCCUGAAGACAAAGGGAAAGGCGUAGCCAUAGGAUCCAGAAGGAUUAAGAAAAAGAAGUACAAGAGUGAUAGGCAGUGUAGGAGAGAGAAGCGUUUUAGUGCUUUAAUGAAGGUCGUAGAAGAGCACCAUGCUGCAGAUUCAUAUCUUAUUGAAGACUUGAUACGAGAGAUGCAGAAGAGGAAAAAUCUUCUUCUACACCUGAUAGCAUAUCAUUUGGAGAAUGAGAGUUCAUCCGAAGGUUGUGAGGAAGAUACGACAUCUGAAACACGUGUGGCUGAAGGUAUGUUUGGAUUUUUAUUUAUAAUUGGAAUGUUCAUUGAUCUUUGAUGUUUCCCAAAAUGGUUAAGACAAACAUGUACUUUAACCGGAUGUCGAUGGAGGUGAACAAUCGUUCCAUGAUGACGCCACAUCAGGUUAGAGUUGUACUACGUACUGUACCUCGUCUCUUUAUAUUUCCACUUAUUUGAGUUUGAUGAAGAUGAAGCUGAAGUUCUGUUUUCAUAGCUAAUCCUUCGUUCAAGAGGCCGAACCGACUGCCACAAACUCCUGGUGUUUGGCAACGGACAAAAGAAGUUAGGAAGGAGGGGUCUGAAGGUAAUGUAGUACCUUUUUUGUAUUUGUUCAGAAUGUAUGGUGUGAUGUACUUAGCCGUUUGGAAUGUACUGAUGGUCGUACUGAAUGUACAGUCGAAGCGUCCGUUAAUUCUUUGAACGUUCAAGCGGAGAGCAACAUGAGUCAAGUUGGAGACAAGAGAGGUGCAGAAGGUAUUAAAUUUCGGAAGGUGUAGUAUUGGAAAUCUAUCCUGUUAACAGUAAUUAUCUGUUUUCGUAGGUCCAAAUAACUCAGGUAGCCAAUCAUCUAAAAGGUAUGGUAUGCACGGUUAGAAUGUUAUAAAAGAAAUUUAUGAAUGGGCAAUUAUAAUGGAAUAUGUUGUUUUCUAUAGAUGCAAAGGUACUGCGUCGGGAGAUAAUAUAGGAACAAAUGUUGGAAAGAUUCAUGGCCCAGGUUAGUUUGUUUUGUUCUCACAAUGUACUGUAUGGUACCUAAAAAAUGAUAUCACAGGUAACUAUUUGUAUUAAAUAGCUGCUUUAUGCCCAAAAAAAACAGGACCGGAAGGACAUGACCAGAUUCAAGAGGUUGAGGCAGAACAUAACAAUAAUGAUGAGACGACACGUACAUAUUUUUAUGUUAUAAUAUUUUGGUUACUUCGGAAAGUAAUAAAUAGUUUAAUUACGGAUGCUAUUCUCAUAUGCAAGUACAGCCGUUGGUGAAGGUAAUAAUUUUGAUGUACAUUCUUCUAUAAAGAUUAUUGUUCCAGAAGCACUUGGGCUGCUGAAGGACUCAUGUGCUACAGCUCCAAGAAUUCCACAAGUUCCUGAGAAGAGAAAGCUGAAGAAAGCAAUUGCCUUCAGCUAAAUAGCAGUCAUGUGUUGUCAUAUUUAGUUCAUGGGUACAUUAACUUAUUGAAACAAUUUUGGUACUAGGGGUCCACGACCACAACAAUUAGGUGAGGAGAAGGAAAAGGAAGAUGACGGUGCUGGUUCAGCAUCAAAUACUCAUGUUCCAGUCCAAUCAAGUUAGUACUUCGAUGACCUAUGUUAAUCCCAUAAAUUUUGUGGACCUAAACUGCAAGCGUGCUAUGACAUGCUCCGUGUACUCUCUGAUAGUAGACAUGUUGUGCAGAAAGGAAAAGAAUUGUCAAAGUGGUACCUUACUUAUUGACGUAGUUAGAAUUAGUUGAUAGUACAUCGUACAUUGGUAACAUAAGUUUUACUUGGUGAUUGGUGAAGUACAUUUGUGUACACAUGAUUGUAAUUUAAGAAUGUGCUUUUUUGCAGAACAACCUUUGAAGUACCUAGAGCACCAGUUGUUGAUGUGCCUUUAACAGGGACCGGUCGAAGUCAACAAGAAAUAGAAGGUAUGUACCAUAUGUACUUGUUAAUAUCGUAUGAACGAGUGUACCAAUAAUGUAUUGUAUCACAUACGAUGCUUCCCGUAUUUCGUGCGUAGGAGACUUGUGAGAACAAUUGUAAUGUUGGUCAGGCUGUGACAGGACAAUCGGAAAGUACGAAUUGUGGGAAUGUGAAUGACUUAGUUAACACUUUGUUGAUGACACCACAAGUGGAGGAAAAACUGCCAGGUACUACUUAGUUUUGGUUAACAUUUUGGAAGUUAUUCUUCAAAAGUCAUUGUUCUUGAAACAUGAACUGGUUUUUCUGUAUGGCAGCCCCCGGACGGUCCUGUUUUUGAUCAAACACCUCAAGGUAUUGUUUGUUAGAAUUGUAAGUUUGGUCAGCAUUUAUAUUUUUGUAUGUAAUGAGCUUGUGAAACAUGCAGCAGAAGGGAAGGCUGAAUGUACUUUUGCUAAUGACAUGUGGGUGGACAAAGAAGCGGAGGAUCCAACAGGUUUGAACUGAGAUUUGGAAGGUCAUCAGGUUACAGAGAUUGUUAAUUUCUGCUACAUCAUUGUACAUUCAUAUGUGCAGAUGAAAUCUCACAUAUGAAGGUGUACGAAAGAAGGAAAUUGAGGACGAAGAGAUUGAACAGGUUGGAGGAAGGGGGGAGCACAACAGUUUGCAAGGAAGGGGCAAAGACUGUGUAGUCUGUUUAAGCUGUAUUGUACCAGCCCACUACUUUUUAGGAUGAUUUAAGGAAGUAUGUUGACGUUUUGAGGUACCUAAGUACUGAUAUGGAUGUUGGAACAACCAUGCCGGAUGAACUUGAUUUGUUUUAUUUCGUAUUAUGCUAUUGUUUAGUACGUAUUGUUGUGGUUAUGACAAUGGCACCUGUUUGUUGGUUUCGAUUGUUGUAGAACUUAUCGCCGUAGUUGUACAGCGAUGUAGUGAAGUACUUUGUGGAUAUGCAGAAAGUAUAUUCGUGUUUGGUAAUUACAUACGGUUAUGUGUAGGAAGUAGUAAAGUACAUUGUGGGUACACACUGAAUUAUUCUAUCCAUAUGUACCGAUUUAUGUGUAUGGAUUGUACCAGUUAUACAGGAACAUAUCGUACAUAACUUUUGGUUCAGAACAGAAGUACAUGAAGGUACUAUGUUGUAACAUCAAUGGAGAUGCUUCAUGAGAAGUAAGUGAGGGUAGUUUAGAUACGAUAAUUCAUAUUAAGAGAAAAUAAGCUGGCAUAGAAUGAAUAACAUCAGUACAUGAAGGUACUUAGUUGUAGUAAAGUACGGGCACGAUGGUAUUGAAGAAGUUGAGAACCGUAAUUACAGGCAGUGCACUGAAGAUAAUAAGUACAUGAAGGCACAGAAAAGAAGUUCAGAACCAAAAGGCAUUCAACGUGACCAGAGAAACAAGUUUUCAUAAUGCAGAACUUGGACCUAUAGAAGACUAGACUUCUCCAUGUUCAUACAAUUCUGGUAGAACAUUUCACCGGCUAGACUUGUCUCGAAUUUGGUGGGUCAAUGAUCUUGAGAAUGGGGAAGGGGAGCCUGGAUUUGUUAUUCUCCAUGGUGAGCAGUUUGUGAAGAAAGUUAUGUUGCAGCCUUGAAUAACCUUGUUGUGCGGACAAAAGAGAUGAAACAUUUAAACAUUACUAAUAAUGAAGGAUGCAAUAAUUGUUUGAACAUGCAGAAGUUACCGGCGUGAGCGGCUGCUCCAAUUCAACCCAUAGUAAUUACGGAUACAAUGUAACAUGCAUAAUCCACUUUGAUUCCUGAGACCGGAAAUAGGACGUACAUAAGGUACAAGAAAUAGGAGGUACAAAUGAAGUAGAAUGUUGGAGAUGCUAAUGAUUUGAUGUUGAAACAAACAUUGUAAGGAACAGAUUAGGCACAUGAUUUGCUUCAUGGCUAUGAAAAUUAUUGCAAGGCUAAGAAUGUACACAUUUAUUGCAACCAAACAAGGGGUACUAAUGCAUCCGAAACAAGGGGUUCAAUUAUUUUGCUUACUUGUUGAACUUGUCGCUUGUCAGCAAUGGAUACACAUGAGGCCACUGUUUCUUCUGGGGAUUCCAAUUUUCAUAAUAGUUGUGGAAGCAAUCAAAAAGCUUUUGUUGAAUGCGGUUAGCAGAAUGACCAUGCAAUUCCUAAAUUGUUGCCGAUUCCACAUGCUAACCCAACUGAUCAAGUAUAUGAAUAACCUCUUCCUUCAUGUCAAACAUGUACGCAGACCAGGAUUCCUCAAUGAACGAAGGUACGGCGAACUACAGUAAGUAUUACAAGUCAAUUUUAGUAUGAUUAAGUACAUACUGAGUGUAUGUGAAAGGUAAAGAAAGAGGUGCGAGUAAGUACAUAUUGAGCGUAUGUGGAAGGUACAUAUUGAGUGUAUGACAGUACACAGUAAGUACCUAUUAAAUGAGUACAUUAAGUCCGGCGAACAUAGGAAUUUUGGAUGAAGUUCUUACCAUUCUAGUGCACGACAUGUUGUAUGUUAUGUCCUCGCCAAUGAAUUGUUGCUGGAUUGAUAUGAACGAUGUCAAGUCAUUUUCUGCUAUCGCGCAUACCUGUUGAAGUACAGUAGUGACUUUCUGACGAUAUAAUUUUUUGGAGGAUAUGUAACAUGAUUUAGAUGAGGUGAGGACGUACGGAGAAAUCACUCUCCAGGAGAUGACGCCAAUGCACCCUGCUGCUGGUUGGUUCCAUCCUUGUGUCUAAUUGCGUUAACCGCCUUACGAGGAGGUCACACAUUUUGAAGUCAAGAACAUCGGUACCAACAAUCUGUUGUCGUACUACAGUCCCAUUGAUUGAGAUGUACCCAGGGAACUCAGUGGUUACCCAUGGCCUGGAAGAAAUAUGUAAUUAAUUUGCAUGUAAAAUAAAUUGAACCUCUGAAACCAUGAUCGUAUGUGUACUUACAUUUUCAAAUAGUGUGGAGGCGCGUCAACACACCAUUCCAUAAGAGAAACCAUGACAUCACCAUCUGGUUUAGGAUGAAUGUAUCCUUCGGACCAAGGCGAUGGUGCAAAUGUACCAACCUUGGUUCGACGUUUGCAAGGUGGUGAAGAAGAGACAUGACCAAACAGUAUCUUACUGUUGGCGCACUCUAUGUCUUCUGACCUCAUCAUCAAAUCUACGACGGCAUGUUCCAUAUAUAACUUGGUAGUAGCCGGAGAACAUGGUGCGAGUGGUGCUGCUUCUUCUUUUUUCUUGGAGUCAUCGUCUGAAACAGCGAAGGUUGGUACAUAUUGUUGAGUCAUGCUAGGUAGAGAAUUGAAGCCAAGAUCAAAAGGUGGUGGUUCAAAGUCCAUGUUCUUGAACAUAGAUCUGCUGGUGUGAACGCCAUCUAUGUAUGAAAGGAAUUAAGAUAAAUACUGUUGGGAAGCAUAGGUAGUAUUUGUAAAAGUUAUUAGGGUGAGGUACCUGAGCCAUGUGUUUUUGAUUUCUUGUUGAUUGCAUCCAGUAGUUGUGAUGUUGACCUCUUUGGCGUGUCCUCUAGGGAUUUCAUUGUACGGACAUGUGAGGUACAUUCCUUGCUGUCGGCUACAUUAUGAGUAAAGCGGUGAGAACUUUGUUAAAUUUAAAAUUGAACUGCUUAGGAUGUUAAGUUACGUAAUUGAGUACCUUCGUACUAGGAGGCAAGUUUAUCUUUGCUAUGUCCUGUUUUAAUGGAGCUACUUCCGGAAGCUAACGGCGGAGAAGAAGUCAUUAUGCUAUGUUUUGUGACGGCUAUAAUGGAAAGUUAAUAUGUACCUUGUGUUCUUGCAGUUGAAGCUGAAUGUUGUGGUGGCAAAGGGCUGGAUGAGAUGAAGCUGAAUGAUGUGGUGGCAAAGGGCUGGAUGAGAUGAAGCUGCAUAUCUUGUGUGCAAGCCAUAAAUUUUGGUGCAGCACAUGAUUUCUCAGCUGUGUGCCUUUCGUUCAUUGCUCGUGCCAUGUUUGCAUUGUGUUGGUUCAAAUCAUUUGCCAGCCUUGUAUUGCACUGGUGAAUAUUAUUUAUAUGUGAACAUACUGAUGUAAGUACAUACCGGUACAGGAUUGAAAAAAGUAUAGAAAGGUUUAGGUUGUUACCAGAGUAGGGUACUUUUCUCGGAAGAAUUGUGGCAAUGUUGCUGCGGUAACUUGAUGGCUGGUACCGGAGCUAGUUGGGACAGAAUGCAGAAGGCGAGGGCUUUGUCCCGAUCCAGCAGGCAGAGCAAGUGGUUGGGCUGUAGUGGCUGACAUGUUGGCAUGACGAACAGUACCCCUUGCAUUAAACUGCAUGGCAGGAAGUACUUCUGGUAAUGAGAAGAUGUACAUAUGGUUCUUGUCCCAUAGAUCCGCAUAAUAACAGGAGGUACAUAAGGUAAGUAGGAGGAAAAAAAUCAUUGUUAAGUAGUAACAAGGACAGUACAUUGGAGAGCAUAAGAAGGAUAGUACAUUAGAGGUACAGAGGUAAGCAUUGGAAGGCAAGUUUGAGAGAAAUUAGAUUUGCCAAUCAAAUUAGAAGUACAUGAGACGGUUACAUUGGACGUAGUUAUGAAGAGUUACAAGGGUACAAGAAGCAAGAAAGAGUACAUGAACAAUAACAAGAUUAACAAGUUACCUGGUUUGCUCCAUAAACCCCUCCAGGCUUAGUAUCAGCUAAUAUGAGUUUGUUAAGUACUUCAGUGGGGAAAGCCACCAUACGAGGGUAUAUGUUCUUUCGACGUUGCAGUGGUCCAAGUACCAGAUUAUCAAGAUAGUGUAUAUGAGAAUUGUAAGAUAUAUUAUUAAUACAUAAGAGAAUUAAGCACUCAUGUGGGGGUUACAAAACUUGUUUUAUGUACCUGCAGAAAUAUAUGACAACCAAAUAUGUUGGAAACGACUUUGUUCAUGGAUAAGUCAGCUUGUAGUUUCUGAGCUGCCUCAAUGAUACCUUUCAGAACAUAUGCACACCAGUUGUAUUGACCAAUCUCCUCAGUACAACGCAAAGCACCGAGGAAGUCAAUGUUAACGUGAUAGUACUUUGUUGAUGGUGACAGGAGAUGACCCAUGACAAUGAUAACAAAUGCCAUUUUGAAAGAAUCCUUCUGUAAUCUUGUGAUGUUUUCUGACAAGUCCAUAAGGACUAUCUUCUCGGCAUUUUUUAGGCUAAUCUUGCUCAUAGAUAUACCAGCUUGUUCACGUAUGUAAACCAUUGCAGCAUCAGAGAUUUGAGUUUCUGGUCCUAGUAUAUCACGUUGUCCGCAUGGGAUACCAAAUACUUUGUUCACGUCCUGUGCUGUGAACUGGAGCCUCCGAGCUGCAUUUAGUACAAUUGCGAAGUCUAUGCAAUCAACUUGGCCAAGAAGCCAAGUACUGAAGAUGCGAUUAAUUGAAUUCCAUAGAGGCAGUUUGAUGAGGACACCCCACAUGUUGAUACACCCACAACACCUAGAGUCACAUUACAAGGACCUAUCACAAGAGCUCGCGCACGCCAACUUAAUUAUCAGGUACUUUCGUUUCUUGGAACGAUUAUUUACAUACAUGAGCAUAUGAUGCUGCCUAAAUCAGAUGUGUUUGUCACACUUAGGAAUGAUGGACCUAGCAUGGAUGAGAGGGACAAGCAUUGGAGCAUGAUCACGCAUGGAGAUGAAGGCAGCAAGCAUGUGAGGAUUGAAGAUGGCGCCGCAAUUGGAGAUUUCAGAACGUUGAAGCCACCAUAAUGAGAGAUGAAGACGUGGACGAAAUAUAGAGCUUUUCCCUUCAUAUUAUCGUCCACAUAAUUAUAUGGUGAUGCGUCACCUUUUAAGUUUGGGCUAGGCCCAUGUAAUUUUCGUCCACAUACAUGUGCUGGACUUUUAGAGUCCGUAUAGGUGAAGGAAACCAACCUAGAGUGGGUUUCGGCCUUCUUUCCCAAGGCUGGCCGCAUACCCCUCUAGUUCUCCAUAAAUACCCCCGUUCGGUCUUCGUUUAGACUCGGAUUUUGUUUAGUUUAAGACUUAGAUAUUUGCUACUCUUCGCCAUAGGCACAAGUGUCAAAUCGACCUUCUAUACUACGCGCUUGCAGAAUCCCAUCAAGAAAGCUUCACAUUUAUUCGCACGUUGAUCUAGCUCCGGCGUGGUCAAUAACCUCAGAAGUUGGUGUAGCGAUUGCUAAGACGCAACGUCUCGCACGUUUGUAGCUGGUUCGACAACGUCGACUUCCACCCAAAGAUCGGGCACCUUUACCCCUAUCACAGUUCAAGUAAGCCUCCAAAACCUAUUUCCUUGACCAACUGUGCUAUGGACAUGAUCACCAUGGAUAUGACCAUCAGAACCCAAAUUCUUGGAGUAUUCUAUAACAAUUAUAAUCAGGCUAAUUCAAUUAAUAGAUGUGUUCAAUAUGUUAUUUGCAAAGAGGCGGAGCUACUAUCUUGUGUAAUCUUAUUAUGUAGGCAUCUUAUUGAACUUUACAAGUCCAAAGUGAAGAUGAAGUGUGAUAGCCUGCAAAGGGAGAUUCAAAGUGAAGCCUAUCAAGUCUACUUUCCAACAAAUCAAAUGACACAUGAUUCGGAGCUUGCUAGAAAGAUAUCACGAAUUAAAGUUGAAUCCGAUUCGGGUCCGAGCUGUCAGGAGACCCGAAUUUGUUUUAAUCACCCAGGCCGCAUCCGAAGUCCAAAUCAAGCAAACAAAUACUUGUUGGAAAGGUAAUUACAAGGACUUUCCAACGGAUCUGGCCGCAUCAAGAGAUUCGACUCGUGCUAACCGUGGCAGACAAAACAAAAUGGAUCUGUUUUUCUGUUUCCUAAAGAGUUGUAGUUUGUUAGGAAAGUUAGAGAUAGAGUUGGAUUUCGGCCUCCUUACUCAAGGUGGACGAAAAUAUCUCUCCCUCCUCCUUUAUAUACCUCAUGAGCCCCCCUAAGGAGCCUUGGGUUUUGUUUAGUUAAAAAUUAGCCAUCGCUACUACUUCGUGUAAUCGCGUGUGUCGGUUAGAUCACCUCUUUUACCGCUUUCGGAACCCCAACUUAUCGUCUCGUUGAGACAUUGGUUUGAUAUAGUAUAUUCGCAAUUUUAGAUUGCAUCCGCUGUUUAUCUUGUUCUUGCUUGUUCUUCGAUUGCUUGCAGGAACAAAGACCUUCGUGGUCAGGUUGAUCGUGCCCCCGUGUGAUCAAUAACCCUUUGGAGUUGGUGUAUCGAUUGCUAAGACGUUGCCUCCUAGGCCGUAGUCGGAUCGUCAACGUCACCUCCUACCCAAAUCGAGAGUUCCAAUCUCAUCGAAAGAUCGGGCCACCCCGACCCACAUCACGUGGUAUCAGAGCGUAAGGUUGCUCGGUGAGAUCUUUCAAUAUAGUCCUAGUUUAGAUCUGUUUUUACCUAUCGUCCAGAAAAAGCCAAAAAGAAAUUUAGAUUAGUUACCUUGUCCUAAAACCAAUCUGAGGUUUGCAAUUUUCACAUUAGUAUUUGCAUUGUUGAAUCUUUGCUGCAUUAGUUGUGUCGAGUUGCUGGAUUAGAUCGGAUCGUUUCUCAGAUUUUUUUUCUAGUAGAUCAAACUUGUUUUUGGUUUUCUUGUUCUUCGUGUGACGCAGGUUCCCUCAUCAAUCUUCCGCCGCCAAUCUCCCUGCCACACCACCUCAACGCCUUUAAUCCGUCGCUGCCACCAUCAUAUCUUCAUCUCCAUCGGUUUCGUUUUGGAUCACAGUUUCCGUCCGCGCCUAUCGAGAAUGCUUUUGGAAAGUGUUUCAUAAUAGAUUGAAUUUUGUUUAGAAAUCAAGUUGUUCGGAAAGUUGUGAAAAAAGAAAGGAGAGAAAAGGAAGAAAAAAAACGAAAGAAAAAAAAAAGAGAGAGAAAGAGUUCGAGUCAGUUUCGGACCCGAGUUCCGAGUAGAAUUAUAGUUUCGGGUGGGUUUGACCUGUGUUCACUAAAACAGGCGUAUCUUUUACAUACGAAGUCGGAUUUGGACGUUCUUAGACUUUUUGGAAAGCUCACGACGAGCUGUGUCAGGAAAUAUCUAGGGUGUUGCCCUUCACUUUGACCCUCAAAUUCAGCUUCUAAGGUAGACUUUCGGAGCUUCCAAGUUUCUGCAUCCGUUUUUCGGCGUCGCUGCAGCCCGGUGUUUUUCAGUUUUCUCCACCGUCCGACAUCCAUUUUGAGUGAUGUUGCCCUUGCUGUAAAGCUUUUGUCUAUACACUUCUAACCCAUAUUUUUUCAUAUUUUUCUGAAUUUUCCUUACUGCAGCCUUUGCUGUUUUUUGACAGACCGACGUACAGUUUUCCGGUCCUUCUUUUGAGUGAGUUUCUGGGGAUAAAAAAAAGAAAAAAAAGGAGAAGAAAAAGAAGAAGCCAAACAGAAGGCCACAAAAGGGAAAAAAAAAAGAAAAAAAAUCCUAGGGAUUUACUUGUUGUGCCAUCUUUUGAUCUAUCUAUUCCUACCUUCUUCAGUAUCUAGGCUUAGAUUAUUUCUGUAAUUCGUUCUUAUCGACUCCAGCAGUUAGGACUAGCAUUAUUGAGCAUAUUUUCAACUUUGCAUUGCUGAUUUAAUUAUUUGUUAUUCCUUGCUACUCACAAAAGCCUCCAAACUUCACAGAUUCUACACCUAGGUUGGUUUGUUACCGAGGCAUCGAUACAUUUAAUCUUCGGAGGGCUUGGUCACGCCGCUGGCCAUCUCUUGUUUUGCAUGGUAAGAACUUGUAAGAACUUGAUUUUUAGCUUGAGAGUUGAGCGACUUGUAGCCACAUCCUAUUAGUUGAUAUGAACAUAUUCAUGUGUUUUGUUUCUUGUCUUAUACUAACCAUGACAGAACUUACAUGAAGGAUGGAAAAUAGGCCUAUGCUAUCAAGUGAUCGACAUGAGCGUUUUUCACCACAUCCAUGCUCCUCGUCUUUUGUUGAC